rnacentral:lncRNA from 1 species
UUAAUUUAUGAAUUUACUUUACCGCACAUUUAUUUUAUUUACAGUAUGGUGUAGGUUUAUUACCCAUACAACAGUAUUUAUUUAAAAGGGUGGUGCGGAUUUAUCGUCCACGCCUUUACUUUUAUUUAAAUGUAUGGAGCAGAAUUAGUGCUCAUACAAGCACGUUUACUUUACCGCACAUUUACUUUUACUUAAAGUAUGAUGAGGAAUUAACCCUCAUACUUUAUGAAUUUACUUUACCGCACAUUUACUUUUAUUUAAAGUGUGGUGCGGGUUUAUCGUCCAUACUAGUAAUUUAUUUACCAGCAAUUUAUUUUAUGGAUCAAUUGUGCUGUAUGAUGAGUUUUUACAGUAUGCAGAUCAGGACCAGAAGUUCCUUGAUCCUCAUCAUACAAUUACAUCAGGACUUGAAGAUCCUUGAUGAUGAUAUUAAUGUGAGAGCUGGCAGUCUCUCCGGUACUAUUUUUGUAAACAUGUAAUUGGACUUGAGGGUCCUUGAUCCCUGACAUGUAAAUAAGGACCUGGGGUUCCUUAAUGAUGUAACAGUACCGUAUUGGUUCAUAAUGCCGUACACAUGGAUGAUAACUGUACCGGCAAAUGUACUGUACACAUGAAUAGAUACGUAUUCAUGACUUGAUGAAUAGUACCGGAUAUAUGAAUAGUGACGUAUACAUAAAUAUUAAUCAUUUUGGGUUAACCAUCACUAUUCAAAAAGGGAACCUGCAGUUCCUUAAACUCAUGGAUGAGCAAUUAAAUGAGAUGCCAGAAGUUCCUCAAAAUAUGGACAAUUAUGUAAGGGCUUGAAGUCCAGAAAUAUGUACAGAAAAUUGUAAAAAUGUCCAUACCAUGAGAAUAUGUGAUUUUGGCCUGAAGUUCAAAAUCUAACAGUGUUGAGAACCUAAAGUUCCAACAGUUAAAUGGACAAUCCUUGAGGUAUUAUUGCAAAUUGUGGUACACCACAUAUUUCUUUGGCAUAAGAAAAUGAUGAAUUGAGGCUUCCCACAUAUUUUGUUAUAUCUGGGCCGGAAGCACAUGGAUUCAAAUAUAUGAGAUAUUAGCGUGGCUUUUACUCAAUUCAUACUUCAUGUCCAUUUGAAAAGGGCAAAUAAAUUCUGAGUUUGUGUUUAGCCCAUGCCAAAAGUUCCGGGCUCCCAUACGUUGAAAUAUGAAAUUUGGGAGAGUCGAUGUGGUUAUUUGAACCUAUAAGGCACAAGGUUCCAAACCGUCAUUUUGAAAAGACGUAAAAACCACAGGUGCAAGUUUAAGAAUGUGCGCAAUUAUUAUAACAGGAACAUACAACAGAUAGAUUUCUCCACCUGCAAUGAAGGUGCAGGCCCUGUAAAAUCUAUAAAAUUACAUUAUGUUCUGGAAGCCUCUGAAGGAAGAGGACGACGCCUCUUAAACUUAGCCAUGAGCCUCUCGUGGUCUCCCAAAAUUCUUUCAUUGGAGACCUGCAGCAUGUCUAGCCUUCUCAGUGUAUCAACAGAGUACGAACUCACCAGUUUCAACAAGGCAUUAUUCUCUCCUUUAAGUUUCUCAACCUCCUGUUGAGACUCAUGAAGCAUUCUUUGGAGAGACGAAUUUUCAGUUGUUAGCCUCUCAACCUCGUUUGCUCUAGCACGCAAACGAUCAGCCAUGUUAGAAACAGAAGCAGCACUCUGAAUGCUAAAAGCCAUUGAGUCAUCAAUAGCCUCUUCCUCAGACCUCCCUGCUAACAGCAUUUCAUCCAUUGGAGUAAUGAAAUUCCUAGCUACUAUGACAGCAGUAGCAUCAUUCAUCAUCACAGAAUCAUUAACUGUGAGAUGACGAUUUUGGGAUACAAAGGAUGGACGCCAAACUUUGGCGUCACUGGUUGUUGUGGGAGUAUCAUUUAAAUUGAAAUAAUUUGGGCAGGAAGAAGAGGAAGCCAUUUUUAAGAAGGUUUCGAAGAAAGUCUUAAGAAAACUAAAGUUUCAGAAAAUGAAGGAAGUUAAAUUGAAACGCAGUUGCUCCAAUCAAGUUUUGCAAAGGCAAUAUCUAUAGGAGGAAAUAUGGCUACAGUUUUUCAGGAUCCCAAUAUCUUUUCGGAUCCCCAUAUUCUCUUUUUCUUUUCCAGAUUCCAAAACUUCACGUGGCCUCCAUUAAUGUUUGUCGGCACUUUCGGCGUUUUCAAAGUAUUAUUUUCGUCAAAAGCCGAUCUUGCUUUGCGGAUUUCACGGAGCUAUUUUUUUCAAAAGCACCCCGAGAAUCUCGCAAUUUUUCUAUGGUUAAUUUGAAAUUCACCGGUUCUACCUAUUCCUCUUAUUUGUGUAUAAAUGUGUUACUAACGAAAUUUUCUUUGCAGAAGACAUCCAGUUUUCUCCAUACCUAGUGAUGCGAUAUCUACUUAUUUUUCUUAUCAGUGAGCACUCAAUAUGCCCGAGAAGCAAGACUAUCUCUGAUCAUCCAUUCAGGAAGCGAGACUAUCCCUGAUCACGUUUCCGCCACAUCCGGGAACUGUGAAGGCAACCUUAUGCUCUAAUCUCCGAAAGUUCUUCUAGACUAGAAGAAAUGAGAGCUUGUUGUUUGCUCCCACCAUCUUCCUUCCUUGAUUGCUGAGCUUGUUGUCUGCUCCCACCAGCUUCCUUCCCUGAUUGCUUAACUCUUUGUUCAUAAGGGAUUUUAUUUCUUUAGAAUGAACAUAUGAAGAAAGAAUCCAUGAAGUGAUCCUAACUCUGAGGGUUAUUUAUUUUUGACAGAGAAAAGAAUUGUGAUUUUGCUCUUGCAGGAUAUAACUAGAUCAUCAAGCGCUACAUUUACUGGGCCAAUACGAGCUUGAAUGAUACUUGAGAAAAGUUUCUCCCACCUAAGGAUGUAAGCAAUAUUUGUGUUAUUAUAUGCUUAUAUACUUAUUUGAUAUUUUAUCUUGAAAGGUAACCAAAUGGGGAGAUAAGUCUGUUCCAAAAGAAUGGCUUGUAUGUAUCCAUGAAUUAUUAAUGCAAAUUUUACAGAUUGCAAGUUGGAUACAUUGAUAAUACACUGCACAUAUUAAAGUCCCAUAAGAACAGAAUAUGGGUAUAGCAGUGAUCAAUAUGAUGCACGCCUGUUGCGUAGCAAAUGAUGUGGAUUGAAGUCCCGAAAGGACAAUCCUUUAACAUGUCAAUAUUGAUAUUGUGCACGCCUAAUGCGUAGCAAAUAGUACGGGUUAAAGUCCCAGAAAUUAAUUGACAUGUAUGUAUUAAUCUGUGGCAUGCCUGCAGCAUGACAGAUAUAUGGGUUCUAAAUGUUCCAACUCCCUAAAUGGAGAUUUUCCACGCCCUAUGUAAAAUAACGCUCCAUUGGAGGUUAUAAUCCACAUUCUCACAUAAUAAAAGCCCCCUGAAGUGGCUUGGGUACCCAAGAGCAAAGAAAUGCUUAUAAUUGAUGCAUGCACGUGCAAAUGAGAAUGAUGGGAUCAUGAAUUGAUGAAUGACAAUUUUUGGUUUUGGAGUAGCUAUUCAAAUCAUCAAUGGGCUGUGUUAAUUGGAACCACGUUCAAUUAUUAAAUGUCGACAAUAUCAUUGGCCAAAAUGGAAUGAGGUAAUUCCAUUAUAAAUGAGAAUGAACGUGAAAGAACAAACCCACAAACCCCAAAAUUUGUUAAUACUGAAAAGUUAUACUUGGGUGUUCGGAAUAAAAGGGUUUAUACCUACUUUGUAUGACACACUGUUUCUGGCAGAAACAAGGAAUGUUGGGUUUUCUCCAUAUCUACAGAUUCAAUUGUGCCCCCCCUUAUUACACAAUUACGGAGACCAACAUAUUAUCUUUAAGGGUUAUUAAAUGCACGGAGCAUAUCGCCAGAAGCGAUUUCCUAAAGAUAUAUAAAUAGCUGGGUAAAAGCUAUAUAAUGUGUCAUAAAAUUUAAUCCCUUUUAAACAAAAUCCGUUGAGAGGAUUGACAUUGCAUAAAGCAAGUCCCUAAAGGACAUGUGCUUGAAGCACAAAAUUUGUACUCAAUAUUAAUAUGCAUACCCCUCGAUCCGCGCUUUCUUGUCUGGCUGGUCAGGAUCGAGGGGUACUAACUCAACGUCUUCCUCAGGCUUCCAACCUUCUUCAAGGGAGCCUUCCGGGCGGAUUCCCUCCUCUCGAUCCUUCUUGUUUGGAUUCUGGCGCGAGCCGAUCUGCGCUUCUUUGCCUGGCUGGCCAAGAUCAGGGGGUACUAACUCAACGUCAUCCUCAGACUUCCAACCCUUUUCAGGGGAGUCUUCCGGGCGGAUUCCCUUGCCUUGAUCCUGGCUCAUUAAUUGCUAUUGUGGGGUAACAGCUCCCUUCUCGUUCGAGCUGGCUUGUCUGCUGGGAGCGCUUCGUGCCUCGUUGGCAGCUUGCAUUACUAGUGUGAACUGCAACUGCUUGCUCUUCUUGAGUCCGUGAGCUGUGCAUCUUCUUGCCAUGGCUUGGUCACUAUUGAUCUGCCCGAUUCCGCCUCCAGGGAUGGGGUAGCGAAUUUUCUGGUGUAGAGCAGAUGUGAUGGCCUCGAUCUUGCUGAUCCACGGUCGGCCCAAGAUUCCGUUGUACGGGGAGAUCUCGUCGAUGACCAUGAAGGUUUGCGAGCAGACUACUGGGGGUGAGUGGAUGUCAAGGUCGAUCAGUCCAACAGUGAUUGAUGUGGCCCCAUUGAAGCCAGUGAGCGACCUGGCGAGUUUGCUAAUCUUGGGCUCCAAUCCCAUCUGUUGGAUGACAGAUAGUUGCAGGAUGUUGGCUGCACUGCCCUCAUCCACAUGAACUCGCUCGAUCACAGCUUGUUCAAUCUGAAUGCAGAUGACUAAGGCGUCAUUAUGAGGCAGGUCAAGCCCGAUCAAGCCUUUCUUCUAGACACCAAUGAUGGGUGCAUCCACGAUAACUGGUACUCCUGUUGUGACUUGGGAGACAUAAGUCGCAUGCGCGAUCUUCCUCUUGCGCUCCUUGGUGGUCAGCCCGGACUCCUGAGAGUCAACUAGAAUGGUGUUGAUUCGAAUGACCUUUUGGGGAGGUUCCUUGGCAGCCGCAUCACGAUCCUCGAUCUGUUGGAUGGCCUUCUUUGCGACGAAUUCUGUGCAAUGACCUUCUCUGACCAGCUCUUGAAGAUGCCUUUUCCAAGCAUUGCAAUUGUUGGUGUAAUGACCGUGCUCUCCGUGGAAUGCGCAGUAUUUACUGGCGUCCCUCUUAGAGGGGUCUCCUUUCAUGGGUGGCGGUCUCCUCACCCACGGCUUGUCCUUUACUUGAGCCAGGAUCUGAUAAAUUGGGAUAGCGAACUCAGUAAAGGUCCCAAUUUCUGAGCUUCCCUCUCGGGGCCGCGAUCUGCGCUUAUCUCGGGCUUUUUGCUCGAACUGGUUGCUCUUUUGGCUUGCCUGCUUCGUCGGGUGAUCAACUUGCUUGCUGGCUUUCUUUGCGGCGAUUCGAUCAUCGUCCCAAAGUGCGUAGCGUUCUGCCGUCGCGAACACUUCUGCCAAGGUUUGACUUGGUGUUAUGGCCAGUUCCCGGUAUAGCUCGUGCUCGGUUGGCAAGCCCUUCUUGAAAGCUGAGGAUGCAACUUGGUCAUUGCAUCCUAUGAUGUUAGCCUUUUCAGCCUUAAACCGUCUCAGGUAGUCUCGUAGAGACUCGUCUGGCUUUUUGCGCAGGUUGAACAGAUGGUCUGCAUGCUUUCUGACCGUCUUGUAGGAGGUGUAUUCCUUUGUGAAGAUGAAGGCCAACUCCUUGAAGUUUCCUAUCGACGCGGACGGUAGAGUGUGGAACCAGUCUUGAGCUGCUCCUCGCAGGGUCAUCGCGAACACUUUGCACAUCAGGGCAUCGUCUGCCUUGUACAGGAUCAUGGCGCUCUUGAAGUGCCUCAAAUGGCUCUCAGGGUCAGAGUCCCCCUUGAAUGGAGUGAUGGAUGGUGCUAUGAACCGCUUUGGUGGAGGACUCGUUCCACUUUGUCGGUAAAGGGCGAGCAGUCAACUCGAUCAAUUUCCUUAUGCAGGGCCUCCUCCGCGCUUCCUUUAAGUUGAAGAGCUUGGAGUCGGUCAUUUACUAGCUUCUCGACGUCCUCUGCUCUCAGGACUGGAGUCUCGGGCCGGCGUCUUUGGUGCCUCGAGCGCGACUGGCUAACUUCUUCCUCGGUUCCCAAGGGUCGAUCCCCUUGGGUGUUCUGCCCGUGGGGCAGAUUAGGAGAUUGAGCUUGUGAGGAUUCCUCUACAUCUUGUCGCCGCGUGUUGGUCCUCGAGCAGGUUGGUGGGCGUCGAUCAUCAUCCUCUGCCUGCAAGGAGGGUCACUCAGGUCGACGUCUUUGGUGUAUCGGACGUGACUGGCUAACUCCUUCCUCGGUUCCCAAGGGUCGAUCCCCUUGGGUGCCCUGCCCGUGGGGCAGAUUAGGAGAUUGAGCUUGGAAGGAUCCCUCUACAGCUUGCUGUCGGGUGUUGGCCCUCGAGCGGGUUGGUGGGCGUCGGUUGUUGCGCUUGUCACGCGACUGCUCACGAACUCGAGCUCCUUGUGGGCCCAAGCGGGCGUGGAUAUUAGUCUGUGGGCCUAGCCUCCCGAGCACAUUGGUCCUUGGUUCUAGCCCCGAACGGCUCAGAGUACGGCUCGCGGCUGUCUGCGUCUCAUCUACUCGAUCUCGAUCUCUCCUCUGCCGGUUUGCCCUUGUCUGACCAGCUUGGGACCUCUCGAACUGCUCGCCGACAUGCUGGUGUGCCCUCAUCUCCUCGUCACGGGGUCCAAGGUUAGGGCCUUGAUUCAAGUUGAUCUGCCUGAGCAGCUGGCCAAUCAGGUUGUUCUGAUCAUCGACCUUCUGUGUGAGUUGAUCAACCCGUGAGUUAAGGUCCACCUGAUUGCGCGGGUCAAGUAGAGUGUUGUGCAUCGGGCCUAACGGCAUAUGGGCUAGGGCUCCAUUAGACGCGUACACAGGUGCAUAUGUCGAGUGUGAUCGCAGAGGAGGGAGAGAAUGGAUCUGCUCCAAGACUGGGAUGACGUCGGAGUAGCUAUGGGGCCGAGCAGCAAAUUCGGUAGUUGAGUGGUGUGGCUGCUGCUAUGCUACGACGGCAGGACAGCGGGGCAGAGCAGCUCCUGUAAUCGGCGCCGGCAACUGCAAGUCUGUGGAGGUCCCGGGGUCAUGUGGCGGCUGUUCUGCCAUUCAUGCAGCUGAAUGCGGCUGCAAAGCACUGGAGGACGACUGCAGGGCGUUGGCAGCCACGAUUCCGUGCGGUUGCAUUGAGGUCUCCACCACGAAACCACGAGGUGGGCCCGUCGUGGUGGCGUUACUCUUCGUACGCCUUGUAUCAACCAUGGUUGUCCGAAAAAAUGUGUGAAAGAUGGAUUUAGAGCACGCUUUGAAUAUAUCUUGUGCUCUCAAUGAAAGCACCAAAUGUUUGUGCAAAUAAUCUCACGGGAGAAUAUUCGCCUCUAGAUCCUUCAACCUUCGAUCUUCCUUCUCUCUCUUCCUCGAUUCCUGUAAAAAAGAUUGGAGUAAAUAGACCACACCCGGGGGGUGUUGGCCAAAGGCCCUCCGAUGCCUAAGUUAGUUCGAGUGUUUGUAGGAAAACAAUAGCUAAGUAAAGGAUACAGAGUUCUAUGUAGGGUGUAAACCGGGUGGCCGGAGCCGUGUGUGGUGGCCGGAGCCGUGGGGAGAAAAUAUGGAGAGUGGAGAGGGAGAGAGAGCUUCGGGUAUUUUUCUCGGGUAUAAGGAGUAGGUUUAGAUGUACCUUGAAUGAUGAAUGAGGUCGUCUAUUUAUAGGAGCCUCGGGCUAGGGUUUCGUAGGAAUCGAGUUGGGCCUGAUAAUAUCUGAAUUAAAUAGAUAUUAUCUCUUAAGAAGAUAAUAUCUGAUUUAAAUGAUAUUAUCUUCUCUUUAUUAGGAUAAUAUCUUAAUUAAUGAUAUUAUCUCUUUAAAUAAAGAUAAUAUCAUAUUAAUUAAGAUAUUUAUCCCAAUUAAUUAAUUAACCAGAUAAACUGAUCUAAUUAAUUAAUUAAAGAGAUAAUCUUCUUUUCCACAUGGCGUGCCCUGAUUGGAGACGAAAAUAUAUGCUUCCACACCCUUCUUAUUGGGUUCGAUCCAUUCGACACGAAGAAAAAUCUUGGAACAAUUGAUAAAAAAUGUUACAUUGAAUUUGACCAGCCGGCAAUUGAAGGCCUAGGUGAUGUGUUGGAAGUUGAGUGCCUAGGUGUGUGUCAAGGCUGUCUGCGGAUGUUCAACUUCGAAUUGAUGACAGGUACUCUCUUAGUUUGGUAUUUCAAAUUAGUAGAACCAGCUGAUCAGAUGGUCAAUGGAGGCAACUGUUUGAUUUCCAUGGACCCAGAAAUACUCCUUUCCAAUGCGGUGAUUUUCUCUCAUAACGAAUUAGACAUGCAUUGGAUUAAGGUAUGUGCUUUGGACCCAAAUAAUGAGGAUAUUUUGUAUUUAAGUAUAGGCAGACACUUUUUCAUGUGCAAUAUUCUUACAAAAAGUUGGUUAGUGAUAGCAGAAAAAGAUCGGCACCAAAGUGUUGUUACUCCCUUCCUACCAUUGAUUUUCCAUCCUCAAUGGCCAACCCCAGUUCCUAGACUUGCCCCGUCGGAGGAGAGGUAAUUGAUAUUCGCUGCAAAGAAAUUGCUUGUUGAUGUUACAUGAGGUCUUAGUAUAGUGUUUAUGUACCAAAAUGUUUACUCAAGAGAGACUGAACCUUGAGGUCUUAGAAGUUUGAAGACGUAUGUUUAGAGUCUACAACUUAGCACCAAAAUAUUUAAUCAAGAGAGAUUGAAUCUUGACUUGUAAUUAACAUUUGUUUUUGUUUUUGUUUUUUUUUUUUUUUUUUUUUUUUUUUUUUUUUGUGUUUUUGUUUCUGGGAUUAGGAUUUGGAUAUAAUUGCCCAUAUAUAGUUUGGUUAUUCUUUUAAUUUUUACUUUACUUCUAGUAAGAACCGAUGCGACGAUGUCUUCCUGAUUGCGUAUAUAUAUACCUUAUAGAUGAAAGUAAAAUGUGUCAUUUCUUCUUCUUCUUCUCUUGUCAUUCUUUUUCCAUGUCUCUAUUAUUUUUAUCUUUUCAUCGCUCUAUUAUGAUCAACUUAUGUCCUACAAAGAGAAUCUGUUUGGAUUAUAUAUUGCCAAGGAACAUGACCUUAGCUGUUGGCUUGCACAAAUUGGUAUUCUUCUCUCUGUGUCCUUAUCUCAACCCCAGCUCUGAGCCUAGCUUGUUGCUCUUUUCUAACUCGCUCGAAUACUGCUAGGAUCACCACAUUUGUUCACCAUAAUAAGUUUCCAAAUAAUGUGGCAGUUGUGUAGAGAUGAUUUCCUAAUACUCUAGGACAUAGGCCGGUUCUUUUGUACUUGUCGUCGUCCUCCUAAUCCUACUUCUCUCUUUUGCUUCCUACCUCAGCACUACAUCCACAAACCCGUCUCUUCACCAAAGCCGUGCUUCCCCAAUCCCGGCUGACCAAUAUUCUAGUGAUCAACAAGGCCUGGAUGAAGCCACUAUAGUUAGUUAUCCAAAGCUUCUUUAUUCCAUAGUUAAGCUCCAAUAUGGCACCAGCUCAUCUGCUUCUUGCUGCCAUAUGCUUGGCUCAUGAUUACAAGGAAACCAACAUGCUUCUUGUGUUACCGGAUUGUGGUCAUCUCUUCCAUGUCAAGUGUGUUUAUCCAUGGCUAGGCUGCCUGCUACUUGCCCGAUAUGUUGGCUGCUCCAGCUCCUCUCUGCAUUUCUGUCACUCAGAUAGCACAUUUGCUUACUAGCUAGGGAAGAGCCAUGAGAUUGGUAGAACAUAUAAAUCGUAAAAUUUGAACAGAUUAAUGGGCUCUACAAUUUUCUUUUAUUUUAACACUUUGUAAUAAGAUUAUUUCAUCUUCUUACUAAGGAGCCAGAGCAUAAACCUCUGUUUUUCCUUCCAAGAAGGUAAAUUAAUUCAUUUGAAAAAUGUCAAAAGAAAAACCUUUCUGUUUGCAAUAGGCAGCUAGCAACUAGGAUGUGCAGGGAAGGAUAAAAAUCCGGUAUGUGGUCGGGUUUGGGGAAAUUUUUAGGUAUGGUGUUAGAGUGGCUUCCAACUCUGUCCCACGACUCUCAUUACAUAUAUAACUAUAUAUUAUUUUAGGUAUGGUGUUAGAGUGGCUUCCAAGUAGUGUAAGGUUAGGCCAGUGUUUUGCUACAUUUCCCGACCCUGUCUAGGCCAGCUUUCCUCCUCAAAGAUCUCACAAAUUACAAAUCCACAAGGAAAUUAAAAACGAGGGAUUUAUAGAAAUUAAAUGCUAAAUAUUAUUGAAAGGAUCCCUAACAGACCCAUGUUAUUGAUUUCUAUCUAUGGUUGGAUUCAAUGACUCCAAACAGGAUCUUAAAUCCACUAAUUUUUAAUCUACGUGCGAAACUAUAAAAAUGGCACUCAAGUAGUCCAAAUUAGAAAAAGAUAAAUUCUGCCCUGUCCUAACAAAUCAUCUAAGGCUAGUCAAAUUAUUCCCACCAUUUUAGGUCCCAAUCCAAAUCAACUUUCCUAGACCAACACAAAAACAAGAAGUAACACCAAUUGGGAAAGCCAGCCAAGAAGCACCCCUUUGUGUAUCAAUGCUGCAGAGUUUGAAGGACCCUGAGGGGAACCAUUAUCAACUGUGGACGGAGCUGGACUUGUAACUUGCACAUAAGGAGGCCGGGAGUUAUCUGGAGACGGCAGCAGAGCCGGUAUCUGUGGCGAUGAAGAUGGCGGAACAGGAGGUGGAGAAGCACGAGGAGGGGAAGACGGUGAUGGACUUGGUGUGGCGCAGGGGCACUCAUUAACUGCAAUGGAAAUCUUUUGCCCAAGACUACAGUAGUUUGAGAUGUUGCACAUGUAGUAGAACACGCCCUUUUCUCGCAAUGGAAUAUUCACUGGACCACUGUUGAAGACCUUCAAGGGCUUGUAAGCUGUGCAGCUAUCAUACUCUUUCUUUGUCACUUGCAGCACAUUGAAACGCCCCGCUUCGAAGUCAAAAACUGCAAACAAAUUAAAUUAAUCGUAACGUUUUCUUGUUCGAUAUCCAAGCAGGGUCUCAUAACAUAACGUACCAAACUGUUUGUAUAUAGAUCUUAUAUUACGUAUGUAUGUAAGUAAGAUCAUUAACGUUUCAAAAUGUUUUGGUAAAGGAAAAUUAAGAGUGUAUGUUUUCAUGAACAAAUUUGUAUCCCAAUAUAUACCGAGAGAGUCGCCGAUCUUGAAGAAAUGGUUAGAAGACCAGUUGGAGUAGUAACCAACAAUUGGAGGUAUGGCCCAGAAUGUGUCUCCGACUGAGUAUCUCACGCCCCCGCUGCCGUUCUGGGAGCAGCCAUAGGAUGGAACAACCAAAACAACCACCAUCACAGCUAAUAUAAUGCAAAACUCCCUCUGCACAGCCAUUGCAGAACACAGAGAGAGAGAGAGAGAGAGAGAGAGAGAGAGAGAGAGAGAGAGAGAGGCUGUUUUCUCUGCGUUUGCAGAGAGCUGUAACAAAUGCAAUGAAAUGGAAGCAACAAUAACAUGCAAAGAGGCCUGUAACGGAUUAUAUAAAGAGGUCAGGAGCGAUUUUCCAUUUUCAGUCAGUCAAUAUUUCUUUGGCAACAUUAUUAAUUUAUUUAUUCUCUGAUUUUCUUUUCUUCUUUGGAAACAGUUUCUUAGCAUUCAUAAUAAACAUUGACCAAAAAAAAACAUUCAUCAUAUACCUAAAGUAUACAAAUAUUGACUUCAUAAAAAAGAAGUACAUAAAUAUUUUCUAUUAUCGUUAUUUAGAAAAUUAAAUAUUUGCUAUAAAUGUUAAUUUAUAGACUCAUUUGAUACAGAUAUAAUGUAGUUCUCAACAAAAGAGGAAAACUUUGACCCCAAUAAAGAAAAAAAAGAAAAAGAAAAGCAACGGUAACAUUAAUGAAAUGGAUAAGAAUGAACUCUAACGGACGAUGUGGAAAUACCAUUAAACAUGAAGAAAAUAAUUUUGGUUCUGCAUAUGGCUGGUUUAACUCAGAAACAACAAACAGUUAUGUUAAUGUGCUAGGGUUCUAAAGAGGCAAUAAUUACCAAGAAAAACGGACAAAAAUUUACGUUGGUGAUCUAAAUUAUCCUUCAAGUUUCCAGCCCUACAACCCUGUUCCUCCAUGUUUAUUAAAUGUGUCAAAUGUACACGGCCGACCUGAGCACAACACACGCAUGAUCCGAUUUAGUAAAGUCCGACACGACAUGACGCGACUCACAUGUUUGGGUGGGCCGGGAUGAGGUAAUUCGGCCAUGCAUGAUUAAAGGCCAUUUAUUAAAUUAUUUUUGUUUUAGAAAAAAAUUAUUAUUAUAUUUAUAUAUUAAAUUCGAGUCUAUUUAUUUUUCUCUAAUAAUAUAUAUAUUUUUAUUUUUUCUUUAUAAAUAAAACAAUGAUUUUAUUUUUCAAUUUUUAAAAUUCAAACAAUAAUCUAGCUAUUUUCUAUAUAAAUGUACUUCAAAUAAAGUUAUUGACAUAUUUUUCUAACAAAUAAUAAAUCUUGUUAAUAUAAAAAUAUGAUAGUGAAUACAAACCUCGUAACCAUCGAGGUGUCAAACAGACCGGGUGUAAAACCCCGUAUUUUAUAUAUAUAAAUAUAUAUAUAUUAUAUUUUGGAGAAUUAAAUAUUUUGUUACAUAUUUAGUUUAUAACUUAUAUAUUUAAAUUGAUUAUAUAUAUAUAUAUAUAUAUUUUAUUAUAUUUAUCUUGGUACGUGUUAUAUUUUCAGAAAUUUUUCUUUUUAGUUAUUAAAAAUAGUAAUAUUAUAAUAAGUAAAUGUUUUGUUUUAGAUAGCCUUAUCUCGUUGUUACUUUUGCAUAUUGAUAAUUGAAUGGCUAAGUUCAAUAGUCUACAAGACACUUUAGACUCACAGGUGUCAUUAUACCUAGAUGACUAAGCUCUAUUUUAGCAUGAGGUGUGGGCGACCUAGUAACAACUAUCUAAACUUGGUGCCAAAUGUUAUCAGCUGCCAUACAUUGGACCAAUUGAAGGAAAGUAGUUGCCGCCUACGUAGUACUAUAAAUAGGGGGCAUUCCAUUUCAUCUUGAAGAGCAUGGCAGGCAUAGUUUGCAUGAGAAAUAAGAGAGGGAAAGAAAGAAAGAGAGUGCUGAUGAAAUUCUUCGAGGAGAAAGAGAGUGUAGCUUGCGUUUUCUUAAACUUUGAGUUAUAGCUUUGGAAUUGAGGUAGGGCGUUUUUUGGGGGUUUUUAAAGGAAUUGAUUUAAUUAAAUUUUGUGAGCAUUAUACUAUGCGUGGUACUGUUUGGUUGGUAUUCUUUGUUAUUAGGUGUUUACAUGUUGUUAAUUAUCAUUAUUUUAUUAAUAUUGACAUGUUCAUAUGUUAUCGGAGAUGGCUGAAAUUCUUGGGUUGAUAAAGAAAGUACAGAAAAUAGGGUAAUGGGAAGGAUCUUUUGUGUAGUUGAAUUUGACCAUAGUAAGGACCAAGUUCAUGCGAGCUUGUGUGCACAGUAGAAUAGGAUAUCGGUGGUAUAAUUGUCGAUUGGGUGAUCUGGGCUUGUAUAUCAAUGGCUUGGACAAGACGACUAGCAAAAGGGGAAUUAUGGGAUGAUUGAGAUGGGACUUAGUUUAUAUAAUGGGGAAUCCAGAAUCAUAGUUGUAAAAUGCAUGGUAUGGAACAUUCGCUUGCCCUAUUAUAUGGAUUAACGGGUUGGGUAGAAUUGAAGCUCAUUCAUGCAUUAUUAUCUUUUAUAUGUUAUUUGAAUGCAUGUCACUUAAUUUAGUAAUACCAAUCUACUGUAGUAAGGUCUCAUGUCCCUACUGAGCGGUGAUUGCUCAUCCCUCACCUUGUUUAAUUUUUUUUCAGAUGAAUUAGUGGGCAAGACAAGGACUAAACCAGUUGAGGCUGAAUCAGAUGAGAGUGAUAGAGCUUUAUUUAUUUUAUUAUAAAGUUGUAAAAUUUUGGGGCUAUUUUUAUAAGGGAAGUUUACUUUAAACGUUUAACCUUGCUUCGGCUUCUUUUUAUUUUUUAUUUUUUAUUUUUUUCUCAUGCACCGAGAGGGGAUUUCCACUGAGCCUCGAGUCCAGGGUGUGACACAGGGUAUGCCUAAACACAACACAAGCACGGACAGACAAAGCACGAUCUGCAUUUUUUAGGCGCGUCGUGACGAGGUUAUUCAACCCAAUGGGCAGGGGCGACUAUAAAAUAGGCCCUAGGUUCUAAAUGCCUACAGGAGGGGUGAAGUAGGCUAUACAGUAAUAACCUACUUUUCAGAUUUUAGGGUUAAUUACAAUUUAGUACCCUGGUUACACCCUUAAGACAUAUUAGUCCCUACCUUUUCAAUUUUUACAAUUAGAUACCCCGGUUUUCUAAAUUUGUUACAAUGUGAUUCCUUUGUUAGGAUUUCUGUCAAAUCUCUUCAUUAGUUACCUACGUGGCAUUAUAGGUCCCACAUUUUUCACAGUUUUUAAUUUUAAAUUGAUCAAAUUUUCUUUUUUUGGGAAAAAAUUGAAUAACAAAAAAGAAAAGAAAAAAUAAUCCUCCGCUAACCAACCCCUCCCCCCCCGCGAUUUUCUUCUCCCCCAAAAGACCCCAGAACCCCAAAAUAAAAUCGUGAUUUUCUUCGAUAGAUGGAAAACACAUCUCUAAUUACCUUAGAGGAAUUUUGAUAUAUGUACAGAAGAACAAGGUUCAAUCCCAGCACUUAAAAGAGAAACACAACCUAAAAGAACUAAGAACUCAGAACCCCAACCUGCAAUGAACCCAGAACCUAGCUCGGACCACUCUGUCUCCAUCCUACUGACCAUGUUGCUCGUCACCCACUCUCUCUCCAUCCGACGAGAUCUGAAGAUCUAUAUCUCUCUCCUCUCUGCUCUCUAUUCUCUCUCUCUCUCUCUCCAAAUUCAAAAACUAACAAAAUUGAAAAAUAAAAAAAAUAAAAUUCAAACAUUGUUUGCAUAUGUGGGUGGGCUGUAAGCGGUGGGUUUAGGGUUUAGGGUUUGUGGGUGAAAAACAUAAUGGGGGAAGAGGGGGGAUGGCUCUGUGGGUUGGUCUCUCAACAACAAAGGAAAAUCGGGGGGAAAGGGAGGGGAUCUGGGUGGUUGCUAGGUUGGGGUUUUGGGUUCAUUGGGGGUUGAAGGGUGGUCGUCAUGGGUGAAAAGGGCGCUGGCUAUAGGGUGGCUAUGGUAUGGGUUUGAGAGUUGGGUGUUGGAGCUUGAGAGAGAGAGAGAGAGUUUUAUUUUUUAAAUUUUUUUAUGUUUUAAAUAUUGUAUUCAUAUUUUAAUCAAUUUAAAAUUCUAAAAAGUGAAAAAUAUGGGAUCCAUAGUGCCACGUAGGCAACUAACGGAGAGAUCUAAUGAAAAUCUUAAUGGCGGAAUCACAUUGUAACAAAUUUAAAACACUGGAGUAUUUAAUUGUAAAAAUUGAGAAGGUAGGGACUAACAUGUUUUAAGGGUGUAACCACAUAAUACUAAACUGUAAUUAACCUUAAAUUUUAAGCCCAACUAAAAAGUAAUAAGCGGAAACAUAAACAUAUACACAACCAUGUUGUUUAAUUACUUAGCAUCUACAGUAAGUAAAUGGAAUUGACUGCAUGAACUGGAUUGACAAAACCGACACCAUGUAAUGGUACAAACAGAAACGUCAUAUUGAUCCAUGUAAGUGUACUAAUGUCAUUUGAACAAGAUGCGACAAGUACAACUAAUCAUAGCAUGAAUUUACAUACACAAUGAUUUGUUAACUCAGAAACCCAACAAGGGAAAAAAUUGGGGGACCAAGCUACUAAGAGAAUCCACUAUCAACGAGAAGUACAAGAUAACAAAGGGGAGUUGAGCUCCAUCUUCACUCAGUAAGCAACUAACUAUCUAACCUUCCAGAAAAUCACUAUCUUUACAUCUCAGUAGCAAGUUCUCUUCCAGUCUUUGCAUGAGCAUUCAGCUCCAAUUGCAACAGAAAAAUCUUCAUGGUUUGGAACAACACCAAGCUCCAAGUUGCAGAAGGAAUAAUGAUAUGAAGUGAGUUGUGGUUUCGCAUAUUCAUCUUUCUUAAUCACAAAUAAUGAUUAAGCUAGACAAAUGAAACCAAGUGUUGUGAUGAUUAAACUAGAAGUAAUGAACUUGAAGCAUAUAGUUUAAAUCUACAUAACAACAAUGAAACAAAAGACUCAGCCGAAAUCAAUGUGAGUAUACUUGGAGGAAUUUUAGGAGUAUGCUAUCAUACUCAUACUCUCAAGUAAUUAACAAUGGCUGAAACAAUAAAAUAGUUUUCGAAUACUCAAGAGCAGAUAUAAAAUGAUUUCAAAAACUAGAACCGGGUCUGCAUCUAAGAUGCAAAUUUUCUGUUUUUACAUGACUAGCAUGAAUGGUUUUUUGAAGAACUUAUAAAAUGAAGCAAGUUCAAAUGAAUAGCUCUACCUCUUCAUUAGAUAUACUUUAGUAUAAAUAGAAAACUUGAUUUGAAUGAAGAGGAUAUAUUUAAGAUCUGAAAACAAAUUUAAUUGACACUAGAAGAUAUUUAAGAUGUAUAAGAUAAAGCAUUCAUAUCUGCUGGAACGAUGAGUUGAAGAUAUUUUAAUAAAAUAAUUUAUAAUAUGCAAGGUGGAUUAAAACAUAAUAUGAAGGAUUGAUAUAGAAUAAAGCAGAACACGAUUUUAAAGCAUGUAUCAAUCCUGCAUGUUAAUUCAUGUGAAUGUAUGCAAUGAAUUUUAACUUUGGAUUGCAAAGAUGAUGCCUUUAAAUAGACUUAAACCAAUACCAAUACAGGAAGGUAAGCAAAAUACAUUGGUUUUGUCAUAAGAGAAGAGCCAAAAUAUAAUCCUUACACUGGCCCAUUUAAAAUUCAUUUAUUAAAUUAUAUUUAUUUUACAAAAGUAAUACAUAACAUUAUUAUAAUUAUAUCUUAAAUUCAAGUUUAUUCUUUUCUCUAAUAUAUAUAUAUAUAUAUAUAUACAUUUAAAAAAAUUUCUUUACAAACAAAAUAAUAAUAUUUUUUUUUCAAGUUUCAAAUUUAAAACCCAAACAAUAUCUAUCGGUUUUCUAUUUAAACAUACUUCAAAUAAAGUUAUUAGCCAUUUUUUCAAAUAAAUAAUAAAUCUUUUUAGUAUAUAGAUGAUUGUAAGAAAGAUUUGAAAUGAAGCUGUAAAAAAAAUAUCCAAAAGAAAAUGCACUAAAUAAGUCAAAGACAAAGGGUUUUCCCUAUUUGUCUUAGUUUUAUUAUGAUUUUCAUCCAACCAUUAGUGGCGGCUGCGGCUCAGCGUCGGAUCUUCACCUGCAUUUCGGCGUCAGAUUUCCACCACCAUCUUUUUUGCAAUUUCUUUAUGUUUGGAAUAAGUUGCAGAGACUCUUUGGGUUCUCUGUGUAGUUUUCACCUCUCUUUUUGUGAGAGUUUUUCAUCUCUCCUUUAUGAGAGCUUUUCAUCUCUCCUUGGUGAGAGUUUUAUUUGUAUUGUUAUGGCUUGGUUUUUUUCAAGCUUUAUCUCUUUUUUAUUAUUCUAAGUUUGCAAUCUUAGUUGGGAUGCCUAUGCCAGAGUUUCUUCGAUCUUGCCUGAUCGUUGGUGGAGACAUACCUGAUUUUCUUAAUUUUGAUAUUAGACCGCUCCGUUAUUGUAAUGGCCCUUUUGUGGCUAUUUUGUAUUGGCCCUUUGUGGCUAGUGACUUUUUUGGCUGAAUUAUGAAUGCACUCAUAGAAUUUCUCAACAACAAAAAAAGUCAAAACUUGGCGUGGGCCCAUAUUAGCCAAUUUAGUGACCUGACACGAGCUCGGCCCUAUCCCAUAUGAGCUAGGGUGGCGGGCUCUAGCCGGACUUGAUGAUUUUCAGAAAUGGAGGGGAUCAACCCAAAAUGGGCCAACACGACCCUUUUGUCACCUUAUGGUGCAGCCCUCUCACCUUGUUUCUCAUCAACUUGUUUAGAAUUGGAUUCGAGGUCCCUUGUUGGUGUCUUUUCUGUGAGCCAAUGUUGGGUACAACAUCUUGAUGGCAAGUUUCAUUUUUCUUCCAAAAUAUUCAUCUUUUACAUUUGACUAUGAUAAGAGUUUAAAUCUUAAAUUCAAUUUGAAUUUGAUAUUGGCUCAUUUUUAACAUAUUCAACUGGUUUCUUUUUGCUUGUGAAUCAAUUAGAAAACACCAACCAAGAAGACGGAUGCCUCUCCUCUGCUCCUCAAAACAUCUAUGUGCACUCUAGGUGCAUUGAUAAAUCUGACAGUUGUUGUUGUAACAGGGAGUGGAUCCGGAUUUGCUUCAAUUGUGGGUCUAAACACGAAACUCAUCUACUACCUAUAUUAUGUGCUUUUUACAAAAGCAAGAUGAAGUGAUUUUGUAUUUGUAUUGCUUUAUAGUCUAAACGACUUCUAGUUUUGACAUUCAUAACAACGUUUGAUGGCAGUUGGUCAAUAGCCAGCAAAUGUUGUUGGAAACAUAAAUGAAGGACAAGCAGUCUGAGGUAAAUGGGCAAAGAUAAAAGGGUUGCGUCAUUUAUUAUUGGGAUGUUGAUCCCAAUACUAAUUGGGGGCAACUCUAUCUAUCCUCAUAGGGGUCGUUUGGUAUGGGGGACUGUCAUAAACUGGAUUAAAUAUUGGUACUGUCUUGGAUUGGCUUGGCUUGACAUAAGCUGGAUAACACUUGUACAGCAUUUGAUGUAUGUUUGAUUGGACUAUGACUUUUUCUUUUUCUUUUUUUGAAAAGUAAGAUUUUUUUUAUAUUUUUUUACUUUUCUUCUCUCUCCAUCUCUUUCUUCUUCUCUGCAUCUCUUUUUUUUCUUUUUUGGACGAACAUCUCUGCAUCUCUUUCUUCUUCUUCCCCUCUACAUCUCUUUCAUCUUCUUCUUCUCCAUUUUCUCUCCUCUUCUUCUGUCUACUUUUCUUUCUUUCUUUUUUUCAAAAAUUUUCUCUCUUCUUCUCUAUUUUUUUCUAAAAUUUUCUCUCAUUUUCUUCUCCAUUUUCUUUCUUCUUCUCUGUUUUUUUCCAAAAAAUUUCUCUUCUAUCUUCUUCUCCAUUUUCUCUCCUCUUCUCUGUUUUCUUUUUCGAAAAUUUUCUAUUCUCUCCUCUUCCUCUUCUGCUCUGUCUUCUCCUUCGUGGGUGGCUGUGGCUGGUGGCUGGUGGCUGGUGGCUGGUGGUUGUAGCUGGUGAUUGUGGUUGGUGGUUGUGGAUGGUGGUUGUGGUUGCUGCUUGGUGGGUCGUUGGUUGUGGAGGGAUUGGGCGUGGUUGCUCAUUGCUUGAGUAGGGACUGUUAGUCCCUCCUCUCUAGACGGGUUUCGCUAAGAACACUUAAGGAGGUGUUUUUGGUGGGGUCCAGUAUUAGUUAAUCCCACUUAAAAUUAGAACCAAGUGAAACAAACAUGGGAUAAAAUUUUAGCCAAGCCAGUCCAAGCUUGCACGGUGUAACAAACAAGCCCAUAGAGGACUAAAGGAGGGAAUGAGGUUUAGUGUGUUAGCCUUCAUUGUGUUACUCAUGGCUACAGUGAUGAAGAGGUAUGUGUCUACUAUCAUCUUUUUCUUUCAAUUUAAUGUGGUUAGGAAUAUAGGUGUCAAACAGAACGGGUCUACCUAAACAUUACACAAGCACGAUCCAAUAAAGUAAGGCUCGACACGACACACCCGUAUUUCUUCUCUAAUAAUAUAUAUCCUAGAAAAUAAGUCUUUUGUGACCAAAAUUAUCAAAGAUGAAAUAGUUUUGGUCACUCAUAUGGUGAUUCUACGACCAAUUUUCACAAUUUGAUCGCAAAUUAUUUUGUAACAUUUCAAAAUAUAAACAUGUAUCAUAAUAAUAAUCGGCAACUGAAAAUGUAUAAAUUAGCGACCAAAAAAUUUAGUUGGAAAAUUGGUAUCUGAGACAAUGUUGCAUUUUUGGUCUCCAAGUGAAUGGCAGGAGACGCAAAAGUGGUGCGGGUAAACCUGUGAAAUAAUGAGACGAAAUAGUUGAUCGCCGAUUGCUAAAAGUUUGGUCGUUGAAUUGUAGUUCCCGCUUAAAUUUUUGGGAGGAUUCAGAGACCAAAAUAUAAGGUCGCAAAUAUAUUCCAAUGACUAAAAUAAAUAAACGAAAACAACGUCGUAUAGACAUUUUGGUGGGCUUUAUGUUUCAAAGGCUAAUAAAUUGGUCCCCCAAUCCAAGUUGAGUAAAAAGGAUCUCGAUGCCUUCAGUCUAUCUUCACCUACAAAAUCAAAACCCAUCUCCUAGUAGAGCUCUCUGACCACCACCCGCACUCUCUCACACUAACAUAAACACAUCUACUUGAAAAUCUAGAUCAACUUGAAGGGGUCUGUGCAUAUUUCAGGUCGUCAUUAGUUCAUAACCCAUUUGUUUUUCUACCUCUUUCAAACUAAACAAUUAUCAAACCAUCAUGUCUUGACCACUAACAGGAGCAAUCCAUUGUGUCUGCAAUCAACCAUCUCUCAUAAAACCAAGCAAACGCCAACUACUACUAUCUAUCCAAAUCUCACCCACCAAAAACUACAUAAGCCAAAUCCCACCCACAUCCAUAAUGUAUGUAACCUGCCCAUUUUUGUUUCUCAAAUAUGUGGAAAUAUUCAUUUUGUAUUCUUGACAAAAAUGUAGAGAGGAGAGCACCCUACAUACAUUAGUAACUGGCAGACCUUGCAUCAAUAUAGGAAUAAGGGCAGCAUAUGGAUCAAUGAGGUUGCUGAGACAAAGAGGUAAAGAUAAAUUAUUAAAUGCCCUAUAAAUUUACUAAUUCACAAAUUUAUUAUACAUACUUUUGACUUAUCACUAAUAUAACUUUAAUUUUCUAUUCCAGAAGUAGAUGGUAGCUGAGUUGGAGAAAAGUGAAACAACAAUUAGCUUCAAGUGCACCUGCUGAGGAUCUUGUCUGCAGAGCUUGGGUUGGAAAGAGCAAGAAUAUGCGGGGUUUGGGUUUUAGUCUUGAAGUGGAGGCUACUUCUCAUACAACUUUUGAAUCUAAUACCACCAACACCUCUCAUGCUUCAAAUAAGAAAGUGGAGGAGUUGUCAGGCAAAGUGGAUAAACUACUUGAUGUCAUUCGGAAGAGGUAAGUGCAUAUCAAAAACUUGCAUAAGAAAGGUAAACAAACCUAUAAAGUUGAUCAUGACAAUGAUGAUGAUGAUGAUGAUGGUGGUGAUGGUGAUGAUGAUGAUGGUGGUGAUGGUGAUGAUGAUGACGAUGAUGAUGGUGCAGAUGGUGAUAAUUUGGAUGAAGAUGGUGUACUGAUUAUGAUGUUUUUUAUAAUCUUGAUGAUAUUGAUGAUGUUGUUAAUUAGUUUAUGUUUUUAACCUCUCGGUUGGUGGUGAUAAUUUUGAUGAGGAAGAUGGUGCAUGCAUUAGUUAUGAUAUUUUUUAUGGUCUUGAUGACAUAAAUGCCUAAUUUUCUCCUCUGUUGAUUGAAUGUAUUAUUAGCACAUAGAACAAAUUAUAUGUGCUAAAUUUAUAUUUCAAAUGAACAGGUUUCAUAUAUUCUUAAGACAAUGAACAAAUUCUAUAUUACAUCCUGCUCGUUGCCCAGAAGCCUUUACUUGAGCAUUGUACAAGUGCUUAAGGCUCCUUGGGGCCAUGGCAACAAACAACUUUUUUUAUUUUAUAUAAGGCAAGGUCAAAAAGUGACAUGGUGAAGUGACAGUCCUAUGGGUGAAAGCACCAUUACUAUGGAAAAACACAGUAAAAUAGACUCUUUAUCUUUUUUUCUUUCUACGUUAGGAGUCAAAUGGAAGUUAAAAAUAUAUUUAAAGCACUAGAACUUUUAUAUGAGGUUUUUAGCAUGUAACUAAACUUUUUUUAAUUAACAAAAUAUGUUACAAAAGGCAACCAAAUUUGGUACUUGAGCUACCUAAAAAGAAUGGUCGCCAAACAAGAAUGGCUACCAUCAUUAUGCAUUCGUCGCAAAGUUCUGAAAUGAUCAAGAAAUUUUGAGUAAUUAUCGCCAAAUAUAGAAGCUAUUGGCAACCAAAUAUUUUCCUAUUUCUGACAAAGACAAGUCGUCGCCUUACCUGUUUUGCGACGACUCGGUAUUCUUUAGUCACCAAAAAUUUAAAAUUACGUGCCAAUUAGGCAAGACAUUAGAGACCACGAUUUUGAAAAUCUGUGACAAGAAUAAUUGGUCGUAAGUUAUGAUGCGUCACCAAAAUUUUAGUUUCAUUGCCAAAUCGUUUCAGCCACAGUUUUGCUGAUGACCUAAGCGACCAAACUUUAUGUCGCUGUAAGUUUCCAACGACCAAAUUUUAACUUUUAGCGAUGAGAAGUGGUGGUCACCAAAAGGAUCUGUCCUUGUAGGGUAUUUACAUUAAAAUCUAAUGUUUUCUUAUAAACAAAAUAAUUAUUUUGUUUUUCAAGUUUCAAAUUUAAAACCCAAACAGUAAUCUAGCCAUUUUAUAUUUAAAUGUAGGCUUAAAUGUCAAAAUAGUCCCUGUGUUUUAACCAUUUGGCCAAUUUAAUCCCUGUGUUUUUAAUUUGGCCGAUUUAGUCCUUGUGUUUUCCUCCGUUAGCUAAUAUUGUCCAUUCCGUUAAAUUAUUAUUUAAAUAAAAUUUUAAAAAUUAAUAAAAACUGUAAUUGUUUUAAAUUAAAAAAAAAUUACAAGUUCACUUUAAUGAUUAACAAAAUAAAGGCCUGCAAGCCUCAAAUUCUCCGAUUGAUCACCACCGAUUCAACCCUCUAAUAAAAAGUUCUCCGAUUUGCAUCAACGCUGCCAAUCUCUUCUACAUGCCCGUAAUACAAUCCAUGGGGUGGAUAAAAACAUUAGCAAGAGUAAAAGGGCCUCGACAGUCAUGAAAAGAAGGAUGAACAAGAACAAAUGGAUUGUUGGCUCUUGCAAUCAUGCUUAUCCUUUAUCUUAUUAAGCUUACCUGCUAGCCUACUGCUGCACUGCCUUGUGCUUAUUUUUGUUUUUCUUAACAAAAAGAUUAACAAAAUUUGAAAAAAUUGGAAACCCAACGUCUAAACCCUCUUCUUCUCUCCAGCAACCAACACCAAACCACCAUGAGCGAUCCCACCCAGCCACUUCCCCCCUGGAAUGUGGUGGGUGGCUGGUCUUUCAUUUUUAAAUUUUAAUUUAUUUUUUUAUUAAAUAAUUAGAUAUUUUUAAUUAGUUUAAAUAACAUUUAUGAAUUUUUUAAACAAUAAUUUAACGGAAUAGACAACAUUGACUAACGGAGUAAAACACAAGGACUAAAUCGACCAAAUUAAAAAUACGGGGACUAAAUUGGCCAAAUGAAUAAAACACAGGGACCAUUUUAAUAUUUAAGCCUUAAAUGUACUUCAAAUAAAGUUAUUGGUCUAUUUUCCCAACAAAUAAUAACUCUUGUUAAUAUAUUCAUAAUUGUAAAUCUCCUCUCUCGAUUUCACUGCCUCAUUCCUCUUGGAUAUGGCGAGGAUCUCUCUCUGUCUCACUCAUAACAUCAUUUUUCUCAGAUCUCAUCAAGUCCUCAGUUUUCUAGGUAUGAAAUAUCUUAGUGAAAUUUGGUAUUUUGACAGUUUUUUUUUUUCUCUAUUACAUAAUCUAUUGCAAUGCAAUUUAUUUAUUUUUUAUGCAAAUUUUUCCUUCUUGUUUUUCUUCGGUUUCUUCCUACUUUUCACUUACAGUAUUUUGCAGCAAUUACUGGUUAGUUGUUAUAUUAUUUUGCCAUUAGUGUCAUCCCUUCUUUCGAUUUGCUACUUUUGAUUAAAAUAGCUUUUUGUUUGGUCUUGGUGCUAUCUAUUUUCUUUUGCCUAAAUUUGCUGCCUGUUAUAAUUUUCUAGCUUUGUAUUUAACUUGUUUUCCAGCUUCUUGGUUUUGGUAUUCUAUUGUUUAGGAGAUGUUUUGUGCAUAAUCUAUUUGUCAUGCCAUUUCGGUGUUGUGGGUGUUCUGACUUCGAAAGUCUAUGAUGUUCCGACUUUGGAGCUCUCGGACCUUGCCUCCAUCAGCCCAUACUUCAUCUUCUCCCUAUAAAUACAAGACCCCUAGCAACAUUCAAAGGGUUCCCGACCAACCAAGCCUCCCAUGGAGCAACUUAUCUUUUCCUGUCAUUUAUCUUCAUGUCAUGCACUUUCAAUAUCUUUAAAUGUUUUCCUAAGAGUAGUGGUAAAGUUAAUCCUUUCAUCCAUCAAUAUAUCAUACGACCCUUGAUUUUCAAGGCACCGGAGCACCAUAUUGGUUACUAUUCCGUCCACCUCAUAUAUCAUACAACCUUUGCAAUCUAGCGAGACGUUGGAGCACCAUCCAUAUCCACCAACCCCAAUCAACAGCCUUGUAGCCGAGGCCGUGAAUCUGACGGUCGAAAACUGUUCCUUUCCCAACCACAAUCGCUUUGAGCGAAGUCAGAUCAAACAGGUUCAGUCAAUCCAUCCAUCCAUGCAUCCAUCCAUCUUCAUCCUCAUUAAAUGCACGGUAGACCGUGCUAGCACGCCCGCGGACACCCUAUCCAACACAAAGUAUGACGACUUGUGUGGGGGCAUAUCCCCUCAACCAGGAACGCCAGGCCGUAAGAUUUGCGCAGCCAACACUUGUAUUUAUGUUUUGUCAUAAAUUUCUUUAAAUGUUUGUUGUUAUUCUCAUUUUUCUUAAAACCCAACCACGUGCAGGUCACAUGACAAAAACUUAGAUGAACAUCCAAAAAAUUGACGACAAAAUAGUUGAAGUCCUUAAUUUAUCAAAAAAAAUAGUUCAUGAAGGAAAUUAAUAAUUAUGGUAUAGUUCAGGGGGCAAAACAACAGUUUAGUCUUAUCAAAAUAGCAUAGAAUUGUAAGAAAAAUUAUAUGCGAAACAUAUCUAUCAUGUAACUCAAAACACAAUGGUCAAUAGAAAUAAAUUGUAGCACAUAUUUCACUUCUCAUAAAUUGUCCAUUAACAUAAAUGUUCACCUUUAUCGAGCUUUUGACAUGAUCACUCUAUUAAUUUAAAUUUAUCUCUUUAUUUAAAUUCAGAUUUAUUAGUAAGCCGAAUUAAUAUUCAAAUCACAUUAUUAACCCAAUCUAGAUCCUUUAACCGAAUCCAAAUCUUAGUCCCAAUUAGGAUAGGGUUGUUGAUCUUAUUCCCAUUAAUUAUUUAAUCUAUUCCUUUUCUUUUUAUUUUCAUUACUUCUAAGUAAACAUGCCAUUAAUAUCCAAUGCCUUAGUUCCAAUCUAUGCCAACCAAGUAAAAACUCUAGCCCCACUCUUUUCUUUUUGGUGAAACUUAACUCUUCGUUUUGUUGUGCCUCAUUAUUUCUUUCUUCUUUUGCUCUUUCUUCGUCUUUCCCUCUUUUUUAUCUUUUGCAUGAUUCGACAAAUCAAUGGCCAGCUUACAUCACCAAUUGGACUAAACCGAAUCAUACCCACCCCUAAUCGACCGACCUAAAAUAAUCUAAUAUGAAGUUAACCUAAGCCCGACAAAGCCUGCAUCUAUUCAGACACAUAGUAUUUUGGACAUAUAUCGAUGUUUUUCCAAUAAGCCCAAUUAAACCCAACCCAAAUCCUAAUUCAUUCAAAAACCUCAAUGUUUUAUACUUUUUUUUAUUAGUCUGUAAUUUACAAAGCUAAUUGUGAGCAUGGAACAUUUUGGUAAAGUCAUUUUGGGGCUACAUGAGUUUUGAUGUCAUUGUGGGCUCAAAAUGGUGAUAAGUAAGGAGAUUUGGUAAAAGUCCUUGAGUCUCCUAACACUUUUCUUACGUUUACUCCUUUAGUCACCGGAAGGUCUUUCACACAGCCCGCCCUUUGAUUUUCAAAAUGCAAGGUCCCAUAGAUAUAAUUCCAAUUGCGGAAGACCAAAUUUUAGGAGUCUCUGACAUCUCUGAAAUCUAGUACACUUUCUUACCAAAAGUAUCUUGAUAUCCAAUUGUCUGGAUAAGUAGCCAUUAAAUUAAUCUUCUACCAAAAUUCCCGACAAGAACAACAACCAUUCUUGAAAUGGUGGAACCUAUUAGUAUCCCUGACAAUGAUUUCCUUCCCUGUACAAGAUGAUGCAAACUUCAUAAAAGAAUGGCAAUCACCACAAAUCCUAAGAUUCUUCAUGAUCCUGAUAGAUGCAUUUGAAGGUAAGCACAUCAGCCCCAAAGUAAGAGCAAGUUUCUCGCUAUGGUGCCUCAACAGUUCAUGUUUUCUGUUCUCUCCCACAUAAUGAAGGUCAUGUUCAGUCUCAGCCUUAUAGCCCAUAAUCUUCAACUCUUCGAUCAAACAAUCCAAUUUUGAGUAUAUCUCAGCAAUUCUAGCAUGCUUUCUCUCUCCAACCAUAAAUGAGUGAACUUUGUCCUUGAUUUCGAUCCAACUCUUCCCUCUCUCCUUCUUCAACUCACUUUCUUUAAGAAGUUUCCUUAUUCUUGCAACUUCAUCCCAUUUCUUAUUUGCUGCAUAAAUGUUUGACAGCAGAAUAUGGUUUCCGGCAUUAUUAGGUUCUAUCUCAGACAAAUGCUUAGCUGCUACCUCAGCCAAGUGAAGUUUUCCAUAGAUCCUACAAGAAGCCAACAGUGAACCCCACAUGGAAGCAGUAGCAUCAAAUGGCAUUUCCUCUAUCAAAUUAUAGGCUUCAAGCAACAACCCUGAACGACCAAAAAGAUCAACCAUGCAUGAAUAGUGAACAACAUUAGGUGACACAUUGUGUUCUGUUAUCAUGAGGUUGAAGUAUUUCCUUGCACUUUCAACCAAUCCCAUAUGACUACAAGCAGUUAAUACAGAAACAUGCGUUACUUCACUUGGGAACAUACCCAUCUGCUGCAUUUUCUCAAAUAAGAUCAUCACCUCUAGGGAGCAAGCAUGUCUAGCAAACCCAGAAAUCAUGGUAUUCCAUAACACAGUGUUUGUCUCGUCCAUAUCUCGAAACACAUGGUAAGCUUCUUUAAUGCUACCACAUUUUGCAUACAUGUCUAUAAGAGAGGAAACAAUAAAUUUAUUCAAACCAAAUCCAGUUUUACAUAACACGGCAUGCACCUGCUUCCCUUCAAUAAGAGCUGCCAGACCUGCACAAGCACAAAUAGCAGAAGAAAUUGUAAACUGGUUCUGUUUUAACCCAAUCAUUUUAGCUCUACGGAAGAACAUCAAAGCCUCCUCAUAAAGCUCAUUUUGAACAUACCCGGCUACCAUCGAACUCCAAGUAACCUCACUCCUCUCUGGCAGAGACGCAAACACACUGCUUGCAUCCUUUAUCAAACCAGACUUUGCAUAAACGUCAAGCAAUGCAGUUCCCACAUAGACAUUUAAAUUCAUUGCUAACUUAACAGCAAGAGCGUGCAGUUGUUUACACUCAAAAACAGCACAUUUCGCAGCACAAGCACAAAGAACACUCGAAACAGUGAAUUCACUAAAAUGGUUCGCUUCUCUUCGCAUCUGCAAGAAAAGACCAAGAGCUUUCUCUUCCUCCCCACUCUGGGUAAGUGACCCAAUCAUCGUGUUCCAUGAAACUAAGCUUCUUUCAGGCAUUUCAUCAAAAACUUUGCCAGCACAAUCAACUAAACUGCAUUUAGAAUACAUGUUGAUGAGCAUGUUAGAUGUUAAAGUGUCUGCUUGCAAUCCAACACGUAUGAUCUGUCCAUGGCAGGCCUUACCUUCCAUGGGUGCACCUGUUCUUGCACAGCUUUGCAAGAUUUGAUGCAGAAGUGGAGUAUUAGUGUCCCUUGCCUCCACCAAAACAAGGCAUUCUUGGGGUCUGGGUCUGUCAGUUCUAACGACCCUGGUGAUGGCUGAGAACUUUCUGUGAUAGUUUUGAGCAGUGUUAUAGAUUCCCUCCUUGUUUCUUCUCAAGGUUUUCAUAUCAGCGCUUGCACUGCAAUCUGCAACAUGGUUAAAGCUUUAGAAAUAGUGAUGGAAAUCGUCGUAUUCUAUAGCAAAGGCUCAAGCAAGGACCGCAAAGGCCCAACCCAAGCGCGGCUUGGGCUCAAUGGCUUAUUUUCAUUUUUCGAGAAUGUACUGGCUCAAUUGUCAAGAACAUUCAAAUUAAUUUUGAGAAUAAUUUAACAGUAUUAAAUUAUUUAUAUUAUAUUAAAUUACUUUAAGAUUUAAAUUUAAUAGUUAAUUUACACAAUUAUUCACAUCUGAAGAUUAUUGUAAAAAUAGUUUUAAUUAUUUAAAUCAUUUUAAAUACUUGCAAAACUAUUUAACUUAAUUAUGUUAUUAAAAUGAAACGUAAUUAACUUAAAAUCUCAACCGGAUUUCCAUUGCUGGAAAAAUGAACAUAUGUAAUGCUUACCCUACUUUUGGUGUAGAUAACAUACAUGUUGAUGACUUAGACUAGGUUAAUUGGUGCCGUACGCUACUUAUCAACCUAAACUUUAUUAUGUUUCUUUGACUGACUUAAAAGACUCAUUUUUGUAUUUCCUACACUCAAUUAGUGUUGUUGAACUAAUGAAACCUUUCAUUUCUAUUUGAACCUAUUUAGGUCUGGUCGAGUACUUACAUUAGUUAGGGUUGAGUUUUUUAUGCUCCUGUAUUUGUUAAACAUAAACACGGUUACAUGUUACUACGUAAAUAUGUUAAGUAAAUUCUUUGGCGAAGGUCGAACCAAUUAUCCUCCGGCGAGUAACUCUGCACGAAGUUAAACCUCCGGCGAAUAACUCUGCAUGCAGUUAAACAAAAGGAGAUACAGAAAGAAGCUUCAUAGCACAGAUAUUCUAGUCUGCAGAACCAAGUUCGAGAACUUUACAAAAGAUUCCCACCACUUUAUAGAAUUGAUAAUGCAACAAGUAAAUCUGUCCACGGAGAACUGAUCAUUGAAAUGAGCACACACCAAAACUUUCUACUUAUUUGGUCUCCAUAAAGGCAAUUGAUGAAAGAAUAAAGUUAAAGCAUUAGACAAACCUUGAAUAUAGAUAUGGGCUUAAGAAGUACCCAAGCUUAGGAAAAAAUGCCUGAAAAAGGCUUAAGAAGUACCUAAAACUAAAAAUAAGCCUUUCAAAAAGGCACAAAUUCUGAUCAUCACAAACCAAGGUAAAGGAACAAUCAUGUAAGUAGAAGCUUUACAGACUCUUCCUUACCCAAAAAACAAAAAAGAAAGAAGAGAAAAAACAAUGAAAGCCCAGUUGCUGAUUGAAACUGAAAAUGAUUUUUCAAAACAAAAUGAGAUAGAGAAAAUAGGAAAUUAAUACCAUAGAUUUUUUUUCUAGUGGUGGUAAAAAGGAAGAAUUCUAGGGAGAAUAUUGUGACUAUGCGAGCACAAACAGUAUGUAGAAGUUAGAAAAAAAAGAAUUCCCCCAAAAAAGCAAUCAGAAAAACCUUGGCAGGCAACUUCAUCUUAUGAGUUAUAACAGAGCACUGUUACAUUAACUAGCUAAACUCACACGUCUAUGAACUCCAAAUUGAACAUUGAAAUCAAAAUAGUAAAUGUGACAACGAGAUAUUAACUUGAGAAGGAGACUGACUACUUGCUGUAGACAGUGGUCUAAAAGAGGAUUGGACAGGUCUAUGUGGAUGUUGUACACAACAGCAACAGAACAAAACCACAAAUUGUUCAUAGAUAUUCCUGUAGACUACGAGUGGUGAAGGACAUAGUGUUCAUAGAUCAAUUUGUGCAGAGAUUCACAGAGUACACAAAAAAGGAUCCUUUCCUUAAUUUAAAUCACAAAUUCAUCCAUGAGCAAUAUAAAGGCUUCCACAUUUUUUUAUAUAAAUAAAUCAGAGCCUGGAAAUGCAGGACCUAUCCAGCAAGAUGUCUAUUGUGCAAAGAUCCACUGGCAACUAAUAACAACUGUGACUCUGACACACUUUGAUUUCUAAGUUACAGAUGCCUAAAAAACAAAAAGCUCUAUGCAAAUGAAAGCCCCAAACCACCAGUGUUCAUGAAGACACUUAUAAAUGCACAAACAGUCGUGCCUUUUGCAAAACAGCCACAUCUGGUAGAUUAGGAAUCAUUAAGGCAAACACUAGCUAGCAUAACAGAGGUAAUGUUUGUGCAAAUAAUCUCACGGGAGAAUAUUCGCUUCUAGAUCCCUCAACCUUCGACCUUCCUUCUCUCUCUUCCUCAUUUCCUGUAAAAAAGAUUGAAGUAAAUAGACCACACCCGGGGUGUCGGCCAAAGGCCCUCCGAUGCCUAAGUUAAUUCGAGUGUUUGUAGGAAAACAUAAGCAAAGGGUACGGAAUUGUAUGUAUGGUGUGAACCGGGCGGCCGGAGCCGUGUGUGGUGGCCGGAGCUGUGUGGAGAAAAUAUGGAGAGUGGAGAGGGAGAGAGAGCUUCAGGUAUUUUUCUCGGGUAUUAGGAGUAGGUUUAGAUAUACCUUGAAUGAUGAAUGAGGUUGUCUAUUUAUAGGAGCCUCGGGGCUAGGGUUUUGUAGAGAAUAUGCUGAGUUUAUUCUCUAUCUAAAUUCAUAGGGAUCGAGUCGAACUUAAAUAAUAUCUGAAUAAAUGAUAUUAUCUCCUUUUAUGAAGAUAAUAUCUGAAUUAAUGAUAUUAUCUUCUCUUUAUUAAGAUAAUAUUCAAAUUAAUGAUAUUAUCUUAUUAAAUUAAGAUAAUAUCAUAUUAAUUAAGAUAUUUAUCCCAAUUAAUUAAUUAGCCAGAUAAACUGGUUCAAUUAAUUAAUUAAAGAGAUAAUCUUCUUUUCCACGUGGCGUGCUGUGAUUGGAGACAAAAAUAUUUGCUCCCACAAGUAAGAUUGCUAUGAAACAAAUUAAACGUAAAGAUGCAUAACAAUCACAAAUCAGUAACAGAACAAGAAACCCAAAGCUCUAAAACACAAAAGCAAUCCAAAUAUGAAGUACCCACAACAUAAAAUAGUCCAAAACACCAAAUCAAACACCACCAAACAUUCGAAAUCAAAGAUUUCUUACCUUUGAUGAAAGCCCAGUGAGAUCUAAGAGUGAGAAGAGGAUAUAAGCGAGACUGAGGCAGUGAGAUCGAGAAUGGGUGGUGGAGGCGAAGAUAGUUGAGAGAGUGAGUGUGAAAAAAAAAAAAUUGAAAUUGAAAUAUGGAAUUGAUUUUUGGGAGUUUUCAAAAUUCUAUAAAACUAAAAAUUCAAAUUAGUUAUUAGAGCAUCUCUAACUGGGUGUGGCAUGAUCUGGAUUGGAUUGGUUUCACUUUAACACCGUAGCUAGAGGUGGGCAUCUAAAACCGAAAUACCAAAACCGUACACUAACUAUACCGAUUUCAUACUGUUUCAUUUGAGAUUGAGAGAUAAUCGGUACCAUAUUGUACCGUACCAAUAGAGUAUGGUAUGGUAGCGGUAUCAAAUAUUUGGUACCGGUCAAUACCGUAUCGUACCGAAAUAUAAACAUGUUCAAAUAGAAACAUAUAGUUGUUGUGAUGAACUGUGAAGGAAGGAAGGAGAUUUUCCAAAAUCCCGUUUUGCAAAUUUGUACAGAUAAAAAAGAAGAAUUUCCUGAGGUUGCUGGGGAUUUGAGUAGCUAUUGUUUACUUUCUCUAAUCAAUGUCUAUGAAUUGUAAUUUUCUUUUUGCAUCUUCUGUCAAAUUUUCUCGAAUAAUCAUAUCUGUAAAUUCAUUUUCAUGGCUUAAUUAAUGUAAAUUUCAUUUCCUCAAUUUUUGUUUUCCCCAUUUCUGCAAUUGAGUUGGUUUUUUUCCCCCAUAACUAAUGUCUUGCACAUAUAAGAAAAUGUUGUAAUUUAAUAUGGGUAGCCAACAUUAUGAUGAAAAAAGUUGUGUUUUGUCUUCAAGCUUCAAUCUGAAGCUUUGGAUUCUCAAGGCAUAUCAUAUGAAUGAAUUAUGAAAUUUAGUAGCUAUUUUUAUUGUCUUAUUCAUUCCGUCUUGCAUUUUUUAGUUGUGUCAUUUUCGUACCGAAAUGGUACCGAUACUGUACGAAUAUCGAUUUGGCAUGGUACGGUACAGUACCAACUUUGGCAAACGAUAAUCCAUACCGUACCAUACCGGUUUUAAAUUCCGGAAUCAGUAGCCGUACGAGCUCAAUACCGUAUCAUGCCCACUCCUAACCGUGGCCAAAUCAAUUACAAUAUAAUAGUUUGGUUUAAUUUAGUUUUGACAAAGCCAUGAAUGAAACUGAACCAAAUCAAACCAAUUUAAGACGAUUUGGUUUGAUACGGUUCGGCCGAUUUGGGCUUAAGCCCAAUUCUCCUUUCUUUUGCAUUUUUUUUCAGCAUUGUUAGUCCAAUUACAACCAACAAAUUCACAACUUGCUCCAUACUUGAAUCAUUUUCUAGAGUACGAAAUCAUCCUAAAGCUCAACAUGUCAUAAAACUUCAAAUUCCAAUAACUAAUAUAGCUCAAAUCAAAUAUCCAUAUAUAGUUAUUACCUAAUUAAAGUAUUACAAAUGUAAAAUAAAAUAUAAAUAAAUAAAUAUACACAUAGACGGUCCGGCUUUGUUUAGGCCAAUUCACAAAAGUUGAAAACAAAACAAAACAAAACCAUAUACGGUUCAGUUUGGUUUGGUUUUUAAAGUGUUUAACUUUUUGUUAAUUAAAACCAAACCAAACCAAUCGGUUCUAUUGGUUCUAUUAGUUCUGCUGGAUUGAUGCCCAACCCUAUCUCUAACCAAUAUGUCAAAUUGCCAUGUGCACAUAAAUGAUAAAAAAAAAUAUAUAGGUUAUAGUUACUCUAACUAAAUAGUAAAAUCCUACAUAAAUUUAAAGGUUGUGAGAGAUAUUUAGAAAAUAACAUAUCAAAAAACUUAAUGUCAAAUUUUAUUUUAAUAUUUUUCAGCCAUGAACCCCAUUAUCAAUUACUCUCUUUUAAAACUUUAUAUACAUCAUAUGGACUCCAUUUGUUUUUAAAAAUAUAAUAAAAUAAUACAAUAUUUGGCAUUUCGGGUGACUUAAUUUUUUUCAUAAGUGUUAAAUUGCCAAAUAAGUCAUAAAAUUCUAUUUAACAUUUUGCAUUUGACAUCUCCCUUUGAGAUGCUCUCAAACAAAUUUUCAGUUUUCAAUUUUCAAAAAAAAGUGAAAAUAAAAAAAACCAAAAACUGAAAAUGAAAUGGUUACCAAAUAGCCCCAUAAAUAAGUUAACAUAAGCCCUAUUAACUAGUGAACAUCUUAAAUAAACCCAUAUUAAUAAUCUAGAGAUGUCAUAUUAGGGAUUUUGACACAAAUUUACCAUAUCCCGAGAAUAUGACAUAGAGUAUUGAAUUAGAGAAGGAUCGAAUUGCAUUGUAAUCACAAACUGACUAGGUUCUCUAAAUGAAUUCAUUUUAGCUUAGAUAGCCCUGUAAGGACUAAUUAUAAUUAGCAUUCGCCAAUAGGGAGAAUUGUAUGGAGGGAUACAAUUUACACUUGAUUCAAAGUGAAUCAUUCAUACCCACUACCUCGCUAAUUAGAACCUAUAAGAUCACACACAGAAAAGGAAUCGAUUGGGAAAUUAAGAAGAGAAUGAAUGAUUUUGUGACUUGGUCAAAGUCAAUGUGAAAGUCAAAGGUCGAAGUCAAAAGUCAAAGGUCAAACGGUUGACCCAACACUUGACACGAUCAACUAAGGAUGACGGGGACCAAUACUUGUUAGACAAGUGAGAGAUUAAAUUAGUUAAGUCACUAGAGUAAUUAAAUUGAUUAGACUAAUUUAAUUAUUCAAUUAAAGUUAUGAAACUUUAAUUUAAAGGUCUCAUAUGACUUGGAAAUUCAAAAGAGAUUUGACCAUAUGGACUUAAGCACAUAUGUGACACAUUAUAGGAUUAAUGUGUUGGACCAAGAUAGCACAAAAUAUGACACACAAGGGGAGUGCAGCUAGACUAGGGCAUGAGAGUAUUUUUGUCACUCUUGUGACAUUUUUGAUCAUAUAAGCGUGUAGCUAUGGUAUCCUAUCAUCUUAGGGGGUUUUCAAGUUGAUGAAAUUGGAAUAGGAGAAACAUCAUGCUCUCUCUCCCUAACCCCUUGAACCGGUCACAUCAAGUGAGGGUGCUAUCACCACUCUUCACUUGUUGUCUACUCAAUCUCUCAUCCCAUUCAAACCUUAGUGAAGAGCUUUGGGGAGGUACAUAUCUUUGUACCUAUUUGGAGAACUACAAGGUGGAGAAUCAACAUCAAAGGGAGAGCCAACAACAAAAGGAUCACCCCUUCUACUUGAACAUCAUUCUUGGUUUCAAGAUUCGCUCCAAGGGUAUGAACAUCUUAUCUUUCUUUCAAAUAGGAUUUUGAGAGUCUUUGAUGCACACUUUCAUAGACUUAUAAAAAUUGGAACUAAAUGAGACUUGUAUGAAUCCCUAGUUUAUUUAAUCCUUCCGCUCUUACUUUGAUUUCAUAUUAUAUAUGACAUGCUAAGUGAUUUAUACUCUCAAAGUUUGGUUGUAGAAUUUUUAGAAAUCUCAACACAACACCAUUCUCACAACAUUCUCCUAGAUUAGGCUGAGCAGAGAAUCGUUGAUCGAGUAGACCAAGGACUCGCAGGUUGGUCACCAGGUCGUUUGGUAUUUUCUUGAUCAUUAGUGAGAAAAUGUAAUUAGCGGGCAUAAUAAAGCAUGAUUAUAUGCAAACUAUAAUAUCACUUGUGCCUUGAUAAAAUAAUAAAAUAAUAAAAUAAGGCAUGCUUUAUAAUUCCAUGAUAAAAUAUUAAUUGUUAAUGUCUAUUAAGAACAUACACUAAGUCUAACAAAUAUUUUGUCCAAAAAAAAAAAAAAAAGUCUAACAAAUAUUAAAUAAUAAUAUUUAUUAAGAAAGUGAAUUAAUUCAAAAUUAAAUAUUAAACAUUAUUGUUUGUUAGAGGAAUUGUAAAAUCGGGAAGUGUGGAGGAGAGAGAAAGCUUAAUUGUGUAUUUGAAAGCUGGCCAUAGGGGAAGUUGUCAGCAGCUGGAAUUUAGUCGCCAUUGUUGGGACGAAGAGGCUGGAUGUCACUGGAGAUCGAAAAUCCGAGUCCCCUGGUUCGAUUAGAGGUCGCGGGUCACGAGGGGACGAGCAUAAUGGCCUCUUCUGAGCUGGGCAGUUAUGGCGAAACUACAGUCGGCGUGUCAGUGACUUUUCCAGAUGCGAAUGGUGUUGUCCUGGCUGGGUUUUGCAAAUCAGAGCUGGAUGAUUCUGAUGGCGUCGGUGGUGUAUCGAAAUGGCAGCAGGAAGGUCCCCGCUCGAAGCUAAGCCGAGACCUCCAUCUUUUACAGCGUUGCGCCUGGUGAUUUUCGGCAUCAAACAGGUGAGCUUGCCCCGACGUUUACUGUUAGGAUGUCGACGAACGUGACAGUGCCGUCGGUGUGGCCAGGCGAUGAGAAGAAGUCACCGAUUUGUGAAUGGCAGCGGAUGUGGAGAAUUUCGUCGAGGCCUGGGGCUAGCUUCCUGCAGCUAUGGGCUACGUGAGCCGUCGGGAUUGGAGAUCGAAGACUGGUGUUCAUGGUAGGACAAACCCAAUCGCAUUUUGCUGGCGAUGAUGCGUUGGCGGCAAAUUGGGAAGCCAUGGGUGCUAGAGAGAAUCCUUUUGGUUUCCUUUUUUUUUAAUCACAGAAAGGAAAACGAUCAUGGUGCCUAGAGAAAUUCUUGCCAACAUGCAAACAUGCAGUAGUUGUAUUGGCCGUGUUCUUCGUGGUGGGGCCUCUCACCAUGGUUAUUUGAGGGUUUCAGAUGAAACAGAUGAUGGAAAGAAAACUGAUUUCCCUUGAUUUGGAUCCGAGAGCAUCACAUUGAGUUGUUGGAAUUUUAAAAGGUUUUAAAAAUUUAACCAUUCUAUUUAUUUAAUUAUCUUGGCUGUUUUAUUUUAUUUAUUGUGGGGUUCUAAAUAUUUAAUAUUCAGGUUUUAUUUUUUGUUGGUGAACCCUUUAAUUAUUUGGUUGGUGAACUUUUAUGGUCAGUGAAGGUUACAUGUUUUUGGAUGCCUAUAAAAGGUCACUCCUCCUUCACAUUUGAAUACACACAAAAACACACAAUAACACACAAGACAUGAUCAGAAUAUCACAUACACACUCUAAUUCUCUCCUUUUCUACUUUUACAUAUAUUCUCUACUUUAUUAUUAUUAUUUUGAGCAAUGGUUAUGUGACUUGGAUACCUAUAUCUGUCUGUGAACGUGCUCAUAGCAGAUCUUGAGUUUGUGUAUAAGGGGUCGUAUCUUGGAGUCUUGUAGACCGUCAGUACCUGCACGUAGGGAGGCUACAAAGGCUUUAGGACAGCGUCUUUGACGUGCUUCACCGUACCAAACUCACCUUCUUACUUAUUAUUUAUUUUCCUUUUACUUACCUAUUAUUUUGUUUUCUUCAUUUUUUUUUAUACCUUCAAAGCUUUCCAAUUUGUUUAUAUAUUUUUUAUAAUAUAAAUAUUGUAUUUGGCUUUACGGAAAGAGGAAAACUAUUAUUUUUUAUAACAAUUUAAAGCCUUUGUAGUUAAAGUUGUUUUCUUCCCGUAUUCCUAGCUUUAAUAUCUUUUAACUCUUUAACUAAAGCUUUUGCAUUUGUAUUGGAUUUUCAAAAUGGAAAUUAUGAUUUAUUUUGGGUAGAUGCAGUUUGAAGCUUUCAUAUUGUCUAUACAAUUUCAACUACUUUAAAUAUUGUUGGUACAUUUAUAUGUUUAUAAUUUGUUGCUAAAGUUUGGGAAAUUACUGCUAGUGUUUGACAAUAAAACCUAUAGACUAAUUUAUGUGGUAUUAUUAUUAUAGCUCAACGUAUUAUUAUUUUAUGUGGUGUGUCCGUUUUCUACAGCACAAUUGUUUUUAAAAUACAUUUCAGAAUCUUUAAAAUGUUAAUAGCAUUCAAAAGCUAAUUAAUGACCAUUGAAAUAAUGAAUAUAUAUAUUGAAGUGACCUACAUUUUUCUAAGUUACUGUUUGUUUUAAAUAGCUUGUAUUGUUUCAUUACCGAUUACUCAAUUAUUACUCAUUAAUUAAUUUGCGGUGAAACAUCCAAUGUUAAAUGGUUGAAGUAUUUAAAACCGAAACGUUGAAGUGUUUCAAAAUCUUUGGUCUAUUUUUCCUUUUAAUUGAAAUUUCAAAGCAAGUAUAUAUAUAUUUUUAGAACAAGUAUAUAUAUUUGAUUUUAUUGUGUUGGGCCUUUUUACAUUUGCCUUCAUUCAUUUUGGUUGCCAUCAAUCUUCCUUUAUAUAAUGGUCCUUUAUAAUCAUUUUUUUAAAAUAUCGUUUUAUUGUUCUCAAUUGCCAAAAAGGUCUGCUUUACUUUUGGAAAUCCUUCAUAUAAACGCGAGAAGCAAUUAUAAAGUUUAAUGUUGGUUUUUUAUACACUAUCUUUAUGUGGUUUAAUGCAUUAUGAAGGAAUAAAGCAUUUUCUUUCAGCAGACAAUUAAGUUUACUUUUAUGAAGAUAAAUUUGAUUUGAAUAUUCAAUUGUUGCAUCUUCGCAAAUCUGUGUAGUAUAAUAUUUACUUUGAUUUCAAAUCCUUGAAAGAGAAAACGGAAAAAGUGCAAACCGUUCUUUUGUAGUUUAAUUUUGAAUUCAAAAUCUAAUAUUGCGUCAGUUUUAGAUUUGGCCUAUCUGUGUAUUCAAUUUUUAUAUUAAUUCUUAUUUUCAUUUAUAUCUAUUAAUUUUUGCAAAAACGUGCAGAGAGUUUAUGUGAUAUUAUUGCAAGUUUUAUUGAGCCUAAUUAUUCUUUAUUUUGAUGGCUGUCAUUGCUUUGAAUUUGGGAGAAAAACCUACAGUUUUUUUUUUGGUAGUAUAAAUGCAUCACUUUAACACCUUGGACGUUAGCUCCUUUUGAUUCCAGAAUUAGUUAAUUGCUCUUAACUUCUUUUGGAAGCUUUUGCAUUUCACAUUCAAUUACGAGAUUUUAUUUAUUUUUUAAUUUAUGCAGCUUUAGUUUCAAAACUUUAUGUCAAUUUCAUGACAUUUAGAGCUUUUAUUUUGGCAGUAAAAUUGUUGAUAUUGUUAGGUGAUUAUUGCCUUUAAUGUUCUGAACAUUUAUGCAAUUUAAUUACAUCUUUGUUUUAAUGCCUUGGAUUCUUUUUAUAGUUGCCAAUGCCUGUAUAGUUCGAUAGUGCAAUCCUUCAUAUUAGUUACUUGAGUUAAUCUUGAUACAAAUAUAUUGAGUGAACUAAUGUUCUUUUGAUUAUAAAGUCUUGACAGCUGCCACAUUGUGGAAUUCUCCUGAGAAAACUGAAAUGAAAUAAUAAAUUAUAUCACUGUAAGUGGCAUUAAUUUUGAGGCUUUCAAUGGUUUUGUUAUAUUUACAAUGACUAUCAAGAUGACUGUGAGUACAUAUCUUAUGAAUUUAAAAUUAAAUAAAUUUUGGUACAGUCUUCAUAUAUUUUGAGAAUUCCCUAAUUUGUGGGGGUUGAGUUUUUCCUUAACUAUGUGGGUAUUUGUUGGAAUUUUUGUGGGUAUUUCAAAUACAAAAUUAAUAUCAAUACUGAGUUUUUUUUUGUUAACUAUGUNNNNNNNNNNNNNNNNNNNNNNNNNNNNNNNNNNNNNNNNNNNNNNNNNNNNNNNNNNNNNNNNNNNNNNNNNNNNNNNNNNNNNNNNNNNNNNNNNNNNNNNNNNNNNNNNNNNNNNNNNNNNNNNNNNNNNNNNNNNNNNNNNNNNNNNNNNNNNNNNNNNNNNNNNNNNUGGCGCGGAGUAGUCUACUAUGGGGAGUUACUGUACGUUUUGAUAAUUAUUAAUAUUUUUUAAAACGUGUGGACCAAUUUGUGGAAGUUGAAUUUUCCUAAAUGGGAACUUUAGUACUGUAAUUUAAUUUGUUAGUAACAUUAAGAAAUUUUUGCUUUUAUACUGGAAAAUAUUAGAUUCAUUUCCUUCUCUCUUUCCCAUAUUUUUAUGUGUUUUUAAUUUCUUUAUGCUCUCAUGGGAAAGAUUCAUUUAGUGACAUAAUGCUUUUUAUAUUUUAUUGGCAAACAUACUGUGUCUGUAUGAAAUUUGUUUCAUUAUGCAAGUUUAUUAUGAGACUAAUUUAUCUUCAAUUUGAUACGAAAAUAUUUGCAACUAAUGAUGAUUUUGGCAUAAAAUUUUGGUAGAGACUUCUUAUUGUCUUAUAGGUUCAUAUUGAGAAUUGACAAGAUACAAUUUCAACUUGGAUAUGUGAUCAUGAUUUCAGCAAUUUGGAGUGCACAAAAGGGAGUAAGGGUAUCCUGAAAUACUCAGUGUUUAUAGUUAAAUUUAUUUAAUGAAUUAAUUGAUAUAUUGUUGUUCAUAAGUGGUAGCAGGUGUACUCAAAUGUUCAUGGACUUGAGUGGUACUCUUGAUCAGAAGAUUUAAUGUAUGAUGUAUUUCCAUUAUACUUAACUGUAUACCAAUGCGUAUUUAAUUUCCAAUUAUACUGAGGUGAAGUCCACUAAUUAUUUGUGUGCAAGAUUGUGUAGGAAAUAUUUUAAUAACAUGCAGGUUUAAAGCGCGCUAAAAUGGAGAACAAAGACAUGACCUACAUUAUAUAUGCCUUGUGAAGGCUAGUUUUGAUAUGCAUGCCUCGUGGAGGAGGCUAUUAAUGCAAAAUGUCGAGGGGGAUGUGCUUAAGCCCAUAAGGGAGUCACCUAGGGAGGUAACCCAACUUCUAUGAUUGGAGAUCCCAUGAAGGAAGUUCAAUGUGGUAGAAACAAUCCAUACUGCGUGACUCAUAUAGCACUCAUAAAACUAUGGAGAUAUCCUUGAGAUAUUCUUCUGCUCAUCCCUAAGGCAAAAGUGCUAUUUUAUGUGACGUUAGUAAGGAAUUUAUCCCUGAAUGAGUUUCGAGGCGGGCAAACUUCCGCAAGGUGCAGGUCACAUGUACUCUUGGAGAACUCACCUAAGUGAGAGACGUCGUGAGGCCGCGACUAUGAGAAUUGGGCUAUUCUCUAGUAACUCUCAUGAGAAUCAAGAUUAGCGCAUGACCAUAAAUAGCGCUACCCCGCAUCCAAGUCUCAACUAAUACUAUGUGUGGGAUAUGUUGAAGUUUGGUCAAAGGUGCCGAGUUCAAUACUGUAUACACUCAAGUUCCUCAAAUGGAGACUAUCAUCACUAAGUGAAGGUUCAAGCCCGGAAGGCACCUACACCUAUUACAUAGUAUUAUAUUGCACAUAUAUAUUAUAUAUUUUUCACUGUUUUUUGUCACGGUAAAAUUUUGAAAACCUUGUGGGGGGUUGUUGGAAUUUUAAAAGGUUUUAAAAAUUUAACCAUUUUAUUUAUUUAAUUAUCUUGGCUGUUUUAUUUUAUUUAUUGUAGGGGUUCUAAAUAUUUAAUAUUCAGGUUUUAUUUCUGGUUGGUGAACCCUUUAAUUAUUUGGUUGGUGAACUUUUAUGGUUGGUGAAGGUUACAUGUUUUUGGAUGCCUAUAAAAGACCACUCCUCCUUCACAUUUGAACACACACAAUAACACACAAUACAUGAUCAGAAUAUCACAUACACACUCUAAUUCUCUCCUUUUCUACUUUUACAUAUAUUCUCUACUUUAUUAUUAUUAUUUUGGGCAAUGGUUAUGUGACUUGAAUACCUAUAUCUGUCUGUGAACGUGCUCAUAGCGGAUCUUGAGUUUGUGUACAAGGGGUCGUAUCUUGGAGUCUUGUAGACCGUCAGUACCUGCAUGUAGGGAGGCUACAAAGGCUUUAGGACAACGUCUUCGACGUGCUUCACCGUACCAAACUCACCUUCUUACUUAUUAUUUAUUUUCCUUUUACUUACCUAUUAUUUUGUUUUCUUCAAUUUUAUUAUACCUUCAAAAUUUUCCAAUUUGUUUAUAUGUUAUUUAUAAUAUAAAUGUUUUGUAUUUGGCUUUACGGAAAGAGGAAAACUAUUAUUUUUUAUAACAUGAGUAUCUCGAAGCUCUCAAUGAAAGCACCAAAUGUUUGCGCAAAUAUUGUCAUGGGGGAAUAGCCGCUUGAAGAUCCUUCUCCCUUUGAACUUCUUUCUCUCUCUUCCUCGAUCUUUGUAAAAUCAAACUGGAGAAAAAGACCACACCCGGGGGGUUUCGAUGCCUAAGUUAGUUCGAUUGAAUUUAAGAGAAAUAAUAGCUAAAAAAGGUAUGGAGUUUUCUCUAAGGUGAAAACUAGGUGACCGGAGCCAUGUGGAGAGACAAAAAUGGAGAGGACUACGGCUAGGAAUUGAGUUUUGAAUUACCUUGUGUGUUAAAUGAAGCCGUGUAUUUAUAGGGCUCUAAGCAUCUAGGGUUAUUCAAAGAAUAAUUAAUAUUUGGAAGGAAUGUAUCCUUUCACCCAAAUUGUAGAGAUUGAGCCCAUUAGGGCCCUUUUGGUAAUGUUUUCGGAGAAUAUUUUUUUAGAAUAUUUUCAGAGAAUGAAAACAAGAAAACGAAUUUGCAUUUUCAAGUAUUGAAAAUGAGUGUGAAAAACAUCUUCAGAAAAUAAAAACAAUGAAAACAUAUCUGGUAGUACAAUAAUAAUAAUAUGUGAGUUAUUUUUCAAGUGUAUUUUUGCUAAUUUAUGUUCUAAAAAGAUGUUAUAAAAAAUGUAUCAUUUAACAAAUAAAAAAUUAUAUUACUUUUUAAAAAUUUAAAACUAUAUUUUUUUCUUUAUUUUUUUCUUUUUUUUCCCUUUCUUCUUCUUUUUUCUCCUCUCUCUCUCUCUCUCUCUCUCUCUCUCUCUCUAUGUAAUCUCUCUUUCCCCCGUGCUGUCUCACUUUCAUACCAGUGAUUCGUCAACGUCUAAUCACUGUGACCGGUGCCAUCACCCCAAAACUCUUCCUCUCUUCCUCCUCUCCUCCCUCUAUCUUCCCCCUAUCUUAAUCGACGCAGUUGAUGGCCAUAGCCACCAGCCUGAGCUUGGGAAGCUCUAACCAAAACCUCUCUCUCUCUCUCUCUCUCUCUCUCUCUCUCUCUCUCUCUCUCUCUCUCUCUCUCUCUCUCUCUCUCUCUCUCUCUUGUUUUGAGUGUUUCUCGUGAGAAUGAAAACAUCUCUUUUUUUGUUUUCGCCGCCUACUCCCAUUUUUCCCAAAAAAAAAAUUACCCAUAUAAAAUCAAACAUAUGCCUACCCAAACUAACCCUAACCAGCCAAAUCUCACGUUUCCUUUCCUCCAAGCUCAGACAUGUAUCAAACUUUUUUACUGCUUGUGAGUUUUCCUCUGAAAAGUUUGGGGAGGUUCACUAUUAUAUCCAAUAUACUAGCCCAGAUUAUAAAAACACCUUAUAUGAAAUGGACUUUAGAAACACACCCAAAGCCCAUUUAUAACAUAACAAAAAGGCUUUUAACUUCUUUUAAAUUAUAAAACUGCCAUUGAUUUCUUAAAACAAACACAACCCCAAAACCUCAUAAAAAAGCCCAAAGGGCAUCAAAUUAAUUUAAUAAUCAAAAUUAAAUUCAAUAGGGUCAGCUGUCAUUUUUUGGGUUUGUUUAUAGAAAUUAAAUGGUGUAGGGUUUAUUUAUAGUUUUAGUGCUAAGAAUGGGUAUAUGAUUAAAUAUCUCUAUUUAUUACUCUUUCUCUUGUUUUCUUAUUGUGAGACGACCGAUUUUAAUGCUCCGUAGCGUCAUGGGGUGUUUAGGAUAAUAACCUUGAACUCAUAUCUUAUGCAUUGUUGGUUGCUCAUUUGCUUGUUUAGGCUACACAUUUGUGAUGUUGUACCUGACUUCGCUCUCGCACUGGCUUGUUAGUCUAUUUGUUUUGAGUCGCUUCGUGGGAUUUCUUUGUUAUCAACUUCCCCUUCUAGGUUGUCUGCCUUGAGAUGGUGUUUGGGCCAAAAUUCUGCACACUCAGCCCAGCACUAAAGGCCCAGAAUAAUAAAGCAACUUCAGGACCCGAGCAGUUUGAACUUUGCGUUUAAAAUGGAAUCAAGGGCCCAAAUUCAAAAGAGCCCAGCCCAGGACCUGUCACACCACAAGGAUAAACUUGGGCUUCGAAAAAACAGAGAGAAGAAAUUAGCCCAAGCCUAAGUCAGAUUUCUUAAGUUACCAAGAAUAGACCCGAGAUUGGAAAAAACCCAGUACAUGUGAUUUGCUCACAGUCCCAAAACCAAAUUGGGCUUGGCAUGAUCAAGUGAAGAGAUAUGAGCCCAAAAUAGAAGCAGACCCACAUGACUUCCUGACUUUGAAAAGUCAGUAAUUUCAACUGGGUUGAUAAGGAGUUAAUGAAGGCAGGUGCAAAAGAAAGACAUCUCUGAAUCACUGCCACCAAAAUAGGCAUCAUUUCCAAGGGAUAAACAUACUACAUUUUCUAAAGAGAUAAGUAGGGUGCAUGGAGUUGUUCAUCUGGAAAAUCAAAACUAACCAUCACGGCAGUUUUGAACUCUUACAAAGAGCAGUUAAAAUUAAAGAAGGAUUAGGUUUUCUUUCAAAGAAAAAAACAGGGAAGUGAUUGCCUCAUAACUUACUGUUGAUGGUCUAUUUGCCAGAAUAGAUAACUUCCCUUUUUCUUUGACAUUUAAAAAUGAAAAGAUCUUGUUUUUUAGAAAAUCUGCCGCCUAUUUCAAAAGAUUAAAAAUCUCACUCCAGCAUUUCCUAUAAAUAUGAAAGAAGGUGAACAGAGUAAAGGACAGCCAAAAAAUCAAUCAAAAGCAAAAACUCAAAAUGAUCAUUUGAUCUAUAAAAAAAAAAACCUUCAAAACACUGAAGUAACCAAAAGCUCAUUGAGCCACAAGAAAAAGCCAACUACAAUCCAGAAUCCCCAACUUCAGUUUAGACUUAGAAAAAUAAGUCAUUCAAAGCGAGAUCUCUCUCGUUACAAAUUUGGUUCAGCAAAAGCCAAACCAAGUAGAGUUCGAGUUUUAUAAAUAUGAAAACCUCAACAAAUUUAUGGAGAGCCCUGAUCAAGCAGAACAUGUACCACAAUGCAGUUCCAGCUCAUUAAUCAUUAAAUCCAGCCACUUAUGCCUCUUCUAGAUUGAAGAAGUUCCAAUUCUGCCCGUUCAAAAAGCCUUCCAGGGCUUGAAAUAUAUUAAAGCUCAGCCAAACUCGAACGUUGUUAUCGAUUUACAGCUGAAACUUGACAAUUGAAGGUGUUGAUAGUCCAGUCUAGCACAGGCAUACUCAGUCCAGCCCGAAUCAAAAGCAUCUAUCCAGGCAGAAAUGGAAGCCCAGCCCCCUUUUUCUCUUUUUUUAGUUGGUUUUCCCUUUUGAGCUUUGUAAAAGGCAGUUCUGCCUAAAAACAGUCCACUUUCUUAUCAUUUAUUCUGGCCAAAACUACCAGUUUUAUACUGUGAAAAAUUGUGAAGUCUUCACCAGUCUUAGGCAAGAAAAGAACUUGGGAGAUAUUUCUCACCCAAAUUCACAAAUCGCUUGUUCAGAAAUCAAUAACUUGGGGCGCAAGUUAUUCAUUUUUAAGAAGUCUGUUAGGAUUUUCAUUGCUAGCAGUGGCACGCUCGCACACAAAAGAAAGUUGACUUGUUGACCAGUCUAUGGUUUUCGAGACAAUAGGGAACUUUACCCUACCAUCAUAGGAACAAAUAUAAAACGGAUGAACAGAUGGUUAUUAGGUUAAAAGGAGUUUGGUAUUCUCAUAUUCAAAAAUGAAAGCCUUGCAUCAAAUAUUUUAUUUGAAUUACGUUAUGUACACACUUGCACUCAGGUGACCAAGAGUGACUCUGAGAUCUUAAGGGCUCUGUGUCAAAACAACAAUAGGGCCACCUAAAAUAAAGUCGUGAAUGAAAAAUUAUAAAAAGAAUCCUGUCAUAUAAUCAAAACCUUGUGAUCAUCAAAUUACUAAUUAUCAUUAACCAAGAAGAAAGAAGAAAAAAAUGUAUUUCAAGGCAAGGGAAGGGGAAAGCAAAUCGUAGAAGGGCCCAAACUCUGUUUUCAAGGCAACUUAAAAGACGUCUAAGAGCAUCUCCCAGUGUGAGGUGUAAAAUAUUAAAUUUGAAUUUGAUGGCUUAUAUGACAAUUUGACAUAUAAUAGAGUUUUACAUUCCUCUCGUCAUGUCAAAUUAAAACAUUAUUUUAUUUUUAUUGGUUUAUUACUUUCUAGGUACGUUAAUUGAAAGAAAUAAUUAAAUAAUUAAAUAACAUCAGAAAGUCAAACAGCCAAAAAUAAUAGUAUGAGAUAGAAAUAUUAUUCUACGUGUGAUUUAACAUUUUGGGUGGAGUGAGUCUCAAUUUUUUUUUCUACAUGCUAAAAGUGCCACGUUGAAGUUAACAUCUCCAAAGGAGAUGCUCUAAGUUACCUACAACAAGGGCAAUUUAGUGACAAGAAAAUACAACGCAAAAACUUGUUUUCAAGGUAAGGGAAAAGCAAACCGUAGAGGGGCCCAAACGCAUGUAAUUGGAUUCACGUUUCGAUGACUGACUUCCAAGUAGGGAUGGCAACGGGUCGGGUAUGACAAUACCAUCCCUCUCCCCGCUCUCCAUCCCCGGCCCCGUCCCCAAACCCAUCCCCGUUUAUUAGGUUUCGGGGAAUCCCCGUCCCCGUCCCCGUCGGGGGACUAUCCCCCAUACCCGCCCCGAAUCCCCGAUUAUUUUGAAUAAAAAAAUAUUUAUCAUACAUUUUAACAUUAAGUUUCAUAUUAAAUUAUCAUUCAACACAUCCAAAUUAACUAUAAAGUUCAACUCAACUAUUCAAAAUCACAUAAAUGUGAAAUUCCAUAGAAAAUUAGGAAGAAUUAGGAGAGGGAAGUUAACUUAGGGUUAAACAUAUAAAUAUUAUAAUUAUAUAUAUAUUUAUUUAAAUAUAAACAUAUAUAUUUUCGGGUCGGGUUCGGGGAUCUGGACACCAAUAACAUCCCCUCCCCAUACCCGUCGGGGAUUUUUCAAGUUCGGGGAUACCCGUACCCGAUACCCAUUUAGCCCUAAAAUCUCUCCCCGUUAGGGUCGGGGACCCGCCCCUACGGGGAUUUUUGCCAUCGCCAAUCUGUGAACCAGGCGGGAAGGUUAAAAUGGGUGGCCGGCACUACUAGUGAUUUUUAACACAGUGUUUUUUGGUCAAUAUUUUUGACAGUAAUUUCAAGAGAAGUCUUCCUUUCUUCCUUCUCACUUUCUUAAAGAAAAAUCUGAUUCUUCUAGAUUGGAGGCCUGACCCUUGUAAGGCUUUAGUAGUGGAUCGUGCUUAGUGGAUGAAGAAUGGUGUGGAUGAACCUAGAAUCACUUCCAAACAGGUCCAUCUUCAUAAGUGAUUCUGAGAGGGCCGGUGAGAAUCAGUUUUGUUGUCCUUAUUACAAAACAAAUUUAUGACCUUGGGGCUUCAAAGACAUUUUCAUUUUUCCUCUGCCAGUUUUGAGCAAAAAUUUUCUAUCAAGUUUAGGAUAGAUGAAUGAAAGAAAUUUCCAAAUGGAGCCUCUGUAAAAUGCCCUUAUUAUUCAAGGAAGUCCAUUUGUACAAUCAAUAAAUUUAUCUUUCAUACAAGUUUAUCUCGUUUCCCACCUCUUGUGACCGUUUACACUAACAACUUUAAGAACACAUAACCAUUGUUACUAACUCCACUAAUAGUUCUGAAUCAUAAACUCUGCUUAUUCAGCUGAUUUUUCAUGUUGGUUAGGAUCAAGGUUCUCUCUCACUAGUCCUCUUCUUGUAAGAUGUGCAUCAAGAAAAUUGGAAAGCUUAUUUGACUUUUAUUGACGAGAAGUUUCUGAAUCCGAGGAUAGUCUCCUUCCUGCUAAGAUGAUGUGCUUGAAUGGCUCCUUGAACUAUUAUAUCCAGAUCUUGGUAGAUGCAUGUCACUCAGCACAUCCUAAAGAGAAGACAAAAGAUAAAAUUAAAGUUCGACGAAGACAUCCAAAGAAACCAACUAUAUUGUGAAGCCUUCAGAGGUUAUAUGAGCUGCAGGGUUGCAUGAAAUAAUUUAAUGGAAGUCUAGCGUGAAGGGUUUGCCUGCUUUGAUCUUUGAUCUUCCAAGAAUUAUUUGUGCAGUUCCUUUAAGUACAAUGCUAGAUUUAUGUUACAAAACUCACCUGUUUUCUGGAAAUUGAGCCUUGUCUUGGUAAGUAUACUCCACCACCACAACCACCAAGCAUGUUGUAAUGCAUGCUAUCUUCAGCGAGUGCUCUCAAUCUGUUAAGCUCAGGUAGCACAAUCUUGGCAAGAUCAGGUCUGUCUUUUCGCCUCAUUUCAGUACACUGUAAAGAUAACUUGGCAAAGCUCAAGGCUUCCUCAAUUGGCCAGUCAGGAACAGCAGGGUCAAGCAUCUCAGCAAAGGUCCCUAGCUCAAUAGCCAGCUCAACAUGAUGAGCCAAACCCAUCGGCGGUUUGGCAGUUAUUAUUUGUAGAAGCAUGACCCCAAGCGAGUAGAUAUCAGAUUUUGUUCCAAGCAUGCCGGUUUGCUGAUACUCUGGGUCGAUAUAACAGAAUGUUCCAGCUGUUGACGUCAUUCGAUAUUGAGUGACAGAGUCGGCUACUGAUGGAGGAACAAGCCUGGCCAGACCUACAUCACUAAUCUUGCUAACAUAGUUAUGGUCUAGCAAAAUGUUGCCGGGUUUUAGGUCACGGUGUACAAGUGGCUCUGGCUUGGACUGGUGAAGGAACAAAAGCCCAGUGGCAAUUUCUGCAGAGAUUCGGAACCUUAGCUGCCAAGGAAUAACUGGGGUGUUACCUCGCUGGAAGAGACGGUCUUCUAAGCUCCCAUUAGCCAUGUACUCAUAGACCAGACAGCCAUACUCUGGGCAGGCUCCAAGAAGGAGAACCAUGUUCGGAUGUCGUAUGCAGCUCAAUACUUCAACCUGCAUAAUUAGGAAAUAUCAAGAAAAAUACACGAUAAAAAAAAAAGGGGUAGAAGAUAUAAGUGCCUAGCUUGUGAAAUUAAGAAAUAUCAGUAAUCCUAGCAUUUUCUAUUUGAACUAUUAAGCUUCCUAUUGGGUCGUUGAAUUCAAGAUGGGAAUUGCUUAAUAUCAGUAUUUCCCCUUGUUUAUGUUGUUUAUGUGCUAAGAAUCUGAAGAAUCUGCUGUAUAUUUGAAGAUACCAGUUAAAAGUUGGAUAUGUAAACGAUCACAAACCUCUUGUUGGAACUGCGAAUGUCCUUGCGCUGCACCUGGACGUAGAAUUUUGACUGCCACUUGUGUGUGAUCCAGUUCACCCCUGUAUACUGGACCAUAGCCUCCUUCUCCGAUCUUGUCAGUGUGUGAAAAUUUAUUUGUUCCUGCUUCAAUCUCCUCAAUUGUGUAUUUCCUGUACCUUAGAUUAUAUGCCCUUGCUUCUGUUGCCUGGUUCCUCUCUUCUGCUUCUUUAAGGGCUUUCAUUUCUGCGUUCCUCCUUUUAUGUGCUUCCAAUUCAGCAAUCCUUUGAGCUGCUUCUGCCGCCUCCAUGGCUGCCUUACAUUUCUCUCUCUCCUUCUUUAUUAGUGCAAAUGCAGCUUCCUCUGUUAUGUGUGCCUCAUUUAAUCUAUGUUCCCCCUCCGAUUUCCAUUGGUCAAGUUCCUGUGCCUGUCAUGGUUGUCAUUAGAGUUCAUAUUGGAAUGAGUCGUUUUUCGGGCUAGCUAUCUGAUGUUUCGCAAAAUUCAUAUUCUGGAGAUGAUAAUAAAACAUGAACAAAUUUUAUGCUCAAAUAAGGUUUCACAUCAUACCUCAUGAUUUAACGUGACCGCCUCCCUGCAGGCCAUUUUAUACACGUCCAUUGUUUGCUUGAGCUCUAGCUUGAGCCUCCACAUCUCGGCUUCCACUUCAUCCUAUUAUUUUCAAGGCAAACUACAGAUUAAUACUCUGAACUAAUUUUGCAUGCAUAUGUAUGUUACUGUAAUAAAUGCACGUCUUUUUUUGUCAUGGCCUGAAAUCAAUUAGAACUAGUUAAUAAAGUUGAGCACUGCUAUUUGUACUAUCUCAACUAGUACAACUGAGAUAUAUUUAUCGGUUGAUUCGAGAUAUCGGUACUUAUUGAACAAAUGGAAACAUCUAAAUCUGCUCCUGACUUAAAAAUAUUAAGUUUCUGGCAUGCUCCAAGGCGAUUAGAUUCGUGGUGCUUCCAAGUUUACUCACGGUGGGAAAUUGUCUUACCAUGUUGUGUGAUGAUGACCAUGAUUUUCCACUUUCCAUUGAGGAUGAUGAGAAGUCUUGUGGGGAAGAGCUCUUGUCAAUAAACUGGUGUCUUGAGUAAGAUGUCGUAGAGCUUCGGUUGUCAAAUUCUGGACUAAUCGAUUUUUGAGGGGUUGUUAACGAAGGGAACAUGCGAUCAAUACUUGGCCUUCCACUGCUCACAAACGAUAUAUCGGUACUCUCUGGCGAAAGGUCAUAUGAGUUGUUCAUUGAAGCUCGUCCUCUUGUGAAGGGUGACCUGCAUCAUUUUUUCGUGAGGUGAGUCUUCUCAUCAAAUAUUGUAUUCUAUUCACAUAAUACCUUCAUUUGAAGAGCAUUUAUCAGAGCUUACUUGAUUUCAGUGUCAUCUACCAUCAGGCUAUCGGGUGCAGAAUGUGUCCUCUUUCCUGAUGCUGCAUUAAUCAGAGAAACUUGAGUGAGUAAAGAGCGAAAAUUGCAGGAUCAUUCGAGUUGGGGAAGAACAUGAUCAGUGCUAGAAUUACAGAAAGAAAUUAACCUCUUGGUUGCUGUUUAUGCAUGGAUUGCGUACCAUUUGAUUCAGAAACUUUGCUGGAUUGUUUAUGAAUUUGGUUACGAGCUUUUUUGGGUGGUGGAAUGGUAGCUGUUUGCACAUAGGAGAUCUUGCCUUUGCCAAUGACAUACAGAGUGCAAAAAUUCGGUAGCCCUUUUAUCACACAACUGGGAACAUCUGUUACUUUGAAGGAUCUGAUGUAUUUGAAACAAAAUUAACGUAAUGUCAAUGCAUGUGUAAUUAUUUCGUUGGAAAUUCUUUGAGCAAUGUAGUUUAGUGAUUCGAACUGUCCGGUUCUUAGGCACACAUUCACAAAAGAAAUCUUUGUAAAAAGUUAGUCGAAUUGAAAAUACUUAGCCACGAUAAUCAAAUAACUAAACGAUUUUGAAAUGGACAGUCUGAAUCAUUAACCAAAUCCCAAAUGGAAUGCAAGUAAAUAAAAAUUACCUGAAAAAACUAUGUCUUGAUGGUGCACCAAGUACCAAAAUCUCAAUUGAAUUAGAGAUAACAUAGUUGAUGAGGGCUUUCGGUAUAUCGACAGCCUCAACUACGACUUCAUGGCACUUUAUCUGCAGCAAAGAUCAAAUUAAACUACCUAGGGACCGGAAACUGCAUCAAAUAUAAAAUAAAGCUGCCUAGGGACCAGAAACUCACCAACUUUUUCUUGCAAAAGGAACGGAAGGGAAGAAACAGCUCUUUGGUUUCAGCAUCAACCGGUUUUUUGUAUACAUUUUCCCCUUCCUCCCCCUCUUCGGAGACUGAAACUAUGCAUAGGAUGAGAAAAACGGAGGAUCAGAAAUUCGGGAGACUGAGAAACGCAAACUAUCAAGAGCAAAAUUCAAAAUAAAUAAUAUGCAAAUUUCUUUUUGUUUGUAAGAAUAUGCAAUUAUUUUAUGUGUUUCAUGUAAUGGAACAAUGAGUAACGUUACAUGUAUCAUAUUUUAUGACUACAACUUUCUUCGGAAAGGUGAGAGCCAAAUACGGAUGAGUUGUGCAUGAAUUUCAUCCAUGUCAGAAAUAUGGUCAAGGCCUAUGACUAUGUACACUAAUAACAUGAAGAUCACCCUCAUGAUCAUGCAUGAGAGGGAGAGAGAGAGAGAGAGAUUUACCAUGAUUGGGAAGGGUAUGUUUGACAUGGAGGAGGGUGAGAUGUUGGCCCUUGGUGAGAAGAUGAUCAACAGCCCAUUUGAUAGCAUGCUGACUUCCUUUGUCCUUGUCUAUUGCCAAUGCCACCGCCUCAUCUGCUGCUUUAGUUUCUGCUGUCCCUCUUCCCAUUUCCUUUACUCUAAUAAUAAUAUAUGAUUGAUGAAUCAAAAUUAACUCACUCUGAAAUUAAUUAAGAAACUAAUUAAGCAGAUGACCCUGGAAGAACCUCUCAAUCAAUAUAUAUAUGCAUGGAGAAAGCUUCUUCUAUCACCUUUGCAGACAACUGGCAAUGCCUUUCUAUCAGCUUUGUUACUAAACCACAUUACAGAAACUGAUUUGACCAACAGAUAAUUUUUUUGUUCCCUUUUCUUUUGAUGUAAGAAGACAGUUUGGUUGUUGUGAGUGUGUUUUUUCUGUUCUGUUGAAUUAAUCAUGCACUUGCUUCACACAUCAAUUACCCUCUGAUGCGAUUUGUAUGGUGGUAAGAUACGCCGUGGAUCUUUGUUAUAAUUGUCUUUGUAUUUCCAAAAGAAAAAAAAAAAUUUACCCUAUAAUCCGACAAUUUUAGCGUGUUCGAGAAAAAAAAGAGUUAUAAUGUUAGCCUUUCCCGUCUAUUUUUAGUUCAUUUUGAAAACAGAAAUAACUUUUGUGUGGAUUAUCUUUUUGUCACUGAAGGCAGUAUAAAGUUGAAACAAAAUAAUAAAAGACACAAAGGAUAACUAGAAAUUAUAUAACAGAAUUUUGUUCCUUGAUCCAAUUUUUGUUGGAUAAAAGACAGAAUGAUUCAUGUUAAAAAACACAACAAAAAAAAAGAAAAAAAGAAAAAAGACUGAAUGAUUCAGAUCCCCACUUUUCACUACUUCAUAAUGCAACAGAAAACUCCCCAAUAUGCUCAAUUUAUUAUAUAUCCAUGAAAGUUUACAUAGUAAAUGUGGACAAGGCUGAUUUCAAUCUACAAAACAGUUUACAUAUGCUGCCACAUUGGGGAUGUGAGAAUCGAAUAGUGGAACUCUGGUGUCCGGGUGGGUGAAUGCUGUCAACCACUUGAGCUACAAAUCCACAAAUCACUUGCCAGACACUUCCAUUUAUUCUCCAAACCAGCACAAAAAAGAAUCAAAAGAAUAUGAUAUAUAAAGUUCUAAAAGAAUCAAAAGAAUAUGAUAUAUAAUGUUCUAAAAAGAAUCAAAAUAUUAAGAUACACAGUACAAGGAGCUACAACAAGAAUCUCAGAAACAAGCUUCUUUCUUCAGCAAGUUAGCAACACAAGGGACAUAUAAUCAACCCAUUUUCAUUGCACACUGAGCACUUGUCUGACUGGCCCUCUUGGCCAAUCACUUUGCAGCUGCCACUGCAUUUGAAACAAACCACAAAUCGAACUCCAUCACAAGCUUCACACGGGCCAAUAGACCGAUCGAUCGGGACUCCAUGGAAGAGUGGCUUAAGCUUUCCUUGCUCAUGAAGCGUCAAAACCUCCUCUGCUCCCCCAAUAUAUCUCCCCUUUAUGAAAAGCUUAGGAGGCACUGCUUUACAGUCCAAAACUUGCCACAGCUCUUCUCUGAAUUCCAUGUGCAUAGACACAUCCCGCUCGUAAAACACCACCCGAAAGCUCUCCAAAAGAAACCGAACGCUGUUGCAGUCAUCGAAGGUCUUUCGAAUACCUCGAAGGGUUGUUGAGUACAGAAUUACUGAUGAAUCCGAACUCCCAGGCACACACUUCUCCUCAAAGCAUAAUAGAGGUUCUUCAUUUGAAGGCGGCUCCGGCUCUGGCUCAACUACAUUGGAAUCAAGAUUCUGUUUUUCGCUUCUUCUUGAUAUUCUCUCUGCUUCACUCAACUUCAUAUAUUCCAUCACGGCUUGCUGAAAGGCUGCGAGUAGGUUCGGGUCAAAGAGGCUACCGGAAUUUAAGUCCGGUCUGCGAAAAGACGAGAUAUCAAUCUCCGACAAAGGGAUUUGUCUACCACGAUCUGGCCCGGGCAACGAUUCUUCUGAAGCUUCAAGAGCUCUGUUUUCCCCCAAAUUGUGCUCUGUUCUCAUCAAAUUUUCCUUGAAUGCCAUUGAGUUUUUUGCCUUCAUUUUUGGCCGGAUGUUUUCCUUGUCGUCCAAAUCAUCCUCAGACCCUGAUUCUUCAUCUUCAAGGUCUUUCAUAAGCUCAUCGACGUCAAUAACAUCAGGCUCUUGCUCGGUCAAAACGUUCUCUUUCAUUUUCUUCUGCUCUGUUUCCAUGGAAACCAACUGGGCCUGAACGUUGAGAUCUGAGAUCUUGGGAUAAGAAUCUGCAUACCCAUCUGACGCACUUACCUGAAGAAUUCUAUCUUGUGGCUUCAAAUACCCAACAGGCCGGAUUGACUUCAACUUCUUCAGGAACUUUCCUUUCACUCCCUUCAUUGUUGCCCAGCAAAGCUUCCAAAAUCUGAACCAAGAAAAGGAUGCUUCAAGCCAGAAAUGGAUUAUUUUUAAGUUUGGAGAGAGGUCAGAGAGAUUGAGAGAUGACAGUGAAGAAGCUGUGUGAGCUAAACUGCUUCUUCUCCACCUUGACCUUUGGUGCUUACAGACACAGCGCUUUCCAACUUCAACGGCUACAAAGUUUUUUUUGCCAUUUUAAAAUUCGAAAACGUUGGAAGCGAUCCUGUGCGGCGAGGAACAGGAUAAGAGAAGACCAUAGCUUAUAGUUGUACGCCACGUGGUUAUUAUGGCGCACAAUGUUACGUUAGAAAAGUUGAAGGACACGUGUCUGGCACGGAGGCUAUGAGGUGUUCACGUUGUGAUGCACUGGUGAGGUAGCGGAAGUGUGCGGCUAACGGUCAUAAUAAUUGACAAUUGGGGCCACUUGAGUCGAGUGUGCACGAUUUCUCAUUAGCUUUAAUCACUUGUUUUUUCCACUUCCUUGAUAAGGAGAAACUUUGUCGUAAAUCGUGUGGAUAAUCAUUAUUUGAGAUGUUGGAUUUGAGCUAGAUUGAUGAUAAUGAUCUGAAUGUGAACCAUUGGGAUAAUGUCUUGUUUUUCUUUACUUUUCUAUUUUUUAUAUAAGUGAUAAAUUAUUGUACAAUUAUAAGAUACUUUUCUAAUUUUGUACUAUAUCUAAUUCCUUGUAAAACCUUCAUAUGUAAAUUCAUAUAUAUACCUCCUUAUGGAGAAGAAUAAAGAACAACCCAAAGUAUUCAAACCAUAUUCAUAUUUUAGCAAUACUCAGGUUGGAGAGAUUUAGGUAUAGUUCUUUUUAGGUAAGGUUAAAAAAACGAUUUAUAUUGUAAAUAAUGGAUGGCUCACAUGUUGAAAAUGAGGAGCAACAUUGAGUGAAAUACCAUAUUUUACGGAAAGAUGAAGACUUAUAUGCUUAGUUACUAUUCACAAAUAGUAAUAAGCAAUUAUGAGUUAAUGUUGUUGAGUGAAUGCUCUGGUUGUGAAGCAUAUAUCAUCUGCCUAUAAAUAGAGGCAAUCUUCAGGCUUUGAUACAUACCAACCCGAAGAGAAAAGAGACAGAAAUCUGAGAGUUAGAAAGUUUUAUUUGAGAGAGAAAAUUCUAUCAAUGUAAAACCAUAAGAACAAAUACAAUUCCACCAUAAUAUUCAGUGGUACUUUCAUACUCUAUCUAUUUUAUAACAAUUUAUUAUUAUAUUUCCUAUUUUUAUAUUCUGACAAUAUGGGCAGGCACUCAAUUAGCUACCAAUCCCAUUUUUCAUGCAAGAACAAAGCAUAUUGAGGUUUCUUAUCACUUCAUCUACGAAUUAGUUUCCGAAGGUUUCUUGUGAAUUCAUUUUGUUAAUUCUUCCAAUUAGUUUGCAGAUAUAUUUAUCAUAGGGCUCUUAACUCCAAUUUUCUCUUCCUUUCGGUCCAAGCUCAUGUGUACUUCAUCCCCAUCAGCUUGAAUAUCCCAGGAUUCUUUCCCUUACUUGCUAGCUGUAUAUAUUGUUUACUUUGACUUUAGGAUGUGAUUAUAUUGCCUUGAUUUCAUCAUCUUCACAAUUCUCAACACUUGACACGUGUCAAUGAACAUAACCAUCGUUCCACAAAAUAUUUCUAUUUCUGUAAGGGUACAAGAAGUAAAAUCCAUUAAUAGUACCUUGCUGUGGAAAAUUUACAGCAAUUAAGGCAUCAAACUCGUAUAAUUUGGCAUGUGAUGUGCUUUACUGAACUGAAAGUAGCUCUUCUCUAGAAUUAUGAAGGAUUUCUACUUGUAAGUUGUUUAUGCAUGUCAACUCAUGAUCCUGUGAGAGAGAAACAGAAGAGAGCCAUUAUGUUAAAGGAGGGGAACAUAAUUAAUAUCCCUUUCUUUGUAGUUGAUCCAUUGCCUUGAGUCCGAUUUUCAAAAAAAGAGGUGUCAAAUGGACUGGGCCGGUCUGAGUACGGCACGAGCACAGCCUGCUUAAGUAAAACUCAACACGGCAUGACCCGUAUCUUUGGGCUGUGCCAGGAUGAAGUAACUAGGUCUAAUAGGUCGGGUCAGGCCGUGCUAGCCAGAAAUCCAAUGAACUGGCCCGUUUAAAGCCCAUUUAUUAAAUUGUACUUGUUCUAGAGAAAAAAAAAAUACAUAAUAUUAUUACACAUAUAUCUUAAAUUCAAGUCUAUUUCUUUUCACUAAUAAUAUAUAUUAAAAAUUAUUAUUUUCUUUAUAUAUAAAAAAAAAUGAUUUUGUUUUUCAAGUUUCAAUUUUUAAAACCCAAACAAUAAUCUAGCAAUUUUCUAUUUAAAUGUACUUUAAAGAAAGUUAUUGACCUCUUUUUUUUUCUUUUUUCUUUUUAUAAUUUUUUUUAAUAAAUAAAUCUUAUUAGUAUAUACAUAAUUGUAAAAAAUAUUUAAAUGAAGUUGUGAAAAGAAAUUAUAAAACAAAAUACAAUACACAAGUCAAAUUUGGUUUGGCCCAUAAGUCCUUUCAGUGGCCCGACACGAGCAUGAUUCGAACCCAUAUGGACUUGGUCCGUGGAUUUAGGUCAGGAUUGAUAAUUUCCUAAAUGGACGGGCCCGACACGGCUCACUCUACCCUGACUAGUUAGGUGUAUCUUUAAGCUCCAACACAAAUUUGAAGCUUGAAGUCUCUCCCAUAUCCACUUUGAUAGAUUCUCAUAAAACCACAAAAGAAUGUGACUUGUAAGUCUCGACACCAGGCUUGUUCUUGAGAUGAAUAUGAGUACUCUAGAGAUGGUAGUGCUAGCAAUUCUCUCCCUAGAGUAGCCGAUUUUAGCUUCAUAGAAUACAAGAUCUGGAUCUCAAUCUCUCAAUCUCAAAUAUGCCCCAACUCUAAUGUGACGAGAUGUAUAAAGUUGCUUUUAUAAUGAUCUAACAUGUGCGAGACCUAUAUAUACACCCCCACCCCACCCCCCCCCCCCCCCCCCCCCCCCCCCCCCCCCUCUUGUGGCCGUCCAUGCCUUGUUAUUGUGCUUAUUGGACUUUACUGGAUUCAAGUUGUCAUACAAUUUCAAUUACAAGUACAAUGGUUCUAAGCCCAGUGAACCUAAAACCCCGAAGUUGAGGGGUAUGUUGGUUCCGAAAAAUGGCUAAUGAGUCGUAAUAGUAUAACUUGAGAUCAAUAUGACCAAAAUGGUUUUUCCAGUCCUUGUGAUUGAUACUAGGGGUGGGCAUUCAAACCAGCAAACCGGAAAGCAGAGUCGAACUGCACCGAAAAAAAACCGAGUUGACCAAAAAGUCAACAACUGGUCAAAAACCAAAACGGACCAGUUAGGACUGGUUUUGGUUCCAGUUAUAUGUCUUCAAAAAUCGAACCAAGCCGAACCGAACCGGUCAAAUUAAAAUAUAUAUAAUUUCAAUAUUUAUUUAUAUUCAAUGCUAUAUUUUUAAUCUCAUAACUAAUAUUUAUUUAAGUUCAAUUUCAAAACAUCUCUCUCUUCUAGCUUUAAUAUUUAUUUUUAUAUAAAAUUGAAUAAUUUAUUAAUUUUCAAGUCAAAAAAAUAAAAUUUUAGUUGAAAAUUGUAUUAAAAAAUAAUUAAAAAUAAUAAUUUUAAUAAUUCGGUUCAAAACUGAACAGGAACCGAUUCAACCCUAACCAGACAGUUUUUUUAAUUUUUUUUAAUUAAAACCGAACCGAACAAAACCAGAUGAAUAAUACCGAAUCGGUUCUAAUUAGAGACAAAAACCUGUUCAAACCGAAUCAUGCCCACCCCAAUUUGGUACUAAUUUUGGGCUAGCUUGGUAAACCUUGGGUUGUUGUUGGGGGAGUAUCAAAUAAGUUUACCUUUUGUACACCAUUGGAAGUAUUAUGGUCCUUAUAAUCGGUGCCCGUCAGGGCCUUUUUGUGCUUUUAAUGGCUGUUGUAACUGGGCUUGUAAAAAUGGCCCAAGCCCAAUUAGCUAGCUUAAAUUCGGUCUUAUUUUUUGAGUUACGGGCCAACCUAGCCUUGUAUUACGGGCUGAUAGGCGAGCUUGGCCUGGGUCGUUUGUGUAAAGAGUAGGACUUGGGCUACAAUUCCUAAGCCCAUGAAUGAUAUGCCCCCAGCCCAAUAUUUAAAUUAAUAAAUAAUAUUUUUUAUAAAUUAAACUAAUAUUAAUCAUGCUUUGUAUUUAAUUAGAAGAUUAAAAGAAUAUAAUUACCCAUUAAAUAUAACAUUAAUUACCAUUUUACAGGACAAAAAAGCCCGUAAUUGGGUAGGCCCUAAGCUAACCCUAAACCCGACCCAUUUUACAAACAAGCCUUCAAGGUGAUUUUUAUUAAUGAAACAUCUCCAUAUGGUUUGGGGGGGAAAAAAAUAAAUAGGGUUAUUUAGUGUAUUUACUGAAUGUGAUAAAUUGAGCCCAAGGGGUUUAAUUAGAAUUUCCUCGUUCUUUCCCGAUUCAGUGAACCGUGUAUUAGAUAGAUUGCUGCUAUUUUCACUGACCUGUCCUAUUUCCCCACCACCUUAUCUUCCCACCCACUAUGUAAAUUUGAAAAAACACAAUCCUAUCUUUGUUAAAAAUUGGCUCACAUAAAGAUGCAAGUGUCGCAGGAGGCGAUCGGUUGCCAAGUAUGCGCAAUUGGUCGUUUUGAAGCAGAGUCGAAAUUCUGGAAAAAAACAUAGAAAGCGACCGAUUGCCAGGGAAUUGCGACCGGUCGUUUUCAGACAAAUUACACGCUAGUGAGUUUUCCUAAAUGUGACUGGUCGUCGCCAUUCUAGGUUGAUUUUUCCACGCUUUUUUCAGGUUCUACAAUUGUUUUGGUGUUAUAGAACUAGAAUAAUCAGAGUAUGAGAAGUACUACUGAAAUAUUAGGAGUGAAAUUAUAUUUUUCUUUGUGGUGUUUACACUGACAGAAUUUCUCAUCAGAUAGACUUCACUCUUUCUUUUCUUUUCUGACUCUGACUCUAUUCUCUUCUCUGAUUCGUGUGUGUUUACAAACAGAAAUAAUGCCUAUUUAUAGGCAAAGCAAAUGGCUUCUAAGGGAGACAUAAUGAUUUCUCCCUAACAUCAUAAUUCCAUCUUUUGACUAAUACCCCAUAACUUUAUCUAUGUGGCUUCACUUCUUUAUAACACUCUCCCUUGAAAACCACAUGUCCCUAGAUUGGUUGCCUCAUUAAAACCUUGCUUGGAAAAAUUCAGUGGGAAAAAACCUAAGCAAAGGAAAAAGAGUACAACUUUAUUUAGGACAUAAGGGUAAUGCGCUCAUGUUGCCUCGUUAAAACCUUGCUAGGAAAAACCCUAGUCGAAGGAAAAAGAGUACAAUGAGCAUAUGUCCUGUGUUAGAGGACUCUUGAAUGCUCCCCCUGAUUUUGCAUGCUCCAACUUGAUUGCUUGCAGAGUUGUAGUAAUCCGAUGCCAUGCACUAACUUUUGGAAUGUACAUUUUGGCAAUGAUUUGGUGAAGAGAUCUGCCAGGUUAUCGCUUGAGCGGAUUUGUCUGACUUUGACUUUUUGACUCUUCUGGAGCUCAUGUGUGUAGAAAAACUUUGGUGAUAUGUGCUUGAUCCUGUCACCCUUGAUAUACCCUCAUGUGAUCUGAGCAAUACAAGCUGCAUUGUCCUCAUUCAAGAUUGUUGGAGUGUCUAUUGCUGAGGGUAGGGCACAUGUGCUUCGGAUGUGAUGGAUCACCGACCUUAACCAAACGCAUUCACGACUGGCUUCAUGGAGGGCAAGUAUUUCUGAGUCAUUGGAAGAUAUGGCCACUAGUGUUUGUUUAGUUGAGCGCCAUAAGAUUGCAGUUCCUCCACAUGUAAAUACAUACCCAGUCUAUGAUCAUCCUUAAUGUGGAUAAGAAAGAUAUCCUGCAUCAGCGUAGCCAACAAUACUCGGGCCGUUGGUCGAUUCACUGGAAUAAAAUAAGCCCAUGUCUGUUAUCCCACGAAGGUAUCGUAGAACAUGUUUGAUGCCGAUCUAAUGUCGCCUUGUUGGAGAAGAGCUGUACCUUGCUAACAGAUUUACAGAAAAUGCUAUGUCUGGUUUGGUACAUUGUGCUAAGUACAACAAAGCACCUAUUGCACUAAGAUAUGGUACUUCUAGGCCAAUGACCAUUUCAUCAUCCCCUUUUGGACGAUAUAGAUCUUUCUUAGUGUCAAGCGACCGAACGACCAUUGGAGUGCUAAGUGGAUGGGCUUUAUCCAUGCCAAACCGUUUCAAUACUUUUUCAGUAUAAGUUGAUUGAUGCACCAAAAUUCCAUUAGCACUGUGCUAAAUCUGUAAGCCAAGACAAUAUUUUGUCUUUCUAAGGUCUUUCAUCUCAAACUCACGUUUGAGAUAAUUAGAAGUCUUUUGGAGCUCUUCAGGAGUUCCAAUUAGAUUCAUGUCAUCGACAUAUACUACCAUUAUUGUAAAUCCAGACUCUGAUUUCUUAAUAAACACACAUGGGCAAAUAGGAUCAUUUGUGUAUCCUUCAUUUAGUAGAUACUUAUUGAGACGAUUGUACCACAUUCGCCAGAUUGUUUUAGCCUAUACAAUGAUCUUCUCAAUUUAAUUGAGAACAUGCCCCGUGGUUUAUUCCUGGCUGUUUCAGGCAACUUAAGUCAUUUUGGGACUUUCAUGUAUAUAUCUAUAUCCAAUUCUCCAUACAGAUAUGCGGUAACGACAUCCACGAGUCUCAUUUCAAGUUUUUCUAAAACCGCCAAACUUAUUAAGUAACGGAACGUAAUUGUGUCCAUUACUGGAGAGUACGUUUCCACAUAAUCAAUUCUAGGUCUUUGUGAAAAACCUUGCGCAACGAGUCAUGCUUUAUACCUUGAGAUCUCAUUUUUCUCAUUGCGCUUUCUUGUAAAUACCCACUUGUAACCUAUAGGGUUCACAGUGGGUGGAGUUGGAACAAUAGGUCCAAAAACACUCAUUUUUUCCAAAGAAUUUAAUUCUGCCUAGAUUGCAUCUUUCCACUUAGGCCCAUCUUGCCUCUGUGUGCAUUCAUCAAUAGAGUACGGCUCAAUAUCAUCAUCUUUUAUGAUCCCAGCAGCCACUGAGAAUGCAAAUAUAUCAUCGAUGAUCAUCUCGUUCCUAUUCCAUAAUUCAUUAGUGGAUGUAUAAUUUAUGAAGAUUUCUUGACUUUCAGGUACAGCGGCCAUUUCAGGGGCACUUGUCUCAUCAAGGAUAUUUUCCUUUUCAGGAAGUACCAGUCCCUCUUGGGGGGCAUUUGAAUUAUGAAUUGUGGGCUCUCCAUUUAUUUCAUUUGGAUUCAUUUUGGACAUCAACUUCCUCUUUUGGGGAACUGAAUCCUUUGAACCUAGUGGUCUGCCACGUUUCAGGCGUGCAGCAGAUGAACCAUUUGCUGGCAUAUUGCUUUGUCCAUUAUGGACAUCAGUCCUUGCGAGUGCAUUUGCAGCUGGGAUAUGUGAUUUCGUCACCUUUGUUGCAUCAUUAAAUGCAUCUGGCAUAUGAUUUGCAAUACUUCGGAGGUGAACGAUCCCUCUCACUUCGUUUUCGCAUUGAGCAGUAUGAGGAUCGAGAUGAGACAAGAUGGGUACAUCCCAGGAUAAUUCAUGUCGUUCUUCAGGAACAAGUUUGCCUUGUUAUUCUUUAGAAACAUAUUUUUCUCCCCUUAAUGGUGGGAAGAUUGUCUCAUCAAAAUGACAAUCCACAAACCGUGCGAUAAAGAUAUCACCCGUCAAGGGCUCCAGAUAUCUGAUGAUAGAUGGUGAAUCAAAACCAACAUAAAUUCCCAAUUUGCGUUGUGGGCCCAUCUUAGUACGUUGUAGUGGUGCAAUAGGCACAUAUACCGCACAACCAAAAACUCUUAAAUGAGAAAUGUUUGGUUGAUUACCCAACACGAGUUGUAUUGGAGAAUAUUGAUUGUUGGCUACGGGCCUCAACCGUACCAGUGAUGCUGCAUGUAAAAUGGCAUAUCCCCAAGCAGAAACUGGCAACUUUGUCUUCAUUAGCAAAGUGCAUGCUAUUAACUGAAGACGCUUAAUUAAAGCUUCUACUAAGCCAUUUUGAGUAUGAACAUGGGGAACAUGAUGUUCAAUGUCAAUGCCUAGUGACAUGCAGUAGUCAUCAAAAGUCUGAGAUGUAAAUUCACCAGCAUUAUCGAGUCUGAUUGACUUAAUGGGAUAAUCUAGGAAUUGGGCUCAUAAUUUAAUUAUCUGAGCCAAGAGAUUAGCAAAUGCCAUAUUCCGAGUGGACAGAAGGCAAACAUGUACCAUCGGGUAGAUGCAUCCACCAAGACCAUAAAGUACCGAAAUGGUCCACAGGGAGGAUGAAUAGGCCCACAAAUGUCCCCUUAGAUUCUCUGCAAAAAUGAUGGGGACUCAACAUCAACUUUUGGUUAUGAUGGUAUGAUCACCAACUUCCCUUGUGAGCAAGCUUAGCAAAAGCUAUCACUUGAUGCCAUAAUGUGUUUUGCCAAUAAGGGAUGCCUUUUAGAGUCGGUGAUUAUCCUACGCAUCAUGGUGGAUCCAGGAUGACCCAACCGGUCAUGCCAAAGCUUAAAAGCAUUUGAGUCAAUAGACUUCUUGUCCAUGACACUAUGUGCCUCAAUUGUCCGUAUGGUUGUAUAGUACAACCCUGAUAAGAGCGCACAAAGCUUCUCCAGUACGCUUCUGGGUAUCACUGGAGGUAAUGCAAAGAUAUUCCAUGUGUUUCUCAUUCUUUGUUUCAACAUUGUAGCCAUUCAAACGUAUAUCUUUGAAACUCAAUAGAUUUCUUCUGGAGUUAGAUGAAUACAAAGCAUUUUGAAUAGACAAUAAUGUUCCAUUUGGUAACAUAAUUUGGGCUGUUCCUGAGGUUUCAAUCAGAUCUGCAGGACCUGAUAUGGUUGUUACCUUUGCUUUUGUAAGCAUCAAUUUUGAGAAAUACUUUCGAUCUCGAAGGAUCGUAUGAGUAGUCGCGCUGCCUGAGAGACAAAUAUCUUUACCAUAGCCUUUGUUUUAAGGGCACCCAUAAUUUACAUCCAUGCCUUCAAAUAAAUAAAAUAAGCUGAAUCAAUAAACAAGAAAAUAUUGCCACUUUUAUUGGAUUGAAACGAAAAUUAAACAACACUUCAUAUAAUACAAAUAGUACAUUAAGAAAUUUAAUCUAAUUCGGACCCAUAAGCUUCAUUCCCUCUUUCAGUAACAAAAUCAGAAACAUCCAGAUGCGUUUUGUCUAGUUGACGUGAUAUUUCUGAUGAGCCAUCUGUGGCUGGUAGAUUUGAUAUAGCACAUUUGUCUCCACUUUCCUGUUCUUAAGUGAAGCUUGAUAGAGAUCCACCAAAUGCUUGGGCGUAUGACAUGCAUGCGCCCAAUGUCCCUUUGCACCACAUCUGUGACAAGUGCUUUCAACAUUUCUAGGCACAUGGCUCGUCUGUGCGUUUACCUUAUUAAGGGAUGCAUUUUUGUCAUUCGUGGAUGGACUGCUCCUUGGACCUAAACCAUCUGAACGAGCACCACGAUAUUUUCUGCUUCCUUGCCAGCGCCCACGCUUGCCCCCUCGCCCACGUUUAUGGAUACUGCCAUGAGAUGAAGUGACAUUCACUUCCUGAGAUGCAUCAUUUAUUUCAGGAAGUGGUGCUGAGCCCGUUGGGCGAGAUUGGUGAUUCUUUAAUAAGAGCUCAUUAUUCUGCUCAACUAACAAGAGGUAAGAUAUAAGUUUCGAGUAUUUCUUGAAGCCGCUAUGUCUGUAUUGCUGCUGAAGGAGGACAUUUGAAGUAUGAAAAGUGCUCAGAGUUUUUUCGAGCAUAUCCUCCUCAGGUAUUUCUGUACAUAACAGAGUUAUACUCGGACACUGUCUUGAAAUCUUGAAAUCUCAAGUGAGUCCAUUCGUAUCUAGCUCUUGGGAGAGUCACCAUCCUCUGGUGAUCGUAUCUUUCACCUAGAGCUUUCCAUAGAACCAAUGGUUCAUCAACCACCACAUAUUCGCUUUUCAGCGCUUCAUGGAUGUGGCGGUGAAGAAAGAUCAUGGCUUUCGCAUUUUCUUCAGGCGAAGCAUUAUUCUCAUCUACAAUUGUUUGUUCAAGGCCAUUGGCACGUAGAUGGAUUUUGGCAUCUGACCCAUGAUAAAUAGUUGUCCCCAGAAAUGUCCAAGGCAGCAAACUCCAGUUUUGCCAAAUUUGCCAUCCGAAACUUUAGGCUCGGGAUCUGAGACAUUAAGCCACUUAUUAAUAGGAAUUUCAUGGCCUCAUUACUCAUGUAUAUUAAUUGAUGAUAAAAAUAAAGUGCUAUGAAUUUGGACGAUAAACACACACCAUACCUUAAAUAAAAUUAAAUGUGCGGUAAAGUAAAUUCAUAAAGUAAAUUGCUUGCUGUAUGGACGUUAAUUCCACACCAUGCUUUAAAUAAAAGUAAAUGUGCAGUAAAGUAAAUUCAUAAAGUAUGAGGGUUAAUUCCACAUCAUACUUUAAAUAAAAGUAAAUGUGCAGUAAAGUAAAUUCAUAAAGUAUGAGGGUUAAUUCCACAUCAUACUUUUAAGUAAAAGUAAAUGUGCUUGUAUGGGCACUAAUUUUGCUCCAUACUUUUAAAUAAAAGUAAAGGCAGCUGUGUAGACGAUAAACUCGCGCCACACUUUUAAUUAAAUAUUGCCGUAUGGGUAAUAAACCUACUCCAUAUCAUAAAUAAAAUAAAUGUGGGGAUAAAAACCACCAUCUAAUAUAUAUGAAGUGCAUAACAUAUCAUAUAUUAUGGGCAAUAUAACUGCGCCACUUUUCAAGAUAUAAUAGAUGAGUUUUAAGAUCACACCAUCAUUUUAUUACGAUAAUUUAUGUUACAACGCGAUGGGUAAUAAAAAUUACACCACCAUAAAAUAAUAGGCUGGGGUAUAAAAAUCGCACCAUUUCAAAUUACGUUACAAAGAAGUAAAUUAAACAAGCAUAGAUGAAACAACAUAAAAAUUGUGAGAACACAAAAAGAAAGUUUGCAUGUCGUCGUAGUAGUAAAGUGAGAGUAGAAAUAUGACAGAGAGGAGACAGAAAUAAUCACAUAGUGUUGAGUUGAGAAAAAUUUAGAAAUAAAAAGGAGAGACUAUUAUGCUGAUAACGUGUUAUAGAACUAGAAUAAUCAGAGUAUGAGAAGUACCACUGAAAUAUUGGGAGUGAAAUUAUAUUUCUCUGUGUGGUAUUUACACUGACAUAAUUUCUCUUCAGAUAGACUUCACUCUUUCUUUUCUUUUCUGACUCUAACUCUAUUCUCUUCUCUGAUUCGUGUGUGUUUAUAAGCAAAAAUAAUGCCUAUUUAUAUGCAAAGCAAAUAGCUUUUAAUGGAGACAUAAUGAUUUCUCCUCAACAUCAUAAUUCCAUCUUUUGACUUAUACCCUCUAACUUUAUUUAUAUGGGCUUCACUUCUUUAUAACAUUUGAUUUUUAAUCCUUUUCGCCAAGUUAAAUCUUUUCACAAAUGGGUAAAUUUAUCUUAAAAUUUUGAAAAUAUAAUGUAUAGAAAAAUAGAACAGAUGCGUGAAAAUAGUAGAACUCAUAAGAAAAUAUCGUUUACUGCUCAUCCUGAAACAGAAACAGAAGCAGAAACAGUGAUAAGUGUGUGAUCAAGAAUCUGAUAUAUAAACACACUCUCAAAUGAGUCAUCGUCCCCACAGCAUCCUCCUCGGCACCACCAUACGCACCCAUCGCUCCAUUCCACCCCACCUAAUUUCCAGGUUCCUCGCAUGCCAAAUCUCUUGGCCUCUACGUGUUUGUUUAUAUGCUUUAUUUAUACAGUUUUGGGUUCUGCGUUUUGUUUGCAGGGCUUGGUUUUGUAGCGGUAGUUUCAGAAACCAGACCCACAUGGAAAGCCAUGCUUCUUGUGAGGCGGUUGUGGCUGACUCUGAGCUCUUGGUUAAAAAAAUGGCUGCUAUUUGUAAUGCCGGUCCCGCCAAACUCCAGGUUGCCCACCUCAUUCCCUUUGUUUUUUUUUCUUUUUCAAUUCUUACGAAGCAUAUGUUUGAUACCCAAUUCUUUAUUUUUCUUCGACCAGAAAAAGAUUCAUUAUUUUUCUUAUUUAAAGUUUUUUGGGUUUUUUAGGUUGGAAAUUUAUGCUCAAAUUUUGUGUGUUGUGUUUUAAAUAACAACAAAGUAAGAUAAUUGAGACCAUUUCUUGAAUUUUUUUUUUUUUGAAUGCGCAGAUUCCAUUAUUGUUUCUAGACUGAAUUUUGUUUAUGUAAUUUUCAUGUCAGGUAAUAGCAGAUUUUGAUGGCACACUAACAAAGUACUGGGUCAAUGGUUGUCGGGGACAAAGUAAGUGUUUUGUUGUCUUUGAACUUUAUUCUUUGUUAUCACUAUCCGUUUGAAAGAUUUAUUUAUUUUAUUUUUGAUAUUCAUUGAUAACAAGAGUAGGCAGUCAUGGUCUUUUGCAACAGGAGAAUCCGGAAUAUGAUAAGAAAAGGCAGGAAUUAUAUGAACAUUAUCAUCCGUUAGAAUUCUCCCCGACAAUUCCAAUUGAAGAGAAAACUAAGCUUAUGGAAGAAUGGUAUUUCACCUACUUAAUUGAAUCUUAAGGCCACUGCCCGGGAUUGAAUCAAAAUGAAUUCUUGUGUUGUUAUAUGCUUCUGGGUAGCCUCUAUUAGUCUGUUUUUUAUUAUGAUCACCUAACUGGCAUGAAGUGGUUCACCUGAAAGUUCAUGUUCAUAUGGAGCUAUAACAAUGUUACCUCAGUCCAAGGAGCUAUAAUAUGUUACCUUAGUCCAAUAAUUGGAUUUCAGAUCACAUUAAUACUGAUUGCAUGGAUACAGGUGGACAAAAACUCAUGGUCUCUUAAUUGAGGGAGGCCUUACCUAUGAUGGAAUAAGGCAAUCUGUCGCUGACUCCACAAUUGCUUUUAGGGAGGGUGUUGUUGAACUAUUUGAGUUUUUGGAGGUAAGUUUAAUUUUGCUGCAAUAAUUAUGUGAGUAACUGGCUACAUAUAUGUCCUGGGAUAGAAAGAAUCCAUUGAAGAUUUCGAUCUGUUUAAUGUUUGAGUUUAUUCGUAAUGAAUUAGUUUAUGUUGGCUUGGUCAUGUGUUCUCUGAUGCAACGUCCUAAAACUAACUCAAUCUAAUUUUUUUCCUAUCAUUUUUUAAGUGGAAAACAGAGAAAAACUUAUUUUCAUUAAGCUAUUCCAUUACUGUUUCCCUCUACCCACAUUUGCAGGAAAGAGACAUUCCCAUUCUUAUAUUUUCUGCUGGACUUGCUGAUAUCAUAGAGGAGGUUAGUUAAGUUUUGUGGCCAUAUUUCUUGCCAUUUUAAAUUUCUAAGUCUAUUUUGCAACUUUUUGUGCAUUAAUGCCUUUUCUUCUCAUUGUUCCAGGUCCUUAGGCAGAAGAUUCACAGACUUUUCAAAAAUGUGAAGAUAGUCUCAAAUCGGAUGGUAUUCGAUAAUAAUGGUCACCUUGUAUCUUUUCAAGGUAUCCACUAAUGCUGACUUGUUUUCACACUAUAAAGAGAAAUUAUAAAUAUAAUGUCCUACUAUGGUAUAUCAGAAACAAGUUGUUCUGAAGAAAAUAUGUUUUGUGUUUAUUUAAAACUUGUUUGUUUUUAUGUCCAGUGUCAAGGCUGAAAAUAUGGGUAGGCAUCCCCUCUCCUAACCCACCAAACCUUAGCUGGUCCAAAACCUAGGACUUGAAACACAUCCUUGCAUUUAGAAGAGGGCUGGCUUAUGCUACAUUGCUGCUAGGCUCUCUAAGGCCAUUGGAAAAUGGCACUAACGUACAAUUUUCACUUUUCUUUUUUAUCUUUCAUUUGUUUAAAUAAAUAUUAUCAUUUUUUCCUCGACACAAAAAAGUAAUGUAUGCAAAUAGAAGUAAUUAUUUGGUGAAGCUUUGUUUUUAUUCCAGUGAGUUAUUUUGGUAUUAAAUGAAAGCUGGGUACUUCAUAAGUUAAUGGUGCUUCUGCAGUCUUAUAUGGUAAUUUUGUCUUAAUAUUUUUUUUGGUUUGGUUCAAGCCCCUUACUACUAUGAGGUCCAUUCUUGACAAUGUGGUGGUAUAUGUUCGUACCCUGAUUUUUUUUUACUUGAUUUUACAGGGAAGACAAUUCAUAGUCUGAAUAAAAAUGAGCAUGCUCUGGAUAUGGCUGCUCCCCUUCAUGAUCGAUUAGGUGAUAAUAUAGAUGCGACUACUUAUGAGAAUGCCUCAGUCAAGACUAGAAGAAAUGUGCUGCUUCUGGGUGAUCACAUUGGUGACCUGGGAAUGUCUGAUGGCUUGAACUAUGAGAAUAGAAUUUCCGUGGGAUUUCUGUAAGUAAUAAUUUAUUGUAUUGCAUACUUAAUAUAUAUGAUAGAAUUGACGAGUUAUGAAUCUGAGAGUAACUUAUUUCAUAAUUCAGUACUCGUGUUAGCUUAUCUUUCAAGCAACUUCUUCAAUAGCAAGUAGAAUGCAAAAUGGAUCUCUUGACAAUAUAUUCUUCAUUUCAGAAUAUAUUGUUCUAAAUCUGCAAAGAAUUUGGAGUAAAACUGUAUUUAAUUAGUUACUUGUGAAACAUCAUUGUCAACUCUUAUGAGUUCAGGCUGCUUCCAAAGUGGUGUAUAGCUAAACCCUAAUGUCAUAAAUAUUCUUUAAAUUUUGAUUUCUGUAAUCCCAAUAUUAAGAACUGUUUUACUCUAGUCCUUUGAUGUUCUAUAUCCUGCUUCUGCACUGCAUCAUGUUUUAAAUUCCCUGGCAUGGAUGCUUCAUUUCCAAACGUUUUGUUGUUCUAAAAUUUAAUAUGCUUGCUAUUGAGAAGCAGUUCCGUUUUCAAUGUUUUUCUUAUAUGUUUUAGCAACUCUACCAUAGUCCAUUUAGAUGGUUUUAAAAGGGGGAAAGGGCAAAUUCUUUACUUAUUCAUUGUCACAUUUUGUUAAAUAUAAACAGGGAAAAUGUUAUGCGUGUUCACCUUUUGUCACAUUAUAAACAGGGCAUGUGAGAUGCACUCACAAAAAAAUCCUAUACUCCACAUUUGUUUUUCUUUGUUCGGUUUCUUUUGUUCCUUAUCUUUACGUAAUGGUAUUUUUAAUUAAAGUCGUAAUUAAAAGCCUGAAAUAUAUAUAUGACUGAAUGUAAAACUUUUCAUACUUUUAGCAGAACAGGAAACAUAAUAAACAGGGUUAGUUGUAAGGAUGAAUAUGCUAUCAACAUUAAAUAUGAGUGGCCUGCUUGAAGAGAAAGUCAUACUGGUAUGGUGGAUCAAAACUUGGUUAACCCGGGGGAUUAUCCAUUUUUCGGUUUUCAAGAAUCCUUUACAACAUAUAAUUUCAGUCUUUUGACAUUUUAGCCCAUUCCAACUGGCUCACUUUUACAGUGGUCUAGUACACGAAAGCUAUAUUUUUCUAGUUUUAAUCAUGUUAAUCAAUUCUUUCAAGUCCAAAAAGUUUCAAUUUAGCUGGUCUUGGGUCGGCUUAUUUUUAUUUUUAUUUUUUGUUUACAAAAUAUUAGCCCACCCCUUGAAAAAUUUUGGGUUCUGCCCUUCGUUACAUAAUCCUCAUUUUCUAGUUCCCACGGUUAUUACAUGAAUAAUAUAGUUCAAAAAGUAGGGGGAACUGAUUUUUCAGUAACUGUGAAGAAAAAAUAUAUAUUAAAAAAAAAGAAAGGCAUCGAUAUAAUAUUGGACUUCAUAAAUUGUUCAAAAAGUAGCAUUGAAAGGGAUGACUUGGAUGACCAAGUGACUGAAAUGGUAAGACAAGGAAAGAGGGAAUUACGAUAAAUUAACCCAUUAAAGAAAGAUAGAGCCAAGUAUGUGGAGAUAUUAGUUCAUUUGGUUUGAUGAUCAAGAACAUCUAGAAGGCUUUCCAAGAUUAAGUGGGGCCAGUUGCCAACGUGGCUUGCGGUUCUUGUUAGCUUAGGAAUUUACUUUGUUUUUUUAUUUGUUUUGUUCGAUUAUUCUGUUUUGUUUUGUCUGCUAGAUGGUAGUUAGCUUUGUCUCUUUUAUUUUACUUCAUGAUGGGUCAUUAUUAUCUUAGUUAUGUUCUGCAUUGCCUGCAAAAUGCAAUUUUUAGUUCUGUGAAAAAGUAAGCCGGAUGGUAGCCAUUUUGUCCAAACUAAGUGCCACCUCUAUUUUACUUUUAGAACUUAUAAUAUUGUUACAUUGCAACCAACAAUUAGUGGCAGCUGAAUUUGUUCAUUAAGUGCCCAAGAAGUUAAAGUUAAUUGUUUUAUUUUAAUGGAAAGAUAAUGAACAAAGAAGUUACAUUUGCACAUCCCCUUAGUUUAUUUUUCAAACCUGAUAAACUAGCCAGACGAACUGUUAUGAUGAUCCAUAAAUUGAUUUAGUUGCUGAACCAUGUUAACUGCUGUUCCAGGAAUGACAAUGUUGAGAAUUCUCUUGAUAGCUACCGCAAAACCUUUGACAUUGUUUACUUGGUGAGUUGAAUGCCUUGAAAGAUUGUGUGGUUGCUUUGACUAUUUUUGGUUUCCAAAGGAUUAAUGAGGUUACUAUGCUUGUAUGUUUAUCUAUUUGGCAUUGUUAGAUUAACUUUGUCCUUGGAUAGUUGACCUGUUCAUCAUUCAAACCCUGAACAAUUCAUUGUCUUUGGCCAAAGCUGACAGGAUUUCCUACUUACUAAAUAUUGUGAUAAUGAAUUAGAUAAUAAAGAGGGAAAUAUAGCAGGAGCGUUUGAAAAAAUUUGAAGAUGUGGGAAUAAAAUGUGAGUAUUACUAGGAUAGAACUAGAUGACGAUACUUAACUUGUUGCAUGGCUUCUUGCAGAAUGAUGCACCCAUGUGGGGAGUUGUAAAGCUUGUUUCACAACUCUGUCCAAGUGAAGGUCAUUGAGUUGUAAAUCUCUUACUAUUAAAUACUUGGAAGCUCAUUCACCAAAAAUAAAUCCUUCGAAGCUCCUGUCUGCUUUCUUUGAUUAACAUCCAUAGAUAGAUUUGGUAGUGUUCCUUUCAUUGGCAAAAGGUUUUCCAACAUGUGGCCACUUUUCCUCUUUUCCUAGCAAUAGAAGAAAUAUAUUUAAUUGUUGGUCAAUUUUAGACAACAAGAAGCGUAUUUCUAUAAUCUUCAAUUUCUUGAUGUUCUAAGCUCUGCAUUGAGCUGAAACAUUUGUCCACAAAAUGCGUGCCUCUGGAGCUGAAAGAAAAUGGAUAUGCCAAAGAAUUUGGAUGUUAAAUUUUCAUCACUCAUGUUGAAUUGAUUGCUUGUAGUGUUACAGUUUGAAAUAUGAAGGACUAAGAAUAGCAAGGGAAACAGUACUUAUGCUUUGGCGUAGUGCUACCAUUUUUCUUACUAGGUACUUGAAAUUCUUCUUGUGCAUAAGCUUUUUGGCUGAAGUGUUGCUCUGGAAGCAUACAACUUAUUUUGGCCCCCUUGAUUUGAGUUCUUUUGUCUUUUAUGAAAUAAUUUCAGAAUGAUAUAUUUAUUUAUUGGUAAUAGCUGUUGGUGAAAUUGACAUUUGAAAGAGAAUAUGCUCACUGGUGACUUCUGAAAUGGGAUCAUUAUACUUAUAAAAUUUACAAAGUCAACAUUUUUUAGGACAAAGUCAACUAGGUAUCCUAUUAUUUUUUCACCAUAGAUUCUUUCACUAUAUUUCCAGUUUCAAAGUGCUAAAUAUUUGGUUGUUGCUCAGAACUAAGCAAUCAUGAGCUAAUUCUUCCCAAAUAUUAAUAUAAUUGAAUUAAUGUUUGUAUUUUUGGAAGAAAAAAAAAAUGUUUGUAGUUAAUUUAGGCAUAAAGUCACUUUUUGUCAUUGUAGUUUGGCACUUCAACCACUUUUGACCCUGUAGUGUCAUAUUUACAUGUUAAAAUUUCCGUCAAUUUCUUUAACGGAGCAACAUGUGAAGGGCAAUUUUGUCGGCCCAAAGCCCCAUGUAAAAGCUUGUCUCUACCUCUUCCCCCGGGCGCACGAAAUUGCCCAUUUUGAAGCAUAUUAGGAUUAGGGCUCUUAAAAAUUUAGUGAAAUUCGUCUAGGUUUUUGAUCGAGUGUAACGAGAGGGUGCGAAAAUAUUAGCAGAACUUCAAUCGGUUGUUGUUUCCGUAAAGAAGCAAGGACGAUGGUGAAGAAGAGAGGUGAAGUCAAUGGAGGCUUCAAUAAUUCAGGUGAACUCAAAAUCUUUAAAGGUUCAGUUUUCUGUGCGAAAUGGUUUAUAACUUUUAUUCGACUUUUCAAUGCAUAUAAGUGGGUUCCAACUCUUUUGUUUUUCCAUUCUUUUGUGGCCUUGUUUUGUUGUGUUUUAGUUCCAAUGGCCUUGUUUUGUUCUGUAACUUCGGAUUUGGAAAGUUGUUGCUUUGUUGCUUUGGCAGUUAUUGCUUGAGAUGGUGGUUGAACAUUUUAUAAAAUAUUCUGUGUGUAUUGAGAGUGAUCCCAUACAUGUUUGAACCAGGGAAAAUUCUACAGUGGGCUUGGCGCAUGGAUGCGCCCAUUGUUACAGACCAUUGGAUGAGUAGUUGGUGAUGUGGAGUUAUCCACACCGUUGAGUUAGUUACCGGAUAAAUCGGUUAUUGUAGGUAAAAAGAAAACAAAAACAAAAACUCUCCUUCAGUAGCAUUGGGUUUCUCUUUUCUCUCUCUUCCAGUUCGACUCCUUCCAAAAUCGCUCCUCUCCUCCUCCUGUGACGACGAGACAGCGCGACGAACACAACUCCUCUCCUCUUAGGUAUCUCUCUCUUUCUUCUUCCUAAUUGUCUCUCUCAUCUCUAUAUCUCAUGGUCUCUCAAUCUCCUUCCCAGGCUUUGUUUCAAAACCAAACCCAUACCAAAAAUCUCAGCCCCAAUUGAAACCCCCAUUUAGCUCGAUCCCUGCCAUCUCCCAAGAUAAUUUUAAUUAUUCAAGGUUUGAGUUUUCUAAUUUAUAUUGUAAGUUUUAGGUUUUAAUAUUGGGCUAUGGUCUCUGCAGGUUUUCAACUUUUUAAUUUGUAUUUGAACCAUUAAUUUGGAGACAAGUUGAGGAUUUCAUAUUAGUGUUGAACUAGAUGUAGAUUUGGUAAUGUUAGUUUAAUUUUGAGUUUACUGCUGCAUUCAUCAUUUUUUGGUUUUUUUUUUCUUUUCCAAUUGAUUUUGAUUUUGAUUUUUCUGAGUUGGUUCUUGUGUCUACAAGUUGCAUCUUAUUUUCAUAUUCGGAUUCCUGAAUGUGCUAUGAUGUCAUUCUUAAGUCUCUUUUUUUUUUUUUUUCCUGGGCUCUGGAGUGUUGCUUUGUUUAGCCCGAAUUCUUCUUUUUUAUGUGGUUUUUUUGCUUUUGUUUGUAGUCUUGGUCGUGUGGGAUGGGGGGUGUGAGGAUUUCUCAUCCUCCUGUAGCCCCAUUGAUUUAUGAAUAUCAUCUUUGGAAGCUUGUUAUGAUUGAUUUUUUUUCUUCUUCUUGUCAGUAUUCUACUAAAUGCAUGUGAAGGUUGCCUCUUUUUUGGGGUUUUAAUGAAAGCUACCUAACAACCAAACAAUAAAAGCCUCUGUUAGUUUCUUUAGUUUCCUUUUAGUGUCUCUAAUUUUUUGCUGACCUUGUGCUUUCUCUUACUAACUGACAAUUGGAUGUUCACUUGGUGUUGUCCUGCAGAAAGAGUGCUGUAAUUUUCUAUGAAUUGCUUGAUUUUCAUUCAUCAUGUGUGCAUCUACAUAGGAAGCCCUGUUAUUACCUCCUCUCUCAUGCUUACUAUCCUAGGAUUGUCUGCCCUUCAUGUAUGUGAGUUUUAAAUUUUCAUCAUUAUAUAUGUUAUUAAGCAUUAGAGAUUAUUUAAGGCAUCAUCUAUUAUCUGAAUUCUGCUUAGUCUUAGUUCCAUGUGCAUUAAUUAACUCUUUAAUUCAUACAUUUGCAUUUUAGCAACUUGAUGUGAUUAUUGUGGCUCAUACCAAAAAGGCAAUCUUAGGCUCAUCAAGGAAAGUCGAGCUUCCAAGUGACUUACUGGAUAUUAGAUCAUUUGGUUUAUUUCCCUAUGUUAUUAACAUUUUUGUAGUGCUGAAUAUUUAUUUGUAUUGGAUGUGAGAUUUCAGUUUGUUGCUUUAUAUAAUUAUUUAGCAAUUUAAUUAUUUCUUUGCACCUUUUGUUUACGAAGCUUUAAUUUUCUUUUUCAGUCAUACUAUACUUUUUGUACUAUCUGUUUUUUUAUUUAGCUUGGCAUUGUGGUCGAGAUGUGGAUGUGAGUUUUUUUGGCUGAAAAGAAACUCAUUGUGAUUUGAGUUUUUUUUUUAACAGACAAAACACCCAAUAUGAUUAAUUUUAGUAUAUAUAUAUAUAUAUAUAUAUUUUUCAUGUUAGGUAUAUGGUUGAUGUUGAAAUUUUUGUGACUCAUUUGAAAAGCAUUAGGUAGAAUUUCUUAAUUGUAAUGAUAUUAUGAGCUCCGACAUUGAGUUCAUCUUCAUCGGAAUUGUUGUAUUAUAUUGAAGUUUGAUAUGGUAUUUAGGCAUGUAAUUACCAAAUUGUAAGGGGUUUUUAGCAGUUGGUGUACGUAACUUAGCAUACAAUUGGCAACCUUUUUGCAUUUUCAUAAUGCUAUUACCAACUGACUAGUCUGUUAUUGCAAUUAGAGUAUGCGACAUUAUAUUUGUUGCCUUGCAUUUUUGUAAUGAAAAUGCAAUUGACAAUCAUAGUCCUAUUUGCAUUCCAGUCGUGCAAUUGACAAUCAUAGUAGUCCCAUGCUUUAUAUGUUUAUUAUGAAAAUACAACAGAAAAUUGAACUAUGUAGUUAGACAAGUUUAUUUUCCAAAAUAAACAUUUGAAUUGAUUAAGGGUAAAAUAAAUACAAGUUAAUAGAAAGUAUUAGGUCAUACAAAUCCGCAUAAAUAAAGGUACAAAGCAUUAGAUUUUCACAUAUUAACUUGGGUUAUUCGUAGCACUAGUUCCUCAAUUAUACUCGUAGCUACAUUUGGGUUACUGAACUCAAUUAUUAGUUGCAGAGGUCAUUCAAAUAUAUGUUUUGUUGCACUAAUAGUCCUUCCGUCAAGUUCUUUUAAAUUUUCUAUCAAAAGUGAGGGUAAAUUCAGAAAUUCAUCCACAACCCUCCCUAUCCUCCACAACUUCAAAAUUUAUAAAUUUGUAAAUUCGGAAAUUCAAAUUGAAUAUCAAAUAAUAAAAAUUCCCACAAGUCUACUACACAAAACUUCAAAACCCUAACCCACCAACCCCUCUUCCCUCUCAACCUCUAGAUGGUUGCAAAUUGACGGCGAAUCGAGUCUAAGAAAGAUUUCUCUUGUGCCGAACCUAUGGUUCAACCUUCCAUUCUUGUUUGCUCCUUCAGGGAGGUCCAAAGAUUCAUCAUUUCAGCACUUACCCUUUUUCAUUUUUGUUUCAAAAGUCUACAAAUUUUAGCACCCAUGAGUCAGAUUUAGUGACUCUUGCAAAAGUGUUGGGUUUUAAAUUGGUGUAUUUGAAUUGGGUUCAAAUAUUAUGGAAGACCGAUGUGAUUUAAGAGAAGGGUUGGUCUCGAUACCCAGAUUGGAUUCAAAGGUUGGUUCUUUUUCCUGCGCGUAUUUUUUGGGUUGUUUUAGAUUGUUGGGGAAAAGCAUAAGAGUACUGAAUUGGGACAAGAACGUGACUUGGGUUCUCGUAAGUGGUUUAAAAUGCGAGAUCUUGAAUCUGUUUGCUGGUUUGAAGGUAUUUAUUAUAAAUAUUUGAAAAUAUUCUUGGUGUUGUGCGACAUCUUUUUAAUUGAAUUUUUUGGUGUCUGCAAGGAUUGGGUUGCGACAAUGGAGGUUUGUGGAGGAAGGGGAGGGUUGUUGAUGAAUUUCCGAAUUUAUCCUCACUUUUGAUAGAAAAUUUAACAGAAUUUGAAGGAAGGACUAAUGGUGCAACACAACACCUAAUUCAGUGACGUCUACAACUAAUAAUUGAGUUCAGUGAUCCAAAUGUAACUACAGGUAUAUUUGAGGGACCAUUGCUACGAAUAACCCUAUUAACUUUUAUUGUUAAGCUCUUUUUUGUUAAGUCAGAUCUCACUUUUAAAUGACGAUGGGAAAUUUGUCUCUUGUUUGGCAAUUUCCAUUGAUAUAUAUAUGUAUAUAUAUGUAUAUAUAUAUCCCUCACUCAAUUAAAUGGUCUGAUGUGUCCCUUCCAGUAGAUUGGACCUUAACCACUGAGAGUCAACCAAUUCCAAUCCAACGUAGAUUAAACAAUUUAGAUUAUAUCCAACAAUAUCUUGAUGGCACUGUGAAAAUUAAUUUUGGUCAUCAGCCUCUACAAAAGUCAACAGUCAAGUGAGUUUCAUAAUAUAAUGAAUGAGAUAUUUAACCCCUACAGUCAUUUCUCCAUAGUCUAUAUUGAUGAUGUCCUUAUUUUUGCUCAGUCAAUAGAACAACAUUGGAAACACUUGUAUAAGUUUUUGCAGAUAGUCAAACAAAAUGGUUUAGUCGUCUCCGCCAAGAAGAUCAAGUUAUUCCAAACCAAUUUCAGAUUCCUUGGUUACAAUAUCUGUCAGUCACAAAUUAGUCCAAUUGAUCGAGUCAUUCAAUUUGUUGAUAAAUUUCCUGAUCAAAUCAUUGAUAAAAGUCAAUUACAUAGGUUUUUAGGAUCUCUUAAUUAUGUUUCUGAAUUUUAUUAAAAUAUGAGAAAACAAUGUAAGCCUUUGUUUGAUCGCCUCCAGAGUAAUCCCCCACACCCCCUGGUCAUCUAUUCAUACUGACAUAGUCAAACAAAUCAAGAUCCAUGUCAAAACACAUCCAUGUUUAGGCAUCCCUUCUGCCAAUUCAUUCAAAAUUGUUGAGACGGAUGGUUCUAAUAUCGGUUAUGGUGGUAUCCUCAAACAAAGAGUCAAUUCUAGUCAAACUGAGCAAAUUAUUCGAUUCCAUUUUGGUACUUGGUCACAAUCCCAAAAUAAUUACAGUACUAUUAAAAAAGAAAUAUUAUCCACAGUAUUAUGCAUUAAUAAACUUCAGUCAGAUUUAUUAAAUCAAAAAUUUUUAGUCCGAGUCGAUUAUAAGUCUGCUAAGCACGUUUUGGAAAAAGAUGGUCAAAAUAUUGCAUCCAAACAAAUAUUUGCACGAUGGCAAGCUAUUUUGAGCAUAUUUGAUUUUGAUAUUGAAUAUUUGAGAGGAAGUGAAAAUUCUAUCCCGAUUUCCUUACUAGAGAAUUUCAACAGGGUAAUCAAUGGCAGAAAGAAGAAGAGAAAAAGAUAAACAAAAAGAGCAUGUUUUACCAUCAAUUACCCUAUUUGCUUCACUUUUGACUUCGUUUUCCACAUGAUUUCACUUCCCAUUCCUAAUGCUUUUGUAACCCCAAAGUGAAUAAGUUUUUUUUUUGGUAAAAAAAAUGUGAUUUUUGGCCUUUGUAAAUAUGUUGUAAACAUGUAUUUAAAAUAUAUUAAAAUUAAUAAAAUAAAUUUAUAAAGGGAAGGUGAGAUAUUAGAGAAGUAAAUUAGGUCUUUAUCCUUGUAAACCAAAGGGUUUACAAUAGUAAGGACUCAUGUGCAAUUGACAAACAGUUAGUGGGGAAAUUGAAACGGAAUAAUGCAAUUGACAAAUAGUAAGUUCAAAAUUGCAAUUGACAAACAGUAAAAUGGAACAUUCGGAAGGUAAAUUGGGUCCUUAUACUUAUAAAUACAAACGUUUACAAUAUUAAGAUCUCGUAUUCCUCUAUGUUAAACAGGUGUGUUCCAUAAGAGUAUAAAACCCAUCCUUAAUAUUGUAAUAUCGUAAUUUACAAAGAUAAAGACAUAUAGUACAAUAUUAAGGUAACUUGGGGCAUUAGGAAAGUAAAUUGGACUUGUAUAAGAAUAGGGUAAGAGUGGACCUUGGUGGAAUAAAUUUGGUCUUUGUCAUUGUAAACAAAGGAGUUUACAACAUAUAGGACUUCCGUUAUAUUGUUAUGGAUAGAGGGGUUCCAUAAAGUUAUAAAAGAGAUCCGUAAUCUUGUAAUAUCAUAAUUUACAAAACUCGUAAUGACCCCCAAUACAAUGUUAAGGUAAGAAUGAACCUUGGAGUAGUAAGUUGAGUCAUUAUCCUUGUAAACAAGGUGGUGGUUACAACAUUAAGGAUUUGUAUUAUACUAAAAUGGAUAUAGUCGUUCCAUUACAUUGUAAAAGCCAUAUUUAAUCUCGUAAUACCAUAAUUUAGAACAACAAGGAAUCCUUGUAUAAGAAUAGAGUAAGAGUGGACCUUGGUGGAAUAGAUUUGGUGCUUAUUCUUAUAAACACAAGGGUUUAUAGUAUUAAGGACCUCUUUUACAAUGUUUUGGACCUCCAUGUUCCAUAAACUUUUGUAAAGCGUAUCCAUAAACUUGUAAUAUCAUAAAUUACAAUAGAAAGGAUCUCUAUUACAUGGUUAAGGUAAUUAUGGACCUUGGAGAUGUAAAAUUGUUACUUAUUCUUGUAAAUGCAAUGGUUUAUAACAUUAAGGAAUCGUAUUACAAUGCUUUGGACGUAAGCUCUCCAUAAACUCGUAACGUAGAUCCUUAAUCUCGUACAGUACAAGAUUUGGAUUCUCAUUUAUGAUUUUUUGCACCAUGAUUACAAUUUUGAGGUUCUUCCUUAUCCCUAGCGUUGUAAUAUCCUGAUUUACAAUUGAAAGGAUCCCUCUUACAAUGAUAAGGUAAGGGUAGACUUUGGAGAAGUAAAGGUGGUCCUUACUCUUGUAAACACAAGGGUUUACAAUAUUAAGGACCUUUUUUACAAUGUUUUGGACCUCCAUGUUCCAUAAACUUGUAAAGUGUAUCUAUAAACUUGUAAUAUCAUAAAUUACGAUAGAAAGGAUCUCUAUUACAUGGUUAAGGUAAUGGUGGACCUUGAAGAUGUAAAAUUGGUACUUAUUCUUGUAAAUGCAAUGGUUUAUAACAUUAAGAACUCGUAUUACAGUGCUUUGGACGUAAGCUCUCCAUAAACUAGUAACGCAGAUCCUUAAUCUCGUACAUUACAAGAUUUGGGUUCUCAUUUAUGAUUUGCACCAUGAUUACAAGUUUGAGGUUCUUCCUUAUCUAUAGCGUUGUAAUAUCCUGAUUUACAAUUGAAAUGAUCCCUCUUACAAUGAUAAGGUAAGAGUAGACUUUAACGUUGUAAAUGUGGUCCUUAUUCUUGUAAACACAAAGGUUUACAGUAUUACGGACCUCUUUUACAAUAUUUUGGACCUCCAUGUACCAUAAACUUGUAAUGUGUAUCCAUAAAUUUGUAAUCUCAUAAAUUACAAUAAAAGGAUCUCUAUUACAAAGUUAAGGUAAUGGUGGAGCUUGGAAAUGUAAACGUGGUUCAUAUUCUUGUAAACGCAACAGUUUAUAACACUAAGGACUUGUAUUACAAUGGUUUGGAUGUAAGUGUUCUAUAAACUUGUAAAAUGGAUCCUUAAUCUCAUAGAUUACAAUAUUUUGAUACUUAUUUACAAGUUUUUGCAUCAUGAUUACAACUUUAAAGUUCUUUAUAAUCCAUAAUCUUGUAAAGCUAUAAUUUACAUUAGAAAGGAUCUCUCUUAUAAUGUCAAGGUAUUAUAAGGGUGGACCUUGGAGAAGUAAAUGGGGUCCUUAUUCUUGUAAACACAAGGGUUUACAAUAAUAAGGACCACUUUUACAAUGUUUUGGACCUCGACAUUCCAUAAACUUGUAAUGGGGAUCCUUUCUAUUAUAAAUUAGGGUAUUAUAAGAUUAUGGAAUAUGAAGAACCUUAAUCUUGUAAUCAGAUUGCAAAAACUAAUAAAUGGGAACCCAAAUAUUGUAAUUUGUGAGAUUAUGAAUCCACUUUACAAGUUUAUGAAACUCUUGCGUCCAAAGCAUCGUAAUACAAAUCCUUAAUGUUGUAAACCAUUGUUUACUAGAAUAAGGACCCAUUUUACAUCCCUACGAUUCAUCAUUACCAAUUCCUUGUAAUAUGGAUCUAUAUCCUUGCAAAAGGCUUAUUUACAACGUUAUGAAUUCGAUGAACCCUAACGUUGUAAUUUAAGAGCAAAACCUUGUAAAUUGUUACCAAAACUUGUAAGUUACGAGUUUAAGGAAUUGGUACCUGUAAUGGUAACUCAAUCACUUUCUUCUUCUUCAUUGCCUCAUUUAGUAUUUUGUUAUGUUACAUACUUAUAUAAAAUUUCGAGUAUUUUAGUUGAAAUUGUAUAUAUUAUAUGUAAAUAUCAUAUUUAUGUAUUCUAUUUUGAUUAUAAAUUGUAAUAUAUAUUAUUUAAGUAUUAUAUUAUUAUAUAUUCUUAUUUAACAUUUUUUUUAUUGGAACAUGAACCAAUUAUAUUACGAAGAUAUGAACAAAAAAGGGAGACGGAUCAUAAGGAAAUUUUUUGUUGGAAGAUGCUAUGAGUCAUCUUUUGUUAUAAAACAUUUGUUUAAAGUUAUUUUUAGAAUAAGCAAGAAUACAUAUAUUUUUAUAUAUAAUAAUAUGUCAUCUUGAGAAGUAAUUAUAGUGUUGCUUCAGAGUAUGUCAUAUAAUAUUUAUUAUAAUAUAAGUGGAUAUUUAUUGAUAUUAUGUCUUAAAAGUUGAAUAUCUUAUCAUGGAUUGAUAUUAAAUACGUAAAUGAGUUAUACUAUGUAGUCGUAUUUUAGUUCCUUAUAGUAAUUUAUUCACAUUUAAGAAAUAACAAAACAAAAAGAAUAGUUUAGAUGUUCAAAAAUUGUAUUUGGUUACAAGUAAAAUUUGUUUUUUUGUUCAGUUUGGCCAAUUGGAUUUAUAUAAAGUUACCCCAGUUUUAUUGAUUUUGGUUACAAGUUAUAUAAAGCAACCCCUAACUCAUGAAUCAUGAAAAAAUUUCCAAAUGUUGUGAAAUAAUUGAAAUAAUUGUAACAACAUUAUAGUCCACCCUAAUCCAUAACACUAUAAUACCCUAAUUUACAAAGAAAAUGAUACAUAGUACCAAGGUAAGAAUGGACUUUGGACGAGUAAAAUUAUUUCAUUAUCCUUGUAAACACAACUGAAAAUCUUGUAAUCUAUGAGAAAACUUGUAAACUUUCUACUUUUCUACUUGUUUUUCUUGAUUUCAAUCCUAACAUUGUAAUAUAAAAUACACGACCAUGUUAGGAAAAGAAUAUAAAUUUAUAAUACUUCGUGGAUGUCUACAAAAGUACAACCAUGUAACAUAGAGUUCAACAAGUAAUAUAGUUCUUAUUUUAGAAAUUGAUUUCAACCAAUUACAUAGACAAAACUCAAGGUGAAAAAAUUUGAUGGAUAAAGACUUUCAAGCUCUCAAAUAAAUAUUGAUGCACAUUUACCAAUUCUAUGAAACAAAAGUAACAAAAAAUUAAAACUAUCAACCUCAAUUGAUUUUUAAAAACUAGGCAUAAAAUACAGAGGAAUUAACCACAACUAGUCAUCAUAAUUCAUAUAAAUAAAACCAGCAACUCAUAAUGAACUUGAGUAAAGCUACAAUGAGGUGACAUAUCGAAAUCAGAAGGAAAAAAAAAGUCAAACAGUUCUCAUAAAUAAAAAAAGUCUAAAACGGUAACUUUAUAUUUAUAAAAGCAAACAAAUACAUUUGUGAAAUUCAUAUGCAUGUCAUCGUGAGUCAAAAAGAAUAAACUCAAUGAAAAAUAACAUGUCCAAUCAUAUGCCAAUUGCCAAACAGGAAUAGCAUAAUUACAUGACCCUUAUGCAAUUGCAUUUUUAAAAAGUGAAAACUUGAUAACUUGUAUAACCGGUAACCAAUUUUUAAAAAAAUCUAAGAAUAUCAUAUAGGACAAAUGAUGUAUGGGUGCACCUGGUGCACCAUAGAAGGUGCCUUUGAACCAGUAGUAAAGCCUUUAGGAAGCACAAUGGUCUACUUAAGAACCUGGAUUCGGCCAAAAACCCUAAAUCGCUCUCUCUCUCUCUCUCUCUCUCUCUCUCUCCACUAGUCCCCAACCCUUCAGCACCGCUUUUGGGGGGGAGGCGGUCUGCCCCUCCUCCCCUCCCCUCCUUUUCCUCCUUUUUUCUCCUUCCCUCUUUUCUCUCCUCUUCCUUUCUCUCUUGAUUAUCCCUCCUUGUUUCCUCUUCCUUUUACUGUAUCCUCCUCACCCUCUGUGGUGAUUCUGCUUGGGCUUUAUGCUCAUUUCCGGACAGGGGCGGACGCACGUUGGGACAAGAGGGGUCGGACGACCCCUUGGAAGGCUGGAAAGUUGGCAAGGGACUCUAUAAAAGCCCCCUUGGAUAGCUGCUGGAAGCCCCCUUAUAUGCACGCCAACUGCUCGACGGAAGUCCCAGGAGGCAGAAGCUUUGCUGCGCAGCUGUGCUGCGGCUUGCGCGUCUCUUUUUUUUAAAAACAGCCUUGCCAAACGACGUCGUUUGGUCCAAGGCUCAGUCAAAUUUUUUUUUAAAUGACCUGGCCUCAAAACGACAUCGUUUUGGGCCAGUUUAAAUAUUAAAAAAAAGAAUGCAGCCCUUCGAAUCUGCACAGCAGUCCCAAACCCUUCAUUUCCAAUUUCACACCUCCUCUUCCCACCCUGUCAAACCCUAACCUCUCCCAACCUCCCAACCUCCGACAACCUCUAUCAACUCUUCGCCGGUGGCCCAGUGCCGAUCACCGCUGCCGUUCGGAACUUUUACACUAAGCCCCCUUAACCACAUAAUUCUGGAUCCGCCACUGUUUCCGGAGGUUCUUCGUUUAUUGUUGUCGCUUGUCGCCUGGUCUCCACCACAGAUCUCCGCUCCUCGUGUUCAUGGAUCAUGGAUGCCUCCUCUGCCAGUCUUACUUGGCGGCGUGUUCGGGUAUGAGGAUGCCUUUAAAGUGCAAUAUGCACUAUUUACUUGGAUUAUGGGAGCGCAUUUUGCGCGGGUGGCUUGUUCACCCCCAUCUUCCGUUCAUAAGUUUGGUUCGCUUUGUUACCAGGGACUCCCUCUUGGUGGCUGUGGAUUUGCAAUGGUGGUUCGGCUGCUUUGCUAUGGUUGGUGCGGCGGCAACUUGUUUUCAGUUUUAGGGUUGUUCAGGUUGGAAACUUUGUAUAUGGGCCUUGCUUGUCUUACAGUUCUGUUUUGUAACCUUUUGGGCCUGCGUCUUGGGCUUCUACUUAGGUUAUUCAGCCUACAAACUAUUGUAAUGUUUCUACAUAUUUAAUGAUGGGAGUUUGUUGACGAAAAAAAAAAGUAAAGCAGUAUGCAUGCCAUUUGUUAUUUAAUAGCUUUGAAUGCUUUGGUUCACAUAAAGUAAAGCAAUAUUUUCAAUCUCAUACCGUUGGUUUUUCAGAUGCUGGCCCUCCACAAUUUCCUUAUGUCGAUGCAUUUGAUGAGGUUCCAGAUGAAUAUUUUGAUGAUAUUUUUAAUCAAGCUUCACAAAUUUCCGACAAUAAUAAUGACAACGUGGGAACAAUAGAGGUGCCUGUGUAUGGACAUAAUAUUGGCAAUCAAAGACAAAUUGGGGUGCAGGAUCAAUGAAUUCGAGACCUACUCUUAAUAUGCAAAUGGGAGGUGCAAGUUCUGUGAACCCAAGGCAUAUGGGAGUUAGCAUUAGGCCUCCACUAUCGAGGCAAAUGGGAGGUUCAAGUGUUGAAAUAUAAUCCUUCUACAGAUUUCUUAGAGCUGAAGUCAUUUUCUAUUUUCUGUUAAGUCUAUUUUAAAUGAUGUAAUGAGAACCAUUAGAUCAUAGUCUAGGUGGAUUCUCUAGCUUAGAUUUGGUAUGACACGUGUAAGCACCUAAUAGGGUGACAGCUGUCAGACACACUAUGUAAGCUGCAGAUUGUAAGAAUUCAAUAGAACAGUGCCUUCCCCAUUUCUCUUCAUUCUCUCUAGCUAAAAUCUGCAGAAUAUACACCUCUUCCUAAUCUGAAAAUACUAUACAGACAGAGAAUUCUAACAUGGCCUCAGAGCUAGGUUCGAUUGUUUGUUGGGCGUGAAUCUGUGAGAAUCGAGCUGGUGUUUGGCUGAGCUGACGUUGAGCUCACUCAAAACUUCACGAAGCUUUUCUAGCUGCGUCUGAUGUCUAACAUGGCAGGAUCAAGCUCUUCUGAGCUUCGUACACCAGUUUUCAAUGGAGAAAACUAUGAGUUUUGGAGCAUUCGAAUGAAGACCAUUCUGAAAUCUCAUGGACUAUGGGAUUUGGUUGAACAUGGUUUUGAUGCUUCAGAUCCAAAGAAGGAAAAAGGAAAGGAAGAAGGAUCUAAAGCUACUGAAGAAGAGAAGUCUACAUCGGCUGAGAUUUUGAUGAAAGAUGCUCGUGCACUUGGACUGAUCCAAGGUGCAGUCUCAGACCAAAUUUUUCCCAGAAUAGUGAAUGAAGAAACCUCAAAAGGUGCAUGGGAUAUUCUGAAGCAGGAGUUUAGAGGCGAUAAACAGGUACGAAGUGUGAAGCUACAAGGCUUACGUAGAGAGUUUGAAUACACUCGUAUGAAGGAUAGUGAGUCAUUCUCUGGUUAUGUUGCUAAACUGUUUGAUCUAAUUAAUCAAAUGAAAAGUUAUGGUGAAGAGUUACCUAGAGAAAGAGUUGUGCAGAAAUUGCUUAUUAGUUUGCCUAGAUCUUAUGACUCUAUAUGUUCUGUGAUUGAGCAUUCAAAGGAUCUUGACACUCUUGAAAUUCAAGAAGUGGUUGCGUCUCUCAAGAACUUUGAGCUCAGAUUGGAUAGGCACACUGAAAAUUCCACAGAAAAGGCUUUUACUAGCCUGAACAUAGAGAGUAAAAGCUCUAAGAAUGGAAGUUCUUCUGGAGGUAACAAGUCUCAGAGGAACUGGAAGGAAAAUGGGAAGAAUUGGAAUAACAAGUCCAAUUCUAAUCCCAAACCAAAUGCAUCAAAUGAUGGAACUAAAACACCUUGCAAGCACUGUGAAAAACUGCACUAUGGCAAGUGCUGGUUUGAAGGAAAACCAAAAUGCAGAGGAUGUGAAAAGUUUGGUCACAUGGUUAGAGAUUGCCAUGGAAAUCAACCUGUGCAGAAGGUGAAUUAUGCCAAUCAGGUUGAAGUAACUGGAACAUUGUUUUAUGCAUGCAAUGUCGUGACAGGUGUGAAAUUGAACAAUUCUUGGUAUGUGGACAGUGGUUGUAGUAAUCACAUGACUGGAGAUGAAAGGCUACUGAUAGAUAUUCGAAGGGAUGUAACUUCUAAGGUGAAAAUGGGGACUGGAGAGACAAUUCAAGUUGCAGGAAAAGGCACACUUGUGAUAGAAACCAAGACAGGCAGAAAACACAUUCAAGAAGUGAUGUUGGUGCCUGGUUUAGAAGAGAACUUGCUCAGUGUUGGUCAGAUGAUGGAACAUGGGUAUUGUUUAGUAUUUGGAAAGAGAAUGGUGACAAUUUUUGAUGAUUGGUCACUGCAAAAUCCUAUAGCUAAGAUUCCAAUGACUAGCAAUAGGUGUUUCUCACUCACAAUGGUACCUGCUACUCAGUUGGUGCUGAGAGCAAGUGUGACUCACAGUUUGCAGACUUGGCAUAAAAGGCUGGGCCACCUUAAUGAUCAAAGCAUCAGGAUGCUGGCAAAUCAAGACAUGGUUCAUGGACUGCCUAGUCUGGAGAAGGAUUUUGCAGUUUGUGAAGGCUACAAGCUGGGAAAGCAGCAUAGAGACUCAUUUCCUGCAGAAUCUACUUGGAGAGCUCAGUUUCCAAUUGAAUUAGUUCACACUGACAUCUGUGGUCCAAUGCAGAUUGCAUCAAUGUCAGAAAACAGAUAUUUCCUGUUAUUCAUUGAUGACUAUACAAGAAUGGCUUGGGUUUAUUUUCUCAGAAAUAAAUCUAAUGCUUUUGAAUGUUUCAAGAAGUUCAAAGCAAUGACAGAAUUGCAGAGUGGACACAAGGUGAAAUCACUUAGAAGUGACAGAGGUGGAAAAUUCAUGUCAAAUGAAUUUCUUGCAUACUGCAGUGAGGCUGGAAUACAAAGGCAGCUGACUGUAGCAUAUUCCCCUCAGCAAAAUGGAGUUGUUGAGAGGAAGAACAGGACUGUAAUUGAGAUGGCAAAGUCUAUGCUACAUGAAAAGAGUCUUCCAUAUGAGUUUUGGGCAGAAGCUGUUCAUACAGCAGUCUACCUUCUCAACAGGUGUCCUUCUAAGUCUCUUAAGAAAAUGACACCAUUUGAGGCCCACACAGGAGGAAAGCCAGGUAUUGCACACUUGAAAGUGUUUGGAUGCCUAUGUCAUGUACUUAUUCCUUCUGUUUUGAGACACAAGUUGGAAGAAAACAGUCACAAAUGCAUUUUUGUGGGCUAUGGAUUGUGUGAAAAAGGCUAUAGACUGUAUGAUCCUAAGACUAGAAAGAUUAUCUUGUCUAGGGAUGUCUAUUUUGAUGAAGAAGCCUCAUGGAAAUAGGAGAAUCCUAGCAAUGCAGAUGUGAGAAUGCCUAUGCCAGAUGGAAAUCAAGGUACUGCAGAAACUGAACAGAGGGUAUUAGAUGAACAAUCUCAGUUUUUGGAUACUCAAAUGCAGAUGGAAGAAGAAAUUGCACCUCAAGGGGAAGAAAUGCUUGAUGAGACUCAAAGGUUUGAUCACACACCUCACAAGUGGAGGAGUAUUAAUGACAUCAUGACACAAUGCAACAUGUGCAUUGUAGAACCUGACAGCUUUGAAGAAGCAGAUUUGGAUGAAUCAUGGAGAAGUGCAAUGGAGGCUGAAUUCGAGAUGAUUGAGAAGAACAAUACAUGGAAAUUAGUUGACAGGCCAUUUGACAAACCAGUAAUUGGUGUUAAGUGGGUCUACAAGGUCAAACUGAACCUAGAUGGUACUGUGUAGAAGAAUAAAGCUAGGCUUGUAGCUAAAGGCUAUUCACAGAAGCCUGGAAUCGACUAUAAUGAGACAUUUGCCCCUAUGGCAAGACUUGACACCAUCAGAACCUUGAUAGCCCUUGCAGCACAAAAGGAAUGAAACCUAUUUCAACUGGAUGUGAAGUCUGCCUUUCUCAAUGGCAUUCUAAAGGAGGAAGUUUAUGUUGAACAACCUCAAGGAUAUGUUCAAGAGAGCAAGGAAACCAAGGUAUACAGGUUGAACAAGGCUCUAUAUGGACUGAAACAAGCCCCAAGGGCCUGGUAUGAUGAAAUAGAUGCCUAUUUCAACACUGCAGGUUUUAAGAAGAGCUUAAGUGAAGCUACUCUCUAUAUCAAAACAAGUGACACCUCAGGUAUUAUCAUUGUCUCACUCUAUGUAGAUGACAUUAUAUAUACUGGAAGCUGUCCUAAAAUGCUUGAAGAGUUUAAACAAGAUAUGAUGCAACACUAUGAGAUGACAGACUUCGGUCUGUUGCACCAUUUUCUUGGCAUGGGAGUGGAACAAACUGAUAAGCAUAUUUUCAUUCAUCAAAAGAAAUAUGCCAUGAAAAUUCUUGAGAAGUUUGGAAUGAGAGACUGCAAGUCAGUGGCAAUUCCAUUAGUGGUGAAUGAGAAAUUGUGUAGAGAAGAUGGAAGUGAAGCAGCAGAUGAAAAUGAAUUCAGACAGAUUGUAGGAAGUCUGCUUUAUUUGACUGCCACAAGACCAAAUGUCAUGUUUGCAUCUAGCUUGCUUGCCAGGUUUAUGCACAAUCCCUCAAAGAAACACAUGGGAACUGCUAAAAGGGUGUUGAGAUACAUACAAGGCACAUUAGAUUUUGGAAUUGAGUUUGCAAAGGGGAAAACAGCUACUCUAAUUGGGUAUUGUGACAGUGACUGGGCUGGGAGUGAGGAUGAUAUGAGGAGCACCUCAGGAUAUGCCUUCACACUAGGCUCAGGCAUGUUCUCUUGGGCUUCCAUUAAGCAAAACACAGUUGCUUUAUCUACAACCGAAGCUGAGUAUGUGAGUGCUGCAGAAGCAACUUCACAAGCUAAGUGGCUCAGAUUUGUGCUUGAAGAUUUUGGUGAAGAACAGGUAGAAAGGACUCCAAUUCUAUGUGACAACACCUCUGCAAUUGCAAUGGCAAGGAAUCCAAUUCAUCACCAAAAGACAAGACACAUCAGCAGGAAAUUUCAUUUUAUAAGGGAAGCCAUUCAAGCAAAAGAAAUUGAACUGGUGUACUGCAAGACAGAAGAUCAGAUAGCAGACAUUUUGACUAAGGCUCUGCCUAAGGAUCGGUUUGUGAGGUUGAGAAGCUUGCUUGGAGUGAAAUCAGCUAAAGGAUUAGAAGGGAGUGUUGAAAUAUAAUCCUUCUACAGAUUUCUUAGAGCUGAAGUCAUUUUCUAUUUUCUGUUAAGUCUAUUUUAAAUGAUGUAAUGAGAACCAUUAGAUCAUAGUCUAGGUGGAUUCUCUAGCUUAGAUUUGGUAUGACACGUGUAAGCACCUAAUAGGGUGACAACUGUAAUUCUGUUAGGAGAGAAUCACAUUUCUCUCUCUGUCAGACACACUAUGUAAGCUGCAGAUUGUAAGAAUUCAAUAGAACUGUGCCUUCCCCAUUUCUCUUCAUUCUCUCUAGCUAAAAUCUCCAGAAUAUACACCUCUUCCUAAUCUGAAAAUACUAUAAAGAUAGAGAAUUCUAACAUCAAGUGCCCGAUGGAACCCACCAGAAAAAGCAACAAAUAAGAAAAAUUCCAAGUCAAUUGAAAUUGCUUAUUUUGGUUGUUGGCCAAUAUUUUGUGAACUGAAGUUAGCCUUUACUUUAUAAUGUAGUUUAAUAGUUUCUGGUCGUUGGCCAAUAUUUUGUGAACUUUCUGUUAAAAUCUGAAAAUUAUGGAGAGGAUGGAGAGAAUCACAGAAUGUAUUUUCUGGUUUCUUAAACUUGAUUGCUUUGUAUCCCUUAUAGCAGUAAUUUAUACAAGGAGCAGGCUUGCUAACCAAGCUCAAUAUUAAUUACAAGUAGGUAGAUUGCAGCUGGUCUUUAGCUCCUAAUCCUGGAGAUUGCGGCAGCCUCCCGAAGUUAAGCCAACCACAUUACUGCAGCCAACCUCAUUAAUGCAGCCAAUCUACAACUGGUCUAGCUAACACUCCCCCUCAAGUUGAUGCAUAGAUAUCACCAAUGCCUAACUUGACCAAAGAGUUGUGGAAUACUUUGCUAGAAACUGCCUUUGUUAAUAUAUCAGCCAAUUGGUCUUCUCAUUUAACAAAUGAGAGCCGAAUUUCUUUGGCCUCAAGUUUUUGCUUAAUGCAAUGUUGAUUCACUUCAUCAUGUUUAGUGCGACUGGGUUGAAAUGGAUUGUGUACAAUGGAUAUUGCGGCCUUGUUGUCACACUGCAAGUGCAUUUAUGAAGUAGGCGCAUAUCAAAUUUCUGUUAGCAAUUUCUUUAAUCAAAGGAGUUCUCAAAUUCCUUUGGUCAUACUUCUAAAUUCGGCUUCGGUACUAGAUAAGGCAACUACAUUCUGUUUUGUGCUUCUCCAAGUAACCAUGUUACCUCCCACAAAUGUGAAGUAACCUGAUGUUGAUUGUAUAUCAGUGAUAGUCCCUGCCCAAUCUGCAUCUGUACAACCAUUGAUAUUUAGAUGAUUAUUUCUAGAAAAAAUAAGUUCUUUUUCAGGUGCCGACUUUAAAUAUUUAAGAAUUUAGAGAACCACAUUCAUAUAGUCUUCACUUGGACAAUGCAUAAAUAGAGGGACAAUGCAUAAAGUGACUAAUAAUACUCAUAGCAUAUGCAAUGCAAUGUCUGGUCGGGUAUGUGACAAGUAGAUCAAUCGCCCCACUAAUCUUUGAUAUAUUUCUUUGUUAGUGGGUACUUAAUCAGGAUACUCUCCAAGAUGGUGGUUCUGGAUGAUUGGAGUGUUCACGGGUUUGCAAUCAAGCAUUCUCGUUUAUGCUAAUAACUCCAAAACAUACUUUCUUUGAGAGAAAAAUAUGUCUUGUUUUGAUCGAGCAACUUCGAUACCCAAGAAGUAUUUGAGUCCACCAAGGUUCUUCACCUUAAACUCUUUUGCCAAAUAGUCUUGUAGCAGGGAGAUUUCCUGCUUAUCAUUCUCAGUAAUAAUCAUAUCAUCAAUAUAAAGUGUGAACUUACCACAUUAUCCUCAUUUAAUUAAGAAUUUCAAUUCUUAAUGUUUGCAUUAACCAAGGGCAUUUUAUGGUAUUUUGAAUGUUUUUCCAUUAUCUGCCUUAUAGAUCACUUACAACAUGAAUUUAUACAAGAAGCAGGCUUGCUAACCAAGCUCAAUAUUAAUUACAAGUAGGUAGAUUGCAGCGGGGCUUGAGCUCCUAAUCCUUGAGCCCUUAAUCCUGGAGACUGCAGUAGCCUCCCAAAGUCAAGCCAACCACAUUAACGUAACCAACCUCAUUAAUGCAGCCAACCUACAACUGGUCUAGCUAACACUUUGUUCUUUUGCUAUACUGUAACAGCCCUUUAAUUCUUCUUUUGUUAUCAGACAUGCUUUUUUUGCUGCAAGUGUAAGACCCCUGUUUUGGGUAUAAUGCAAUCAAAUUUGAUUGGAAAAAAAAAAGCACUCAAAUGUUCAUUGUGAAAUAGCAAUCAGAUUUAACAAUCAUAAUAGAAAGAUACGAAAUUCUUGGGUUUUUAUUUAUUUAUUUAUUAAUUAAUUUAAUAGAAAAAUACUUCAUUAGAAAAGCCCCAGAAAGGCCAAAGGAGGAAACAAGACAGGAAUAAAUGAUCCUGCAUAAAUACAAAACAAAACCACCAGGCGAUAGCAACUAAAGCCAAAGCCAAAGAAAACCGUAAGUAAACGUACAUAACACGAGCAAAGCCCUCCAACCAUCGAAACAAGAACUGGUUGGUUUUACAGUUUUGUACUCCAUUUUCAAAGCAGCCACUAUCUCCUUCAAUUGCUAUAGUUGCUAUAGUUGCUAAGUGGUGGUGGGUGUGAGGUGGAGAAUGGUGGAGAGAGUUGAGAAAGGAGGAAGAGAAAUUGGUUAUAGCAAAAGAAGAAAGUGUUAGCUAGACCAGUUGUAGGUUGGCUGCAUUAAUGAGGUUGGCUACAUUAAUGUGGUUGGCUUGACUUUGGGAGGCUACGGCAGUCUCCAGGAUUAGGGGCUCAAGGAUUAGGAGCUCAAGACCUGAUGCAAUCUACCUAUUUGUAAUUAAUUUAUAUCCCAAACGGCUAUGUAUAUAGAACCAUGAGCACACAUCUAAGCAUCCACACAAGAAAUGCAGUUCUUUACCAAACAAAACUUGAGCACAAAUUUGUCAAUGGAUUCUUCCGUAUCCAAGAUGCUUCAAUUGCCAUCCUUUUUUGUCUUCUUAGCUUCUCUUUUCUUCUUAUUGAUGCUUUUCAAAUACUGGAAGAAAUCUCAAGCCAAAGGCCUGAGCAAAUUGCCUCCUGGGCCAAAGCAGCUGCCUAUUAUAGGGAACGUGCACCAGUUGAUUGGUGCCCUACCACAUCAUGCUGUCACCGACUUGUGCAACAAACAUGGUCCUGUCAUGAAACUGCAACUGGGGGAAAUUUUUGCCGUGAUCAUUUCAUCACCGGAAGCAGCCAAAGAGGUCUUGAAGACGAGUGAGAUCAGCUUCGCGCAAAGGCCGGAAGUGUGUGCAGUUGAAAUAAUGGCAGAAGAUCAUUCAGGCAUCGUGUUUGCUCCUUACAAUGAGUACUGGAGACAACUGCGAAAGAUAUCCGUGAUGGAGCUCUUAAGCGCUAACCGUGUCCGAUCGUUCAGAUCGAUAAGGGAAGAGGAGGUGUGGAAUCUUGUCGAGUUCAUCGCUGCCUCUGAGGGACAUACCAUAAAUUUGAGUGACAAGAUAUACACAAUGUCAAAUGAUGUGGUUGCUAGGGCAGCAUUUGGUAACAAGUGCAAAUACAAACAUGAGUUUAUAUUAUUGCUUGAGGAAACUAUGCUUUUUGUUGGGGGCUUUAACAUCGCUGACUUGUACCCUUCUCUUACAUUUCUUCGUUCCAUGAGUGGGAUGAAGCCUGCAUUGAUGAAAAUUCAGAAAAAAAUUGACGAGAUUCUUCAAGAUAUUGUGAGCGAGCAUAAGAUGAAAAGAGAAGCAAGUAGAAAAGGCUUUGGUAAGAUUGGUGUAGAUGAGGAAGAUCUGGUUGACACGUUUCUGAAUUAUGAGGAGGCCGAUAAGCAUGAGUUUCAUCUGACAACCGAUCAAAUCAAAGCCGUCAUUAUGGUACCAUCUCUACACUCUAGCACUAACUGUUUUAAUUGGGUAGUGGGCUUGUACCUCGAUUCGAUAAUAGAAAUUAUUGUGCAUUUGAGUUUUUGCGUUCGAAUCCCUCUCCAACAUCUCUUGUAUUUCUAUACUCCUAAGUUGCCUAAAACAUACUAAAUCAUCUAAUACACUCACACAAGCUCUAAUGAGCCUAAAAAUUAUUAAACAAGAACAAGAUGUCUAGAGAUGGUGUUCUUAGUGGUUGUUUUUUUUUUCUUGGCUUAUUGUGUUCUCUGUUGGAUGUUCUCACUAUCUUGUGGCCGUGCAAAAGAUUAUGAUUUCAUAGCAGGACUCUUUUGACAGUUGGAUUGUGUUGUAGUAUUCUCGUUGGAGGUCUUUGCAUCGAAGGUUUAUGCGUCAGCUUGCUGUUUUAUUUUAUCUUGCUCUAACAUUGAUCCUACGUGAUUGUUUCAGACUCUCUUAUUAAUCUAUGACAUCUGUGGUACUCUUUCCCAUUAUAAUAAUGAAGCAAUCUAACAUCCAAAUUAAGACAAUCUGAGGCUCUUUCACUAACGAUCACACAUGAUCGAAGAAACUCUGGCAUAGGCAUCCAAACUAAGAGUGCAAACUCAAAAAGAAAAAAGAAAAAAAGAUUAAGCUUGAAAAAACCAAACCAUAACAAUACAAAUUAAACUCUAACAAUACAAAAGCCUUAAAGUUACCUUUUAAUAUAUACUAACGAAACCUAAUAUUACUGUACAAGCAUAUAAUUCAUUGCAACUUCACAAUGAUUUCAGGAUAUAUUUUCAGCAGGAAGUGAGACUUCAGCAACAACAAUGGAAUGGGCAAUGUCAGAGCUUCUGAAAAACCCUAGAGUAAUGGAGAAAGCACAAUUGGAGGUGCGACAAGUAUUCAAAGGAAAAAACAAAAUCGAAGAGGAAGAUGUUGAAAAGCUACAUUACUUGAAAUUAGUCAUGAAGGAAACUUUUCGAUUGCACCCUCCGGUUCCUUUAAUCCCGAGAGAGGCAAGGGAAAGAUGUGAAAUUGGUGGAUAUACAAUACCAGCCAAGGCCAAAAUCCUCAUCAAUGCCUAUGCAAUAGGGAGAGAUCCAAAACUUUGGGCUGAUCCUGAAUGCUUUCAACCAGAGCGCUUUCAAGGUUCUUCCAUUGACUUUAAAGGAAACAAUUUUGAAUUGCUUCCAUUUGGUGCAGGUAGGAGGAUGUGUCCAGGCAUCUCAUUUGCUACUUCAAAAGUUGAGCUUGGACUUGCUCAACUAUUGUACCACUUUAACUGGAACCUUCCAAAUGGGACUAAACUAGAAGCCCUCGACAUGGCUGAGAAAUUUGGAAUGGCGGCUAGAAAAAAGAACAAUUUGAAUUUGAUUGCCACUACUUAUAUUCCUUUCAACAAAUGAGACACUGUCUAAAAGAAUAAUGUAAUAAAUAGAAGAAUAAUGUAAUCUUAUUUUGAAUUUAACUUGCAACUCUCUUAGGCAGCAGUUUGUUGGUUUAGUAAGAGAAAAACUUAGUUGCAAUGGGGAUAGCACUGUUUUGCUUAUCUCCGGCCAAUAAUGCUAUGCCAAGUGGUAGUGUUAUCAUGCAUGUCAUAGCAUUAUUAUUGUGCUAUCCCUGUGGCAUGGAAGUCUUUCUCGUUUAGUACAGACCUCCACUUAUUCCUUGAAAAUUAAUCAUUUUGUUCCUUUAUCUUGUCCAAAGUAUCAACUUAUGUGAUCACCCAAAGAGGAAAGUACAAACGUAUUUGGUUAGAAUCAAGAAAUCAAAUUGAAGAUCAGUUGCAGAAGCCAAAUUGUGGAGUAAGCGAGUUAAUUUUUUAAGGCUAAUAAUUGAAAAGCCGUUUGUAUUUUACUAAUUCUAUAUCUGUAUAUAGAACAAUAACCAUAUCUAGCUAGCAUUGAUAAGUGUUUUAUUUCCUAUAUUUUUAUACCUUUUAUAUAUAUGUUUUGUAGGGAAAGUUAAUUAAAAAGAGUAUUAUCACUUUACUUUCCUUAUUUUCAGCUAUUCUGCGCUCUUGGAAGGAUUUCAACUGAAAAUCGACUUUUCGAAUGAAUUUUAGUGCAAGGCCAAUUGUAGAAGAAAGCUAAGACAUUGAAGAUCAUUGUGUCAAAGUUUCAUAAUUUUCUACCAAGCCAAAUGCUCCAGACCUGCAAGUCAAGACAGCCUAAGUUGAAAUCCCGUUAGAACUGCACUGCUGUGGAAGAUUGAAGAUUUGAAUAGCUUUAUGAUUUUUCCUAGUGGCAUGUAAUAUAUGUUUGGAAAGCUUAGAGAUCAAACUAUGUUUUUCAUAUUUUUCCAGAAUUUUCUAGGAAGUGGAACCACCCCAAAACGUGCAUGCAAGUUGGCUGACGUGUUUCCUAGUCAAAGAAGGAUUCUUUCCUAGUUUGUUUCCUUAAUUGUUUGAGAUUUUGUUUUGCUUUAGGAGAGUUUUUCUAGACCUUUUUAGAGUAGGGUUUAGUUAUUUUACACUAUAUAAGGUCACCCUAAGGAUCUCUUCAGGGCAUCAUCUUUUCCAUCAUCCCCAUAUACAACUUUCAUACACCCACAAAUAUAUCAUAGAGAGCCAAGAAUUUGCUGUCGUUGUGUUGCUGUGGAGAAUCCAGAGAUCAAGUCCAUCUGCCAAAUCGGUUUUAUGACGACAAUUCUCUUGUUUAUCUUUUCUUUUGUCAUGAACUAAUUUUUCUUGCUAGGGCUACGAUGUAGCCUAACCAUGAAUACUUAAUUUUUAUAGUUAUAUUAAUUUCUAAUUAUUAUCCCAUGUUGAGUAUUUGUUACUAUUCUUAAUUAAUGAUUUAAAUAUCUAGCUAAUAUUUAAUUGAUGAUCCAAGCGGAGACUGAGAGGAGAUGUUUGGUGUUUGCUUCUUGUAACAAAUACCAUGACUUGAAUGAGUGCCCGAGAUGGAUGACUCAUGCAGUUUUCUUAUAGGUUCUCAUAGAACUUAAUGGGUUCUUAGUUUUCUAAAUCCGUUGCUCGAGAGAGAAUGGGUUGUUAAUUGAGAAUACUUUUGGUUGAGCCUGAGAGGGGAUAUCGAAUGAAUUAGCAGAAACCAACUGUCAACAUGGAUAGUAAUUAGGGUUAAUUGGCUAUAGGAAUUAAGUAGAAUUGGUUAUGGUGAAAUCGGAUGCUCUAGUGUCUCAUCAACUUGAUUUUCCAACAUUAAUUAAAUUGCUAUUUUUCAUAAUUGUUUUAGCUUACUUAAAUCAAUCAAUCUUCUUAAUCAACUGUUCAAAUAAAUUCUAAAUUAAUCAUAAUUGGUAGUUAAUAGGAAAUUACAGUCUUCGUGGGAACGACACUUUACUUAUUUCUAUAUUACUUGUACGAAUUGUGCGCUUGCAAUAAUUACACAACAAGCAUCCACAACAGAGUUGGAGUUCUUUCCAAUAAAAACUUGAAGACAAAUUUGUCAAUGGAUUCUUCAAUAUCCCAGCUGCUCCAAUUGCCAUCCUUUACUCUCUUCUUAGCUUCUCUUCUCUCCUUAAUAUUCGUUCUGACAUUGGAUGAAAUCCAAAGUCCAAGGCAAGUUGGCUGCAGGGCCAAAACAGCUGCACAUUAUAGGGAACUUGCACCAGUUGAUUGGUGCUCUACCACAUCAUGCUGUGACCAACUUGUGCAAGAAACAUGGUCCUAUUAUGAAACUACAACUGGGUGAGCUGCUGUCGUUAUUUCAUUGCCGGAAGCAGCAAAAGAGGUGUUAAAGAUAAAUGAGAUCAAUUUCUCGCAAAGACCUGAAGUGUAUGCUGUUGAAAUAAUCACCUAUGAUCCUUCAAGCUAAAGAGAAAAGGAAUGCAGAGACAAAGAUGAGGCAGCAAAGACAAUAAAGAAGGUUUUGUAUUAUAUAUUUUUACUCCAUAUAUUACACAGUGAAUAAAUGAAUGCUUUUAUAGACAGCUUUUACAAAUAUUCUAGAAUGGACUAGAAGGGACUAAUAGAUAAGGACCAGCUAAGGUAGCCGUUUGGGAGGAGAAUAUGCUGAGCAUAUGCUGAGUCAUAUUUGGUCUUUGCUAGCUGGUGCAUGCUGGCAUGUACGAUUCAAUCUUGAGGCUUCAUUUGGAAUGGUGCUUUGUGGUGCUGCAUCAAUGGUUGUGAUAUUGGGCUGCUGUGUAUGGAUAUGAGCCCCCCUCAAGUUAAUGUUGGAUGGUGCAACAGUUAGCUUGGAACAGAGAUGACGAAACUGUGUUUUGGGAAGAGGCUUGGUAAAGAUAUCUGCUAACUGUUGUGGGGAGGAAAUAUGAGAAAUUUGAAUAAGGCCAUUGACCACCAGUUCUCAAAUGAAAUGGUAAUCGACCUCCACAUGUUUGGUGCGUGCAUGAAAAAUGGGGUUGGCAGCAAGGGCUAAAGCACUCAUAUUAUCACAGAGAAUGAGAGGGGCUUGAGGUAAGAAGAAAUGGAGAUCUUUGAGGAGAGAACAUAUCCAAGAGAUUUCAGCAGUGUGGGCUAGUGAGCGAUAUUCAGAUUCUGUGGAUGAGCAAGAAACUGAAUUUUGUUUCUUUGCACUCCAAGACACAAGGUUGUUGCCGAAGAAAAUGCAAAAGCCAGUCGUGGAAUGACGAUCAAUUGGACAACCAGCCCAAUCAGCAUCGGAGUAGGCAGUGAUGUGAGAAGAGCCUUUAGUGAAGGUGAGGCCGUGAUCAAGAGUGCCCUUGAGAAACCGCAAAAUUCUCUUAACAGCAAUGAGGUGGGGAGUUCUAGGUGUAUGCUUAUGUUGACACACUUGAUUAACGGCAAAGGUAAUGUCGGGUCUAGUCCAGGUAAUGUACUGAAGUGCACCAACUAGUGAUCUAUAGAGGGUAGGGUCAGGUAGCAACAUACCAGAUUCAGUGUCAAGUUUGGUAGGAGAGGCUGGAGAUGAGCAAGGCUUGCAAUCAAGCAUAGAGGCACGGGGAAGAAGGUCAAGUGUAUAUUUGGAUUGAGAAAGGAAAAGAGAGGUGGGUCACUACUACAUUUUACCAUUUGCGCGACGAAGAUAAUUUUGUCGCGCAGAGUUACAUAUAGUCGCACAAACUCAAGCGCGACAAAAAAUUUGUCGCGCACAAUCUGUCGCGCAAAGAGCGUGAAGAAAGACUUUGCGCGACCAAUUGUUACACUCGUCGCGCAAAAUUGUGCGACGGUUACCCUUCGUUACACAAAAGGUUCAGAGACGACACAACAGUUCCUCGCACGAAUUUAUGCACGACGAAAGAAGGUUCGUCGCCACAACAAUGCACCGCGGAUAAUAUUCGUCGCGCGAUACGUCUCGUAGGCAUUUGAGGCACCAAGAGUUCUUCAUCGCGCAAUUCGUGUCUACACAUUUUGCGCGACGAAAAGCUGUUGUCGCGCAUUCCUUUUUGGGCGACGAAAAGAUUCGUCGCGAAAGAAUAAAUUAUUUGUAUUUUAAAAAAAAUGUAUCAUUUUUAUUUCGUAAUAUGUGAAUUUGCGCGACGAGAAAGGUUUUGUCGUGCAAAAUUAAUAUAUAUAAAUAUUAUUUAAUUUUAAUAUUACGUUUUUUUUAAUUUUAUAAAAAAAUAAAUUUGGUUUUUUUUUUGGGUAAUAAAAUGAAAUUCCAAUAAAAAAAAUGAAUUGUAAAGAACAAAUUUAUUAUAUAAAAUAAAAUAAAUGUAUGCUGCAAGAGAAAUAUUUAAAAAAUAAUUAUGAAAAUAAAAAAACUAAUCAAAUAAUGUUCCAAAAUCUACAUUGUCGUUUGGCACAUGCGGUUCAGAGGUCUGGGGGUCUACAGGGGCCAUCGUCUGGUGGGGAUGCUCGGGAUGGACUGGCUCGGAGGUCCGCGCAUCAAAAUACGGGACUGGAACGCCGGACUGUGCGAGGGACUGCAGAAUGACCAACAUCUGACUCUGAAGAGUGGCCACCUGUGCUGUCAAAGCAGUGACUUGACUGUUUGACUGCGCUGAUAAACGGGGUCUGGGUUUCCUCCUCCUGGCAUUCCCCAUCCCUCGACAAUAUGUCCCCGGUCUCCUCCCUAGAGUCUGAUCCAAUGUCUCCGUCAAGAUCUGAAACCCAGCAUCCUGUGGAGGAUCCACAGACUCGAUCAGAGUAUCGGGAGGAAGUUGGGAGGCGGACUCCUAAAGAACUAACUUGCUCCUCUCCACCAUCGUCGUCUGUUUAGCAUAACAUAAAAUAUAAAUUAAAACAUUCAUAUAAUAACCUUUAAACUUGAAUGCGUAACAUAAGAAUUAAAAUUAAAUAAUACUUACAUGAAGGGACUCGGCCAACUCAUUCUCAGGUCGAACAUAAACGUUGCCAAAGACGUCGAUCUCUGGGAAUUUGGACCCCCCCUAAAUUGAACAAGAGAAUAAAAAUAUUAGUACGAAAAAAUAAAUUAAGAAUAAUGAAAUAUUAAAAAUUAAAUAAAAAUUAUUUUAUUAUUACCUACUGCAGUGUAUUCAUCCUAUAGGAGAAGGGCCUGGAACCUGAAUGAUGGAGAAGAGUCUUCUUCUUCCUAUUGCCCUUAUUGACUUUGGCUUUAUUCUGUUAUACAAAAAAUAAAACGUAUUAGUUGAAAUUGAAAUUAAAUAUAAAAAAUUAAAAAAACAUUAGUAAGAAAAAUAUAAUAAAUUUGAAAUUCAUAUUAUAAAUUACCACAAAGAUAUGUCGAUGAGUGUGGCUCGUUUGGCCUACGUCCUGAGACUUGUCGAUGUAUGUGGCCCGUUUGGCCUACGUCCGGAGACGUGUCGAUAAGAUGAGAGUGACCUGUUUGGCCUACGUCCGGAGACAUGUCAAUGAGUGUGACCCGUUUGGCCUACGUCCGGAGACGUGUCGAUGUAUGUGGCCCGUUUGGCCUACGUCCCGAGACGUGUCGAUAAGAUGAGAGUGACCUGUUUGGCCUACGUCCGGAGACAUGUCGAUGAGUGUGACCCGUUUGGCCUACGUCCGGAGACGUGUCGAUGUGAGUGGCCCGUUUGACUUAGGUCCGGAGACGUGUGGAUGUGAGUGGCCCGUUUGGCCUACGUCCAGAGACGUGUCGAUGAGAGUGACCCGUUUGGCCUACGUCCGGAGACGUGUCGAUGUGUGUGGCCUGUUUGGCCUACGUCUGGAGACGUGUCGAUGUGAGUGGCCCGUUUGGCCUACGUCCGGAGAUGUGUCGAUGAGAGUGACCCGUUUGGCCUACGUCCGGAGACGUGUCGAUGUGUGUGGCCUGUUUGGCCUACGUCUGGAGACGUGUCGAUGUGAGUGGCCCGUUUGGCCUACGUCCGGAGAUGUGUCGAUGAGAGUGACCCGUUUGGCCUACGUCCGGAGACGUGUUGAUGUGUGUGGCCCGUUUGGCCUACGUCCGGAGACGUGUCGAUGUGAGUGGCCCGUUUGGCCUACGUCCGGAGAUGUGUCGAUGAGAGUGACCCGUUUGGCCUACGUUCGGAGACGUGUCGAUGUGUGUGGCCCGUUUGGCCUACGUCCGGAGACGUGUCGAUGUGAGUGGCCCGUUUGGCCUACGUCCGGAGAUGUGUCGAUGAGAGUGACCCGUUUGGCCUACGUCCGGAGACGUGUCGAUGAGUGCGACCCGUUUGGCCUACGUCCGGAGACGUGUCAAUUGUAUUUGUGAACAUUCCAUUGGAAAGAAAAGCUUGAACAUGUAUUGAUGUCUACAUGACUACAUUGCUUUAUUGAACAAAAGAGAUAAGUUGCAGAGGUAACAUCAAAAGUGACUUGUCUUCAAUGGAGGUGAGAGAGGUCUGGCCGCCUGCUUGGAGCCAAGCUGAUAGGCGAGGAGCUUCGUGGAUAAUACCUUCGGAGGUGAUGGGCAUUCCGUUGUCUUGGAACUUCCUUCCCUUACAAGGUGAUGUCAGGAUCGUCUUCCAUGACUGGGUAGCAAGUGACAGCUUGGGAGACCUUCGCCUGUCGCUUGCAUGAUCUUUCUCUUCUGCUCCUCGGUGGUCAGCUUGGACUCUUAAAGUCGGCUAAGAUCGUGCUGAUCCGUAUGACUUUUUUUGUGAAGGUUCGUUGGCAGCCGCGUCACGAUCUUUGAUUUGCUGGAUAGCCCCAUUUGCAAUGAAUUUCGUGCAAUGGCCGUCUCCGACCAGUUCUUCGAGGUGCUUUUUCCAGGCGAAGCAGUCAUCUGUGUAAUGACCGUGCCCUUCAUGGAAUUCGCAGUAUCUACUGGUAUCCUUCUUGGCUGGGUUUUCCUUCAAAGGCGAUGGUUUCUUCAACCAAGGCAUGUUCUUUACUUGUGCUAGGAUCUGCUGUAUCGGAAUAGUAAACUUGGUGUAGGUCUCAGUUGUUGGAGCACCCCCUUGAGGCUGUAAUUCUCGCUUGCCCCCAUCCUUGUCUUUUAUCAUGUCGUUUCUUUGGCUUGCCGGCUCAACCGGUGAUCGGCUUGCUUGGCAGCUUUCUUUGCGGCGGUCCGGUCAUCGUCCCAAAGUGCAUAGCGCUCUGCUGUCGUGAAGACUUCUACUAGUGUUUGGCAGGGAGAGAUGGUUAGCUCACGAUACAGCUCACACUCAAUUGGCAAGCCCCUCUUGAAGGCCGAUGACGCGAUUCGGUCGUCACAUCCAAUGAUGUUCGCCCUUUCUACUUUGAAUCUCUUGAUGUAAUCUCGAAGGGAUUCGUCAGACUUCUUGCGCAGGUUGUACAAGUGGUCAUGGUUCUUCCUGAUUGUCCGAUAAGAGGUGUAUUCUUUGGUGAAGACGUAAGCUAGCUCCUUGAAGCUGCUGACCGACCUGGAUGGUAGGGUGUGGAACCAGUAUCGGGAUCGGAAUCUCCUUUGAAGUGUAUGAAUGAGGGUGUCAAGAAUCGCUUCGGGUGAGCGGCCUGCUCGAUAUCGAGGGUGAAAGGCGUAGAGCUCACCUGGUCCAUCUCCUUACGUAGUGAAUCCUCGAAGUUUCCUCCGGUCUUCAAGUAUCGAAGUCGGUCAUUCACGAGCUUCUCAACGUCCUCUGCGCACAUUGCUGGUUGGUUACGUUGGCGACCUCCACGAUAUUGACUGACUUCCUCAUUGUCCUCCGAGGGUCGACCUUCUCGCCUGGGCUGCCUAGUUGGAGUGUUGGUGGACUGUGCCUGCGAAAGAUUCUCUGUAGCUUGUCGACGAGAAUUGGUUCUUCGAGAGUGAGUAACGGAGCGUCUUUCCUCAUGGUCCUCAUUGUGAGGGUUGUCCAACUGGCCUCCCUGGGGGCCUAGCCUUUCGAGAGCGCUUCUCUGUGAGUUGACAGCUGAGCGCCUUUCUUCGCGAUCCUCGUUGCGAUGGUUGUUUGGCUGACCUCCUUGGGGGCCUAGCCUUUGAUGUACAUCUCCCUGCGGGCCCAAGCGUGCACGAACGUCGAGUCGUCUGCUGGCAGGUUCGUCCAUCCUUCUCUCCUCGCCCGGUUGUCCAAGGCCAAGGUUUUGAGCAAAGCCUAUUUGGUUGAUAAGCUGCCUCAUUAGAUUGCUUUGGUCGUCCAUUCUCUGAGCUAGCUGGUCAACUCUUAGAUUAAGGUCUGCUUGACUUCGUGGAUCGGGAGGAGAGAAGUGUGUGGAGCCCAAUUGCACACGGGCUAGGUUUUCACUGAAGGUGUAUGCAGGAGCAUGCGUCGCACGUGGAGGCAAUGGAGGGAAUGCUUGGAGUUGCUCCAAGACCGGCCCUAGGUCGGCGGUGGUAGCGAGUCCACCUUGAUGGGAAGUUCCACCAUGUUCGGCGGCGGUGGCCGGUGAGGUGGUGAGAGGGGGCGGUGCCACCAUGUUGAUCGCGGGAUCGUGGGUGGAGUGGCUUUGGGUCGUCACGGAUCUAGCCAUCGCGGCGGCUUUGCCUCUCGUGUUCAUGCUUCCAACCAUGGUUGUUUGGAAGGCUUCGGUGGAUUGAAAAAUAGGAGGAACGGAUUCCUUGAGCACGCAUUGAGUAUAACUCGCUCUCUCAAUGAAAGCACCAAUUUGUUUGUGCAAAUAAUGUCACGGGAGAAUAUUCGCCCAAGAUUCCUUCGUCUUCUCCGCCUCUCUUUCUCCCUGCAAAACAGAUCGGAGUAAAAGACGACAUCCGGGGGGUGUUGGCCAAAGGCCCUCCGAUGCCUAAGUUAGGUAGGGUAAUUCAAGGAAAACUGGGUGGUCGGAGCCGUGUGUGGUGGCCGGAGCCUUGUGUAAGAGAGAGAAAGAGAGGAGGUGGCUAGGAUUUUUGAGAAAUAAUUUCUAUAGAGCUUUAGUAAGAAUUUAGGCGUACCUCAACCAUUGUGUGUGGCUAUGCUUUUAUAGUAGUCUCGGAGGCUAGGGUUUCAGAGGAAUAAUUCCGUAGAUGGAAGGGAAUUAUUCCUCCCCUUUUUGGAAUUGAUUUGAUUAAUUAGGGAUUUGAUUAAUUAGGGUAAAUCAAAUCCCUAAUUGUGGUAGGUAUCAAAUCCUGAUUCAAUUAGGCAACUCCUCAUUUAUUUGGGGAUCGUGGUAAUUAACCAAAUCAAUUCUCAACCUAAUUGGGUAAUUCCCAAUUAAAUUGAGUAACUCCCAAUUAGGUUGAUUAAUUCCCAAUUGGGUCAAAUAAUCCCCAAUGGUAGGAAUUAUUUGACUUAGGGUUUGAUUUAAUUAGGUUCCCACAGGUGUCUGCCUUGAUGAAUAGAGAGGUGUCAGCAGUUGAGGCACUGAACCCUAGUGAGAUCUCUUCAGUUUGCAAACAUGCUGAGGCUUGGAGGGAUCAAGAAAGCCAGGGGGCUGCACCAUGAAAAUAUCCUCUUGAAGGUGGCCAUGAAGAAAGGCAUUGGAGACAUCCAGUUGUGUAACCGACCAGUCAUUUUGGACAGCCAGAGAAAGAAUGAGCCGGAUGAUGGUAGGCUUAGCAACAGGACUAAAUGUUUCAUUGUGAUCUAAACCUUCUUGUUGGUGGAAACCUUUAGCCACAAGUCUUGCUUUAAACCUGUCAAGAGAGCCAUCAGAUUUGUAUUUCACACGAUGGGCCCGCUUGCAUCUAACGAGGUUUUGAGAAGGAUGAAAGGGGGCAAGGGUCCAAGUUUGGUUUUGUUGGAGGGCAUUGAAUUCCUCACGCAUUGCCUGCUGCCAUUGAGAGAUUUUAGAGGCUUGUUUGAAAGUGGUGGGAGUUGGUAUUUGGGUGGUGGUGGACAAAGCACAAAGAAGGGGAUGUUUGGUGGAGAGAGCUCGUGGUUUAAGAGACCCAGUUUUGGAUCUUGUAACCAUUGGAUGGGUAUUGGGGGAAAUAGGUUAGGGUGGUGGAGAAAUAUGAAUAGGGAUAGACAGAUUUGGUGGGAUAGGUGAAGGGUCUGUGGAUGGAGAAGUGGGUGAGGAAUUGAUCGGUAGAGAUGAGGAAGGAAUGGUUGGAGAAUUAUGAGCUGGAGAAGAGUGCAAGGAGGAAGGGAGGGAAGAUGGGGUUGAAGUAUGUGAGAAGGGAAAAGGGUUAGAGGGUGGAGGAAAGGAUGAUGGUUGUGAAAAGGUGGGUAGAGGAAGUAAGGUUGGAGUGCUGGAAACCGUAGGAUUAGAGAAUGAUUGAGACAAGGGAAAGUUGUUAUGAAAGGGAAAUGAACUUUCAUAAAAAAUGACAUGUCUGGAAAUGUAGACUCUACCAGUGACUGGAUUGUAACAUUUGUAUCCUUUGUGGGUUAGACCAUAGUCUAUAAAGACACAUGGUUGACUUCGAAAAGCCAAUUUAUGAGGGGCAUAUGGUUUUAGCCAAAGAUAACAUGCGCAUCCAUAGACACGCAUGAAUGAAUAAUCAGGUUUGCUAUGAAAUAGUUUUUGAAGAGGGGAAAUUUUGUGAAGGACUGACGACGGUAUUCUAUUGAUGAGAUAUACCGCAGUUUGUACACCUUCAACCCAAAAUUGUAAAGGUAAAUAAGACUAAGCAAGUAAAGUCCUAGUAAGUUCUAAAAUGUGGCGGUGUUUUCUUUCAGCUAAACUAUUUUGCUUGGGUGUAUGGGGAUAAGAAAAUCGUUGAAAUAUGCCAUGAUUAGAAAGAAAGGUUUUGAAUGCUAAGCUUGUGUAUUCACCACCAUUAUCACAUUGAAGUGUUUUUAUUUUCUUGUCAAGCAGGUUUUCGACAUAGGUUUUAAAUUUUUUAAAGGCAUGGAGUGCAUCUGACUUAUUGUGAAGUGGAUACAGCCAUGAGAAACGUGACCAAUCAUCAAUAAAAACAAUAUAGUAUUUGAAGCCAGAAAUUGAAGCUGCUGGGGAGGGCCCCCAUAAAUCAGAAUGUAUUAAUUCCAAAGGAGAAUGUGUAGUACAUGAUGAUUUAGAGAAAGGAAGCUUUAAUCUUUUUCCUAAUUGACAAGAGGAACAAAAGGAUAAAGUGGAAGAUGUAGGUGUGGUGGAAGUUGUUUGCUAGAGAUGAGCUGCAUAAGGACUUGAUUGUUGGGAUGACCAAGGCGUUGGUGCCAUAAACUGGAAGAGACUUGAUUGCUGAAACAUGUGAGAGAAGAGGGGAGAAGCUGAAAGCUUGAUGGGGUAGUGAUGUCCCUCAGUAGGGCCUUGAUAGAGAGUUGUCCCCGUGUUGUUGUCCUUGACAAUACAAGAAGAAGGAGUGAAUAUAAUGUGACAAUUGUUAUCAGUAACAAGCUGAUGGACAGAGAGAAGGUUGUGUGAGAGAUUUGCAGUAUGAAGAAUGUCAUUAAAUUGAAAAGAAGAGGUAGAGGAAAAAAGAGUAGAGUUACCAGUGUGAGAGAUAGGCAUGUGUUGACCAUUUGCCACAGUGAUACUUUCAUUACCUUGAUAAGGAGAAGGAAUGGAGAGAUUUGCAAGAUUGUUGGUGAUAUGAUUUGUGGCACCAGAGUCGGCAUACCAAGUGGAGGUGGAGGUUGAGGGAGGAGUGAAAGAGGUGAAGGGGGCAGAUGGGUUGUAGGGGCCAAGGAUGGAGGGGGUGGUGUUUUGAGUAAGGGAAUAUGGUGGUGUUGGUCCUUGAAAAACCAUAUUUAGGCGUUGGUGGCAUGUGAGGGCAGAGUGGCCAAGUUUGGAGCAUAUUUGUCAUUUCAGUUUGCAGGAAAAGUUGGAGUUGUAGUGUGUGGGUCAAGGGGUGAAGUUGUUUGGCCGAGAGGAAGAGAAAGAAGAGUGGGAACAAGGGAAAGAGUGAGAGGACUGAGAAGAUGUGUUGAGAGCUUGAGGAGAGAGAGCGGAAGAGUCUGAGGAUUGAGAGGUGUGAAAGGCAUGGAGGUGGGAAUCAGAGGGAGGGAUGUGAGUCAGGCGAUUUUCAACAGCAAUUUCCUCACUCAGGAGGAGACCAUGAAGUUCUUCUGGUUGAAUGGGAUCAGAGCGAACAUGGAUAGAGGUGGCAAAGGCAUCGUAAUCAGAAGGCAAACCAUAGAGAGCAUGAGCAAGAAAGUUAGAGGUGUCCAAAGGAGCACCACCAGCAGCAAGACUGUCAGCAAUGUGUUUGAGGGAUUGGAGAUAGUCAAGCAUGGAGGCAGAGCCUUUCUUAAGGUUUUGAAGGCAUGAUUUAAGUUGAAGGGUAUGAGAGCGUGUGAGGUUGGUGUUUGUGCAAAUAAUCUCACGGGAGAAUAUUCGCCCAAGAUUCCUUCGUCUUCUCCGCCUCUCUUUCUCCCUGCAAAACAGAUCGGAGUAAAAAGACCACACCCGGGGGGUGUUGGCCAAAGGCCCUCCGAUGCCUAAGUUAGGUAGGGUAUUUCAAGGAAAACCGGGUGGCCGGAGCCGUGUGUGGUGGCCGGAGCCUUGUGUGAGAGAGAGAAAGAGAGGAGGUGGCUAGGGUUUUUGAGAAAUAAUUUAUGCAGAGUUUCAGUAGGAAUUCUGACGUACCUCUACCAUUGUGUGUGGCUAUGCUUUUAUAGUAGUCUCGGAGGUUAGGGUUUCAGAGGAAUAAUUCCGUAGAUGGAAGGGAAUUAUUCCUCCCCUUUUUGGAAUUGAUUUGAUUAAUUAGGGAUUUGAUUAAUUAGGGUAAAUCAAAUCCCUAAUUGUGGUAGGUAUCAAAUCAAAUCCUGACUUAAGUAGAUAACUCCUCAUUUAAUUGGAAAUUGGGGUAGGAAUAGAAUUAAUUCUCGACCCGAUUAGGUAAUAUUCUAUUUAAUUGGGUAAUCCCCAAUUAAAUUGAAUAAUUCCCAAUUAGGUCAAAUAAUCCCCAAAUGGAAGGAAUUAUUUGACCUAGGGUUUUGAUUUAAUUAGGUUCCCACAAAUGCCCCCCAGCUUCUGCGUGGCUUGUGGCGGCAUGUAAGAGAUGUAAAUUAUCCGUUGGGCUGUCCAGCUGUAACUGGGCUUCCUUCGUGGACUUGGGCUCCCGAGUUGAGGAGGCUUUUUACUCGGGCUGUCCAGCUGUAAUUGGGCUGGAGGUGCGCUAUCUGCUGCUGGAGCAGGUGGCAGUUUAGGUCAUCUUUUUUGUGGAUGAUCCAAAUUGCUUCAAUUCCUUCUUAUUUUUGUGCCACGAACUAGGAUCAGUAUGAGUCAAGGCGAUCAUGUGCGGAGCACGAACGUGCUGAAAGUCAGCGGCAGAUAGGAAGAGGAGGUUGGCGACGAUCCGCUCGUUCCUCUUACCUACUGCGAUGGUAAGUUGCAUCCCUCUGAUCUGCUACUGUUGCCAUGGAAUUCUUUGCUGUGUCUGACUAACUUUUGUCUCAUGCUUGCAGAUGAUGCCAUCCGAAAGAAGCUCGUUCUCGACCCGGAUAUGACGAAGGUUCGACAAGCUUUGAGCAUCCCCGCCAAGUUUCGUGAAUGGCGCUGGCUGCUGAGCGAACAUCGGAAGGAAGUCAGUGGCCUGCCCCCUGCUGAAGAUAUUGAAAGGUGGAAGUCGCGCUUCUUAAAGCUAAGUGACUUGCCAGUUAUGCAGGAGGAGGCAUCGACUGAGUCCCCCAAUAGUGGGAAAGCGUGCAGUAGCUCUGCUCGAGAUGAAGCUGCAGUUUCACGAUCAGUGGAUACGUCUCCACAGCGAAGGCAGCCGAGAUCUUCUCUUGCCACGAACAAGUCUUCUACAAGGGAGGUCUCACCUACUCAGAAGGCCCAUAUGGGAGUUGCUCCUGCCUCGUCUGCAUGGAUCAAACGCUUCGUCAGCGCGAACAGCAAGAAGGCCAAAGGCAUGCUGGAGGUUCGGGAAGUUCUGCUCAAGUCUUUGCCCGUACUGCCUAAGACCCAUGAUCUGCCAUGCAAGGAAGCCGCUGGGAAGCAAGGAUUGGGUCAUCCGUGCCGAUCUGGGAAUCAAGCUGAGAGGAUUGUACCUCUGCCUAGCAACCACGACUCAUCUGCGGGGCCACGAAUAGUAAAGCGCAGGGCUGACUCAAUGUUGCAAGUUGCCGCCAAAAGAGCUAAAGAGUCGUCUGCUCGAGCGAAGAGUCCUCCAAUUGCACGAACUGCCGGUCCGGGAACUGGUGGUAGCUCUGCUAGGGGCGAGCCCGUGUCUGAUCUGCUGAAAACAGGCUUUCUGUCAAGUCCAUUUGCUUGCGCUAAGCUAGUUGAUCACGUGUAUCGAGCUGGUGACAUUUGUGCUUUCUCGAGCCUUCCCUUGGAUAAGCAAGAAGAAGCUGCCAUGUAUCACCUUCAAAAAGGAAUGGUUUUUGCUGUUGGGGCCAUGCGGAACUCGCGUGAUGUUGCCCCCUCUUCUGCCCUGCUCGACGAGCUGGUGAAGAAGAAUGCUGACCUGACUGACAAGCUCUCGAACGAGCGGAUUCGCCACGAUGCGAGGAUUUCCGAGAUGAAGGAGAGUAUGUCCGUGCUCAAGAGUUCUGUUGGCCAAAAGGAUGGUGAACUCAAGUCUCUUAUGGCUGCCCUGCUCGAACGCAAGGAAGCCUACUUCUGCCUCGAACGUAAGCAUGCUGCUUUGGCCCAGGAUCGUGAAAAACUGCUGGUCAAGUUUGAUACCCAUGUGGAAGCCACGGAGGCAUCCAAGGAAGAGAUGGCUACUAAUGCGUACAAGCUGGGAUACCUGGAUUGCCAGAAUGGUGCUUCUCCUUGCUACCCUCUCGAAGAUGAUGACGGUGAGCAGUCUGGUCUUGACCUGCCCCCCACUUAGAGUGAGUAGGUGGAUGUUGUGGAUGCAGAAGCAGUUGAAGAGCAGAUAGCAGAUGAAGCUGCAAUUGAGGAAGACAAACGCCAAGGUGGGUCAGCUGAUGAGGCUAAGGCGGAUGCGAAGGAGCAGGCAGCCGAGGCGGUUGAGCAAGUUGUGCCGGUUGGGCAGAAUGAGGCUGUUGCCAGUGCAGUUGAGGAUGUGAUCGGCUAAGUGUCACCUGCUGAAGUUCCCUAGUAGUUGCAGUUCAUUUUUGCUAUUUUUGAACUUUGUUAUUUUCUUUCAAUAAGUGGUCUCUUGUUUGACCAUCUUACUUCUUGUUGAACUUGGCUGAUUGGCCGCUUUGUUAUGGAAUUUUCAGUUGUUUUUCGAACUUCAAUUCUCAUUGUAUCUUGUAAGUGUGUGUCCGGAGACAUAGCACUUGGAAGACAUAGCGCUUGAAAAAGACUCCAUUGAGUUUGUGCUCCGGGGAGCAGCUUGUCUGCAAUGGAGCUAAGGCUUGUCGCCUGUGUGCGUAUGUCGGGGACAUAGCGCUUGAAAAAGACUCCAUUGAGUUUGUGCUCCGGGGAGCAGCUUAUCUGCAAUGGAGCUAAGGCUUGUCGCCUGUAUGCGUAUGUCGGGGACAUAGCGCUUGAAAAAGACUCAAUUGAGUUUAUGCUCCGGGGAGCAGCUUGUCUGCAAUGGAGGUAAGGCUUGUUGCCUGUGUGCGUAUGUCAGGGACAUAGCGCUUGAAAAAAGACUCCGUUGAGUUUGUGCUCCGGGGAGCAGCUUGUCUGCAAUGGAGGUAAGGCUUGUCGCCUGUGUGCGUAUGUCGGGGACAUAGCGCUUGAAAAAGACUCCGUUGAGUUUGUGCUCCGGGGAGCAGCUUGUCUGCAAUGGAGGUAAGGCUUGUCGCCUGUGUGCGUAUGUCGAGGACAUAGCGCUUGAAAAAGACUCCAUUGAGUUUGUGCUCCGGGGAGCAGCUUGUCUGCAAUGGAGCUAAGGCUUGUCGCCUGUGUGCGUAUGUCGGGGACAUAGCGCUUGAAAAAGACUCCAUUGAGUUUGUGCUCUGGGGAGCAGCUUGUCUGUAAUGGAAGUAAGGCUUGUCGCCUGUGUGCGUAUGUCGGGGACAUAGCGCUUGAAAAAGACUCCAUUGAGUUUGUGCUCCGGGGAGCAGCUUAUCUGCAAUGGAGCUAAGGCUUGUCGCCUGUAUGCGUAUGUCGGGGACAUAGCGCUUGAAAAAGACUCCAUUGAGUUUGUGCUCCGGGGAGCAGCUUGUCUGAAAUGGAGCUAAGGCUUGUCGCCUGUGUGCGUAUGUCGGGGACAUAGCGCUUGAAAAAGACUCCAUUGAGUUUGUGCUCCGGGGAGCAGCUUGUCUGCAAUAGAGGUAAGGCUUGUCGCCUGUGUGUAUAUAUUUGUGGGACAUAAUGCUCGAAUCUGCAAAUGAUGUUCUUCCAGAUGAAUCGUUCAACGUCAGCUUCCUUGGUAGAAGAUAAAGCCUCGGCCUCGAUCCAUUUGGUGAAGUAAUCAGUGGCAACGAUCAUUAUCUCCUUAUUGGCAGGUGCUGUCGGCAUAGGUCCCACCAAGUCAAUGGCCCACUGCAUGAACGGCCAUGGACUGUUCUGUGGAUGGUAUUCCUCAGCUGGCAAGCCAAGGAUCGGCUUGUAUCGUUGGCAUCGAUCACAUCUUUGAGCAUACUCCGUAGAGUCUUUGUGCAUGGUAGGCCAGAAAUAGCCGAUUCUAAGAGCCUUCUGAGCAAGCGACCUGCCUCCAGCGUGAUUUCCGCACUCGCCGUCGUGUAUUUUGCAGAGAACCUCGAGCGUUUGCGGGUACUUGAUGCAAGUGAGAUGAGGCCCGCAGUAUGAUCUGCGGAUAAGCGUGUCGCCUUUCAUGUAAUAUCUUGCAGCGUUCUGCUUGAUUUUCCUGGCCUCGGACUUGUCAUCGGGCAAGUUUUCAUUCACUAGGUAGUCAAUGAUGGGUUCUUGCCAGCUAGGAUCCUCGUCGAUCUGCAUUAGGUCCGGUUGUUCUGCCUCUUCUAUGCUAGGCUGGUCAAGGUGUUCGACUGGGAUAGAGCGUCUGAACUGGGUAUCCAGUGCUGAUCCUAAGCUUGCCAGUGCAUCUGCGUGCGCGUUCUCUGCUCGGGGCACUUGCUGGAUGGUGAAGGUGGGAAAUGCCUUCAACAGCUCUUGGACUUUGUCAAGGUACAAGAUCAUCCUUAGGUGCUUCGCCAUGUAUUCUCCUAAGGCUUGACUUGUGAUCAGCUGGGAAUCCGAGUAGAUGGCCAGCUUCUUGAUUGAUAGCUCCUUUGCCAAGCGCAAGCCAGCGAGCAAUGCCUCAUACUCUGCCUCGUUAUUUAAAGCCGGGAAGCCAAGUGUGAUAGCUUGCUCUAACAGGGUUCCAUCAGGGGUGAUGAUGACGACGCCUGCUCCAGCUCCUUUCUGGUUUGAUGCUCCAUCUACGCGUAGCUGCCACAUGUCUCUGGGUUGGUCAGGUUCCGCGGAGGUCUUGUUUGCUCUCGAACUUUCCUUCUUUUUGCUGACCAGCUUCUCUUCUUCGGCUGAUGGUGUGAACUCUGCAACAAAGUCUGCUAAAGCUUGGGCUUUUAUCGCAGUCUUUGGCCGGUAGAGGAGGUCGUAUUGGCUUAGCUCUAUUGCCCACUUCAUGAGUCGCUGAGAAGCAUCAGGGCUGUGGAGGAUUGAUCUCAAAGGAAAGUCAGUCAUAACGACGAUUCGGUGAGCCUGGUAAUAAGGUCGCAGCUUUCUCGCAGAAACGACAAGGGCCAAAAUGAGCUUCUCCAACUUUGGGUAGCGAGUCUCUGCAUCGAGGAGAGCUUUUGACGUAUAGAAUAUCGGAUGUUGGGCCCCAAGUUCUUCUCGGAUGAGAGCUGAGCUGACGGCCGAGUUAGACACUGCCAGGUACACGAACAAGUCUUCAUCAGGAACUGGCUUUGAGAGCAGGGGAGGUGAAGUAAGAUAGGUCUUUAGACUCUGGAAAGCUACUUCGCACUCCUCGUCCCACUUGUCUUUUUGCCCCUUCUUCAAAGCUUUGAAGAAUGGCCUGCACUUGUCAGUAGACUUCGAGAGGAAUCGGUUGAGGGCUGCUGCUCUGCUCGUCAGACUUUGUAUUUCCUUCACUGUGGAAGGUGACUUCAUCUCGAGAAUAGCUUUAAUUUGGCGUGGGUGUGCCUCUAUACCUCGUUGUGUGACUAAGUACCCCAGGAAUCGGCCGGAUGAUACACCGAACGUGCAUAUACUUGGAUUCAGCUUCAUGCGGUAUUGGCGGAGCAGGCUGAAUGCCUCGGCGAGGUUUUUGAGGUGGUCUUCACGCUUGGGGGCUUUGACCAGCAUAUCAUCCACGUAGACUUCCAUGGUUCUACUGAUCUGCUCCUUGAAAAUCUUAUUCACGAGCCUUUGAUAGGUUGCUCCAGCAUUCUUCAACCCAAAGGGCAUGACCUUGUAGCAGUAGGUCCCUCUCUCGAUGAUGAAAGAGGUCUUCGCUUUGUCAUCGUCGUACAUCAUAAUUUGAUUAUAGCCGGAGUAGGCAUCCAUGAAGCUGAGCAGCUGGUUGCCAGAAGUCGAAUCCACGAGCUGGUCGAUCCUCGGCAAUGGGAAUUUGUCUUUAGGGCAUGCUUUGUUGAGGUCGGUGUAAUCGACGCACACCCUCCAUCUGCCCUUUUCUUGUUUUGCCACCAGAACAACGUUGGCCAGCCAUUCUGAGUAGGAGACCUCUUCAAUAAAUCCAGCGGCUAGAAGCUUGUCGAUCUCGGCUUCAAUGAUCGCGACUCGCUCGGGAGCGAAGUUGCGUCUCUUCUGAACCACGGGCUUGCUGGCAGGGUUGACAUGGAGGCGGUGGCAGAUGAUGUUUGGGUCGAUGCCGGGCAUGUCAGAUGGUGACCACGCGAACAUGUCUUUGUUGUUUUGGAGGAAGGUGGUAAGCUCCACCUUCUCGUCUGGGCUUAGGCGCGAGCCGAUCCGCGCUUCUGGCUGGUUAGGAUCGAGGGGUACUAACUCAACGUCUUCCUCAGGCUUCCAACCUUCUUCAAGGGAGCCUUCCGGGCGGAUUCCCUCCUCUCGAUCCUUCUUGUUUGGAUUCUGGCGCGAGCCGAUCUGCGCUUCUUUGUUUGGCUGGCCAAGAUCAGGGGGUACUAACUCAACGUCAUCCUCAGACUUCCAACCCUUUUCAGGGGAGUCUUCCGGGCGGAUUCCCUCGCCUUGAUCCUGGCUCAUUAAUUGCUAUUGUGAGGUAACAGCUCCCUUCUCGCUCGAGCUUGCUUGUCUGUUGGGAGCGCUUCGUGCCUCGUUGGCAGCUUGCAUUGCUGGUGUGAACUGCAUCUGCUUGCUCUUCUUGAGUCCGUGAGCUGUGCAUCUUCUUGCCAUGGCUUGGUCACUAUCGAUCUGCCCGAUUCCGCCUCCAGGGAUGGGGUAGCGAAUCUUCUGGUGUAGAGCAGAUGUGAUAGCCUCGAUCUUGCUGAUCCACGGUCGGCCCAGGAUUCCGUUGUACGGGAGAUCUCGUCGAUGACCAUGAAGGUUUGUGAGCAGACUACUGGGGGCGAGUGGACGUCAAGGUCGAUCUUUCCAACAGUGAUUGAUGUGGCCCCAUUGAAGCCAGUCAGCGACCUUGCAAGUUUGCUUAUCUUGGGCUCCAAUCCCAUCUGUUGGAUGACAGAUAGUUGCAGGAUGUUGGCUGCGCUGCCCUCAUCCACAUGAACUCGCUUGAUCACAGCUUGUUCAAUAUGAAUGCAGAUGACUAGGGAUUCAUUAUGCGGCAGGUCAAGCCCGAUCAAGUCUUUCUUCUGGAAACCAACGAUGGGUGUAUCCACGAUAACUGGUACUCCCGUUGUGACUUGGGAGACAUAAGUCGCCUGCGCGAUCUUCCUCUUGCGCUCCUUGGUGGUCAGCCCGGACUCUUGAGAGUCAGCUAGAAUGGUGUUAAUUCGAAUGACCUUUUGGGGAGGUUCCUUGGCAAUCGCAUCACGAUCCUCGAUCUGUUGGAUGGCCUUCUUUGCGACGAAUUCUGUGCAAUGACCUUCUCUGACCAACUCCUCUAGAUGCCUUUUCCAGGCAUUGCAAUUGUUGGUGUAAUGACCGUGCUCCCUGUGGAAUGCGCAGUAUUUACUGGUGUCCCUCUUAGAGGGGUCUCCUUUCAUGGGUGGCGGUCUCCUCACCCACGACUUGUCCUUCACUUGAGCCAGGAUCUGAUGAAUUGGGAUAGCGAACUCAGUGAAGGUCCCAAUUUCUGAGCUUCCCUCUCGGGGCCGCGAUCUGCGCUUAUCUCGGGCUUUUUGCUCGAACUGGUUGCUCUUUUGGCUUGCCUGCUUCGUCGGGUGAUCAACUUGCUUGCUAGCUUUCUUUGCGGCGAUUCGAUCAUCAUCCCAAAGUACGUAGCGUUCUGCCGUCACGAACACUUCUGCCAAGGUUUGACUUGGUGUUAUGGCCAGUUCCCGGUAUAGCUCGUGCUCGGUUGGCAAGCCCUUCUUGAAAGCUGAGGAUGCAACUUGGUCAUUGCAUCCUAUGAUGUUAGCCUUUUCAGCCUUAAAUCGUCUCAGGUAGUCUCGUAGAGAUUCGUCUGGCUUCUUGCGCAGGUUGAACAGAUGGUCUGCAUGCUUUCUGACCGUCUUGUAGGAGGUGUACUCCUUUGUGAAGAUGAAGGCCAACUCCUUGAAGUUUCCUAUCGACGCGGAUGGUAGAGUGUGGAACCAGUCUUGAGCUGCUCCUCGCAGGGUCAUCGCGAACACUUUGCACAUCAGGGCAUCAUCUGCCUUGUACAGGAUCAUGGCGCUCUUGAAGUGCCUCAAAUGGCUCUCAGGGUCAGAGUCCCCCUUGAAUGGAGUGAUGGAUGGCGUUGUGAACCGCUUCGGUGGAGGAGCUCGUUCCACUUUGUCGGUAAAGGGCGAGCAGUCAACUCGAUCAAUUUCCUUAUGCAGGGCCUCCUCCGCGCUUCCUUUAAGUUGGAGAGCUUGGAGUCGGUCAUUUACUAGCUUCUCGACGUCCUCUGCUCGCAGGACUGGAGUCUCGGGCGGGCGUCUUUGGUGCCUCGAGCGCGACUGGCUAACUUCUUCCUCGGUUCCCAAGGGUCGAUCCCCUUGGGUGUUCUGCCCGUGGGGCAGAUUAGAAGAUUGAGCUUGUGAGGAUUCCUCUACAUCUUGUCGCCGCGUGUUGGUCCUCGAGCAGGUUGGUGAGCGUCGAUCAUCAUCUUCUACCUGCAAGGAGGGUCGCUCAGGUCGACGUCUUUGGUGUCUCGAGCGUGACUGGCUAACUCCUUCCUCGGUUCCCAAGGGUCGAUCCCCUUGGGUGCCCUGCCCGUGGGGCAGAUUAGGAGAUUGAGCUUGGAAGGAUCCCUCUACAGCUUGCCGUCGCGUGUUGGCCCUCGAGCGGGUUGGUGGGCGUUGGUCAUUGCGCUAGUCACGUGACUGCUCACGAACUCGAGCUCCUUGUGGGCCCAAGCGGGCGUGGACAUUAGUCUGUGGGCCUAAGCGGGCGUGGACAUUAAUCUGUGGGCCUAGCCUCUCGAGCACAUUGGUCCUUGGUUCUAGCCCCGAACGGCUCAAAGUACGGCUCGCGGCUGUCUGCGUCUCAUCUACUCGAUCUCGAUCUCUCCUCUGCCGAUUUGCCUUUGUCUGACCAGCUUGGGACCUCUCGAACUGCUCGCCGACAUGCUGGUGUGCCCUCAUCUCCUCGUCACGGGGUCCAAGGUUAGGGCCUUGAUUCAAGUUGAUCUGCCUGAGUAGCUGGCCAAUCAGGUUGUUUUGAUCAUCGACCUUCUGUGUGAGUUGAUCGACCCGUGAGUUAAGGUCCACCUGACUGCGCGGGUCAAGUAGAGUGCUGUGCAUCGGGCCCAACGACAAAUGGGCUAGGGCUCCAUUAGACGCGUACACAGGUGCAUAUGUCGAGUGUGAUCGCAGAGGAGGGAGAGAAUGGAUCUGCUCCAAAACUGGGACGACGUCGGAGUAGCCAUGGGGCUGAGCAGCAAAUCCGGUAGUUCAGCGGUGUGGCUGCUGCUGUGAUCCGACGGCAGGACAGCGAGGCAGAGUAGCUCCGGUAAUCGGCACUGGCAACUGCAAGGCUAUGGAGGUCCUAGGGUCUUGUGGCGGCUGUUCUGCAAUUCCAGCAGCUGAAGGCGGCUGCAAAGCACUAGAGGACGACUGCAAGGUGUUGGCAGCCACGAUUCCGUGAGGUUGCAUUGAGGUUUUCACCACGCAACCAUGAGAUGGGCCCAUCGUGGUGGCGUUACUCUUCGUACGUCUUGUAUCAACCAUGGUUGUCAGAAAAAAUGUGUGAAAGAUGGAUUUAGAGCACGCUUUGAAUAUAUCUCGUGCUCUCAAUGAAAGCACAAAUUUAUUUGUGCAAAUAAUCUCACGGGAGAAUAUUCGCCCAAGAUUCCUUCGUCUUCUCCGCCUCUCUUUCUCCCUACAAAACAGAUCGGAGUAAAAAGACCACACCCGGGGGGUGUUGGCCAAAGACCCUCCGAUGCCUAAGUUAGGUAGGGUAUUUCAAGGAAAACCGGGUGGCCGGAGCCGUGUGUGGUGGCCGGAGCCUUGUGUGAGAGAGAGAAAGAGAGGAGGUGGCUAGGGUUUUUGAGAAAUAAUUUAUGCAGAGUUUCAGUAGGAAUUCUGACGUACCUCUACCAUUGUGUGUGGCUAUGCUUUUAUAGUAGUCUCGGAGGCUAGGGUUUCAGAGGAAUAAUUCCGUAGACGGAAGGGAAUUAUUCCUCCCUUUUUUGGAAUUGAUUUGAUUAAUUAGAGAUUUGAUUAAUUAGGGAUUUGAUUAAUUAGGGUAAAUCAAAUCCCUAAUUGUGGUAGGUAUCAAAUCAAAUCCUGACUUAAGUAGAUAACUCCUCAUUUAAUUGGAAAUUGGGGUAGGAAUAGAAUUAAUUCUCGACCCGAUUAGGUAAUAUUCUAUUUAAUUGGGUAAUCCCCAAUUAAAUUGAAUAAUUCCCAAUUAGGUCAAAUAAUCCCCAAAUGGAAGGAAUUAUUUGACCUAGGGUUUUGAUUUAAUUAGGUUCCCACAGUUGGCAAACCUCUUUUCUAGAGUGAGCCAUAGGUCUCUAGCAGUGGGGCAACCAACAGCAUAGGGCAGAAUGCUUUCAGACAGAGAAGCAUGAAGUCAAAUAGUCUUUUUUUGUCCGAAGGGUAAAGGCAGGAUUUUCUGUGAUGGAGAGAGAGAGGUCAGGGAGAGGAAGAAAGCGUGGGGGAGUAGGAGCUGAGCCAUCAAGAAUGCUAAGCAUAUCAUAGUUUUGUAAUACAGGAAUGAAAAGUUCCUUCCAAAGCAUGUAAUUAUCUCGGUGAAGCUUGAUUGGCAUGAGAUUUGGGACAUUGUGUGUAGACACAGUAGGAAAGGAUGAGGAAUAGAGUUUAGAGGUGGGGGAAGAGAGGUCAGGGGGAGGGGUGACAGUUUCAGAAAAUGGAUUUUGAAAGUCGUUUGAGGUAGACAUAUUAAUAGGGGUACCGUGAGGUAGGAGAGAGGCCUGAUACCAUAAAGAGAAAAGGAAUGCAGAGACAAAGAUGAGGCAGAGAAGACAAUAAAGAAGUUUUUGUAUUAUAUAUUUUUACUCUAUAUAUUACACAAUGAAUAAAUGAAUGCUUUUAUAGACAGCUUUUACAAAUAUUCUAGAAUGGAAUAGAAGGGACUAAUAGAUAAGGACCAGGUAAGGUAGCCGUUUGGGAGGAGAAUAUGCUGAGCAUAUGUUGAGUCAUAUUUGGUCUUUGCUAGCUGGUGCAUGCUGGUAUGUACGAUUCAAUAUUGAGGCUUCAUUUGGAAUGGUGCUUUGUGGUGUUGCAUCAAUGGUUGUGAUGGACUACUGUGUAUGGUUAUGAGCCCCCUGGUGUUCUCUCCCUACAAUGAAUAUUGGAGACAUUUACGAAAGAUAACUGUGAUGGAGCUCUUCAGUGUCAACCGUGUUUGGUCAUUCAGAUCAAUAAGGGAAGAGGAGGUAUGGGAUUUGAUUGAAUUCAUUGCCUCAUCUGAGGGACGUAGCAUAAAUCUCAGCGACAAGAUUUACACCAUGACAAGUGAUUUCCAGGGCAGCAUUUGGUAACAAGUGCAAAUAUCAGCAUGAGUUUACCACAUUGGUUGGGGAAAUCAUACCUCUUAUUGGAGGCUUUAACAUCGCUGAUUUGUACCCUUCCCUUGCAUUCCUUUGUUUAAUUCUUGAAAAUAUUGUCGGUGAACAUAAGAUGAAGAGAAAAGCUAGUAACAACACUAGUGGUGAUGAGCGAGAUCUGGUGGACACGCUGCUUAAUUAUGAGGAAGCUAAUAAGCCUGAGUUUCAUCUCACAACCAAUCAAAUCAAAGUGGUCGCCAUGGGAAGACCUGUAUACAGUCAAACAAUAAAACCUUUUUAUCGUACAACAGUAUAAUCCAUUGUAACUUCACCAUGUUUUCAGGACAUUUACUUUGCAGGCAGUGAAUCUUUUGCAACCACAAUCGAAUGGGAAAUGUCAGAGCUACUAAGAAACCUGAGAGUAAUGGAGAAGGCUCAAUCUGAGGUGUGACAUGCAUUCAAGGGAAAGAACAAAAUUGAAGAGGAAGACGUUCAAAAGCUAGAUUAAUUGAAACUAGUCAUCAAAGAAACAUAACACCCUUUGGGUCCUUUCAUCCCAAGAGAAGAAAAGGAAAGAUGCAAAAUUAGUGGAUAUAUAAUACCAGCCAAGGCCAAAAUCCUUGUCAAUGCAUAGGCAAUAGUGAGAGAUCCAAAAAUUUGGGCUGAUCCGGCGUGCUUUCAACCAGAAUGUUUUGAAGGUUCUUCCAUAGGCUUCGAAGGGAACAGUUCCGAGUUGCUCCCACUAGGUGCAGGUGCAGGAUUUGUCUAGGCAUCUCAUUUGCUACUUCAAACAUUGAGCUUGGACUUGCUCAACUCUUGUACCGCUUCAACUGGAAACUUCCAAAUGAUACUAAAUCAGAAGCCCUUGACAUGGCUAAGAAUUUUGGAAUCACAGAUAGUAGAAGGAACAAUCUGCAUGUGAUCACCACCAUACAUAUUCCUUUCCGUAAAUGAGACAAUUAAGGAUGUCAAUGGAAGAAUGCUGUCAAGCCUUCAGAAAUUUUUUUCUGUGGAUACAAGCGAUAUUGGGGGAGGGAGGAAUCGAACCUAGGACCUCGGAUGCAGGGGUAUCUCUUAACCACUUGAGCUACAAGCCCCUUGCUUUGUAUGCAGCUUCAUUAGUAUAUGCAAUAUUAGAAAACAUUUACUAUUCAGCAUUAAUGUUCUUGUACAUGAUAAGUUAUUGCUAAUAAUAAUAAACAAAGAAAUAAUGUGUUAUCAGUUCUCUAUUUACAUUGAGCUCUCAUUCUUGAUUCAUUUAAAAAAAACCUCGGGGUAUUAGCGAUUGCUGGAAACUAUGUAAAGUCAUUAUGCAACUGCCAAUGCCAUUGCCAUUGCUGGUGCAGCAGCUGUUGUUUCUUUUACAGAAUAUUCAUCCAUUGACUGCAAGAGCUUGGUACAAUGGAAUUCAAUUUGUAGCCGAUGAUGAAGAGGUGUAGAUGCCAUCAAACCCUUCUUAAGAUCCGCUAGCAAUUCCCUUAUAGGGAUAGCAGCCAAAAAGCUCUUAAUAUAAUUUGCAAGCUUCUCUUCCUUUGCAUACAACCUCCUCUUCCACAUCACUGUUUUCUAAAUCUUUCUGGGUCAACACAAGAGCCCCUUCAGCUUUAGUUUCCUUACAGUUGUUCAGUCGCACCUGAUUUACCAAUUUCUCAUAAGAUGCUUUAGCCUCACUUGGUAAUCUUUGGAUUGUUGUGUCUUUAUCAAAUUUCAGGAUAUAGGCCUGGUUGCAACCUUCAUAUAACCUCUCCCCUAAUGUGUCAAUUAUGUAAAAAGCAUCGUGCUCUACCUUUAGUACAAAGAAAUGGUCGUUCUAACUCACAAUGUAGAUCAGAGGUUAAAUAUUGCAAGCACAUUCUGAUGCAGAACGACGAUCUCAUCCCAGAUCCUAUCGAUGGAAAUGGCACCCUAAAGGAAGUCAAAAUCCUUGUUUUGUAGUUCUUCAGGAUGAAAGAAUCCUAUGAAAGACUUCUCUGGAACUAUAGACAAAAGACGAAUUUUAGCUUGAAGGAUGGUCUUGUUUACACCAUAAUCAACCAAGCAUAUCCAGCCUCAAAGCGACUAGCACCAAAGGCAGAUACUCCUUUUCCCCUACCGAAGGAAGACAUUCUUCCGAGGUGCCAAGCACCUGCCGAAGCUCCCGAUUGCCGAAGGCCAUAAUUGCCAAACCUAAUCUGCAGGACAAGCGUCACCACCACAGCGAUUUGCACAAAGUUCCACAUUGAAACUUUGUGCAAAUCUCCCACUUUCACUUCCCUAUAAAUAGGGAACAGUACCCAAGUAAAAAGGGUAACUACUUUCUCAUCUUUACUAUUACUCUGUCAAAGUUACCCCAUAUAGCUCACUUAAGUAUCAGAGAGUCUUCAGCCGGCACCACACCGGUGGCCAACAUUUGAGCAGUUUGCCCCCACACCUCAUCCCUAAGUUGGACUCAAUCUUUGUCGGACCAUUUUGAGCAUCAAUAGGUCUCAAGAUGAAAGUGCUUAUUUAUCAGGGAAACGCUCUAUGUAGGCCUCGUUAUCACAGAGAGUUCUCCACUCUGAUGAUCCAUCUCUAAUGAGACUAUCAAAUUCACACUUGAUAGGCAUCUCAUUUCUGUUGGAUUUCAACCAAUCUGCAAUGACUGCAACCAAGGUCGUGCAUGCACUCUCUCUAGCAGCACGUUCACUCCGCUGAUCAAUUGAAACAAAAAAUACUUCAGUUUGAAGCUUCAUAUGUUCAUCACGUCACUUCCUUAUGCUCCCAAAUGCCAACAGAAAAAUUCUCAUCUCCGAAUUCAGAUAUAGAACUUUAUGUGUGAUGUGACUUUCAAAGUAAAAAAAAAAAAAAGUUUUAAAAAAUCAAUACAGAAAUGAAGACAAGCAAAAACAUGUACAGAAAACAACAGCGAGAGGUUGCGUACAUACCUCAAAAUUGGAUUCAUGAGAGGAACUAAGCUGCCUGCGAUCAAAAUCAAUAUCAUCUCUGUAGAAUUGUAAAUGAUGAGCUGAUAGGUAUAGUAAAAGCCUAGAAUAUUAACUGUGUAUGCACUUAGUCUUAGAGAAUGACAAGUGCAAGGCUCUUAAAGGUAAGGCUGAAAUAAGCCACAUGUAAUGAUCCUAGAAUAUAGCUAGAUGAAUGGCUAAGAUGCAAUGUUGCUUGUGUGCAUCCAGCUAAGGCUAACGGUCAUAUAGUGAAUGCUGUGUGUGCUCACUUUUUACAGAGAUAGAGAAUAUACAUUCCUUACCUCACCUUCUUGGUGAGUAAGAGAGCAUUAUCAACACUCUGCAUUUUUUCCUUGUUCAUUCUUCCAUUGUUUCUCUCUACUUGGGAAUCCCAUAACCCAGUUAGAAUCCUAAAACAUUAACAUGGCCUCAGAGCCAGGUUGGAUCAAUUGAAUCUAGGCCUUUUUCAAAACUGUGAAAUCAAGCUAUAUCUGUGCUCACUCAAGUUCGUGGCGAUUGUUGGAGCUCAAUUGAAAUAUGAAACAAGCUGUUUUUGGUUACUUGAGAUCAGAAAUGUCUGGAUUUGGAAGUUUAGAAGCAAGAAUUCUGAUCUUCUCCGGUGAGAACUACGAGUUCUGGAGAAUCAAGAUGGUAACUAUAUUCAAGUCAUAUGGGUUGUGGACUCUAGUGGAGAAAGGAAUCACGAUUCCAGAUUCGAAGAAGAAGAAGUCAACUAAGGAACUAUCAGCAGAAGAAGAUGAUGAGAAUAUGGCUACGAUCCUUAUGAAAGGUGCAAAAACGUUGGGGAUUAUUCAAAAUGCAGUUUCCGAUCAGAUCUUCCCUCGUAUUGCCAAUGCAGAUUCAAUGGCAUGGGAGUUGUUGUAUGGAGAAUAUCAUGGUGGUGACCAUGUCAGAUUGGAAUCCAAAGGGCAAGCCAUGGGAAUCAAAAUCCAAAGAUCAACAAACUAGCUCUGCACAGAAUUUAUCACAAUCAGUGAGUCAAGAAGGUCCAAAACCACAAUGCAAAGUGUGCUCAAAGUUUCAUUUUGGUGAAUGCAAGUAUAAAAGAAAGCCUAAGUGUUACAAUUGUGACAGAUUUGGACAUUGGGCUAGAGAAUGUAUUGCAAAUAAAACUAUGCAGAAAGCUAACUAGGCAAAUCAAGUGGGAGUAACAAGAAAUUUGUUCUAUGCCAGUAGUACCAUCUCUAAAACAGGUGUUAAUGGUGAGUGGUACAUAGACAGUGGCUGCAGCAAUCAUAUGAGUGGGGUAGAAAGUUGCUAGCUAACAUAAGAACAAAUGUAAUAGGCAAGGUACAAAUGCCAACUGGAGAGCUUGUAAAUGUAGCUAGAAUAGGCAAUCUGGUGAUUGGCACUAGCAAAGGUAGAAAGUACAUCAAAGAAGUGAUGUACCUACCUGGGUUGAAGGAGAACUUGCGAAGUUGGGAUAGAUGGAUGAGCAUGGUUAUUAUUUGCUAUUUGGAGGCAAAAUGUUCGGUAUUUUUGACAGUGCUUCACUAGAGAAUCUUGUCAUCAAAGUGGAAAUGAAAAGGAAUAGAAGCUAUCCUUUGGCACUAUUACCAAAUGAUCAUGUUGCACUGAAAACAAGUGUAUCUCGCUCUGCGUGGACUUGGUACAAAAGGCUAGGUCACCUACUGUUUGAUUUCUUUAAUAUGCAUGUUCAAGAUCUUUCACACAAUCUGAAAUACGUAAAGACAUAAAGACAUACAUGGAGCCAUCUUCCUUGAGUACACGACCUCUAAACUCAUCCAAUCCGUAGCAGCAAUCCUAGCAAGAACAGGAAUGGCUCAAGACUUUUGCUCUCUCAUAAUGAUGCGGAAAGAAUCUUUGGUGGAAACUGGAGAAAAAAUCUCAGUGUAGUCAAUUCCCUCCCUUUGAGUGAAUCCUUUUGCUACCAAUCUAGCCUUAAAUCUUUCGAUUCUUCCAUCCUUAUCUUUCAUUGUUUUAAAUACCCAUUUCGAGCCUACCAAUUUCUGGCUCAUGUGAGGUUCAACUAAUUCCCAUACUUGAUUAUUCUUCAUGCUUUCGAGUUCAUUUAACAUUGCUUCUCUCCAGUUUUUUGCAUUUUGACUCUCCAUAGAUUCUUUAAAACUUGUUGGAUCAGCCUCAUCUCCAAUGUCAAAAUCUGCUUCUUGUAAGUACACAUAAUCUGAAUUUGCUGUGGAUCUUCUUGUUCUAUCAUAUCUCUUUAACGACAUUAUUUCAGGUGAAUUUUCUUGUGGGUUUUCUGCAGUUUGUUCUUAUUGUUAUUGAUCAACUAGUUCUUCAUACUGAACAACCAAUCUCAACAAUUCGAGUACUGUAAUUUGGACAAUAAAAUUAAAAAAAAACUUAAAACAUAAUUCAGGUAACAUAAUUUGAAUAUAAAAUCUAGAACCCUUUGACCUUGCAGGAUAACCAGUAAAAUGACAGCAAAUUAUUUUAGGAUCAAACUUCUUCUCUUGAGGAUCAAACUUCUGCUCUGGAAGUCCAAAUUUCGAAAAAAUGUCUUACAUACGGAGUUACUAGGCACUCUAUAGUUUGUUGUUUCGAUCACCUCUCUCAAAAAGCUUAGGCAAAUCAGUUUUGAAAAUCUUGCUAAAAACCAUGUCCUUCAAAGUUCGAUUUCUUCUCUCAGUCACACCAUUCUGUUGCGGAAUUCCUAGCGUUGUGCACUGAGCAGCUAUUCCAUUUUCUUGUAGAUACCUAGUAAAAAGGUCUAGCACGUCUUCCUUCUUCAUCAAACAUCCAUAAUGCUCACUGCCUCUAUCUGACCUCACAAUUUUGAUCUUUUUCUCAAGUUGCUUGUCUACUCUAGUUUGAAAUUUUUUGAACAUUUCAAAAGAUUGAGACUUUUCUGCUAUGAGAUAUAGAUAACCAAAAUGAGAAUGGUCAUCUAUAAAGGUGAUGAAAUAGCGAUUUCCAUCAAUUAUUUGAUGAGGGAAUGGUCCACAAAUAUUUGUGUGGAUGAUUUCUAAAAGAUCACUACUGUGAGUUGUACCUUUCUUUUUAGUCUUAGUGAGUUUUCCUUUAACACAUUCAAUACGAAUUUUGUCAUCACUGAACAAGAAUUUUUUUCUCACUCGAUUCAGCUAUUAACAAGAAUUUUCACUCUUUCUUUUAAAAUGUGCCCUAAACAUCCAUGUGAUAACCUAGUGGAUGUUCCUUCACUUCUAAUCUUUUUCUCUCUUGAUCUAGCUAUUAAAACUUCACUAUCUUUAUUGUAAUUGAGAAAAUAUAAUCCAUCUUUAUUGUCUUUGAAUUCUGAGAUACAAAAUAUCUUUAUUGAAUCUAAAAUAAAACCAAGUCUUAAUAAUCUUGAAACAGAAAUUAAAUUUCUAUUUAUUUAGGGUACUGAAACUACAUCAUCCAACACUGAAAUAAAUGCUAAAUUCAACUUAAAAUCAACUACUCCAAUAAUAUUCAAUGAAAACAAUAGGUAGCUGUCUAAUCCUCCUUGUCACAACUUCUGCCAUGAAAGUGUUGUUCUCCCUAGCAGGGAACGGGUCGAGGACCGCUAUAUCCUUAUUAGUGGUGGUAUCGAAAAUCUCAACAAGUGAUUCAGGUUGGGGUGUAGGUUUCACAGACUGCACUAGGAGAAUCUUGUAUCGAAGUAGCUUAUUGAUGUUUUGUCCUCUCCCAUAAGCACAUACACCGAGCUUUACAACAAUCCUGAGACUUCUGAGAUUGUCCUUUGUGGCCAUGUAUAUCCUUAUGGGUCCUCCAUAAAGUCGACGACGUCGUUGCCCCUUAACCCUUUUUCACUCCAGCUCAUCUUCGUUCCGCUUCUUAAUUAGCUCCACUAUAUUCUUUACUAGAAUUCCAUUUGUGAUUAGUUGACACGAGUGGCUCCUAUGCUUUUCCUUUUCCCUAAGCUCUAGGAGUUGUGCUACAAGACAAAUAUGCGAAAUGGCUAGCUUGAAUUAAAUAUAAUCAUGAGUGAGAUCAUAAACAAUCUCAUUCAUUCCGAGAAUAACUUCAAAAUCAAACGUCCAUAUUUUGAAGUUUGAUCCAGUGAAUCUUUCAAUUUGCGAGAAAUUGAUUGAGGAAGUGUUCAAAGCUGUAAGGAUUUGCAAAAGAAAGUAUAAUUAUUUUCCAAGAAACCGAUUCUCAAUUUGUUAAGAGAAAACAAUUUUUUCGUUUAACUUUAUUCACAAAUCUAACAAAUAACACAUGCAAGCUUCCUUAAUUAUGUAUCACACCUUUGUGGCAAGAGAUUACUUAUAGCUUACACAAAUUACGUGUUAUCUUGUGCCAUCAUAAACAAAUUACAAGAUAGAUUCUAUUUGUUGAAGAAACUUAUUAAGCAAUUUAAGUAUGAUGCAAUUUUUGGUUAUUUCUUUAGGGUUUGAGUAUUUAGAUUUGGUUUUGUUAUGAAAAGUUUGUUGAUUCUCAGAACAAAGACAAACACCUAUCUAGCUCAUAAAAUAACCAAACAAGCACAAUUCAAGAAAGAAAACCCUAAAUUGCAGUGAAUAGUAAUUUCUGCCGUGAACAAUGUUUUAGGGGUUUUUGGUGUCUGUUUUUGACGCAAAAUAUCUUUUUAAAUAGGGAAUGACCUAAUUAACACAACACACAUCUUUGUUGUGACAUAUAGGGAUUUUAAGGGUUUUAUGCCAUGAAGAAAUGACAAAAAAACAAGUGGGAUGACGAGUGCGAAGUAGCUUUUCAAAACCUAAAACCUACCUCACUUCACGACUAUUAGGCGAAGAUCCUUUCAUCUACCUAGUGGUGUCCAACUCAGCGAUCAACUCAACUCUUAUCCAAGAAGAGCUGGGGGCACAACAUCUAGUAUUCUACACGUCAAAAGCCCUCUUCGAUGCAGAGACUCAUUAUCCGAAAAUAGAGAGGCUCAUUUUGUCGCUUGUAGUUUCCGCAAGAAAGUUAAGACCCUACUAUCAAGCUCACUGGAUAAUAGUCAUGAUAAAAGAAAUGGGUUAUCAAACUCAGUCAAUACGACGUCCUCUACCGGCCAAAGACUACUAGGAAAGCAUGCUUUAGCAUAUUGUGUUGAAGACUUUACUCCGACAACCGAAGAAGAGAAACUGGUCAUAAAAAAUAAAAAUAAAAAAAAGGAAAACUCGAGAAUAGACGAUACCACCUCCGCCGAUCCAAAUUUACCCAAAGACAUGUGGUAGUUGCACAUAGACGGAGCAUCCAAUCAUAAGGGAGCUGGAUCAGGCGUCGUCAUAAUCGCCCCAGACUGGAACUAUAUUCGAACAAGCCAUCACACUGGAUUUUCAGCUUCAAACAAAGAAGCAUAAUACAAGGCAUUUCUCACCAGAUUGCGUUUAGUAAAAGAACUGUCGAUUAAGAGAUUGGCCAUCUACUCGGACUCCCAGCUGAUCACAAAUCAAGCUUCAGGCGAGUACAUGGAAAAACAUCCAAGAAUGAUCUAGUACCUCCACAAAGUCCAAAUGCUUUUGAAGGAAAUCCCCACUUUCACUAUCCAGCAAGUUCCUCAGGCAGAGAACACUUAUGUAGAUGCAUUGGCAAUCCUAGGAUCAGUGCUAGACACCCAGUUUAGACUCUUCAUCCUAAUCGAACACCUUGAUUGACCAAGCAUCGAAUAUAUAGAGCAAAUCGAUUCAAUGUAGAUUGAUAAAGACCCUAGCUGGGAAUACCCCAUCAUCCAUUAUUUGGUGGAUAAAAAUCUGCCAAAGGAUAAGUCCGAAGCUAAGAAGGCCCAACAGAAGGUCGCGAGAUACUACAAGCAAGACAACAAGCUCAUUCACAUAUCAUACUCCGGCCUUCAUCUCCGAUGCAUAAAAUACCCUCAAACAAUUGAGGUUCUCUGUAAAAUUCACGAUGGCGAGUAUGGUAACCACUCUGGGGAAAGGUCACUUGCCCAAAAGGCUCUAAGCAUAGGCUAUUUCUAGCAUACCAUGCUCCAUGACUGCACCGAGUAUGUCAAAAGAUGUGAUUGCUGCCAACAGUAUAAGCCAGUUCCUAACUUGCCUGCGGAAGUCUACCAUCCGCAAAAUAGUCCAUGACCAUUCAUGCAAUAGGCUAUAGCCGAAGGAAAAUUGAUAGAUGAGUUCCCUAGAGUACUAUGAGCUUAUCGAACCACCAAAAGAAGAUCGACUGGUAAAACCCCAUUGUCCCCUUCAUAAGUAUUGAGGUGGGUAGUAUCAAUGUCCUCAUCUUCAAUGGCGUAGUAAGGAGCAGUCCCAUUUGUGUAGUCUAAGUAGCCCAUCUUGUAAGCGUCAAUGAUAGCUUCAAGGUUGAAUUUUUAAGCAGUCAUGUGCUAGAUACAAAACUUGGCCAAAAGCUUGUCAUAACUAUGGGAGAUGUCAGCAUUCUUAUGCUCAAGACGAAAGUAAGCCUCUUUUCGACUAUGCAUACUGGCAAUAGAAGAGUUGAGUUCACUUUCUUUCUUAGCAAGGGAACUUUUCAACUAAGAUAUAAUAUCCCUCAGUUCAGGCAUCUUCUUUUCAUAACGGAUCUACUCGACUAAGAGCUUGCUAGUCAAAUCAGCAUUCUUCUUCUGCAACUCGCUGAGCUGAGCAGAAGAGUAGGCAACAAAAGACGAGUUCCAGAUGGCCUCAACAAUAAGAACUAACCAUUUUUUAAGCAAAUGAACAACCGCUUCCUUUUGCUUCUCUAAGGAGCAAAUGAACAACCACUUUCUUUUGCUUAUCUAAGGAAAGACUUGAGAAUGUGCUAAGGUCACUAGCCUGAUGGAUAUCAUCAACCAGCUUGACACAGGCAGACGAGCUUUAUAGGAAGUUCGUCUUAAGUAGAUCAGACACGCUUGCAUCCCCUACAAGUUUGGUCUUGUCAACCUUGGGAUCAGUCGCUCGCAUUGUCAAAUAACCCUUUCUCCCAAGCAGAGGCUCUUUAACCUUCUUAAUCGCCGCCAUCCUUCCUUCCAAGGUAGUCGACAACGCCGAAUCAACUUCAUGUUGGACUGCUCGUGACUUAACAGCUAGAUCGCAAUGGUUAGGCGGAUGAGCAAACGUCCCAGUUCAAUCUUCUUCCCUUGACCGGUGCAAACGACUUGAAUUUUGGAAAAGAAUAUUAGCAUCUCUUUGCCUCUUGGCAAGUGAGCUGGUUCUGGAGUUGACCUCUUCACGGGGAAGAUCACAGUCUCUGAGCUUGUCAGUAGGAAACUUUUGUGAAACAUCCCGAAUGUUUCGCAUACCGCCAACCUUUUUGCUAUCUAUGCCGAUAAGAUGCUUAACCCUAGCAGAUGAUGGGGGAGCAGAUCCUACUUUAGUCUUCUCAACAAACGGGACCUCUUUCAAGGAAGACUUGGUCACAGCAGAAAGAAGUCUUGGCUUCUUUCUCAAUGGAGACACAUCCCUCGACCGCGAAGUCGCAACUUCAUCUCUUUAGGACUUGACGUCAACCUUUCUUUUUAGAGGGAUUUGACAGAACACUCCUUCUCUUCAGUAGGCAAAUCAUUAAAGUCUGGACCAUUCUGCUUUCAUCUCUUAACAUCCUGUGCAGGGUUAGGCCACCAACUUUUUCCCAAUACUUGCUCAACAGUCAACGCCACUUGUGAAACCUCACAGAGAUGUUCAAGGCCAGACCGACCUUAACCAUGUCCGACCCAAGUUCUAGUCUCUUGCAAAUAUCAUUCUCUGCAAGUAGAAGAUUAGAAGUUAGUCAGUCACACUUCAAGAAAUUUUAAAUAAAUAAAAAAAAGGAAGCAUAUCGAAACAACAUUAUGACGUACUGUCACAGUAAGUGAUGGGAACAAGUGGACCAUCGCUAACAUCACCUUCCAACUGUCAGCUGACUUCUAGCACAUCGACAUGCCAUAAAUGAUCUCCUUGGCUUAAACUGUCAAAUAGCUUGGCAUUGCACACACACAUACUUGAGCAUACUUCUUGUAACGCCUCACUUCGAAGAAGUUAAAGAACUCUCGCAUCGUCAUAUCCAACUUGAAGAAGCGGCUCAAUUUCUCAAAGCAAAUAAUCGCCCUGUAGACGUUCAGAGUACACUGACUUGUACCAUACUCGAUUGCGCAGAACACCUCUUUGAAACACUUUGACAGCGGGAACAUGAAGCCCAAGGAGAAACCCAAUGGAACAUGAAGGAACGAAAGGUGAUGAUUCUAGUAUCUGGAUCAUUCGCAUACACACAAGGUACAUCAUCAGUCGAAAACUCUACCAGCUUAACGUGCACGUCAUCAAGUAUGGCAAAGGCAUAAGUGGCACCUCACUUCUAGAACUGAGCUUCAUAUUAACACAGUGCAGAUUAGCCACAAAUCUCUUUCUUGUGCAUUUUGGAGCUUCCCCACAGAUACAAAGGCACUUGUGAGCUUGGUGAUCGGCUACCAUCCUUGGAAGAUAUGAUCAAUGAAUAGCUACAAAAAGGGAAGAAAAUUGCAAGUCAGAUAGCAUGUCAAAAUCCUAGAGUUGCAGUUCAAAAAAAAAAAAAAAAGUAGCCGCAGCCAAUGACCACCUUGGCAAUAGCCGCUGUUCAUAGCAAGGUCUGCCUGAAAAAAAAAGCAACAAUGAGUGACGAGCACAACAGAAGCACAAUAAUAGCCAUUGCCGCCUAUUGCGGCAACAACCACCACUGCGCCACCACCAUCUGAGGUGACCACACUGCAUCCUUCCACCACUGUGUGAUGCCAACGCAGCUCACGCCGUGACUAGAGGUGUUGAAGACAACCAGUAGGAUACCCAACUAGUCCUCUCUACGAAGAAGAAAAGAUGAAGAAAAAAAUGCUCGAAUUACCUUGGGAUGCACAACAACUCCUCUCUUCUACGAGUAGUACAAAUUCUCCAAAAUCUCUCUCAAGUAAGAAAGUAGCGAAGACAAGUUUGCAAUUUGAAGAAGAGUGAAGAGAAAUCUUGUAUUUAUAUAGCUUGGGCAUCCUAGGUCAAGGAGGUAUCACAAGCCUAUUCCCAUUGAGAACCCAACUCCAAGAAAAGUCAAAAGCCUACUCCGACUAGGAGCCCAAUUUGCGAAAAAGAGUCGAACUCACAGAUUAGAGAACAUUUUUCAUCUCCUACAUACCUCACAAGUGCCAUGCAGAAGUUGAGGGGCAUUUGUGGGAGUAAAUAAUUCGGUUUCCAAUCACAAGAUGCCACAUGGACAAGAAGAAUAUCUCCUACGUCAAUUAAUUGAGCCAAUGUAUUUGGAAAAUUAAUUGAUACUAAAAAUAGGGAUAUUAUCUUAAAUAUGGGAUAUCCUAAUUUGGAGAUAUCAUCAUCAAAUUAGGAGAUUUGAUCUCAAUCAAAUCCCUAAUAGACUCAAUCUCUACAAUUUGGGGAAAGAAUAAAUUCCUUCUAAAUAGGAAUUAUUCUUUGAAAAACCCUAGAUGCCUAGAGCCCUAUAAAUACCCAGCCCGAACCCAUAUGGGCUUGGGCUUUGGGCUCGACCAGGAUUGAUGAUUUUCCUAAAUGGGUGGGCCUGGCAUGACCUGUUUAUUAAAUGAGCUGACUCUAAAUGCGAAUAGCUUGUCUUCCUCGCCUAAUUCCCAGUGUAUCUAUAAAGUUUUAGAGAGACUGCGACAAGGAGAUGAUAAAUUCUUCACACCUUAUGUAGUCUCUGUAGGCCCACUUCACCCUGGAAAAGAACACUUAAAGGCCAUGACGGUUCAUAAAAAGAAGUACCUACAAGAUUUUCUAGAAUAUGUAUUUCUGCUACAAACGUAACACUUUCAUGUCCACCUAGUAUGACCAAGUUAAAUCAAGCAAGCCUCGAAUUUCAGGUGGGCCGAAAUCAAAGCUUAUUUGAAAUGCAAUUUUAUCGUCACAAUGGGAUUCUUACGAUUCCAAAGUUGAGAAUCAACGGUUUUGCAGAGGUGUUCAUUAAAAAUCUGAUUGCAGUGCCACUUGCAGAGGUGUUCAUUAAAACGUCCCAAAUUUUAUCGUCACAAUGCCACUACGAGGAUGAGACUUAUAUAAGUGAAUUUCUUUUUUUUGUUCAUGGAUUGCUUAGUGAAUACCCCAAGGGAUGUGAAGCUGCUGGUGGAGAAUGACAUCAUUGAACUUGGCCUUGGUGAAGAAGAACAAGUGGCUGCUAUCUUUAUUAGAUUUGGAAAAGAGGUUGAUAUAGAAAGCAAUUGUUUUGUUGAGGUUUGUAAUGAUCUCAACAAAUUCUACCAAAAACCCUGGAACAAAUGGAAGGCAAAUUGGAAGAAAAAGCAUCUCCACCCGCCUUAGGCAAUUAUUUCUCUUGUCGUAGCUGGUUUUCUCACCAUAUUAAUUGUCAUACAACAAUGCUCUAUUAUUUUUGUUAAUCAUCUGUGGGAGCAAAUAUUUUCGUCUCCAAUUACAGCACGUCACGUGAAAAAGAAGAUUAUCUCUUAAAUUAAUUAAUUGAACCAGUUUAUCUAGCUAAUUAAUUAAUUGGGACAAAUAUCUUAAUUAAUAUGAUAUUAUCUUUAUUUAAUAAGAUAAUAUCAUUAAUUCGGAUAUUAUCCUAAUAAAGAGAAGAUAAUAUAAUUAAUUCAGAUAUUAUCUUCAUAAAAGGAGAUAAUAUCAUUUAAUUUAGAUAUUAUCUAAGUCCGACUCGAUCCCUACGAAUUUGGGUAGAGAAUAAACUCAGCAUAUUCUCUACGAAACCCUAGCCCCGAGGCUCCUAUAAAUAGACGACCUCAUUCAUCAUUCAAGGUACAUCUAAACCUACAUCUAAACCUACUCCUAAUACCCGAGAAAAAUACCUGAAGCUCUCUCUCCCUCUCCACUCUCCAUAUUUUCUCCACACGGCUCCGGCCGCCCGGUUCACACCAUACAUAUAACUCUGUACCCUUUGCUUAGCUAUUGUUUUCCUACAAACACUCGAACUAACUUAGGCAUCGGAGGGCCUUUGGCCAACACCCCCCGAGUAUGGUCUAUUUACUCCAAUCUUUUUUACAGGAGACAAGGAAGAGAGAGAAGGAAGGUCGAAUGUUGAGGGAUCUAGAAGCGAAUAUUCUCCCGUGAGAUUGUUUGCACAAACAGCAUCAAUGACAACAGUCUCUCUGUCCAAGUAUUCUACUUAUCUAGCUUUCAAUAGUUAGGAAACAUUUUCCUUCAACCUUGAAGGGCAUUAUCCAUAUUGAUAUAUUACUUUAGCAAUUGUUAAUUAAUAAGAUCAAAAUAGCCAAUCUGCUUUAAAUAUAGAGGUGUCAAACAGACUGGGCCAACCCGAGCAUAGCAUGAGCAUAACACGAGCACGGCCUGCUUAAAUAAGGCCCAGCACGGCACGAUCCGUAUUUUUGGGCCAUGCCAGGAUGACAUAACUAGGUCCAAUAGGCCGAGCUGGGGCGUGGCUCAUCGUGGGCUGUGUUGGCCCGAAAUCCAAUGAACUGUCCCGUUUAAAGCCCAUUUAUUGAAUUGUACUGGUUUUAGAGAAUAUAUAUCUUAAAUUCAUGUCUAAUUCUUUUCUCUAAUAAUAUAUAUAUAAAAUUAAUAUUUUCUUAAUAUAUAAAAUAAUGAUUUUGUUUUCAAGUUUCAAUUUUUAAAACUCAAACAAUAAUCUAGCAAUUUUCUAUUUAAAUGCACUUUAACUAAAGUUCUUGACCUCUUUUUUUUUUUUUAAAUUUAUAAACAAAUAAUAAAUCUUAUGAAUAUAUACAUAAUUGUAAAAAAGAUUUAAAUGAAGUUGUAAAAAAAAAUUAUUAAAAAAAAUGCAAUACAUAAGUCAAAUUUGGUGUGGGCCCAUAUCGGUCCGGCCUAACACGGCCCAUUUGACACCUCUACCCUGACUAGUUAGGUGUAUCUUUUUAUGUUUAUUAAUGAAAUUCAUUCGUAUCGUCAAGUUUUUAAUGUAAGGUUAGCCUACUUGACUUUUGAAUCUCAGAUCCACCUUUGGAGGCGUUACUCUUGGAGCGUGCUUUCAAUGCAAUCCAAAAGUUCCAACACAAUUUUAAAGCUUGAAGUCUGUCCUCCAUCCACUUUGAUAGAUUCUCAUAAAACCACAAAAGAAUGUGACUUGUAAGUCUCGACACCAUGCUUGUUCUUGAGAUGAAGAUGAGUACUCCAGAGAUGGUAGUGCUAGCAAUUAUCUCCCUAGAGUAGCCGAUUUUAGCUUGAUAGAAUACGAGUUCUGGAUCUCAAUCUCAAAGAUGCCCCAACUCUAAUGUGAGCAGAUGUAUAAAGUUACUUUUAUAGUGAUCUAACAUGUGCGAGACCUAUAUCCUCCCCCUAUGGCCGUCCAUGCCUUGUUAUUGUGCUUAUUGGACUUUAUUGGAUUUAAGUUCAUACAAUUUCAAUUACAAGUACAAUGGUUCUAAGCCCAAUGAACCUAAAACUCCAAAGUUGAGGCGCUCAGACUAUAAUGAGUGGAAAGUUAUAAGGGGUAAGUUAUAAGGGGUUCACUUUAUAGCCAUCAGAUCAAUCUAAGGGCUGGGAAGAAUUGAGAUAAAGUUUUACAAUCGGGUAGGUGAGGAACCCAAACCCGAAUUGAAUAUCCAGCACGUCCGAAAAAGAAGAAGAAGAGGCAAGUUCGAAGUUUGAACAGAAAAAACUCAUCUCUCUAAAACCCAUAUCUCUGAGAAACGGUUGAAGGCAACGGUUAACGACGGUUGAAGGCAACGGUUGAACGCCACUCCGUUCUCCAGACCCUGAAAAAGUAUUUAUUUUGAGUAGAAGGGGCAAAGGUGUGGAUUCCAAAACAGUGAAGGGGCGAAGCAGUGGAAGGGGAAGGAGAGAAGCCGUAUUCGUUGGAAGUGGUAGGUUCCAUUUGUGGAGCAAAGCAACAUAAAGACCCCACACAGACACCUUGCGAUUGUUGAAUAACCAGCAUUUGGUGAGUAAUUUAUGGAAUUUGAGUUUAGGGUUAGAGUAACGGUUUUCCGCAAUUUGUACCAUCAAUGUUGUUGGAUUUGGCAUCUCUUCUUUGUGCUUCACUUGCAUGUUAAUUUUUACUUGGGUAUAUGUUAAAAAACGAAUGAAAAUCAAGUCAAUCACAUAUCAAUAACAUAUCAAUAACAUGUUAAUAAUGAUAUGAAUAAGAUAAUGGUGUCGAAUUGGAGGAGGCCCUCAAAACCUUCCACAUUUGAAGCAGUGCAGAGUGCAGAGUGCAGAGUACCUCUCUGGCGCUAGAAUUUAUAUAUUUUUUGAAAUAAAUAUUAUUUCAUUUGUUACUAAAUUUGCCUAUGAGAAAUGAGAACAGAUAAUAAUAAACUCAUGAAUAAAAGUGCAAAGCAUUUGAAAUAAAGGUUGAUCUAUGACGAUUGUGGCUGACUGAAGAAAAAGCUAGAAAGAAAGAAGGAUGUGGCAAUGGCUUAGCAAACAGAUAGCAGAGUAGAUGCUUUGCUUUGCUUCCUUCCACUAUAUUUCUUAUUUAUUUAUUUUGUGUUGUGUAUGAGAUGACAAUAAUUGUCAUGUGUGUGAAGUGCAGAACUUGCCUAGAUUGCACUCACACUCACUCAUGCAUCAACCAUUGAUUGGAGUUUGGAUCCAUAAAUAAAACACAUGAAAUUGUUUGUAAUUCACAUAAUCAUUGCAUUAACAGGUAUUUGCACAAAAUUUUUCAUAUUGCUUUGAUGAUGUUAAAGCCUGUGAUCAGUAAUCCCUAUGCUCAUGUACUUUGUAAAAUUUGUAAUGUGCCUGGUUGACUAUUUGUGUAAAUACCAAUGUGAUUGUGCAAAUACGUGGUAGUAUAUGUGUUCACGUUAUUUCAUCUUGUAUUUCAGGAAAUGGGAUCCAACGUGGAGCUGGAAUGGCCAGAGUCAGAGGCAUAUUCGUCACGGGUGAACAACUGCUCACAUGCAAAUUCAUCUCUAGCUGCAAUUCGAGCGAAGUUGAGUGCGGAACAAUUAGAACAAUUCAAGACAUCAUGCUUUGGCCAUCUUCUGAAUAUAGAUAAGAUUCAGUUUAGCGGGCAGAUUGUGCAUGGGGUUGUGUUGCGUAGAGUAGCGGGGCAGGGUGUGAAAGACUUGGAUGGACUGAGUUUCUUAAUAGGGUGUGAUGUUGCUCAGUUCACUCAUCAGGAUUUCUGUUUGAUCACAGGGCUUCGUUUUGGGGAAGUGCCUGAAGUUUCCAGUGGAGAGAGUGAUGAAAUUAGACUUCAGAAAAGAUAUUUUAUAGACGAAGAAAUUACAUGUAAUGCCUUAGAAAAAGCAUUUCUGAGGUGCACAGAGGAAGAUGACAUCUACAAGCUAGCUCUUGUUUACUUUGCUGAGUUAGUGGUUUUGGGAAGGGACAAACAUUUGAACAUCAAUCUAAAUUACCUGACCCUUGUAGAGGACUUGGAUGCGUUUAACAGGUAUCCGUGGGGUUCGGUGUCCUUUGACAAAACCCAAGACAGUCCAUUUUCUGCACCAACAAAGUAUGUGAAAAGCUUUGAAAAUGAAGAGGGAAGAGGGAAGGGGAAAAGUAAGCUAACGGGAACAAGCUGGAGAAAUGAGAAGGGCAAGAAGGAUAAGCAUGGUGAAGCGCAAAGGGGUGGAUGGAGUUUUAAAGGUUUCACGUAUGCUUUUCAGGUACAUGGUAAUAAUGUUCAUGUCAAUUAUGUUUUGUGGACUUUAAAACUUAAAUAAUGACUUUUGUCCUGUAAAUUGUGUAGAUUUGGGUAUAUGAAUUAAUUCCUAGAAUGGCGGACUUGAAUUACUGCAAGGUUGUUGAUCCGACAGCUGUCCCGCGUAUUUUGCGAUGGAGAACUACUACGUCUGUUCCCGAGAUGAGAAAGUUGAACAAUUAUUUUUUCCAGAGCAAAGAGGUUUGGUUUGCAGCCCUUAGAACUAUUUAUAAGAUUCAAUGAAAUUAUGAAGUAGAAUGAUUGAAUAUGACUCUUGUCUGUAUUCUGAAACAGUCAGUUCAGUUGCGGGCGCUAUGUCCGAGUGAAGAGGAAAUGAGACAACCAUAUUGGAGUUGGCCACAGGAUCGCCCUGCUGUUGUCUAGACAGAGUCAAUUCCUUCUUCAUGUGCUGACCUUGAUGAGUUGAACAAGGUGGUAAGCUUGUUGAGGUCCGAGUUGUUUCAAGUAAAGCGGGAAAAAGACGUCCUUGAGUUAAAGGUCAUACGGAUGGAAAAACUUUUGGACCACUGUUUAGGUCCUCAGUUUGAGAAGGAAGUAAGGAGGGACCUAGCUUUACUGAAAGAGAGGACGAAUCGUUGUGUCAUCUCACAUCUAUUUAAGGGAAGUGAGGAAAUGGAUGACAUUCAAUAGGAUGAAGGGCCAAGUAACAGAAAUGAGGGAGAGGAAAAGGAAGAUGAAGGGAUUGAAGGGGGUGAAGGGCCAAGUAAUAGAAAUGAGGGAGAGGAAAAGGAAGAGGAGGGGAUUGAAGGGGGUGAAGUGCAAGGAAAACCAAAUGAGGUAGAGGAAGCUCAAAGGAAAAGAAGUGAAGGAGAGCAAGUGAAAAUAAAAAGCAGCAAGGGAGAGGAAGCGCAAAGAAAGAGCAGUGAGGGAGAGGAAGUGAAAAGAAAAAGCAGUAAGGGAGAGGAAUUGCAAAGAAAGAGCAGUGAGGGAGAGGAUCCGCAAAGAAAAAGAAGGGAGGGCAAGGAAGUGAAAAGACAAACAAGUGAGGAAAAGGAAGUGCAAAGAAACCAAUGUGAGAAAGAAGAUAAUGAAGUUAUGUUGCUUGGCGAUGACAUUGGCGAGAGCACGGAGGGGACAAAGGUUGAGUUUACUCUCGGGGACAUUGAUUUGGAUCAACCUACAGCUGUGCUAUCUCAGUUGAACGUUUGGUUGAAUGAUAAAGGUAAAGCUGUGGGACAAGGGGUCCAAUUACAGAAGAGGAAGAGGAUCAUUCCUAUGUGGAAGAUCAUUGAAGGUAGUGAAUUGGUUCCAAAAACUCUGGCAGAGAUAACCGGACUUCAGACGUUAGACCCAAUGAAGGCGAUUCCGCAUGAUGAUCUGGUGAAAUUGCUAAAACUUUGUUGGGAAUGGCGCUAUAACCCAAAGUAAGUCCCUUGUUUUUUGAGAUAGAAGGCAUGAGUGUAUAUAUUUUUUAAUUGUUGUGUUCUAAAACUUUUUUAUAUUCAUAGUUUGGUGAUGCAACUUGGCAACGUGGAAGCUGAUAUUGAAUUCUUCGCUUCCCUCGUCAAAGCUGAUGGUUGGCUGAAAGGAGAUGUAAGUUUAAUUGAUUAUGCAUUUGUUUUAAUGUACAUAGAUUAUGAGAUUGACAAGAAAAACAUGUUGCAGCACAUUGAUUUGGGGUUGUAUCUCAUCCGGAAGCGACAACAAGAGUUGGAGGAAGUAGAAAUAUCAGACCGGACAACGACCGAUGUAUUUUUUAUGGUAUGUCAUGGGCCUUGACCAAGUGCUGUUCAUAAUUACAAAUUAUCCAUACUUGCUUUAUGGAGGUGUUUAACCAUUGAUUGUUUUCUAUUUGACAGAAUCACAUUCGUACUUGCUUUGUGGAUAAUAAUAAAAAAAAAGAGCAGGUUGGGUGGAAAAUUAGAAACAGUUGACUAAACGUUGUAAAUGGCAAGGUUCCGGCGUGUGGGAUGGAUUGGCAGAACGCAUAUAAGGUGUAUGCCCCUUGUAUGUUGACGAAGUACAAGCAUUGGGUGGCUGUAAUGAUUGAUCUGGUUUUGUGUGAAAUCAAUGUGUACGAUUCAAAGGUUUCACUUAUUCCAGAUGAGAUCUUAAAGGAAGAACUCGCCCCGCUUUCAAUUACGAUUCCAAAUCUUCUCAACACCAUCAACUUUUAUGAAGAAGGUGCUUACGCAAACAAUUGCAGCCGAGAUUGGUGGUGUCCAUGGGCAAUACAGCGUGUGGAUGUUCCACAACAGUCUAAUCAGUAAGCACAACUUUUUAUUUAAUUUUAUUACUUUAAAUUGUCAAUUACGUUAGAAUGUCAUUAGUUGAAUUGAUCGAGUUCUUGUUUUGCUUCAGAGGCGAUUGUGGCAUGUUCGUGUUGAAGUACAUUGAGCUUUUGAGCGCUGAGAUUCCGUUAGCUACUUGCACCUCGCAGAACAUGCCCUUUUUUCAGUUGAAAUUGGCUGCAGAGAUAACACGGGGAGAUGCUUACAUGCCAUGAUAUGGGUUGAACUUGGUUUAGGUACAUGAUGAUUAAAUAGGUUUUGGGAAUGUCCAAUUUCAAACUCAUGUAAAUACACAAUAGAGACCUACGGGUACUUUUCGAAUUCUACCUCUGCUCCUCUAUUCUUCUUCGUCUUUCUCAAUCUUAGUGUAUUUUUGUACAUAAAUUGAGGUUUAAGUUAUUGGACAAUAACAAUUAGAACCAAAAUAGUGGCAAAUAUUAUAGCGGAUGCAUGCUUUCAUUUUAAUUAGUGUGAUACUACGCUACGUUUAUUCUGAUAUUGUCCUAAAUGUAUAUGGAGUUGGAUGCAGAGCAUAGACAGAAAAAUGAAGAAACUGAAAUGGAGAUGCUGAGGCUUGGUGAGGAGAAAAGUAAAUGGAUCUGUAAAUCUGUUGCACGUAGGCAAUCUAAAUGGAUAGGCAGAUGAGUUUUUGAAGUUAGACACAUGUCAUUCCCAUACAUAGAAUGUGCCUAUGGUUCCAUAAAGUAUUUUUUUAUUUAAUGAAACAAACUUCUGUGUAAUAUUAGCCUAACUCCUUCACGACAUUUACAUAACCUUAACCAAACUGCAUUGAAUUGGGAUUUAAAGACUGCAUAUGUGAAUUGGGAUUUGAAGAUGGCUUUUUAAGUGUAUUACAUCAUUGCAAAGUGAUAUGUCAUCGUUUAUGCAAGCCACCAUUAAUCGCAAUGGGUUGCAUCUUAAUAAGGUACAUAAUCAGCGGCUAUGGCCUCGCCUCCAAUGUUUUAUUCAACCAUGCCCUCUUUAUAGAAAUACAUGAAAAAAUAUCUCCAGGUGCAAUGCUAUAAAAACUCCCUAUUGGUUCCGUACCGCCCCUCGGGUUUGAAUCCCUCUCUCCUUUAUAAUCGGUUAAUAAAUUCGUUGAUUUUUUUUUUAUUGGUUUUAGGCAGCUCAGUAGCAUAAAAGUAAUGUAUAUUGGUGUAUCUAUAUUGCAUGUCUGUUGCGUCUAUAUUGCUUCUCUAUUGCGUGUAUAUCUUACAUUUAUUGUAUGUGUAUUGAUUGUUUAUUACUUACGAAGGAAAUAAAUGACAAUACACAGGCAACAGUUAAGCAAUAUACACACAACAGACAAACAAUAUACACACAAUAGAUAGGCAAUAUACACACAAUAGACAUGCAAUAUACACACAAUAGACAUGCAAUAUACAUCAGUCCUCAAUUACACCAACCAUAAGGAAGUCGUAUUGAAUAGAAAAUUAAACUUAACAGUUGUUCUUCCUACUAAAAGAAAGAAUAAGGUCCGUUUUCCCCCUUAAAUCUUACUUGAGUGGUACUUGUGCCCCCAAUAAACAUCCAAUAUUAGAGCAAUAACAUUCGAUAUACAUGCAACAAACAAUCAAUAAACCUUCAAUAACCAUUCAAUAUCGAUUCAAUAACAUGCGAAAUACAUUCAGUUAACAAUCAAUAAACAUGUAAACAAUCAAUAAACAUUCAAUAUCGGUUCAAUAACAUGCGAAAUACAUGGAUUUAAUAAUCAAUAAACCUUCAAUAAACAUGUAAACAAUCAAUAAACUUUCAAUAAACAUUCAAUAUCGGAGCAAUAACAUGCGAAAUACAUGCAGUAAAAAAUCAAUAAACCUUCAAUAAACAUUCAACAUCAUGCGAUUUAUAUGCAGUAAACAAUCAAUAAACUUUAAGUAUACGCAAAUAAACAAUCUAUAUACACUAAAUAAUUAUGCAAUUUUCAAAAAAAUUGUAUUGUCUUGUUAUUGCAUCGUAUUGGCCCUGUAUUGUGAUUUUAUCGUCUUCGUAUGAUUUUCUUUUUUUAAAGUAAGUCUUGGAAAGUUUUUGCUGGGUUUCAAACAAAUAAAUGCUUUUGUUUAAAUUCAAUGCCAAUCCACCUAUUUCAAGAACAAAUAUUACAAAAUGGGUUUGAAAACUCAUUGGUGGUGCGUGCAACAUGUCUUUUUGAGGUAAACUUUCACAAUCUUUGAAACCAUGCACUUAAUUGAUCAUUAAAAGAACAAAUAAUAUGGCAAUUGAUACAACUAAUAAAUCUAAUACCAAGUCCUUAAUGGACUUCAGCAUAUUCAGCACUGUAGCAUCAUACGUGUCAGCUUGAUGUUCUGCUUCAGCGGAGGUUACAUCAACCCAUUCGAAUCCAUUGCAACUGGUGGGUCCCUAAUUGCAGGCAUCAUAUAUGCAAAAUAAUUCUGUCAGAGUUAGACAUAGGUUUUUUUUGACCCACAUACAUAUUCUUGAAAUGAAAACUUACAUAGGAGGUUAGACACUUCCAAAAUGGCUUCCCUCAAUUUUUGUCUGAUUUUGAAACCCAAAGCACCAUUGUAGCUCCACAAUACUGACACCUCUUUGUUUGAGCGGGAGAUGAAGACGAAGACAUGUUGUAUCUUCUCAGUUGUACCUCUUCUCACUCAGAUCUUCUCACUGAAACCUCUUCGGACUCAUACCUUCUCACUCGUAGUUCUCAGUCAUACCCCUUCACUCAUAACCCUAAACUUCUCACUCAGCUCUCUCUCAUCUCUGCCAAAAUUGAAUUAUAUCCUUCUUUUCUAUGUCUGGGUGGGUUGGUCACGAUCUGGACACCUGUACCGUCAAAAUUGUGACAUCUUUUACCCCGAAAAGUAAUAUAAUAUUUCACUACCAAAUAUUAAUCUGAAAAUUGAGGGGACACUGCUUGAAAUUUAUUAUUUUAUUUAUAUUUCAUUAAGGCAACUAGUUGGAUAAGAAUCCAUCAUUACUGGUUCCAUUUUAAUAAUAUUGGUUCUAUUUUAAUAACAUUACUAGGGGUAGUUGGGUGUGGAAAAAUGAAAAAGUAUAUGAUGGGACCUUCUGUCACUAGUCAGUAAUCCAUCACAUUUGUAUCAAUGAAUUUGAUAGCGGGAAAAUCUCAAAAAUGGCUAUGCAAAUAGGUUAUUAAUUGACUUUUUGACUGUCUGACUCUCUAUGCAAUGUUAUGACGUUUUCCCUUCUUUUGUCUUCAGUUUUAGGGUGUUGGGUUCAGUUUCUUUAAAAACGGUCAACUUAGAAAAACCCCAACUGAAAACACCUUUUCAAAACACUAUAAACAGAGGCUACAACAAAACGUGUACCCCAAAUAUUCUCAUUUCUCCCCUCUGCCACUCCUCAAAUCGUUCCAUUCCAAAAACAUUUCAAUGAAUUCAAAACAUUUCACUACAGUCGGAGGAAAGAGAAGGAAGCAUCUCCAUUUGGAUAUGCCCCAAGCCUUCAUCCCGGAGUUAGCUUGGUUUAAAGUGAUGUUAUAUAUGGCAACCCAAUCAUCGGAAGAUCUCUUCCGUAUGGCAUGUGUGUGCCCAUUGUUCCAUACUUUGGCAAACAGUCCACAAGUGUGGAACACCAUUUCAAUGGCAAAGUACCCAGACCAUCCUAGCUGGUACUAUGCCAGACCUGCGGUCCAGCAUUUCUUGCAACAAUGCAGGGCUUGCGAUAACCCUGAGUCGAUAUUUAGAGAAGCAUUCGAAGUUUUUUUCAGGCAGGGUAACGUGGAAGCGUUGUAUGGGAUGCGCAUUGCAGCCACGACAGGCCAUAUGGAAGCGGCAUAUGUAGUUGGACUACUUGGUAUGUCCGGAAUUGGUCAGUCAAAAGAGGAUGCAUUAGAAUUCUUGUGUUCUUUGAAUCAACGUAACAACAUUGAUAUGAAAGGAACCAGGGAUGCUUUGACACGAAGAUUAAGCGGACCAAUAGUUGCAAGACAUAUCCUAGAUAUGUUUGACUAUGGGAAGAUUAAGUUCAAUCACUGCAACGCUUGUAACAACAAUGAAUGGUAUUUUGUUAUUCAAGGCUGGCCUAGUGAAGAAAAGAUAAAUCCUGCCUUCUGGACUUGUUGCAAUCGAUGCAAAUGGCACCGUGAGAGUAUUUUUUUGUUCAAGGUGAUGCGUGCGUAUGUUGUGCGAGUGAAUCCAUACCCUUUUAAUUAGUUGUAGUAUGUUUUUACGAUUUGCAUGCAUUGUGGACUUGCUUCUCUUCAGUUAUAGGUUGGCUGGCUACGUUGUACAAAUGUUGUCUAAAUGUUGGGUUUUAAUCUAUUUUGUCUGGUGUUUGUGCUGUCAUAAACCGUUUUAUAUAUAAAUGUAUAAUAUAUAUUAUAUAGCGGAAUUAUUACUGACAUCAUAGACGGCUAGAAAUGACAUUUUACUGACACAGAUAUUUUGCACAACUACAAUCUUCAUAUUUGGUAAACGAAAGGUCAUGCAUGGAGUAAAUAGGUAUCUUUUCACCAGUGCUUGGAAUGACAUUUUCCCACUUAGCAUAUCCCAAAUGAUUUGGUUACACGUUUCUUAAGCAAAACUUGAACAGUGAAUGACGUUGAAUAAUUUUUUCCUGAUGUUGUACAAUGGAUGACUUGUAUAUUUCCAUUUUAUUUUUCAAAACAUCCCUUCAACCUAAAAAAUAAAAAAAUUAACAAAUUGAAGAAGAGAGAAACCGAUUAGCACCAGAAAUGGCCUAUUCGCACGGAAAAUAAAAAUUAAUAAAAAAGUUGGAGUAAAUAUAAUUAACAAAUGGACAGCCUAAAAAGUAAUAUCAUAAUAAUUCCAUUAAUUUAGGAUAAAUAAUAAUAAAAUACUAAUGUAGCAUAACCAUGAAACAGGGAAUUCAGUAGGAAGCUGAAAUCUCAAUAAGUUCGUAGCAAUUUUCGGAACAUUAUUGGGAUUUUUGUGUAUUUAGUUCUUAAUUUUCCAAGAAAAAGUAAUAAAAUAAUAAUUUAGGGUAAAAUGCAAGGAGGUGGCCAUGUUGACUGACGUACACUUGUGCAAGUGGUGAAAGGUGACGGGCUGAGAUCGCGCCAGGUGUAUUUUGACUUUUUUAGUGCAAAAAUCUGUGAAAAUAGGUAAUAAAUAGUAGGAAAAUCCUAAAAAUGCCCCGAAAAUUACUCCGGCCUCCUAGUGACGUUAUAAAACUAGGGGAACCUAUAAAUCAUCCGUUUCAUAAUGAAAAAUUAUAAAUUAUUUUACAUAACUCACUUUCCUCUUAACCCUAAGUAUAUAUGUUUGUUAACUUAAACUUCAAUAACCUACUUCAACAAGCAUCUCCCGUUAAUGUUCGGAAUAAUUUUUUAAAAUGUGUAACAAUGAAUCGGAGAAUUCAGCAAGGGAGAUGGAGUGUCAAUGAGUUCGUAGCAAUUUUCGGAUCAUUUCUCUAAUUUUUGUGUAUUUAGUUAUGAAUUUUCUAAGGAAAAGUAAUAAAAUAAUAAUUUAGGGUAAAAGGCGAGGAUGUGGCCAUGUUGAUUGACGUACACUUGUGCAAGUGGUAAAAAGUGACGGGUUGAGAUCGCGCCAGGUGUCCUCUUGCAAUUAUUUUGGCUUUUUUAGUGCAAAAAUCUUUGAAAAAAGGUAAUAAAUAGUAGGAAAAUUCUAAAAAUGCCCCGAAAAUUACCCGGGCCUCCUUGUGACGUUAUAAAACUAGGGAAACCUAUAAAUCAUCCGUCUCCCAAUGAAAAAUCCAAAUUGUUUUACAUAACUCACUUUCCUCUUAACCCUAAGUAUUUAUGUUUGUCAACUUUAACUUCAAUAACCUACUUCAACAAUCAUCUCCCGUUAAUGUUCGGAAUUAUUUUUUAAAAUGUGUAACCAUGAAUCGGGGAAUUCAACAAGGGAUAUUGAGUGUCAAUGAGUUCGUAGCAAUUUUCGGAUCAUUUUUCUAAUUUUUGUGUAUUUAGUUAUGAAUUUUCUAAGAAAAAGUAAUAAAAUAAUAAUUUAGGGUAAAAUGCAAGGAUGUGGCCAUGUAGACUGACGUACACUUGUGCAAGUGGUGAAAGGUGAUGGGCUGAGAUCACGCCAGGUGUCCUCUUGCAAUUAUUUUGGCUUUUUUAAUGCAAAAAUCUUUGAAAAAGGGUAAUAAAUAGUAGGAAAAUCCUAAAAAUGCCCCGAAAGGAGUGAUAGUAAUACCUAUAAAUCAUCCGUUUCGCAAUGAAAAAAUUCAAAUUAUUUUUACAUAACUCACUGUCCUCUUAACCCUAAGUAUAUAUUUUUGUUCACUUUAACAAGUAUAUUUCCUUAAUAUUCGUUAUAUAAUUUGUAAUAAUACAAGAAUUAGUUUCCUUUCAGAUAUAAGGAUGUAAAAUAAUCUAUUUUGUUAUAAUAAUGUACAUAUAUAAUAAUUGCACAUGCUUUGAAGCCAUCAUUGCAACUACGCCUAGAGCUUUGAACACGUCAGAGGUAUUCAAUAAGUUGUCCACAUGCAACUGCGCCUAGAGCUUUGAACGCGUCAGAGGUAUUCAAUAAGUUGUCCAUAUGACGCCGCAUUGGGAAUCUGUAAUAUAUUUUCUAUCAUGUCCAAUCACAUAAAAUAAUGCCAUACAUUUUCUGAAAAACCUCACACAAGUCAAGCAAUUUUAAAAUAUUAGUGAAUAUUUGUCCUAGUCUAUAUGAGUGAUUAUAUAUUCAGUCUGCAUUUUUUCACAGUAUAUGUUCACUUUGAGAGGGAUUCCACAAACAUAUAAUAUAAAGAAAGAAAGAAAUAGUAGGAGAUGAACCAGUACAAAAAACAAUAUAUAAAUGGUACAUAAUAAUUCCAUAACCUUGUCACAAACGCACUCACAAAUGCUUUUCCAUAAACCUUGUCCUAACAUAUAAUAAAUCAAGGCAACAUUGCAUAUGAUGCAACCAUGUCCAAAUCUGAUACGUGAUCACAAGAAAAUGGACAUGGCAGCAACAUAUGACUGAAGUAGAUGGGCUCUUUGCAUCUUGUGUUAUCGUAAUUAAAGACAUCAGAAGAUUAAGGUUGAAAUCUUCCAUAGUAGUAAGCAUCAAAAUAGGUUUGAAGCAGAGAUUAACGAAAAUUCCAAUUCCACUGAUUUGCCUCUGCUCAAACACGAGAACCAAAAUAGUUACUUCCCUUGCUGAGUAUAUUUGUUAACGUCAAAAACGGUAAUAGAUGACCAAUCAAACCCGGGUACGACGAGUUUUGCAUAGGAUCGGAAGUAGUCGAAUCUAGCUUGCAUCACACGCUUCUUUGACUCCACUGCAUUAGAUGAGUUCUUGUAUUUUUUAACAACUACACUCCGAAGUCGUUUGUGUCUACGCUUCAUGCGCUGCAACUUCGCCCUAUCCAGAUUAGCCUGCCUUUUGUCAUCUUCAAUUUGGCCUUCAACAAAUUCCAAACGUGCCCUUGCCCUUUGGAUUUCAUCACCAAGUUGAAGAUGCCUCUCCUUCCAAAAAGCAAGAACUCUUUCAGACUCAAAAUUUCCAACAAAAUGGUCAUUCUGUCUAGGAAUGUGACAUUGCUUGUCUGGUGACUCAGUUGCGUUUCGAAGGAGGUCUUUGUUUGGAGGGGUGUUUAUUAUGCUCACAUCAAACUUGGUUAGUAAAUCCAUUCUAUGGGGGGAGUGAGUUUCAGUAGAUGGAGACAGAUUCGGUGGAGGAGUGAGUUUUGUGUGGAGGGAGAAUUUCUAUGAAAGGAGUGAUAGUAAUACCAAUAAAAGGGUUCCCGCCAAAAAAUAUUUGGUUGACAAUGUAUAAAUUAAUUUUUGGUCUGAUACAAUCUAAGUUUAAUCCUAACUAGUUUGGUUGAGUUCACUAACUAGAUGUCACUUCCAUUGAGUUUCUUUCAACCACUAUCAGUGGUGUAAGGAGAGUGUGAGGUUGACAUGCUUGAAAAGCAAAACCUGACACCUCUUUUUUUAAAAAUUGAAAGAAAGUACAUAUGUUGACUACACACAACCUUUGGUAUGUUGGUCUAUAAACCUAUGUUCCCUUUCUCAAACGAAAUUGCAUAUGCAAUCCUCAUCCUCCCAAAACAAAUAGGAUUAUUCAAGCAUGUCAACCUCUUCAGGCGCCAACAACACAAUCGAAGAUGACAAAUUGGAGUCGCAGGUUCUAUUUCCACAUUGUACUCACCGACCCCUUCCUUUUUCAACAUCAUUUGGGAGUGAGGGGGACUUCGAUGAUCCAUUAGAGGCAAUACAUGCAGUCAGUAGCAAGCUGGAUUAUAAUUCCAGACUGAUCAAUUCAUGGCACGAGAAAUGUGUUGAAGAUGAGGCCAUUUUGGUUGAUCUUAACAUUAGAGUGAACAAAGCGUUCUCCCAAAAGAACAAGUACUUGAAGUUGAGUCAUAAAAGGAAGCUAAAAGCUGAGGAGUUGGAUACAGUAAUGAAUGAUGAAAUUAAAGGUUGUUUGAUGAACCAUAUGCGAUGCGAAGAGCACAUAGUGAACUGGAGUUGGCAUUCAACGAAGGAUUCGAAAAAUUCCGAGCAUUUGCGGCAACUACUCAUACAAGUUAUAAUUGGGACUAUGUGUCCCCUGAUGCUGUGAGAGAGAUACUAGACGAUGGUGGUGACAGGAAUGAGCAUAAGCACGUCAAAGCUGCUCGGAAGAAGCCGACCGAUACGACUAAGUGAUUGCGGCUACCGCUGUUCAGUUGGUUGAGGGUGAUCGUGGUAUUGCACAAAUUAGAAGUAUAUUCCCUUAAUGUCAUUAUCUAAUUUAAAAUAACACAAAUAUCAGUUUCAUUUGCUUCAUAUAUAAUUAUUGGGACUAUGUAUUGCAAGUCAUCAUGUGUUCCUUCUGUCUAACAUUAUAUUUUGCAAAUAUCGAAAUAUUAUUCAAUAAGCAGUCAAUAUCACAGCGAGUUGGGAAUCAGUAAAGCCCCAUUAUCAUGUCCAUUCACAUUAAAGAGCUGGCGUACUUUUUCUCAAAAAACUGACACGUGAGUCAUAAGUAACAUAACAUGUGCUAUACAUUGUUUAGUGAAUGGUUUAUGGUUUAUUUAUAUAUAAUAAAAUUCCAAAUAUUGCUGAAUAUUUAUUUCGUCUAUAUCACUGGGGACAUGAGUGACCAUAAGCAUGUGAGACCUGCUAAGAAGAAGCUGACCAAUACGACCGAGGGAUUGUGGCUACCGUUGUUCAGUUUGUUGGGGAGAUCGUGGUAUUGCUAAGAGGGAGCACAUAAUAUGUUUUGCAAUCAAAUUUUCUUUUGUGUGUGGAAUUAUGAGUAGUUCAAAUGUUAGUGUACCCUUUAAUAUUCUCCAACAGUUCGAAAUGUGAUUAGCUGCAAUGUACUUUUUUACACGCUGCUUUCUAAUCACUCUGUUCCAACAAAGUGCUUCAAGUAUCCUUCAGUUACAAAUGUUUACAAAAUCGUGCCCCUAAUAACCAGUCGAGCUCAGAUCUUAAUAACCAGUAAAACACUAGAACAUAACAUUCGGAAAAAGUGGGUACUGCUGGAAAUCAUUACUGGUAAUGGAAACAACAGCUGGCUGCUGGAAAUGCUGCAUUAGCCUGUGAUAUAGUCAAUGAAUCUCUGUUAAAACAUAAUUCACCAUAAACUACCCAUUUUACAUGGUAAAAGUCAUUGUUUGUUCACAUAACUCAAAAUUUGAUACUUUAUCAAAUGUCUAUGAAAAUGUCUAAAUAGGGAGAAGACGUAAAAUUAACAUGUGUCCAAAUUUCAUGCAAGAAUGAAACCAAGCAAAUUUUCAUUUCAAUUACCAGUGGACAUAGUAAGAGCUCAUGGGUGGACAUGAACAAAAAAAUAAUAAUAAUAAAAACUGAAUCUAGAAAACUUCACCUGAUCAUUAGUCUUCAUUACAACCGGAUUUCGUCUAAUAGAAACAUAAAUCAUUCAGUUGGUCCGUGCAUCCUGUCAAAUUCGUCGAAUAAUGGGUCACUACGAUCUAUUGGAGUUGAUUCGUCAUUGUUCGAUGGUGAUGUCCUGCAUAAACAUCAAACACAAGCACAUAAAAACUUUACCUAUUCAAAUUUUAGGUGUUAUUAUAAAUAGUGUUAGCAUCUUACGGUGUGUUCAAAUUUCUUGGGCAUUGUCUUCUAUCAUGACCAAUGUGUCCACACUCCCGACAGUGUCUAAUCCCUCGCUUCAUUGCCUUUUCCUUUGCUCCCGUUACUCGUUUUGACCUUCCUUUGCACCUCACUCUCUUAGGGUCUUUCAUAUAUUGUGUUUGAGAGCUGGACCCUCCAACUUCGUUAUUACUUGGUAUAUCCUUCAACAACUUCAACUUCACCUGCAAACUUUUUAGAGUCUCUGACAGUAGCUCACAUCCUUCUUCACUCAUUAAUGCAUCCUCAACCACAUCUGAAGCAAGUCGAGACAUUGUACUCCGCUUUAUUAAAAGACCAGGAUCUGCAGAGUCUUUAAUUUCGUUGCCAUUUGCAUCUGACACCAAUCCAGAUUUCGCAGUUUUCUUCCACCUCUUCAAAAUAUAUUUAUCGGGCAUAUAUUCAAUCUGGUCCCUUCUGAACAAUGCUAGGAUGUGCUUGCAAAUAAUUCCAACAAAUUCAAAUCUUUUGCAGCUACACGAUGCGCGGUCAGAAUCUUUGACAUAUACGACUUCUGCCACUCUUGUUUCUCAAUUUUUUCUUUCGCUCACUUUAAAGACAACUUUAGAAGCAUCCUCUGUUUUGAGCUCUAGGAAACAUGCUGUACUUUGUAUUAGUUCUUGCUCAAACUUUUGAAACAUUGUUCUUGUGUACAAGGUAGCCAUUUGUUUGUUCAUUGGCAUCGGUAGAAUACAUUGAGCCACUUCAAAUGCAUCUACGUGAUCAGCAACUAACUUUUUUUGACGUUGAUGAGAAAGUGCCCUCUCAAAUCAUAUUAUGAAAUCCAUCAACGAAUUUCUCUUUGAUAUGUAUUGCUUGAAUAAAUCAUGAGAACCUUCCGCUCUUUGGCUGCUUGACAUUCCAGCGGCAAAAAAUUGUUGUGCGUAGGCUGGAACCCAAGAUUCCCUUAAAUCGAACAUUGAACUCAGCCAUGGAUGGUCAAUCAAACCAGCCUUUGUAACCACAAUAUUCCAUUUUGCAUCGAACUCAUCCUUAUUGUCAGUAUCCCAUAUGGCUUUCUGAAAUUCACGCCAAUACUCCUUAUAAGCAGAAUGUGGUAACUUAACAGAGAACUUUGAUGUGAUGUGCCAUAUGCAAAGUGGAUGAAAUGUAGUCGGGAAGGCUAUUGAAAUUGCUCUGGUCAUUGCCGCAUCUUGAUCUGUAAUGAUCGUUUUAGGUUCGCCACCUGGCAUGGCUUUCUUAAACUCCUCAAACAUCCAAAUAAACAACUCAGUCGUUUCUUUGCUCAAAAAUGCGCAUGCUAAGACAAUUGUCUGACCAUGGUUAUUAACUCCCAACAUUGGUGCAAAUGUCAAGUCGUAUCGAUUCGUGUUGAAUGUGGUAUCAAAUACAACAACAUCUCCAUAAAACCCGUACGCCCGUCUAGAAGUUGCAUCUGCCCAAAAACAUCAACUAAACCUGUCAUGGCCAUCUCCCUCAAUCUUGAAAUAAAAAGCCUCAUUUUUUUUCUGUUCAGCCAUAAAAUACUCGAUCACUAGUUCAACAUCGUGGUUCCUCAGCUUCCCAUUCACACUACAUUCAAGAUUGUAGAUAUCUUUUUUGAUAAAACCGAUUUUAUCCAUUCCUCCGGAUUGCACCUCGAAAAUACUUACCUUCUGAUGAAUAGGAAUAUUAACUGAGCCCAACUAUUUUGUGAGUACUUUUGUAGAAUUUGAAAUAUGACGGUGCGAUCUCAAUAAAUGCAUUCUUUCUGAGGGUGUCAUCUUAUGAUUGUGUCCCUCUGCAAAAAGAGAGAUGGUAUACUUCUUGCUCCCAUUUGUCUUCACAACCACAAUCUUAGCUUUGCAAUUGCAUAUACUUAUUCCCCGUUGUCUUUUUCUCUCCCGAGUUUCAUCUCUCAUGUAUGCACCUUGUUUGCAACAUACAAAUUCUUUCCUCAAAAUCUCUUUCUUGUUUUUCCCCCAAAAGCUGGAAUGAAGUUGAAUACCAAAGCCAGCCAAGAAUGCAUAUCUAUUAUAGAAAUUGUAAACGAGGUCAAGCGAGUCGAACUUCAUCCCAACUGCUGGUGUUUCCUCAUUUCUUACUUCAGGAAUAUAAACCCUCCCAUUAGCUGUUACACAGUCAUCACUCUCUGAGCCCCCAGACAUUUUAUCUACGUAUAUUAUUGAUCCACUUCUAUAUUACUGCAUCGCAAAUAUUAAUUCAUUAAUCAGUCAUUACUGCAUCACAACAUAUCAAUGCAUUCCACUUACACAAAACAUUGCCCAAAUUGACACAAAACACGCAUAGCCUAACUUGUUGGAUUCCGAUUACACAAAACGCAAGCAAAAUUUAAUAAUAGUUACGUCAUCUCUUGUGAAAUAAUCUGGAAAAAAUAACAUUAGAACCAACAUGUUCAACUAAGAACACAAAUGUAAUUCAAACCACCAAUUACAGAACUUCACCCAAUAUCCUCUCCAAAUGCUUACUCCUAAUGUCAUUAAGCCUAAGUUUAGGAUCUUUUACCUACAUUUCAUAAUUUUCCACCCCCACCAAAAACAAUCAACUAAGUAUAUUGAAUAUUCAUAAAGAAAUGACACAUUAUUGAUUCCACCAAUGACGCAUUAUUGAUGCCACAAAUGAUGAAUUUCCCACCCUCACAAAAAAUAAAACAAACCCAAUAAAAUCAAUAUAACAAGUGAACUUACCUCUCAAAAUCAAUCGGGAGCUCCGAAGUCAGUCAGCUUGAGAGAAUGUGGUGGACAUUAGAGAAGACUCUUUGGUAUUUGAGACUCCAUCUCUACCAAAAUCGAGGAACAACUUCUGCUGUGGCAUCUAGCUACAAAAAGAGAUAUGCUACUUUGUUUUCAUCUGGAAUCUUGUCUGUUGAAUGAAAAAGAGAAGGGGUUUCACUUGAGCCAUAGAAUCAAAACAGGGCAACAGCUAGGUAAGAGCCAUUAAUCGUAAUACCGAAGAUACCAUAGAUCGCAGGCCUCCCAAGGAGCUGAUGACAAUGGAGUGACUAUAGGGUUUGGGAGCUUUGGAUCCUUCUAAUUGUGGGUUUGCUUUACAUUCAAAAAGAGAGGAUUGUGUUCUUAAGUUUUUCACAGAGAGGGAAAGAGGGAAAGAUGAGACUGAAGUUGGGUUUCUAACGGGUUAGAUUUCAACCCGAUUCUACAUGCACCCUCUUUUAAAAACUCACUGUUGGAUGAAAUCCAACGGCUCUUACAUACCCCUCAAAAACACCCCUUAUAACUUUCCACUCACUAUAGAAGCUCCCAAGUUGAGGGGUAUUUUGGUUUUGAAAAAUGGCCAAUGAGUCAUAAUAGUAUAACUUGAGAUCAAUGUGACCAGGGACGGACCCAGGAUUUUAAAAUGAAGUGGGCUAGAUUUACCUUAUUGAACUGUUAGAUUUUAGGCUUUUGGAGCGAGCUAGAUUUACCUUAAGAAUAUAUCAUUUUUAUUUUUUAUUUGUUUAAAAGGCUUAUUUUACACCAACAAUGCCAGCUAAGGUCUACCAUAAUGAACAAAAAUGAAUUAAGAGAAAAGAAAAUUCAAAAAUGAAAAUUUAUCAUCACAAAGAUAGAGUCAAAUAGACACACGGCAACUAGAGGUAACACUACAAUUAUCCAAUUAGUUCAAAUUAAUAUUUCUGCUAUAAAUGGGAUUAACAUUAACACUAAUUAUAAGGAAAAAAAAAAACUCACUUGGGCUAUAGCCCAGGUUGUACAAGUCAUAGGACCGUCCCUGGAUAUGACCAAAAAGGUUUGUCCAUUCCUUGUGGUUGGUACUGAUUUUGGGCCAACUUGGUAACCCUUGGGUCGUUGUUAGGGGAGUAUCAAAUAAGUUUACCUUUUAUACUCCAUUAGAAGUAUUAUGGUCCUUAUAACCGACGCCCGUCAGGGCUUUUUUGUACUUUUAAUGGCUGUUGUAACUAGGCCUAUAAAAAUGGCCCAAACUUGAAUUCGGUCUUAUUUUUUGGGUUAUGGGCCGUUAGGCGGGCUUAGCCUGGGUCGUUGUGUAAAGGGUAGGACUUGGGCCACUAUUUCUAAGCCCAUGAACGAUCCGGCCCGGCCCAAUAUUGAAAUUAAUAAAUAAUAUUUUUAUAAAUUAAACUAAUAUUAAUUAUGCUUUGUAUUUAAUUAGAAGAUUUAAAUGAAUAUAAUGACCCAUUAAAUAUAACAUUAAUUAUCAUUUUACAGGCCAAAAAAGCUAGUAAUUGGGUAGGUCCUGAGCUAACCCCUAGGCCCGACCCAUUUUAUAGACAAGCCUUCAUGGUGAUUUUUAUUAAUGAAACACCUCCCUAUGGUUCGGCAAAUAAAUAAAUAAAUUGGGUUAUUCGGUGUAUGUAAAGGGGUGGCAAUUUUGGGCGACCCAUUACACGACUUGAAACCCGCACGAGAAUUUAGCGGGUUCAACCCGCAUGAUUAAAAUUUGGGUCACUUUCGGGUCAACCCACCAUGGCCUGUUUAAUAAAUGGGUGGGUUUUGAGUCAACUCGCCAACCCGCUAAAAUACCUAUGUAACCCGCUAUCCCGCUAAAAUACCCGUGUAACCCGCCAACCCACUAACCUGUUUAUUUGUUUAUUCUUCAUUUUUCUAAUUUUUUUUAAUGUCUUUUAGUUGCUACCACUUAGCGGGUCAACCCGACAUAACCCAAAAUUCGCACGAGAACUUAACGGGUCAACCCGUGCAUGACAUGUUUAUUAAACGGGUCAAGUUUGGGUUGAGCAUUCCUGACACGUAUAUAAUCUUGACACGACACGAACCCGACACGACCCGACCCAUUGCUAGCCCUAUAUUUACCGAAUCUGGUAAAUUGAGCCCAAAGGGUUUAACUAGAAUUUCCCCAUUCUUUCCCGAUUUAGUAAACUGUGCUGUGUAUUAGAAAAUAUUAUAGAAAAUUAGUAAUACCAAUUCCUAGACAUAAUACCCAUUCCUAGACAUAAUUCUAUAAAGAAACCCUAUACCAUUCCAUGUAUAUAAACACACCCAAAAUAAACCCAAAAAUUGACAGCUAUCGAUUUCUUAAAUUCAACAGCUAUGUUUGAUUACUGUUUUGUCCUUUUGCUUUGUCUAUUAAUCAACUCAAUCUUCAUCAACCAGCAUCUCGAACUUUCUCUUCAACAAUGGCGAGGUUCAUCGAGCUCUGCUUCUGGCUUUUCUCCUAGUCCAAUUCUCCAUUGUAUUUUCGUCGUCUCCACCACAAUCCUCACUGACUCCAUCGCUGCAACUCGCCACCGAUUCACCUUCGCCCAAAACUCCAUCACCGAUUCCCCUUCCUCCAUCUUCGUCGGAUGCUCCAGUUAACGCACCUUAUCCUUCUUCAAUCUCUGUCGGUCGACAACACGCCUCUAGUUUCUUCUCCAGCGCUGUCGAAUCCAAGCUACGUCAACCACAGCAACCUCAGACGGAGACGGAGCUAAGAACUCCUUUGGAGUGAAGAGCCUGUCAAAGAAGGCAGAGAUCGUACUUGGAAUGAUCGUUGGAUAACAUACAUCGAUCUCAGUACGGAUACGCCGCCAGGAGAGAGAUUCUCUGAAGAGCUACUCAUAGUCUCUGAUAUGCAAAAACUCUUAGAGGUUACUAUGAAAUUUUUAAUUUCCCAUAUUUUUUGUUGUUAAUUUAUUUGUUUUCUUAGUGUGAGAUUGAAUUGAGGUUUUGGCGAUGGUGAUAUGGUGAUUCAAUUUUAUUCUUCAUUCUUUGGUGUGCUAGCGGUGCUAGAGUUGGUGGUAGUUAGAAUUUUGGGAUGAAUUCUUGGCGUAAAAUACUUAAUUAGUCAAUAUGAGUCAUCGAUGUAUUACUUUUUCUAUUUUAGAAUGAUAUAAUAAUUGGAAUUAAUGAUUUAGAAUUCAUUAUGCUUGUUUUUCUCAUUGUUGUUGACUUGUUUGGCUCUAUCUAUCUUUGUAUGUUAUCUAACGUUUGUGAGCAAAUUCCCAUCUAAGUUCAGUUUUGUGUAACCUGAUUCUGUAGGCUUAUGAGGCAGAUUUCAGCAUCUCUUGAUGCAUCACACGCCAUUUCUUGUCCUGAAAAAAAAAUUGUAAUAUUUAUUUAAGGCAAAGCUCAUUUUGCAGAUACGUGAUUCCUUCAAUGGGUCUGCAAAUCAUUGAAGUAAUUAGCUACCUGAUUCCUUUUCCAACAAGUUACAGCAACACUAUCUCUUGCAGUAGCUUUUGCCUCAGCUGGCAUAACUAUGUUGUACUUUAGUGACUUGAGCCUCUGCAAUUUUGGAGAUGAAUGCCAAAAAUACCAGAUGGCAGUUGCAUUGGCGUACCUGAGCUGGGUAACAAUUGCAAUUUCUUCUCUAAUUAUGCUCUAUCUAUUGGCAGCAUCACUUGUUUGUAUAGGCCAUAGGAUUUGUUUCAUCAUCUCAUUGUAGCCCUUCUCUGUCAUAUAUAUUUCCUUUAGAAUAGAAACAAGAAAUUGCAGUGUCAAUAGAAAAGGAAACAAACUGGAUAGAACAUAGCAGUGCAAUAUUAAAAAAUUACUCUCAUUAUGUUGUCUUUCCACAAGAAGAAGUGGGAUUAGAGUUGGGAAAUAGCUGUGUUUACACCAUAAUGAACCGAGCAGACCCAGCAUCAAAGCGACUAGCACCAAGGCAGCCACGCCUUCUCCCAUGCCGAAGGAAGACAUACUUCCGAGGUGCCAGACACCUGCCGAAGCUCUCAGCUGCCAAACCUAAUCUCCGGGACACGUGUCGCCACCACAACGGCUUGCACAAAGUCCCACAUUGGAACUUUGUGCAAAGCUCCCACUUUCACUUCCCUAUAAAUAGGGAACAGUACCCAGGUAAAAGAGGAACUACUCUCCCACUUUUACUGUUACUCUGCCAGAAUUACUACUCGUAACUGACUUAGGCAUCGGAGAGCCUUCGGCCGGCACCACACCGGUGUCCGAAGCUUGACGAUUGCUUCUCCUCUUUUUACCUUCUACAGGUCUCUCACCAACCCAUUUCACCAAGGGCCUCAGCCCUCUUCUCUGCUGAAGACUCAGCACAUCUAAUCACUAAGUUGGACUCAAUAUUGGCCGGGCCAUUUUGAGCAUCAACAGUUUGGCGCCGUCUGUGGGAAAUCGACACUUGAAUCCCCUCUUUCUCUAUCAGCCCAGCUGGCUCCUUCACCCCUCAGGCCCCGUCGCCUCUUCUUCACCCCACAUUCUGCCAUGCCGACCGAGGAUAGCCGCGAUACCCAGCAUCAUACCCCCCGCGAUGGUACUUCUAGAAGGAGAUCUUCGGAAGAUCCCACUCUCCAGGCAGAAGUGGAGCGUCUCCGCGACAGUGUCACUAAAAUGUCGGAAAAAUACGACCACCUUCAUUGCAAGAACAUUGAGCUAGAACAUGACUACCGUGUUUUAAAGAAGAACUGGGAAAGAACUCACACCCAGGAUGCCCAGCAAGACCUCACCCAGAACGUUGGGCCUACUCAGCCGAACCAGCCGGUACAUUCCAGCCACAGUGCCUCGGCCCAGGCUAGGCUCCGCAAGGGUAAAGACCACCUUCAUCCGGAGAUAGCCCAGUCACGACCCCUUUGCGUUCCCCCACCGAGGGACCGGCCCCAUGAACCAGUCAGGAUCUACCAAGAUUGCAGGGAUCGCCUCUCGGACCGCCAGCCAAGGCCGAUCCCUAUCCCUGUCAACCUCGAAGACCCACGGGUGACACACCUGGGCCCUUCGCCAGCCCCCGUCCGCAUACCCGACGAGGAAGGUGUCGGGGACUCGGAUACUUGGGACUUUUAUAAUUCGGAGACCUGGCCAAAUUACCACACCGGGGCACUGGAAAAUUGGGAACAAUCCCCAGUCCCUGUCUGCCCCGCCCCCAGGCCUUUGGCGCCUGAAACUCUUCCUCAUGCCGACCCGGCCAUGAGGCUUCUCUUCGAAAAGGUCCGGCGCCUGGAAAGCGAACAACAACGCAGCCAUCAACCCCUCUGGGCAAAACCACGACCAGGGCCCUUUACCGAACGCAUCCUCCACUACCACCAGGAGAAAGAUAUCCAGCCCCUCCGCAUCGCUUUCUACACUGGCACGGAGGACCCUCUCACCCACAUCCACUCCUUCCAGUCUGCCCUUGGGUGCAAAGGCCUCACUGAUGAAGGCAUGUGCCUCCUUUUCCCUUCCACCCUCAGCGGCGCGGCCCUGAAUUGGUUCUACAGGCUCCACCCCUGCACCAUCAACUCCUUCGAUAGUCUCAAGCAGACGUUCCUGGACCAUUUUAUGAUCCAGACUGAUCGCCUAUACUCUGCCGACGACUUGUAUAUGCUUAGGCAGGCUGAGGAUGAACCCCUUCGGGAAUAUGCAGCUCGGUUCAGUCAUGAAUACUCUCGCUGCCCAGACACUGACGAUCGCGCUGCCUUCGGCGCUUUUAAGAGCGGCCUCCGCGAGUCCAACUUCCGCUACCUGGUUCAUAGCAACAGUUGGAACACAUAUGCAGAGCUGAUGAAGCAGGCGGCGAUCCACGCUAAGGCAGAAUACUUCAACUCCAAGCGUGGCCCAGCCAACUUGGCGCGCAACACUUUCGCCGACCCUCCACUUGCUUCAGCACCCGCCCCAGCCCCACCUCAGCAUUCUACCCCUGCCCCGAGUGCCCAGGACAACCAACCACAUAAGCGGAAGGAUAGCUACCAGCAUCCCUUCGGCAAUCGCAAACAUGGCAGACAUGGCAACCCCCAUCAAUCUAGUGGAAGCAACCCUCCCAGGCCUGGUGAUCGGGCCCCACUUCCAUUCGCACCCAGGCCCAGGUUUGAGGUUUUUACGACCCUCAACACCACCUAUGAGAACGUCCUGGCGCGUGAAGCCCCCAUCAUCCCCAAGCCACCCCCCCGGAGACCAUCCAACAAGCCUAUGCCAAACACGGGGGUCUUCUGCCGCUUUCAUCAAUUCAGCGGCCAUGACACCGAGUCUUGUGUUGCGUUGCGCAACAUCAUUGAAGGGCUCAUCCGGGAGGGUAAGCUGGACAACUAUGUGCGCAACAUACCAGCCCCGCCUAACCCUCACCAACGACAAAUCAACAUGAUCUCCACCAUCAGCGGAGGUCCUACCCUGGCUGGCACCUCCAACAACUCCAUCAAACAUUAUGUCCGCUCCACCUAUGCGCACCAGGUCUUCAGCACCGAGCAGGGACGAUUGCCAAAGACCCACAGGACUGGCUGGGCCCCCAUUACCUUCUGCGAGGAGGAGGAGCGUGGUGUUAUCCUCCCCCAUGACGAUCCACUCAUUAUCCGGGCUGACAUUUCUAACUUCGACGUUGGGCGUAUCCUGGUGGACACUGGUAGCUCGGUCAGUGUGAUGUUCGCCGAGUGCUUCAAUGAACUCCAGGUCCCGCCUCACCUACUCGACCGAAGCAUCACACCCCUUGUGAGCUUCUCAGGUGAUGUGGUCCAGCCCAUCGGCAGCAUUCAUCUCCCCAUCUCAAUUGGGGCCGCACCCCAGCAGACGACGAUCACCACCCCCUUCCUUAUCGUCGAUUGCCCCACGGCCUACAACGUCAUCCUCGGCCGCCCAGCCUUGGCCCAAAUGAAGGCUUUUAUUUCCACGCAUAUGCUGCUGUUGAAGUUCCCCACUCCUAAUGGCCCAGGCACGGUGCGCGGCGACCAACUCAGAGCCCGAAGCUGCUAUGCUUCAGCCGUCAAAUCCACCAAUCGCCAACAUAGGAGUGAAGCCCUAGCAGUAACCCAGGCUCCCGCCUCUCCUCAAGCUGGCACAGACCCACCUGAAGACCCCAGGGAGGAGUCCAUCGCACCACAGGCCGAACCUAUGGAGGACCUGGAGCUGGUUACCCUCCAUGACGAUAUCCCGGAUCGACAAGUCCGGAUCGGCACCUCCAUCUCACCAGAGCUUCGCUCUGACCUGGUCGCCUUCCUCCGCCUCAACUCCGAAGUCUUCGCUUGGUCCUACAAUGACAUGCCUGGCAUAUCACCAGACAUCAUAUCUCAUAGGCUUAGCGUCAAUCCUGCCGUCCGACCAGUCCGACAGAAGCGUCGAGCCUAUGAUCCCGAGCGCUAUGAGGCUAUGAAGGCGGAGGUGGAUCGAUUGAGUAGUAUCUGAUUCAUCAGGGAGGUUGACUAUCCCACAUGGCUGGCCAAUGUCGUGAUGGUCCGCAAGCCAAGAAAGGGUUGGCGCAUGUGUGUCGACUACACCAACCUUAAUCGGGCAUGCCCAAAGGACAGCUUCCCGCUACCCCGCAUUGACCAGCUAGUCGACGCCACAGCCGGCCACGCCCUCCUUAGCUUCAUGGAUGCUUAUUCAGGUUACAACCAGAUCUUCAUGCACCCCGAAGAUCAGGCCCACACCUCUUUCAUUACGGACCGCGGCCUCUACUGCUAUAAGGUGAUGCCCUUCGGCCUCAAAAACGCCGGGGCUACUUAUCAGCGUCUGGUGAAUCAGCUCUUUGCCCCCCUGAUUGGCAAUACCAUGGAGGUCUAUGUCGAUGACAUGCUAGUCAAGAGUCGCACGGCUGACCAGCACAUCCCCAACCUCUCUGCCAUGUUCACCAUCCUGAAGCAAUACAAAAUGAGGCUUAACCCCACCAAAUGUGCAUUCGGGGUGGCUUCCGGAAAAUUCCUUGGCUUCAUGAUCAGCCAGAGGGGCAUUGAGGCCAAUCCAGAAAAGAUCCAGGCCAUCUUAGAUAUGACAAUACCUAAGACGGUCAAGGAUAUCCAAAGCCUUACAGGGCGUGUCGCAGCCCUGACCAGAUUUAUCUCCAAAGCCACUGACCGCUGCGCCCCAUUCUUCAAGACCCUUAAAGGCAGCAAAAGAAACAUCACCUGGACUGCUGAAUGCGACACGGCUUUCAGCGAGCUCAAAGAGUAUAUGGGCCGGGCCCCUUUAUUGUCAACCCCUGAGCACGAAGACAUCCUCGUGAUUUAUCUCUCCAUCUCAGCUUCGGCUGUUAGCUCUGUGCUCAUCCGAUCAAAAGAUCACGCGGAGCACCCAGUGCAUUAUGUUAGUAAAGCAUUGCAAGAUGCCGAAGUUCGUUACCCGGACAUCGAAAAAUUGGCAUUCGCCCUGGUCGUCUCGGCAAGACGCCUCCGACCAUAUUUCCAAGCUCACACCAUCCAUGUCUUAACCAAUCAACCGCUCCGACAGGUGUUGCAGAACCCAGAAACCUCUGGGAGGCUGGUCAAAUGGGCCAUUGAACUGGGCGAGUUUGAUAUUCACUACAAACCCCGCCCGGCUAUGAGGGGCCAGGCCGUUGCUGACUUCCUAUCCGAAUUCACGGAUCCCCAAGCUUCCGCAGCUACCCAGCUCAUAACCGAACCCAACCCCCCUCCCAGCCAGGACCAAACCCCCACCGAAGGCAAUCUCGACCUAACCCAGCCCCUGUGGACCUUAUUCGUAGACGGCUCUUCUAAUGCCCAGGGCUGUGGGGCCGGCCUCGUUCUCAUCUCCCCAGACAAGGUUGCCCUCGAGUACGCCCUUCGCUUCAAAUUCCAAGCCUCCAACAAUGAGGCCGAAUAUGAAGCACUCUUAGCUGGUCUUCGAUUAGCCAAAGAGAUGGACGCCAGGCAAAUUCAGAUAUUCAGCGAUUCACAACUUGUGGUCCACCAGGUCAACCAGGACUUCACGGCUAAGGAUGCCUCUAUGACGGCCUACCUCCAGCACGCUCGGCACUUGCUGGCAAACUUCCAAGCCCACUCUAUCAGGCAGGUGCCGCGCUCCGAGAAUAGCCAUGCGGAUGCACUAGCCAGGUUGGCAUCAGCCUUGGAGCAAGGACUGGGCCGCCACAUCCACAUCGAGUUUUUGGCCCAGCCCAGCACACAAGCCCCACUCAUCUGCACUAUUGAUCACAGCCCUACAUGGAUGGACCCCAUCCUCCAAUUCUUACAAAACCAAACACUACCGGCUAAUCCGGCAGAAGCACGACGCGUUCGCCAUCGCUCUGCCCGUUACCUGAUCAUUAACGGCUCCUUAUACAAGCGGGGUUUCAGCCUUCCUUACCUCCGAUGCCUGACUCCAGAGGAGGGUCACUAUGUCCUCCGAGAAAUCCAUGAAGGCAUCUGCGGCAACCACUCGGGCGCACGCUCGUUAGCUCAUAAGGCAAUCCGCCAAGGAUACUUCUGGCCUUCACUCCACACUGACGCCCAGGCCUUCACCCAAAAAUGCGACAAAUGUCAGAGAUUCGCCAACAUUCCACAACUCCCGGCAGAACCACUGACGGCCAUGGUCAGUCCUUGGCCAUUUGCCCAAUGGGGACUGGAUCUCAUCGGACCGAUGCCAGAGGGCAAGGGCCAAGUCAAGUAUGCUGUUGUGGCCGUAGACUACUUCACCAAGUGGGCUGAGGCCGAGGCCUUGGCCACCAUCACUGCGGCUCGCAUCGAAUCCUUUGUGUGGCAAAACAUUGUAUGUCGCUUCGGCAUCCCCAACUCCAUCGUCACCGACAAUGGCCGGCAAUUUGACAACGCCAAAUUCAAACAAUUUUGUUCCAACCUCAAGAUUCGUCUGUGUUUCGCCUCCCCAGCCCAUCCUCAGUCCAAUGGCCAGGUCGAAGCCGUGAACAAAAUUAUCAAGAAGACCCUCAAGACAAAACUUGACAAAGCCAAGGGCUGCUGGCCAGAACUACUCCCAGAAGUACUCUGGUCCUACCGCACCACCUUCCGCACAUCCACGGGUGAAACGCCGUUCUCCCUAUCAUUUGGAACCGAGGCCGUGGCUCCGGUAGAGAUUGGCCAGCCCACAUACCGAACCUCCACUUACGAUGCCACGGCCAAUGACGAGCAGUUGGCCCUCAACCUCGACUUCAUUGACGAACUUCGGGACCAAUCGAGCAUGCGCAAUGCCGCGUACAAGCAACGCAUCGCCAAAUACUAUGACUCCCGAGUCAAGCCCCGUGCUUUCAAAAUGGGGGACUGGGUCAUGCGCAAGGUUUCCUUGGCUACCAAAAAUCCCAACGAAGGUACCCUCGGCCCUACAUGGGAAGGUCCUUACGAGAUUAUCAAAAUCUGCCGCCCCGGCACUUAUCAGCUUCGUGAUUCCACAGGCAAGACGCUGCCUCACCCGUGGAAUGCUGACCACCUCAAGUACUAUUACAAGUAAACAUAUCUAGACCCUAGGACAAUACUUUGGUCUUGAUUAUUUACUGUAAGUUAGACGUAAGGUAUCUAGACCCUAGACCACUUGUACCUUCUGCCUUUCGGCAUAUAUUUCAAUGAAAUGCCUGACUCAGGCCCAUUCUCAUGAACUCACAUUGUUAUCAUUCUUACCACAAUUGAUAUCAAGCUAAGUUCAUAUCAUAAAUAAAAACAGCCUUGCUCCAGGCAAGGACAAAUGUUCAUACAUAACCAAAAUAAACAAACAAGUGUUCCAACACAAUCACUAAAAUACAAAAUAGCUAUAACACAUCACGAAGGCAACGCCUUCAGGACUCGGUCGACGGAGCAUCCUCAGUGGCUGGCUCAGCCUCUGGUGUCGGGGCGCUAGCAUCAGCAGGAGGGGUCUGUGCAGGAGGCUCGCCACUGGUGUCAAAGUUAAUCUCCAGUGAGGGGUUGAACCUAACCAACCUAUCUUCCCAGCGAAGCUGCUCAUCAACCAGUCGGUCCAUGAUAUAGCUCUUCAGCUCCUCUGAGGAUCGGAAGGACUCAAUCGCCUCGGCUCGGGCAGCAGCCACCUCCUCGGCCCUAGAUCUCUUCAGCUCCUCCACCUCCUUGGCCAGGGCCGCCUUCUGAACCAGCAAGGUGUUCUUCUCUCGGAUGGCCUCCUGCGCCUCUGCCAUUUUGCUCUUGGCUAGCUCAUCCCGCCUCUUCAGCCUCUGGAUCUCCUUGUCAGCCUUGGCCAUGCUGACGUACAUCUCGCCAAAGGCCUGCAAAACCAAAACCAUGUUAGUCAAUCUACACAAAAAUAAUCCAACACAAAUACAUUCAAAAAGGGCCUAAACACUUACAUAGGCAGAGGUGAGGAUCGUCUUUUGGGCCCGGUCGAUGAAGGAAGAAGCUGGAGUCCUCGCCAGAGCCUCAGGGUCGCUCUUCACGCCUUCCAGGAAGACGUUCACUAAGGGCACCUCCUGCCGGUGCAUAGCCAGGUUGACCUCCUUCUUCUGCUGGCAUAGCCUGCCGAAGUCUACCUUCUCUACCCCUUCAGCGAACACGUCCUCCAUGCCGAAGGGUAGCUUCGGCGGUGCCUGCAGAUCAAAGGGCGGAAGCCUCGGCCCUGACCCCAUCACAUGCUGAUGAGCCUCCUCCAAAGCCUUCCUCUUCCCCAGCACAUCCGCGACCCGACCCUCAUCAUCAUCCCUGGGUCGUUUCCCAGCACUUUUCUCAGCUUUCUUGGCCCGAGACUCCCUCAGCCGCUUCUGCAUCUCGGCCUCAUCAAUGUCUACGGCCACCUUCGUGCUCCCCCUUAUGAUGCCAGCCACUGUCAAAACAAACAAAGCAAUUCUAUUACUCAAACUUACAAAGGCUCAGCACACAACAAAAAGAUAACCCAGGUACUUACUUCCUUGCAGCAGUCCGGACUCAAACAAAUUCUUCUGCAUGACUAGGUUCCCGCACUCACGCUCAGUCUCUGAUAGCUGCGCCCUCACCCACUCAACUUCGUCUUCUUGCUCCUUGGAGAUAGGGCCCCACUUCACUGAACCUGCAUCAAGAGUUAAAAACUACUUAGCCAUUUACACUGGCACAGAGGAAGUACAGAACCAAAAAUAGGAGCCAAAACAACACAAUCAGGCAUUGGACAAUCUUAAGGGAUGGGGCAAGGACCUAUAGACUGGAAGUGGGUAGGAAUGUGCUGGACAACGCUCUUCCCUGGAGGACAUUCCCAGUCCCCAUAGGCCAAGCACCACCUGUUCCUCCAGGACUUUUGCGUUGUGGGCUUGUGUCCAAUAAAAUAGCCCCUCUCCUUCGCCUUUAGGCAAUUGGCCUGUACCCAGCCAAAAUUCCCCUGUUGCUUCGAAAUCGAGUACAGGUACAUGAACUGCUCAAACGUUGGCUCCCCUAACCCAGCCAACCACCAGGCGAUAUACACCCCAUGAAGAAGAAUCCAAAAGUUGGGAUUAUACUGCCCCGGUGCAUACCCCAACUUGGCCAACAUCAUCUGAACCCACGGAUGAAACGGUAGUCUGAAACCAUGCCGAUACAUAUCUGUAAAAAUCAUCACGGAGCCAUCCGAGGGAUAUCUGACUACAUCAGCCUCCGUGGGUAACCUCAAGCCCACAUAGGCUGGCACACAAAAAUCUGUUCGUAGCUGGGCCAAUUUCGCUUCUGUAAGUGUAUUCCGCCUCGGCAACGGGACACCAACCCGGAUGUCUAAUCCCUCUGACACCGAAGCCACUGCUAUACCCACAGACCCUGAUGGUGAUGCCUGGUUGCUCGAACCCACUUCUUGCGUCUGAGGCAAGGCUAGAACCCGAUUUGCUAUAGCCUCUAACUCUAUAUAAUUUCUCUGCAUCUCCCUAUAUGCAGCCGACCCAGAGUCUCCCGAUGGCUCAGCCCUCUCACCCCCAGGCCCUAUCAUCCUACUUUCUAUGGUUCCUUCCACCAUACCCUCUGUCUCUGAACUUUCCUCUUCAGAACAUAUAUAUUGACUCGGCUCUUGACUCUCAGUAUCAUCCCCGCCGAAGGCAGGGGGGUCAAGACUUUCCCUAUCAGAACUUUCAGACAUCUACAAAUAUGGAAAAACAAGAAAAAGGAACUAAAUGCACAUGCAGAGAGGAUCGAACCACAACAACAAAAAUUUGCCAAAUCUUCAUGCCAGGCAAGAAUUCUACAUGUUCAUACAUAUGUUCAACAUGUUCAUCAUGUUCAUGCUCAUAUUCAAUGUGUUCUUCCUAACCUUCAACAUGUUCAUGCAAAACAAGACAUUUCAAUUCAAAAGUUCUAGCGAAAUAAGGUCUAACCUUGUUCGUACCACCACGUACAAGUCGCCGGAAAUCACCUCCGCCACAAGCACCACCACAAAACCUUCGCCGGAAAUCUCUUCUCCUCCUCCUCAAAUUCUCACAAUUUUCUCAACUCAAGCCAAGUGUGAUGCCUUCACCACCCAAGUUCCUAUUAAAUAGCCAACUAAGGGUACCACGCCUCGUUUCACGAGCAAACCCUAGCACCCUUUCAUAUUCCCUCCUAAAUCCCUUGUACCUACACACAAUUUGAAAUUCAAUUUUCAAAUAUACAAGCAAGAAACAUAAACAAUUGUGAGAAAUUUAGGGGCCUUGCCGAACGGCAAGGCCCGUGCAAACACAAAAUGGAGCCCUCAAAAUUCCAAGUUUGCUAGCCUACCUCAUAGGCCCAAUCCUACUACAAGGCUAAGCCUAAAUCGAUCAAGACACCCAAGCCGUUACUACCACAUAUUAUAGAUGGGCUUGCCGAACGGCAAGGCCCGGAAAAAAACAAAUGGGAGACUCACCUUUUCGGCCACAAUACUCUACACACCCAGCUAUUUUUCGAUCCAAGCUCACAACGGCCCAACGGCGCCAAGGCCCCUACCGAACGGCAAGAGCUGUUGCAACUUCAACUUGAUCUCGGCUGCCCCUUUGCCGAAACACCAAGCCCUGCCGAAGCACAGCUGCACCGCCAAGGUCCUCUUGCCGAAGCUGCUGCACCUGCUGAACCUGCAGAACCUGCCCAGAACAGUAUUGCCGAAGCUGCUGAACCUGCCCAGAGACACCUGCCAGCCGAGGCCAAGUAACUUGCCGAACGGCAAGAUCAGUCGGCUGCAAUUUCACCCACUCGGACAGCAGCAGCCUGCCACAACCGCGCCGAAACCCUGCCAGCCACCUGCUGCCGAAGCACCUCCCCGCUGCACAGCCUAGCUGCUGCCUUGCCGAAGGCUCUAAUCCCGUGCUGCUGUCUUGCCGAAACAGCUGCACAGCCUUGCUGCCGCCUUGCCGAAACAACUCCCAAUCAACUGGCCGAACGGCAAGGUCUAGCCACACCCGUGUGCCAGCAGCAAAAUCCCUCCCACCCAACUUGCCGAACGGCAAGACCUAGCAAACUCCAAGAUCUUUCUACUCCAAAACUUGGCCUCACCCUUGCUCGCAACUACCUGCCGAAGGAGACUUCCCCUUGCAUGACUACUCACUCAAACCUUGCUCAACUUUAUACCUCACUCAAACCUGCCGAACGGCAAGAGCAACUAGAUGAUAUUUUUACUCCUCACAAUUCCAAACCCUAGCCCUUACACUUGCCAAAGCCCAGCUACUACUUUGAGCCCUUACCCUUGGCUGGCCUCAAGUACAUGCCGAAGCCCACUUUGAGCCCAAUCCCAGCCCCUUGCCGAAGACCCAAUCCAAAAUGGCCUAGCUCCCAAGCCAUCCAACAACACAAAAACAAUUGUGGCUAGACCCUUGCCGAACGGCAAGGGCCAUGAAAUUUUUGCGGAGAGGGCCAAAAUUUCCAAAUGGCCCGGCCAUUCAAAAAAAAAAAAAAAAAAAAAAGGGAGCUAGACCCUUGCCGAACGGCAAGGGCCAUGGAGCAUUUGUGGGGAAGUCCAAAAUUUCCAGAUGGCCCGGCCAUUUCAAAAAAAAAAAAAAAAAAAAAAAAAAAAAAAAAAAAGGGAGCUAGACCCUUGCCGAACGGCAAGGGCCAUGGACACAUUGUGGAAGAAUCCGUUUCUCUCCAAAAUUUUCAAAGGACCCGGCUCCUUCGAAGGCCUUGCUCCCCUAGGGACCCAGCUCCCAUCCUAUCUGCAACAUGCCCAAGUACCCAGGUACCCAGCUACCAUGUGUUGACGCAACUCCUAGCUUGCCAACUUGGGGGACUAGGGAGUGCCCUGCGGCUCCCAAUGAAGCUGGAAUGCUCGGUUACAAUUACAAAAACUCACAAGUUCCCAACCCAGAAGUUACUUCUCGACCGCGAACUUGGGGGACUACUGUUUACACCAUAAUGAACCGAGCAGACCCAGCAUCAAAGCGACUAGCACCAAGGCAGCCACGCCUUCUCCCAUGCCGAAGGAAGACAUACUUCCGAGGUGCCAGACACCUGCCGAAGCUCUCAGCUGCCAAACCUAAUCUCCGGGACACGUGUCGCCACCACAACGGCUUGCACAAAGUCCCACAUUGGAACUUUGUGCAAAGCUCCCACUUUCACUUCCCUAUAAAUAGGGAACAGUACCCAGGUAAAAGAGGAACUACUCUCCCACUUUUACUGUUACUCUGCCAGAAUUACUACUCGUAACUGACUUAGGCAUCGGAGAGCCUUCGGCCGGCACCACACCGGUGUCCGAAGCUUGACGAUCGCUUCUCCUCUUUUUACCUUCUACAGGUCUCUCACCAACCCAUUUCACCAAGGGCCUCAGCCCUCUUCUCUGCUGAAGACUCAGCACAUCUAAUCACUAAGUUGGACUCAAUAUUGGCCGGGCCAUUUUGAGCAUCAACAAGCUGUAUCAAACUGGAAUUAUAAAAUGGAUUUACAUUUACUUGUAAAGUUGAAGGAUUAGCAAAAGGAAUUACUACUUUUUCUGUCAAAUUUGUCCAAAUUGAUAAAUUGAUGAUGAUGUGAAUAGGUUAGUGGCCAAAAGAUCCUCAUGAGUUUUUAGUAUUAUUAAGGAGAAAGGCAGAGAGUGUAUGCUUUUUUCCAUCCAGUUUUCCACUAUGAGUUAGCUAACAAUGAUUUUGCAUACAAGAACUUAAACUAUAUAUCUGUAUUGUUGGUGUGGCAUCUUGCCACUACAUCUUCAUUUUCUUUUCUAAAAUAAAUUGAACAAAAAAAAAGAAAUUUGAUAAUUAGUGUUCUUGGAUUUAGAUUCUAGGUGAUCUAGGUUCUUUGUGAUUUUAAUGAGUAAAACACUGUUUAGUGUUGACUUGGUUUUGAUGUUUGGUACUGUUUGGAUUCUUUAUAGUACUUAUUAUGCAAAUGAAAUGAUGUAGUUGUUAACUUCCAAUAAGUGGUAUGAAUAGUUGUUAUACUAUUCAUACCCUGCAAUUGAGGAUUUCUAUGACAUAGUAUUAACAGUGUACUUCUAUGACAUAGUAUUAACAGAUUUUUCAGUAACAAACCAUGCUCUAUAUUUUGCUCUAUAUAUAGCUAUGCACUUGAAGUUUAUGAUAUGCAUAAUGUGAUUUUUACUAGGAAGAUAGUUUUAUGACGUAGUAUUAACAGUAUACUUCUAUGACAUAGUAUUAACAGAUUUUCAGUAAUAAACCAUGCUCUAUAUUUUGCUCUAUAUAUAGCUGUGCACUUGAAGUUUAUGAUAUGCAUAAUGUGAUUUUUACUAGGAAGAUAGUUCUAUGACAUAGUAUUAACAGUGCAUUUUUUUUUUCUUGUAGAGGUAUUUCCUUUUGCCUUUGCUAUUCUUUCUGAUGAAACUGUGGACAAUUGGAGGUGGUUUCUGCAAAGGAUAUCGGAUGUCUUGCUGGGCUUUUUUGGGUUUUUUUUUGUGAGUUUUUUUGUAUGAAAUGAUAUUAACAAUAUACUUCUAUGAAAUGGUAUUAACAAUAUACUUCUAUGACAUGAGAUUAAGAAUGUGCUUGUAUGAUAUGGUAUUAGCAAUGCACUUCGGGCUUGCUGGGCUUGUUUUAAGUUAAUAAAUGGUAGUCAUGCAAUUUCUAGGAACUUCAACACUCAUUUUUUAUGUAAUAAAUGGUUUUUAAGUACAUUACAUGUGGGAUUUUUAAUAUUUUUUAAUUAUUUAUAAUUUCAGUCCCAAUUUUGAGUGUACUACUAAAACUCCCAAAAUAUUAUUUACUGCUCAUCCAGAAACAGAAACAGAAACAGUGAUAAGUGUGUGAUUUUUUGGUAACCAAAUAAACAAGAAUCUGAUAUACAAACACACUCUCAAAUGAGUUAUCGUCUCCACAGCAUCCUCCUCGGCACCACCAUACGCACCCAUCGCUCCAUUCCACCCCACCUAAUUUGCAGGUUCCUCGCAUGCCAAAUCUCUUGGCCUCUACGUGUUUGUUUAUAUGCUUAUUUAUACAGUUUUGGGUUCUGCAUUUUGUUUGCAGGGCUUGGUUUUGUAGCGGUAGAUUCAGAAACCAGACCCACAUGGAAAGCCAUGCUUCUUGUGAGGCCGUUGUGGGUGACUCUGAGCUCUUGGUUAAAAAAAUGGCUACUAUUUGUAAUGCCGGUCCCGCCAAACUCCAGGUUGCCCACCUACAUUCCCUUUGUUUUUUUCUUUUUCAAUUCUUGUGCAGCAUAUGUUUGAUACCCAAUUCUUUAUUUUUCUUCGACCAGAAAAAGAUUCAUUAUUUUUCUUAUUUAAAGUUUUUUGGGUUUUUUAGGUUGGAAAUUUUUGCUCAAAUUUUGUGUGUUGUGUUUUAAAUAGCGACAAAGUAAGAUAAUUGAGAGCAGUUUUCUUCCAUUGAAUUUUUUUUUUUUUUUGAAUGUGAAGAUUCCAUUGUUGUUUCUAGAGGGAAUUUGUUUAUGUAAUUUCAUGUCAGGUAAUAGCAGAUUUUGAUGCCACACUAACAAAGUACCAGGUCAAUGGUUGUCGGGGACAAAGUAAGUGUUUUGUGGUCUUUGAACUUUAUUCUCUGUUAUCACUAUCAAUUUGAAAGAUUUAUUUAUUUUAUUUUUUAUAUUCAUUGAUAACAAGAGUAGGCAGUCAUGGUCUUGUGCAACAGGAGGAUACGGAAUAUGAUAAGAAAAGGCAGGAAUUAUAUGAACAUUAUCAUCCGUUAGAAUUCUCCCCAACAAUUCCAAUUGAAGAGAAAGCUAAGCUUAUGGAAGAAUGGUAUUUCGCCUACUUAAUUGAAUCUUAAGGACACUGCCAGGGAUUGAAUCAAAAUGAAUUCUUGUGUUGUUAUAUGCUUCUGGGUAGCCUCUGUUAGUCUAUUUUUUAUUACGAUAGUUCAUGUUCAUAUGGAGCUAUAACAAUGUUACCUCAGUCCAAGGAGCUAUAAACCUUAGUCCAAUAAUUGGAUUUCAGAUCACAUUAAUACUGAUUGCAUGGAUACAGGUGGACAAAAACUCAUGGUCUCUUAAUUGAGGGAGGCCUUACCUAUGAUGGAAUAAGGCAAUCUGUCGCUGACUCCACAAUUGCUUUUAGGGAGGGUGUUGUUGAACUAUUUGAGUUUUUGGAGGUAAGUUUAAUUUUGCUGCAAUAAUUAUGUGAGUAACUGGCUACAUAUGUGUCCUGGGAUAGAAAGAAUCCAUUGAAGAUUUUGAUCUGUUUAAUGUUUGACUUUAUUCGUAAUUUGGUCAUUUGUUCUCUGAUGCAACGUCCUAAAACUAACUCAGUGUAAUUUUUUUCCUUCCUUUUUUAAGUGGAAAACAGAGAAAAACUUAUUUUCAUUAAGCUAUAUCAUUACUGUUUCCCUCCACCCACUUUUGCAGGAAAGAGACAUUCCCAUUCUUAUAUUUUCUGCUGGACUUGCUGAUAUCAUAGAGGAGGUUAGUUAAGUUUUGUGGCCAUAUUUCUUGCCAUUUUAAAUUUCUAGGUCUAUUUUGCAACUUUCUUUGCAUUAGUGCCUUUUCUUCUCAUUGUUCCAGGUCCUUAGGCAGAAGAUUCACAGACUUUUCAAAAAUGUGAAGAUAGUCUCAAAUCGGAUGGUAUUCGAUAAUAACGGUCACCUUGUAUCUUUUCAAGGUAUCCACUAAUGCUGAAUUGUUUUCACACUAUAAAGAGAAAUUAUAAAGAUAGUGUCCUACUAUGCUAUAUCAGAAACAAGUUGUUCUGAAGAAAAUAUGUUUUGUGUUUAUUUAAAACUUGUUUGUUUGUUUUGUUUGUUUUUUGGUCCAGUGUCAAGGCUGACAAUAUGGGUAGGCAUCCCCUCUCCAAACCUUAGCUGGUUCAAAACCUAGGACUUGAAACACAUCCUUGCAUUUAUAAGAGGGCUGGCUUAUGCUACUUUGCUACUAGGCUCUAAGGCCAUUGGAAAAUGGCACUAACGUACAAUUUCCACUUUUCUUGUAUCUUUCAUUUGUUUAAAUAACUUUAUCAUUUUUUCCUCGACACAAAAAAGUGAUGUAUGCAAAUAGAAGUAAUUAUUUGGUGGAGUUUUGUUUUAAUUCCGGUGAGUUAUUUCGGUAUUAAAUGAAAGCUGGGUACUUCAUAAGUUAAUGGUGCCUGUGCACUCUUAUAUGGUAAUUUUGUCCCAAUAUUUUUUUUGGUUUGGUUCAAGCCCCUUACUACUAUGAGUUCCAUUCUUGACAACGCGGUAGUAUAUGUUCGUACUCUGAUUUUUUAUUUUUAUUUUUUUUACUUGAUUUUACAGGGAAGACGAUUCAUAGUCUGAAUAAAAAUGAGCACGCUCUGGAUAUGGCUGCUCCCCUUCACGAUCGAUUAGGUGAUAAUAUAGAUGCGCCUACUUAUGAGAAUGCCUCGGUCAAGACGAGAAGAAAUGUGCUGCUUCUGGGUGAUCACAUUGGUGACCUGGGAAUGUCUGAUGGCUUGAACUAUGAGAACAGAAUUUCUGCGGGAUUUCUGUAAGUUAUAAUUUAUUGUAUUGCAUACUUAAUAUAUAUCAUAGAAUUGACAAGUUAUGAAUCUAAGAGUAACUUUUUUCAUAAUUCAGUACUCGUGUUAACUUAUCUUUCAAGCAACUUCUUCAAUAGCAAGUAGAAUGCGAAAUGGAUAUCUCUUGGCAAUAUAUUCUUCAUUUCAGAAUAUAUUGUUCUAAAUCUGCAUAGAAUUUGGAGUAAAACUGUAUUUAAUUAGUUACUUGUGAAACAUUAUUGUCAAUGCUUAUGAGUUCAGGCUGUUUCCAAAGUGCUGUAUAGCUAAACACUAAUGUCAUAAAUAUUCUUUAAAUUUUGAUUUCUGUAAUCCCAAUAUUAAGAACUGUUUUACUGGAGUCAUUUGAUGUUCUAUAUCCUGCUUCUGCACUGCAUCAUGUUUUAAAUUCCCUGGCAUGGAUGCUUCAUUUCCAAACGUUUUGUUGUUCUAAAAUUUAAUAUGCUUGCUAUUGAGAAGCAGUUCCGUUUUCUACGUUUUUCUUAUAUGUUUUAGCAACUCUACCAUAGUCAGUUUAGAUGGUUUAAAAAGGGGGAAAAGGGCAAAUUCUUUACAUAUUCAUGGUCACAUUUUGUUAAAUAUAAACAGCGCAAAUGUUAUGCUUGUUCACCUUUUGUCACAUUAUAAACAGGGCAAGUGAGAUGCACACUCACACAAUAAUCCUAUAUUCCGCAUUUGUUUUCCUUUGUUUGUUUUCUUUUGUUUCUUAUCUUUACGUAAUGGUAUUUUUAAUUAAAGUCGCAAUUAAAAGCCUGAAAUAGAUUUUUUUUGUGGUCAGUCAGGUACAGUUUAAACAUUUAAAUAUAUAUAUGAGAUGACUGAAUGUAAAACUUUUCAUACUUUAGCAGAACAGGAAACAUAAUAAACAGGGUUAGUUGUAAGGAUUAAUAUGCUAUCAACAUUAAAUAUGAGUGGCUUGCUUGAAGAGAAAGUCAAACUGGUAUGGUGGAUCAAAACCUGGUUAACCCGGGGGAUUAUCCAUUUUUCGGUUUUCAAGAGAUGGGUUUUUCAACAAUCCUUUACAGCAUAUAAUUUCAGUUUUUUGACAUUUUAGCCCAUUCCAACUGGCUCACUUUUACAGUAGAGUACACGAAAGCCAUAUUUUUCUGGUUUUAAUCGUGUUAAUUUAUUCUUUCAAAUCCAAAAAGUUUUAAUUUACCUGGCCUUGGGUCGUUUUUGUUUUUUUUUUUUUUUGGUUAACAAAAUAUUAGGCCCCCCUUGUAAAAUUUCGGGUUCCGCCCUUGUUGUUACAUAAUCCUCAUUUUCUAAUUCUCACGGUUGUUACAUGAAUAAUAUAGUUCAAGAAGUAAGGGGAACUGAUUUUUCAAUAACUGUGAAGAAAAAAUAUAUAUUUAAAAAACAAAAGAGCAUCGAUAUAAUAUUGGACUCAUAAAUUGUUCAAAAGUAGCAUUGAAAGGGAUGACUUGGAUGACCAAGUGACUGAAAUGGUAAGGCAAGGAAAGAGGGAAUUAUGAUGAAUUAACCCAUUAAAGAAAGAUAGAGCCAAGUAUUUGGAGAUACUAGUUCAUUUGGUUUGAUGAUGCAAGAACAUCUAGAUGGCUUUCCAAGAUUAAGUGGGGCCAGUUGCCAACAUGGCUUGCGGUUCUUGUUAGCUUGGGAAUUUACUUUGUUUUUUUAUUUGUCUUGUUCGAUUAUUCUGUUUUGUUUAGUCUGCUUGAUCAUGGUAGUUAGCUUUGUAUCUUUUAUUUUAUUUCAUGAUGGGUCUUUCUUAUCUUAGUUAUGUUCUGCAUUGCCUGCAAAAUGCAGUUUUUAGUUCUGUGGAAAAGUAAGCCGGAUGAUAGCUAUUUUGGCCAAACUAAGUGCCACCUCUAUUUUACUUUUAGAACUUAUAAUAUUGUUACAUUGCAACCAACAAUUAGAGGCAGCUGAAUUUGUUCAUUAAGUGCCCAAGAAGUUAAAGUUAAUUGUUUUAUUUUAAUGGAAAGAUAAUGAACAAAUAAGUUACAUUUGCACAUCCCCAUAGUUUAUUUUUCAAAUCUGAUAAACUAGCCAGACAAAGAGUUACGAUGAUCCAUAAAUUGAUUUAGUUGCUGAACCAUGUUAACUGCUGUUCCAGGAAUGACAAUGUUGAGAAUUCUCUUGAUAGCUACCGCAAAGCCUUUGACGUUGUUUACCUGGUGAGUUGAAUGCCUUGAAAGGUUGUGUGGUUGCUUUGACUAUUUUUGGUUUCCAUAGGAUUAAUGAGGUUACUAUGCUUGUAUGUUUAUCUAUUUGGCAUUGUUAGAUUAUCUUUGUCCUUGGAUAGUUGACCUGUUCAUCAUUCAAACCCUGAACAAUUCAUUGUCUUUGGCCAAAGCUGACAGGAUUUCCUACUUACUAAAUAUUUUGAUAAUGAAUUAUCUAAAGAGGGAAAUAUAGCAGGAGCGUUUGAAAAAAUUUGAAGAUGUGGGAAUAAAAUGUGAGUAUUACUAGGAUAGAACUAGAUGACGAUACUUAACUUGUUGCAUGGCCUCUUGCAGAAUGAUGCACCCAUGUGGGGAGUUGUAAAGCUUGUUUCACAACUCUGUCCAAGUGAGGGUCAUUGAGUUGUAAAUCUCUUACUAUUAAAUACUUGGAAGCUCAUUCGCCAAAAAUAAAUCCUUCGGAGCUCCUGUCUGCUUUCUUUGAUUAGCAUCCAUAGAUAGAUUUGGUAAAGUGUUCCUUUCAUCGGCAAAAGGUUUUCCAACAUGUGGCCGCUUUUCUUCUUUUCCUAGGAAUAGAAGAAAUAUAUUUGAUUGUUGGUCAAUUUUAGACAACAAGAAGCAUAUUUCUAUAAUCUUUCGCUCUCUUGAUGUUCUAAGCUCUGCAUUGGGAGCUAACAUCUGUAUAUCUGCACUACUUUUGAGCUGAAACAUUUGUCCACAAAAUGCAUGCCUCUGGAGCUUAAAGAAAAUGGAUAUACCAAAGAAUUCAAGGACAUGUUAAAAUUUCCGUCAAUUUCUUUAAUGGAGCCACCACGUGCCCCUCAUGUGGAGGGGCAAUUUUGUCGGCCCAAAGCCCCACACAAAAGCUCAUCUCUACCUCUUCUCCAUGGCGCAAAUUUGCCCAUUUUGAAGCAUAUUAGGAUUAGUGCUCUUAAAAUUUUAAUGAAAUUUGUCUAGGUUUUCGAUUGAGUGCAACAAGAGGGUGCAAAAAGACUAGCAAAACUUCAAUCGGUUGUUGUUUUCGUAAAGAAGCAACAACGAUGGUGAAGAAUAGAGGUGGCGUCAAUGGAGGCUUCAAUAAUUCAGGUGAACUCAAAAUCUUUAACGGUUCAGUUUUCUAUGCGUAUUGGAAAUUCAUCAAGUUCUGUGAAUCAAAGACAAAUUGGGGUGCAAGAUCAAUGAAUCCAAGACCAACUCUUAAUAUGCAAAUGGGAGGUGCAAGUUCAUAUUGGAGUUACCAUUAGGCCUCCACUAUCGAGGCAAAUGGGAGGUUCAAGAGCCCGAUGGAACCCACCCGUAAAAGCAACAAAUAAGAAAAUUUCCAAGUCAACUGAAAUUGCUUGUCGGCCAAUAUUUUGUGAACUGAAGUUGGCCUUUACUGUAGUUUAAUAGUUUAGUUGUUGGCCAAUAUUUUGUGAACUUUCUUCCUUUGCUAUACUGUAACAGGCCUUGAAUUCUUCUUCUGUUAUCAGCCGUGCUUUUUUUUUUUUUCUGCAAGUGUAAGACCCUGUUUUGGGUAUAAUGCAAUCAGAUUUGACCCACAAAAAAAAAAAACACACCCAAAUGUUCAUUGUGAAAGAGCAAUCAGAUUCAACCAUCAUAAUAGAAAAAUACUAAAUUCUUGGUUUUUUAUUUUAUAGAAAAAUACUUCAUUAGAAAAGCCCCACAAAGGCCAAAGGAGGAAAACAAGACAAAAAUAAACGAUCGUGCAUAAAUACAAAACAGAACCACUAGGCGAUGACAACUAAAGCCAAAGCCAAAGAAAACCAUAACUAAAAAUACUUCAUUAGAAAAUGGAUAUACCGAAAAAUUUGGAUGUUAAAUUUUCAUCACUCAUGUUGAAUUGAUUGUAGUGUUACAGUUUGAAAUAUGGAGGACUAAGAAAUAGCAAGGGAAACAGUACUUAUGCUUUGGCAUACUGCUACAUUUUUUCGUACUAGGUACUUGAAAUUCUUCUAGUGCGUAAGCUUUUUGGCUGAAGUGUUGCUCUGGAAGCAUACAACUUAUUUUGGCCCCCUUGAUUUGAGUUCUUUUGUCUUUUAGUGAAAUAAUUUCGGAAUGAUAUAUUUAUUUAUAGUUUUAAUUUCGUCACUUUUGACCAUAUAGUGUCAUAUUUAUUGCAAUUCAAGGACAUGUUAAAAUUUCCGUCAAUUUCUUUAAUGGAGCCACCACGUGCCCCUCACAUGGAGGGGCAAUUUUGUCAGCCCAAAGCCCCAUGUAAAAGCUCGUCCCUACCUCUUCUCCAGGACGCGCGAAUUUGCCCAUUUUGAAGCAUAUUAGGAUUAGGGAUCUAAAAAAUUUAGUAAAAUUCAUCUAGGUUUUCGAUUGAGUGCAACAAGAGGGUGCGAAAAGACUAGCAGAACUUCAAUCGGUUGUUGUUUCCGUAAAAAAGCAACAACGAUGGUGAAGAAGAGAGGUGAAGUCAAUGAAGGCUUCAAUAAUUCAGGUGAACUCAAAAUCUUUGAAGGUUCGGUUUUCUAUUCGAAAUUAUUUUCAACUUUUAUUCGACUUUUCAAUGCAUAUAAGUGGGUUCCAACUCUUUUGUUUAUUCCAUUCUUUUGUAGCCUUGUUUUAUAGUUUUUUUUUUUUUUUGUUCCAAUAGCCUUGUUUUGUUCUGUAACUUUGGGUUUGGAAAGUUAUUGCUUUGUUGCUUUGACAGUUACUAUUUGAGAUGGUGGUUGAAAAUUUUAUAAAAUAUUGUGUACGUAUUGGGAGUGGUCCCAUGCAUGUUUGAACCAGUAGAAAAGCCUUUAGGAAACACAAAGGUCCUCUAUUUGCAUAAAGCAAAGCAAUAUGCAUGCCAUUUGUUAUUUAAUAGCUUUGAAUGCUUUGAUUCACAUAAAGUAAAGCAAUAUUUUCAAUCUCAUAGCGUUGAUUUUUCACAUGCUGGCCCUCCAGAAUUUCCUUAUAUCAGAGAUUUGAUGAGGUUCCAGAUGAAUAUUUUGAUGAUUUUUUCAAUCAAGCUUCACAAAUUUCCGACAAGAAGUGGGUAAUGACAACGUGGGAACAAUAGAGGUGCCUGUGUAUGGACGUCGUAUUGGCAAUGAAGAUAGGAUAGAGGUACCUGUCAAUGUUGAUGAUGAAGAGGAUAGAGAAGAAGACUGACGCUGAUGGUGGGAGGAGAGUAAGAGAUCUUCAAGACAGUGGUGAUGAAUCAGAUAAAGAAAUAUAUGAAAGUGAUAAUCAUGCUGCCACUUCAAGACUAACUCCUCUUACACCCACUCACCCAUUCAUCAAGUUCUGUGAAUCAAAGACAAAUUGGGGUGCAAGAUCAAUGAAUCCAAGACCAACUCUUAAUAUGCAAAUGAGAGGUGCAAGUUCAUAUUGGAGUGAGCAUUAGGCCUCCACUAUCGAGGCAAAUGGGAGGUUCAAGAGCCUGAUGGAACCCACCAGAAAAAGCAACAAAUAAGAAAAUUUCCAAGUCAAAUGAAAUUGCUUGUCGGCCAAUAUUUUGUGAACUGAAGUUGGCCUUGACUGUAGUUUAAUAGUUUCUAGUUGUUGGCCAAUAUUUUGUGAACUUUCUUCUUUUGCUAUACUGUUACAGGCCUUGAAUUCUUCUUUUGUUAUCAGCCAUCACGCUUUUUUUUCUGCGAGUGUAAGACCCUGUUUUGGGUAUAAUGCAACCAGAUUUGACCAAAAAAGAAAAAUACACACUCAAAUGUUCAUUGUGAAAUAACAAUCAUAAUAGAAAAAUACUAAAUUCUUGGGUUUUUUUUUUUUAAUUUUAUAGAAAGAUAUUUCAUUAGAAAAGCCCCAGAAAGGCCAAAGGAGGAAACAAGACAAAAAUAAACGAUUGUGCAUAAAUACAAAACAGAACCACCAGGCGAUAGCAACUAAAGCCAAAGCCAAAGAAAACCAUAACUAAAAAUACAUGACACCAACAAACCAUAACUAAAAAUACAUGACACCAACAAAGCCCUCCAACCAUCGAAACAAUAACUGUUUGGUUUUACACUUUUGUACUUCAUUUUCAAAGGAGCCACUAUCUCCUUCAAUUGCUUAGUUGCUAUAGUUGCUAAGUGGUGGUGGGUGUGAGGUGGAGAAUGGUGGAGGGAGUUGACAUUAGUUAUUUGGAAGAUUGAAUCUGUAGGGAGAGAAAGGGAUGGAGGAGAUAGAGAUUGGUUUGGUGCUGGGAAUUUGGGAUAGUGAAGGAGGGAAGGUUUUGAGAUUUUGGUUGCCCAUUUUCGGGCCCUAGAGAAGAGGUAGAGACCAGCUUUUAGUAUGGGGUUUUGGUUUGAGAAAAUUGCCCCUCCACGUGAGUGGCAAGUGGUUGCUCCUUUUAAAAAAAUUAACAGAAAUUUAAUUUUGUCCUUCAAUUUCUACAAAUAUGAAACUACAUUGUCAAAAGUGACGAAAGUAAAACUACAAGGUCAAAAGUGGUUGAAGUGCCAAACUAUAGGGACCAAAAGUGACUUUUAGCUUUUAAUUUAUAUCCCAAUUAAACGGUUAUGUAUAUAGAACCAUGAGCACACAUCUAAGCAUCCACACAAGAAAUGCAGUUCUUUACCAAACAAAACUUGAGUACAAAUUUGUCAGUGGAUUCUUCCAUAUCCAAGAUGCUCCAAUUGCCAUCCUUUUCUGUCUUCUUAGCUUCUCUUUUCUUCUUAUUGAUGAUUUUCAAAUACUGGAAGAAAUCUCAAGCCAAAGGCCUGAGCAAGUUGCCUCCUGGGCCAAAGCAGCUGCCUAUUAUAGGGAACUUGCACCAGUUGAUUGGUGCCCUACCACAUCAUGCUGUCACCGACUUGUGCAACAAACAUGGUCCUGUCAUGAAACUGCAACUGGGGGAACUUUUUGCCGUGAUCAUUUCAUCGCCUGAAGCAGCCAAAGAGGUCUUGAAGACGUGCGAGAUCAGCUUUGCGCAAAGGCCAGAAGUGUAUGCAGUUGAAAUAAUGGCAUACGAUCAUUCAAGCAUCGUGUUUGCUCCUUACAAUGAGUACUGGAGACAACUGCGAAAGAUAUCUGUGAUGGAGCUCUUAAGCGCUAACCGUGUCCGAUCGUUCAGAUCGAUAAGGGAACAGGAGGUGUGGAAUCUUGUCGAGUUCAUCGCCUUCUCCGAGGGACAUACCAUAAAUUUGAGUGACAAGAUAUACACCAUGACAAAUGAUGUUGUUUCUAGGGCAGCAUUUGGUAAUAAGUGCAAAUACCAACAUGAGUUUACAUUAUUGCUUGGGGAAAUUAUACUUCUUGCUGGAGGCUUUAACAUCGCUGACUUGUACCCUUCUCUUACAUUUCUUCGUUCCAUGAGUGGGAUGCAGCCUGCAUUGAUGAAAAUUCAGAAAAAAAUUGACGAGAUUCUUCAAGAUAUUGUGAGGGAGCAUAAGAUGAAAAGAGAAGCUAGUAGAAAAAGCUUUGGUAGGCUUGGUGAAGAUGAGGAAGAUCUGCUUGACACGCUUCUGAAUUAUGAGGAGGCCAAUAAGCAUGAGUUUCAUCUCACAACCGAUCAAAUCAAAGCCGUCACUAUGGUACCAUCUCUUCACUCCAGCAAUAAUUGUUUUUAUUGGGUAGUGGGCUUGUGCCUCGAGUCGUUAAGAGCAAUUAUUUAUGCAUCUGAGUUCUUGUGUUUGAAUCCCUACCCCAAUAUCUCUUGUAUUUUUAAACUCCUAAGUUGCCUAAAACAUACCAAACCAUCUAAUACACUCACACAAGCUCUAGUGAGCCUAAAAAUUAUUAAACAAGAACAAGGUGUUUGGAAACGGUGUGCUUAAUGGUUGUUUUUUUUUCUUCUUGGCGUAUUGUGUUCUCUGUCGGAUGUUCUCACUGUCUUGUGACUGUAGAAAGGAUUAUGAUUUCAUAGCAAGACUCUUUUGACAGUUGGAUUGUGUUGUAGUGUUCUCAUCGCAGGUCUUUGCGUCGAAGGUUUAUGUGUCAGUUUGCUGUUUUAUUUUAUCUUGCUCUAGCAUUGGUCCUACGUGAUUGUUUGAACUCUUUUGUUAGUCUAUGACAUGUGUAUAGUACUCUUUCGCAGUGACGGAUCCAUGAUCCGAACCCUGUAAAAUUUCAAACGAAACUUAUGCCAAUUAACCAAAAAAAAAAAAAAAAAAAAACCACAACCACCUAAUCAACAACAUGCAUCAUCCUUAUUUUGAUAUUAGGAUUUAGAACUUACUUGAAAUCAGAAAUAUCAUAAUAAUAGUGGUACCACAACAUGUAGUGGACGGUGGCAUAACUUCGACGACAGUGGCAAUACAUCAGCGGCACAUAAAAUAAUCCAAAUAAUAACUCACAUUAAUUAAAUAACACACCAAUUAACCACAAAAAAUCUAAAACUCAAACCAAUAUAAUCAAUUAAUCAAAACAAUAUAAUUAAGCCAUAAAUUUAAUUUCAAUUCAAUUAAUUACACUAUAUAUAUAGCACAUAACAUUAAUUUAGGCUUAGGAUUUUAGAACUUACUUUGUGAAAUUUCACAACAAUAAUGGGGCACACAUAGCAGGUGGUAGACACGGAGGCAACAGGCGGGCAAUAGAGGAGAGGAUAUGGGGUUAAGGGUUUGUGGGGGGAGAGAUUGGGGGGUUAGGGUUUGGGAUUGGUUGGGUAUCGGGUUAAGGUUUCUGUUUAGGGGGUGGGGUGGAGAUAACUGAUUGGUUUUUUUUAUAAAUAUUUUGUUAUUUUUAAGACGCCUGGUCCAAAACGACGUUGUUUUCGCCAUGUUAUUUUUAAAAAAAUUAUUGGGCCAAAAUGACAUGGUUUUGCCCAGGAAUUUUUUUAUUUUAUUUUAAAAAGAAGCCAACGUUUCUUCUUCUUCUUCUUCCUCACGCUGCGCAGCACUCCUCCUCUCAGGCAAAUGGUUAAGCAGCUGGAGGCGUCCCAUGGGGUCACACAAUCGGCUCAUGAGGACCUUCAAGCCUAUUUCCAUGGCCUCCAUGGGGUCCUUUUUUACCCCAAUGCUCCACUAUGGCUCCGUCUAUGCUCUUGCCUACCCUGAAGUUUGUCCCUCAAGAAAGUUUUAACGAGGCCACUGUUUCGUGUUGUUCUAUGUACGCUACUUUGAUUCUAUGAAUGGAUUUCAUUUCUAAAAAAACAAGAACACAGUGUCUGGUCUUUAUUAGUGGAGGAUCCAUUUUAUCCAUUUUCACAUUGUGGUAUGCAUGCGUCAACUGCCACCUGUUAUCUCACUUUUUGUUGAAAGAAAAAUGUAGGUACGUAUGCUAAUUUCCCUAGCUUUAAAUCGAAUUUCCUCAUUUUCAUAGUGGCAAAAUCUAUGAUUUGUUAAUUAGCAAUUUCAUAUUUUAAAACAGAGUACUUUAGCAAUUAUUAAUUUCCAAAAAGGUUUUCUUGUUGGGAAAGGAAACAUAUACAAGCAUAUGGAUGAUGUUGUUAACAAGGUUUGAAAGGAAAGCUCUAUUGUUAUGCUAUUGUACUCUUUUAGAAAUUCUAGAAUUGCAUUCAUAAUUCAGUCAAAUAAGCCAUUAAAUUACGAAGAGCCAUUACAAUAUCAGAGCGAUCUAACAUUGAAAUUAAGACAAUCUGGGCUCCUCCACUAACGAUCGCGCAAGAUCGAAGAAACUCUUGCAUAGGCAUCCCAACUAAGAGUGCAAACUCAGAACUAAAAAAAAAGAAAAAAAGAUAAAGCUUGAAAAAAACCGAACCAUAACAAUACAAAUAAAACUCUAAAAAUGCAAAAGCCCUAAUGCUUUUUGUACUUAAUUAAGUUACUUUUUGUGAUGAAUUAUUAAUUAACUUUUUAAUUUAUACUAACAAAACCUAAUAUUAUUGUACAGUUAUAUAAUUCAUUGCAACUUCACAAUGAUUUCAGGAUAUUUUUUCAGCAGGAAGUGAGACUUCAGCAACCACAAUGGAAUGGGCAAUGUCAGAGCUUCUGAAAAACCCUAGAGUAAUGGAGAAGGCGCAAUUGGAGGUGCGACAAGUAUUCGAAGGAAAAAACAAAAUCGAAGAGGAAGAUGUUCAAAAGCUACAUUACUUGAAAUUAGUCAUGAAAGAAACUUUUCGGUUCCGCCCUCCGGCUCCUUUAAUCCCGAGAGAGGCAAGGGAAAGAUGUGAAAUUGGUGGAUAUACAAUACCAGCCAAGGCCAAAAUCCUCAUCAAUGCCUAUGCAAUAGGGAGAGAUCCAAAACUUUGGGCUGAUCCUGAAAGCUUUCAACCAGAGCGCUUUCAAGGUUCUUCCAUUGACUUUAAAGGCAACAAUUUUGAAUUGCUUCCAUUUGGUGCAGGUAGGAGGAUUUGUCCAGGCAUCUCAUUUGCUACUUCAAACAUUGAGCUUGGACUUGCUCAACUAUUGUACCACUUUAACUGGAACCUUCCAAAUGGGACUAAACUAGAAGCCCUCGACAUGGCUGAGAAUUUUGGAAUGACGGCUAGAAGAAAGAACAAUUUGCAUUUGAUUGCCACUACUUAUAUUCCUUUCAACAAAUGAGACACUAUCUAAAAGAAUGAUGUAAUAAAUAGAAGAAUGAUGUAAUCUUAUAAUGAAUUUAACUUGCAACUCUCUUAGGCAGCAGUUUGUUGGUUCAGUACGAGAAAAACUUAAUUGCAACGGGGAUAGAACUGUUUUGCUAUCUCCGACCAAUAACGCUACACUAUGUGGAAGUGUUAUCAAAGUGUCAUAGCGCUAUUGGUCGGGGAUAGCAAAAUAGUGUUAUCCCCGUGGCAAGGAAGUCUUUCUCGUUUAGUACAGACCUCCACUUAUCCCUCUAAAAUUUAUCAUUUUGUUCCUUUAUCUUGUCCAAAGUAUCAACUUAGAAUUAAGAAAUCAAAUUGAUGAUCGGUUGCAGAAGCCAAAUUGUGGAGUAAGCGAGUUAAUUUUUUAAGGUUAAUAAUUGCAAAGCCGCUUGUAUUUUACUAAUUCUAUAUCUGUAUAUAGAACAAUAACCACAUCUAGCUAGCAUCCACAACAGAGUUGGAGUUCUUUCCAAUAAAAACUUGAAGACAAAUUUGUCAAUGGACUUUUCAAUAUCCCAGCUGUUAUCAUUCUGAGCUUAUCUCUUUCUCAGAAUAGGAAGAGGAGCUCUUCUAGAGCAUUUAGCUAGAGAGAAUGAAGAGGAAAAUAAGAAAAAAUGCACUGUUGUAUUGAUUUCUGCAAAACUGCAGCUUACAUAGUGUGAGUGCCAGGAGAGAAAUGUGAUUCUCUUCUAACAGAAUUACAGCUGUCAUCCUAUUAGAUGCUUACACAUGUCAUAGCAAAUCUAAGCUAGAGAAUCCACCUAGACUAUGAUCUAAUGGUUCUCAUUACAUCAUUUAAAUAGACUGACCAAAAACAGAAAAAAUAGAGGAUAGCUUCAGCUCUAAGAAAUCUGCUGCAGGAUUAUAUUUCAACACCAGCUGCUCCAAUUGCCAUCCUUUACUCUCUUCUUAGCUUCUCUUCUCUUCUUAAUAUUGGUUCUGACAUUGGAAGAAAUCCAAAGUCCAAGGCAAGUUGCCUGCAGGGCCAAAAUAGCUGCACAUUUAGGGAACUUACACCAGUUGAUUGGUGCUCUACCACAUCAUGCUGUGACCAACUUGUGCAAGAAACAUGGUCCUGUCAUGAAACUACAACUGGGUAAACUUGUGCUGUCGCUAUUUCAUCGCUGGAAGCAAAAGAGGUUUUAAAGAUAAAUGAGAUCACUUGUCAUGGUGAAACUACCACAUCAUGCUGUGAUCUGAAGUGUAUGCUGUUCAAAUAAUCACCUAUGAUCAUUUAAGCUUGGUGUUCUCUCCCUACAAUGAAUAUUGGAGACAUUUACGAAAGAUAACUAUGAUGGAGCUCUUUAGUGUCAACCGUGUUCGGUCAUUCAGAUUGAUAAGGGAAGAGGAGGUCUGGGAUUUGAUUGAAUUGAUUGCCUCAUCUGAGGGACGUAGUAAUUUCCAGGGCAGCAUUUGGUAACAAGUGCAAAUAUCAGCAUGAGUUUACGACAUUGGUUCGGAAAUCAUACCUCUUGUUGGAGGCUUUAACAUCUCUGAUUUGUACCCUUCCCUUGCAUUCCUUUGUUUCAUGAGUGGGGCAAAGCCUGCAUUGCUGAAAAUUCAGAAAAAAAUUUACAAGAUUCUUGAAGAUUUUGUCACUGAACAUAAGAUGAAGAGAAAAGCUAGUAACAACACCAAUGGUGAUGAGCAAGAUCUGGUGGACACGCUGCUUAAUUAUGAGCAAGCUAAUAAGCCUGAGUUUCAUCUCACAACCAAUCAAAUCAAAACGGUCACCAUGGUAAGAUCUGUAUACAGUCGAACAAUAAAACCUUUUUAUCGUACAACAGUAUAAUCCAUUGUAACUUCACCAUGUUUUUCAUGACAUUUACUCUGCAGGCAGUGAAUCUUCAGCAAAAACAAUCGAAUGGGCAAUGUCAGAGCUACUAAGAAACCCGAGAGUAAUGGAGAAGGCACAAUCUGAGGUGCGACAAGCAUUCAAGGGAAAGAACAAAAUUGAACCUAAGACCUCGGAUGCAGGGUUUAAUGCUCUUAACCCCUUGUGCUGCAAGCCUCUUACUUUGUAUGCACCUUCAUCAGUAUAUGCAAUAUUAGAAAAACGUUUAUUACUUAGCACUAAUGUUCUUGUACAUGAGGAGUUAUUGCUAAUAAUAAUAAACAAAGAAAUAAUGUGUUAUCAGUUCUCCAUUUACAUUGAGCUGCUCUCAUUCUAAAUUCAUUAAAAAAAACCUCAAGGUAUUAACGAUUGCUGGAAACUAUGUAAAGUGAUUAUGCAACUGCCAUUGCUGGUGCAGCAGCUGCUGUUUCUUUUGCAGAAUAUUCAUCCAUUGACUGCAAGAGCUUGGUACAAUGGAAUUCAAUUUGUAGACGAUGAUGAAGAGGUGUUGAUGCCAUCAAACCCUUCUUAAGAUCCGCCAGCAAUUCCCUUAUAGGGAUAGCAACCAAAAAGCUUUUAAUAUACUCUUUGCAAGCUUCUUUGCCUUUGCAUACAACCUCCUCUUCCACAUCACUAUUUUCCAAAUCUUUCUGGCUCAAUACAGGAGCCCCUUCAGCUUUAGUUUCCUUACAGUUGUUUGGUCGUACCUGAUUUCCAGAUUUCUCAUUUGAUGCUUUAGCCUCACUUGGUAAUCUUUGGAUUGUUGUGUCUUUGUCAAAUUUCAGGAUAUAGGCCUGGUUGCAACCUUCAUACAACCUCUCCCCUAAUGUGUCAAUUAUGUAAAAAGCAUCCUGCUCUACCUUUAGUAUGAAGAAAUGGUCGUUCCAACUCACAAUGUAGACCAGAAGUUCACUAUUGCAUGCACAUUCUGAUGCAGAACGACUGAUCUCAUCCCAUAUGCUAUCGAAGGACAUGGCACCCUGAAGGAAGUCAGAAUCCUUGUUUCCUAGUUCUUCAGGAUGGAAGAAUCCUACGAAAGACUUCUCUGGAACUACAGACAGUGGACGAAUUUUAGCUUGAAGGAUGGUCUCAAGAUCAAAGUGCUUAUCAUUGAAACGCUCUAUGUAGGCCUCGUUAUCACAGAGAGUUCUCCACUCUGAUGAUCCAUCUCUAAUGAGACUAUCAAAUUCACACUUGACAGGCAUCUCAUUUCUGUUGGAUUUCAACCAAUCUGUAAUGACUGCAACCAAGGCCGUGCAUGCACUCUCUCCAGCAGCACGUUCACUCCGCUGAUCAAUUGAAGCAAAAAAUACUUGAGUUUGAAGCUUCAUAUGUCUAUCACGGCUUAUCACUUCCUUAUGCUCCCAAAUGCCAACAGAAAAAUUCUCGUCUCCGAAUUCAGAAAUGGAACUUUCUGUGUGAUGUGACUUUCAAAGUAAAAAGAAAAAAGGGUUUUAAAAAAUCAAUACAGAAAUGAAGACAAGCAAAAACAUGUACAGAAAACAACAGUGAGACGUUGCAUUACGUACCCCAAAACUGGAUUCAUCAGAGGAACUAAGCUGCCUGCGAUCAAAAUCAAUAUCAUCUCCACCCUCGUCUCCAUAAUGUUUCUUCAGAAGAGACUCCCCUUUGGCUUUAGGAGAUCUGAAGCUCAAUUUCCUCUUCUUCCAUUGUAGGAUUCUUCCCUUGGAACUCUGCCACGAGUUUGGCCGACAGACUGGUGCACUGGAGUUGUCAACAUGCAAGCCACCUAUAUCUAAUUUACGGUUGCUAUAGUGGACCCAAAAGUCAUCUUGGCCAUUACUAUUAGUAUUGGAGUAAAACAAGCCACCAGCAAAGUUUGCAUAGGCUAGCGUUUCAUAACUAAUUGACUGCCUGACACUGGAGUCCUCCUUACUCCACUCUGAUUCCUCCCGCCCAUCAUCAUCAAGUGAAUCUGUGUCAAAUGGAUAGUUGGAUGCAGCAUCCUCACUUCUAGCAGAACUCCUGCUAUCACUGCUAUCUUGCUCGACGCAUGCCUUCUUUGAUUUACCAAAUGAAACAUAAUCUCUAAGGAUUUUCACCUUUCUCAGUCCUGCUUUAAGAGGAGACAACUCAUCCUUUUCUGUGGAAAUAGCUUCGUCAGAAGGCAUUGAUCCCGGCACUGUCUCAGAAAGUUCUUGAGUGGCUCUCAUUUCCAAUAUGCUCAGAGAUAUCUGCGGUUAUCAAGGAACUUAACAUAAGACAUAUUAUUCAAAUUUAGAAAAGGCAAAAAGAACCUAACCUGGCAAAGUUACGUGACAAAAGGUGAUGAACAUAGAAUAAUUCAUUUAAACAUAGGCAGUACAUACAGAAAGUGAUGCCUUAGACUCUGAGGCCACAACAAGAACAUUCAGAGGAAUGUUGAGCCCAAGUUCCUUUUGCUCAGACACCGAAGCAUACUGCGCUAGGUUCAAUGAUGCAGUUCCAUAAACACCGACUCUGUUCCUCAAUCCUUUGUUUUCAGCCUAAUUCAUUAAAACAAAAUCAUUGACAUCAUCAAGAAAUCACAUGAUGGAUGAGGCAAAAGUUAAUUGACAAACCUUAAACAAAAGAAUCGUAUAAACAAACAAUUACAACAUCACAAUAUGAUCAAUCUCAAAAAGAAUAGAGAAAAAAAGAGACAACCGAGCUACAAAAGAUUUUCCUGCUGCUACCAAAAAAAAAGAGAACAAAAGAAGAAAAAAAACAAGAAGAUGAAUUGAAAGGCAGAGAGACUCACAUUGAAGACUGUAAAUGAAAGCUCCCAAGGGUAAAACAUACCCUCUUUACAACCAGAAAAACUGCACAAACUCCUAAACUCCUCUUGCAAUUCUACCACCCCAUCAUCUCUAAUUUCACCUUCUUUGGUGAAAUUCCUCUUAACAGAUCGUCUCAAAGACCCCAAAGCCUUACCCUUCUGGCCCUUCCAUUUAACCUCAACCAAAGCUCUUCUCUCACCCUCAAAUUGAGUUUUAUCCAAUCCCUCAAGCCUGCCUACAACAAUCACUACCUCAAAUUUCUUGGUGGAAAUUGGUGGCCAUGGUGGCCACCUCAUCAUCUUCACCACCAUUGCCUACUUGGAUGCCAAUAUAUACCAAGGAUUAGGCUAAAACAUGACAAAUGGAUAUAAACAAAAAGAGUCUACCUUGGGUGGUAGAAUUAGAAAUUUAAAGAAAUGGGUAAUGAAGAUUAAACAGAGAUUGAAAUUUGAAAUAUAAAAUGGGGUUUCGAGAUAAGAAUUGGAAAAAGGUUUUGAAUUUUUUUAGGAUUGGGAUGAAGGAAAUUGGCAGAAACUGAAAGAGACAGAUAAAAGAAGUGCAAUGGAGUUCGAAUUUAAAUGCACUUCUAUAGUUGGAAUUUGCCGUCUGUGGAAUGGACAAAAUAACUAUAGGGAGAGUGAGAGAGAGAGAGAUGCCGGCAGUCCUAAGAACCAACGUCUCUUUUUCUACUUAGAAUUCAAGUGGAAUUGCACAAGGUGUCCUUCAACUAGUGCAUAUUUCUACUGUUACCUCUGGUAUCUGUUCCCGCUAAUUCAGGUCAAAUUCUUUCGCUUUUAUUGAUAUUCCUAGAAUCUCUGGAUUCUCCAAAUCUUGAUAAUAUAUGGAUCACCAAAAUCGUUAAAAUUACUUCCUCAAAAAUUGACAGACUGCAUUUUCAUACUUUCCACAUAUUUCUUUUCUUUUAUGAUAAUAUGUUUACUUAUUAGGAAAAGGGAGGAUGAAUCGGAACUUAGGAAUAUGAGAAUUAAAGAAUUGGAUUUGGAUAAAUGGUUUGGGGAAGUCUAUCUCCAUUUUCCAUGUCCCUCCAUGGGUCGUGGCUUCGGUGGCUGUUGGGGAUGGGUUGUGAACUCAGUGGCUGCCAACAUGUAAUGGCAAAAAUAACAUUCCAUCCAAUACUAUCAGGGGUCGUUUGGUACACAGGCUUGGCUUGGAUUAGCUUGGACUAAAUUUAGUGACAGGACCCGAUCCCAAUUCCACUUUGGAAUUCGAACCAAGCCCUGUGCGUGUCCGACAUCUGGCAACUGACGGGCACAAAUGACCAUUUUACCCUUCCUGCUACAGUUACUAUGAAAACUUUCCCUGGACUUCUGCCGAAAUUUCGGCAGAGUCUCCCCUGUAUUUUGACUAAACCCAAAAUCUUCCACCUGUUAAACAAUUAAAUAAAUCCACACCAACUGCCAGAAUAGAAUAACCAAGUAUUCACCAGCUCCAGUUUUCCACUAAACUAGAUAUCAGAGCAUUUUCUAAAGUUUACAGGGUUUCAAGGACUUUUCCACAAACUCUACCUUACUUGGUGGCGCGAAAGCUAGGAAUGGCCCGGUGGUGGAUCCUGCGCACUUCUACGGCCUGGGGGCGAAAAACAAGUUUAAAUUUGUGAGUGGACAAAAAUAAGGUUCUUGAAAGCAAUUUAGAACAUAAUAACCCCCGUUUUGAAAUACAUAGGGAUAGAAAAUCUAACGCAUGAUUAUAAUUCAACUCGAGAUAUUCCAAUAAACAUAGAUAAAUAUAUUUGUAUAGAUACUCGUAUAACUGAACAAGGAUAUAUGGAUAUAACACAUGCGUGAAUAUCGAAGAAGAUGAUAUAUAAUGAGUGAAAAUAAUAACUGCAUAAAAGAGCUCAAAAUCCUUUGAAACUACCACCUAAUUGUACCCCUGUAAAAUCCGUCAAAUCCCCUGGCAGGUCUCGGGCGACACAAAGUCUAACUGAGCCGCAAACUGGCGAAAUCAGGGGACUAUGGUCAGCCUGAUUCGCCGGUAGGUCUCGAUGACACCAAGUCAAUUCGAGCCGCUCUGACAAGAUACAGGGGACCGUAGUCCGCCUGAUCCGCAAUCCUGGCAAGUCUCGGGGACACAGAGUCAGCCGAGCCAUAAAUCCUGGCAGGUCUCGGGACACCAAGUCUGCCGAGCCGCAAAUCUUGGCAGGUCUCGGGACACCAAGUCUGCCGAGCCGCAAAUCCUAGCACUCACGGUCCGAGCGUCCCCGAAACUCGUGAGGCAAUGUCAAGUGCACUGACCGAAUUGUAAACAGACUGGAUGUCUGUAGACAUCGGUCCGUCUGAGGGUAAUCACCAAAUAAAGAGCGGGUACAUGGUGGUUUUCCAAAAAUAAAUAAUUUUAGAAAAAUCUGAUUAAUAACUGCAAUCUCAAUUCUGCUGCUAUCUCAUCUGAUUCGAACCUCAAACUCAACUUUUUAUAUUACUGGAGCUUCAGUAACUAAGCCUCAUGUAAAUCAAAGUAUUUAACAGUACAAAUCAUGCUCGAAAGAAACAGUUCAUAAAACUUAUUCAGCUAAACUUAUUUAUAAAAGCUUAUUUAUAUAAAAUUAAUAUAAAAUCAUUUAUGUAAACUCAUGUAUAUAAAUCAUUUAUAUAACUCAUUUGUAUAAAAUCAUUCAUGAAAGAAAGUCCACUCAUUGCUGGUCCGAGCUAGCUGGACCUCUUAAAGGUCCCUCCUGUGAUUCCGUUGGUUCUCUGGUGCCUGAUUACCCAUAAAGAUUAAAUUAAUAAAACAGAUCAAUAAAAGAAUUUAAAUUUAACACCCUGUCCCCGGCUCCUAGAAAUGCGUGCACACAUUUUAGAGUUACUCCUAUGCCCACUUUAACCUUUCAGACAAUUAGAACGGCCAUAAGAGACUCGAAGCCUCACUAAGCGAUAAAUUACCAGACCGGCCGAUCCGGGACUCGUGGGGUCCACGAUCUCCGAUGGCCAAUCUGGGCUUCUCUGAAGGUGCCUCAUAGAGAAGGAACCAUGUUCCGCGAAUUUGGUCCGAAACGGACGGUCGGAUUGACCAACAUCGCGUUAUCGCUUAAAAUCCAAACCCUAGCCCCAAGGUUCGCGAUUUCGGAGUAUCCAGGACUCCGAUUCGCAAUCCGUCGAAUCCUACACGAUCCUGAAAUCAUGUAGUACGACAUAUCCAGAAUUGAAUGCAAUCCAACGAUUUGACGACAUUGCAACCAAGGAUCGCGCGAUAUGGAAAAUCCGUUCGGGGCUCAAACGGACUCCAAAUCGAGAUCCGCGAAAUCCUACGCGCUCGUGACAACACGAGGAUCACAAAACUACACAGAGUCACUUCACCACCCUCUCCCACGCGCCGCCACACGAGCGGGCAGAUUGGGUGUCCAAAGCGAUUAUGGGUUUCCGGAAAAACUCGAAACCAAGACUCCAAACUCCUAUCCUAGGUAAAACACCCCAUUUGGAGUCACUUUUGUUCUUGGGCAUACCCCAAAAAGUGACCGGAAAUGGCCGAUCACGGCGGCCGAAAUUUCGGCCGAUUUUCAAGUUGAAAAUCGAACGUUCUAGAGCCAAAAUCGAUCAAAACCCAUACAUCCAUCAGUUAGAACACGAAACAUAGAUGAGAAACCAUACCUUACUCGAUCGAUUUGGUGGAGAAUUGAGGGAGAACGAGGAGCUCAAAUUUCGAACUGGAAAAUCGGCAAAAAUGGCAGAUUUCGGCCAGUUACGGGCUUCCCCAGGUCGGCGGCGGGUCGGGGAAGAACGGCGAGGAUGUCACGGUCCCGAAGGUACCCACGGCGGAGAUCAAGCCGGCCUGUGGUGGCCGGGGUGUCGAUGAGAAGAGGCGGAGGUCGGGGGAGAAUCGCGCGGGAGGAGAGAGAGGAGAGAGAGAAAACUGACGGGGGAGGAGAGAGAGAAGAGACAAAAAUCUGACUUUUUCACAAAUUACCGUUUUGCCCUUCUCUGUAUUUUGAUCGUAUUUUCUUCGUUACAACUCCGAUUCGAGUCUACUCCGUGUCUACGGACUCGUUUUGCCGUGCUCUACGCAACGACGCAAGCGGAAUUACCAAAUUCUUUCUCGAUCAAAAAGUCAACUUUUUCCCUAUUAAAUAAUGCGAGGGCAAAAUUGUCUUUUUGCUAGAAGAUAUUAAUCCUACUUUUUAGAUAUUUUGUUACUUUUUAGAUAUUUUAUUUUGGGUUAUUAUAUUAUAUUUAUAUAUAUUAUAUAUGUAUAUAUGUGUAUAUAUAUAUAUACUUGUAUAUGUGUAUAUACAUGUAUAUAUGUAUAUUAUAGUAUAUGUGUAUGUAAUAAUAAUAAUAAUAGUAAUAUAUGUUAUUAGUAUUACAAUAUAAUAUAUGGAUCUCAUACAUUGGUAAACAUAGGACUAGCUAAUCCUCCCUUUCUACAUGGGAUUAGUAGUCCCCUCCUAAGGAGAUGUUUUUGGUGGGCCCGGUAUUAGCAAUCCCAUCUAAGACUAGAAUUAAAUGAAACAAACAUGGUACUAAAUUUAGUCCAAGCCAGUCCAAGUCAAGCCUGUGUACCAAACGACCCCUAAGAGAUUUGUGGUCACUCACCGUUGGAUGUAAAUUCAACGGUUCACUCACUCUUGCACUCCUUUUUAAAAACUUUUUUGAACCAUUGGAUUAAUAUCCAACGGUGGGUGACCACAAUCUCUUGGACUCCUGUGGUCCAAGAGAUCGGGACUUUAUAUAUAUAUAUAUACAUAUAUACAUAUAUAAUAUAUAUAUAAACAGUCCCCUUCUAUUGAGGGAUCCCUCAAAUAAUUUUAUUUGAGGGACGCCUUUUAGGGUACCCUACAAUUUUUUUCCCAAUGAUCCAAACCAUCUAUUUUUUAGGUCUUCAUUCAUAGAUCAUCCUUACAAAAAAUUAGACAAAUCGGAAACCAUUUCGACAUCCAAUUGUGUCUUACAAAAUCAAUGAACACGGUGCUUCAAGAAAAUGCUAAAAUUUCAAUAACUUCAUUGAGUGGUCAAAUGAUAUCGGAUUCAAGUGAGUUUUUGUAGAGAUGAUCUUUGAAUGAGUAUCUACAAAAUAGAAGGUUUGGAUUAGUGAAAUACAAUCCAGAGUGGGGCCUACAAGGGGUAUCCCUCAAAUAAGCUUAUUUGAGGGAUCCCUCAAUGGAAGCUCUCUGUAUAUAUAAAUACAUAUAGAUAUAUACACAUAUAUUAUUAUUAUAAUAUACUCAUAUACACAUACAUAUUAAUAUUGUAAUAAUAGCAUACAUGUAUACAUGUAUAUAUGUAAUAUAUAUUAUAUUAUAUAUUAAUGUACAUAUAUACACAUAUAUACAUGUAUAUAUAUAAACACACAGUCCUGAUCUCUUGGACCACAGGAGUCCAAGAGAUUGUGGUCACUCACCGUUGGAUAUUAAUCUAAUGGUUCAAAAAAGUUUCGUAAAAGGAGUUCAAGAUUGAGUGAACCGUUGAAUUUACAUCCAACGGUGAGUGACCACAAAUCUCUUGGACUCCUGUGGUCCAAGAGAUCGGGACUGUAUAAACACAUAUAUACAUAUAUAAUAUAUAAAUACAUAUAGAUAUAUACACGUAUAUUAUUAUUAUAAUAUACCCAUAUACACAUGCAUAUUAAUAUUAUAAUAAUAGCAUACAUGUAUAUAUGUAAUAUAUAUUAUUAUUAUAAUACAUAUAUAUAAGUAUAUAUACAUAUAUGUGUAUAUAUUAUACCCAUGUAUGUAUUAUAAUAUACAUAUACACAUGUAUAUACACAUAUACAUUAUAUAUUUAUACUAUAUGUAUAUAUAUUAUAAUAUACAUAUAUACACGUAUAUACAUGUAUAUUAUUAUUAUAACAUACCCAUAUAUAUUAUCUAUUAUAAUAUACAUAUGUAUAUGUAUAUAUAUUAUACCCAUGUAUAUAUUAUAAUAUAUAGAUACACCUAUAUACACAUAUAUUAUAUACAUGUAUAUACGUAUAUAUAUGUAUAUUAUAAUAUAUAAUAUAUAUACAUAUAUUAUAUAUACAUAUGUAUUUUAUAAUAUAUAUAAUAUACAGUCCCAAUCUCUUGGACCACAGGAGUCCAAAAGAAUGUGGUCACUCACCGUUGGAUGUAAAUUCAACGGUUCACUCACUUUUGCACUUCUUUUAAAAAACUUUUUUGAACCAUUGGAUGUUACAUCCAACGACGAGUGACCAUAAUCUCUUGGACUCCUGUGGUCCAAGAGAUCGGAGCUGAUAUAAUAUAUAUGUAUAUAUACAUACAUAUAUAAUAUACAUAUAUACACGUAUAUACAUGUAUAUUAUUAUUAUUAUUAUUAUAACAUACCCAUAUAUAUUAUAUAUUAUAAUAUACAUACAUAUAUAUAAAUAUAUGUAUAUGUAUUAUACCCAUGUAUAUUAUAAUAUACAUAUAUACACCUAUAUACACUUAUAUAUAUGUAUGUACGUUUAUAUUAUUUAAAAUAUAUAAUAUUAUUAUAAUACACUUAUAUACAUGUAUAUACACAUAUAUUAUAUAUAUUAUAAAAUACAUAUAUACAUAUAUAUAGAUAUUUUUGAAAAAAUAAAAAAAUUAUAGUCCUAGUCCAAGCAUACACCAAACGCAGGAUAAGUGUUAUCCAACUUUACACAGUGAGGAACCUCUAGAGAAUCCCAGAUCGGCCAUCGGAGAUCGUGGACCCCACGGGGUUCCGGAUCAGCCGGUCUAACAGUUUAUCGCUUGGUAAGGUUUCCGGUCUUUUAAGGCCAUUCUAAUUAUCUGAAAUGCUACAGUGGGCAUAGAGUUGACUUUACAAUGAGAGCACGCAUUUCUAGGAGCCGGGGGUCAGGGUAUUUAAUUUAAUGUUUUUAUUGAGCAGUUUAGUAAUUGAAUAUUCAUGGUUAAACAGGCAUCAGAGGCCAAACUGAACCACAGGAGGGACCUUCAAGAGGUCCAGCUAGCUCGGACCAGCUGUGAGUGGACCUUUCUUUUUUUUAUAUGACUUUCUGAAUCAGUUUUAUUCAGUGUGAUUUAUUCCUAUGAAAUUAAAGAUUCCUUCUAUACAUUGCUUAGCUGAUUUUGCUAAAGUUAUUUGGACAACAGACCUUGAGAUUUAUGAUUCAGAAAUAUCUAGCUCAGAUUUUAUCAGAAUACAGAGGAUGUCAGAUUUUAUCCAAGAUAAUUAUUUUAGACCACCAUGAAUUAUAGAAAGCAGAGUUUGAGUUUUCUAUCAGAUAAAAAGGGCAGCACAGUUAUAGAUUGAAUAAAGAUUCAGUUAUUCAUCAGAUCUUUCAGAAAUAGUUAAUAUUUUCUUAAACCACUGUGGGUACCCGGUUACAGAAACAGGUUGCCGUCAAAUAAGACGAUGUCUACGGACAUCCAGAUUGCCUUCGGGUUAUGUUGCCUUCGGAUAUGAUGAUGUCUACAGACAUCCAGUUUACUUUCAGUUACGUCAGUGCACUUGACAUUUGCCUCACGAGUUUUGGGGACGCCCGGACCGUGAGUGCCAGGAUUGCGGAUCAGGCUGACUACGGUCUCCUGAAUCCUGCCAGUUUGCGGUUCGGAUACACUAUGUGUCGCCGAGACCUGCCAGGGGAAUUGACGGAUUUACAGAGGAUUUGACAGUUUUACAGGGGUACACCUAGGUGGUAGUUUUAAAGAAAUUUCAGUGCUUUUAUGCAAAUAUUGAUUUCAGUGAUUUUACUCAAUAUUUCCUUGGUAUUGAGCAUAUCCUACAUCUGGAUAUAUAUAUAGAUGUAUAUAUUUAUGUGAAUGCUUGAAUUUACCCUAAUUCAGUGCAGUUUACAUAUUCAGUUUUAUGAUUAUCAUUGUUUUUUUACAGUGGGGGUUAUUAUGUUCAUACACUGUUUGAGAACUCUAUUUUGGUCCACUCACACUUUUAAUGUUUUGCGCCCCCCAGGCCGUAGAAGUACGAAGGAAACCACUCGGGCCAUCAUCCUAGCUUCCGACCCACCACCAAAGUGUAGGAGUUCGUUGUAACUCUUUGUAAAUCCUGUAAAUUUGUAUAGAAAUGCUCUGAGAUCUUGUUGAACAUAAGGAACUGGUAGGAUUUUUGAGACUGUUUGACAGGUGGAAGACUUUGUGUUUGGUCAAAAUACAGGGUAGACUCUGCCGGAUUUUUCGGCAGAAGUCGAAAGUAAAUUUUAAGAAAUUUGUAUAAGAAAAGGGUAAAAAGGUCAUUCGUGCCCGGCAUUCGCCAGGUGUCGGACACGCACAGGAUUCGGCUCGGAUUCCAAAGCGGAAAUUGGGUCGGGUCCUGUCAAAUUAAAUAUGUCAAAUCUAAUUGCAUAAGUGGAAUGCACAAAAACAAGUUGAGAAAAAUUAAACAUACUCCCAACACUCAAUUAAAUUGUCAAGGAUUUACUUACUUAGCAUGCACUUGAAUUAAUGGAACAUAAAAACAAAAUUAUGCAUACUCAACAAACUUGAAAUGCAAUUGGAUUUAAAAAUAUCCAAUUGGCAGACUGAAAGCAGGUAAUUGAAUAUGUGAAAUCUAAUUGCUUAAGUGGAAUGCACAAAACAAGUUGAGAAAAACUAAACAUAAUACCAACAAUCAAUCAAAUUGCCAAGGAUUUACUUAGCACGCAGUUGGAUUAAUUGAACGUUAAAAGCAAAAUGAUGCUUACAAAACAAAACAUAAAAACAAAAACUAAUUAAAUGAGCUGACAAUUAUUACCAAUAUCUACCCUGUAAGAUAAAUGGUCAGUAAUUUUGACAUGUACCACGGGAUCGAAUUCGCUGUGGUUCUUGUGUAUGUAUCUUCUCACCCAGAACAAUGGGUGAUCUGCAUGGCAUUUGUGUUUUGGUCGGGAACCGUGCCCUUGCUUAGUGGUUACAAUAGAACUGAUGCUGUUUCCCUUUGCUUUUGAGGGGGCACCCCAGUAGUCGUCUUACCCUUGCGUUUGCAACGUGCUUGGGAAGUUGCCUUGUUAGCCAAGUGCUCCCUCCCCAUACCCUCCUGUGUUUAACCCAUUAUUUUAAUUAAGCAAAAAUAUAUUUAUAUAUAUAUAUAACAACAAUUAUAUUAAGAAAAACUAAAGACACACAUAAAUACUUUAACCAAUUAAUAAAAUAAGUAAAAUCUAACCAAAAUAACAAAAACCUCAACCUAUUAACAAAAUAGGCAAUAUGUAAAAAAUAAAAACAAAACAAAAUAGGCUUGUGAAACUCAUCAUGUAGAAUAUAUAAUUUAUAUUCAACAUAAAUAACUCACUCCGUUUUAGAAAAUAAUGUCAAAACAUCAUGCAAUAGAUUUCUUGGGUAAACGUAAGGAAAUAUCAACAACUCCGAGCGAGACCUAUACCAACACGUUCAGACUAACAAGAGGAACAAUUUCCUGCCGCCGGCUGAAAGCUUAUGAGCAAAGCCACACUCACUUGGUUAGUUGAGUUGUGGGAUAUCAUUGAUUUAUAUAAAACUCAGUACAGCACAUAUAAACAAAAGGAGACAAAGAGUCCCUAAGACAAGGAAACAAAGUCCAGGAAACAUGAGUCUGGACUAUCAGGUCCAUCACCUAGGUAACAUUAACUCUAGGUAUUGGGGAAUCACAACCCCGCAAGCUGACAGGGCGAGUAAGCACAUGAAACUUGGAAACUAAACACAAAAAUUCAAAUAGAAGUAAAGAUAGAGAUAUCAAAGGGUGGAGGAUGACACUUAUCUAACACAACUGGCAAAUCCGACGAUACACUUGAGUCAAGAUUUGAAGAACAAACUGGUAGUCCAAAGUAGGAAGGCAACAAUCCAUCAGCACUGCGAACACAACAUACUGGCGAAGGUGGCAACAUACAGCUGUUGUAGUGGAGUAAAGAAACCCAUUGAGCAUAACAUGCUGGUGAAGAUGGCAGCAAACGGCUAUACCAUGAAGAAAAAGCCUCGGAGGAGGACAAGAUAUGUGAAAAGCCUAAAAGGAGGAUGACAACAUACAGCUGUACCAUGAAAAAAAAAAAAAAAACAAAAAGGCCUCAAAGGAGGACGAUAUAUAAGGGGAAGAAACCCAACAAGUCACGAACAUGCGGUUAAGCAUGGAAAAGAGGAUAUGCGAUUAAGCAUGAGGAAGAAAGAGAACAUGCGAUUGAGUAUGGAAAAAAAUAAGAGCAUGUGAUUGAGCAUGGAAGAGGCAUCAGGUGUAAAGCGGAAAAAUAUGACAAAGAAAAGAAAAAGGGCCGUCAGGCAAAUAAGAAAAAGAAGAAAGCGGUUGCUUGCUGUGCAACAACAACAUGAAGAGAGAAUGUGUAGCUGCCUGUGGGAGGAAGAUAAUAAAAGAAAGGAAAAAGGGAUCAGAAAAGGAGCGUAGUGCCAGAGGAGCACAUGAGAGAGAACACAAAGUGCUGAGAAAAGAAAGCAUAAAAUAAAAAAGGGAGUAGGAAUAAGGAAAUGGAAGUGGCCACGAGGCAAAGAGAAUAAAAAGGGCUGAGGAGAUAGCCAAUGACCUGGCAAAGGCAAAGGUUAGACUAUAAAAUCAAUAAAGAAAAGAAGUGAAUACCCCAGUAACAUACCAGAGGAGAGGGGGAAAGACAUCCAGCAAGUGGGCAACAGAAGAAAAAAAAACAAACAGAGAGAGCUUGUCACAAAGGAAAGGGGAAAAAAAAAAAAAAAAAGGCGAGCUGUUAAGCAUGGGAAAGGGAGCAUGUUGCAAAUUUUAAAAUGAGUGGAAGAAAAGAAGUGGCUCCGAAAAAGAAGAAUAAAGAAAAGUGGUGUCACGGGUGUACAGAGACCAGAAAAGAAAGAGGAAAAAAAAAAAUUGAGAGAAGAAACCGGGAGGUCAGCUCAUAGGAAAAAUAGAAAGAAAAGAAAGGAAAACCACUGUCCCAUAGCAAACAGGGAAGAGAAACCCAAAUGAAAGAAACUCAAACACAGAGAAGAGCUCAUACAAAGAGAGGGGUUGGAAAGAGAGAUAUUUGAAAGGAGAGUUCGUUAGAGAGCAAAGAGAGAAACAGAGAGGUUGCUCAAAACGUAGAAAUGGGGGGGCUGCUUGGUGUUAGCAGAGAUAAGUGGCCAAUCGAGCCAAAAGAAGGAUAGAUGGCGGCUGUGCAAGGCAACAGCAGCAGUGUAGCUCGGCAGGGACAAAGACAAACGCCUGCUGGAGAAGGCUCGGCGACCGGUGACAAGGCUCGCGGUGGAAAGCGACGGCUCGGUGAGCGGUGACGAAGCUCACAGAGGAAAGAGAUCAUAGUGAUCAACGGACGUACUAUCCCUAGGAAACAGAUCAGGCCAUCAUGGCCAAGGGACUUAUUGCCCAUACAGAUAAAAGAGAUGAAAUUUAACAUAAACAAGGUAAUGACAUUUUUUUUUUCAAAAAUACUGGAAGGGAAAGAAAAUGAGGAAAAAUGCAGUGAUAAAAGAAGCUGCGUAAACGGCUAAGGUAGAAAGAAAAAUAUGUUGAUUAUAGAGGAGAGGAGAAACAAACACCCAUUACGGGUGAGGAGUGCCAAUGACUCUCAAUGUUGGCAGAGAAGGGAUUGCUAGUUGGCGUUAGCCAGAGGCUCUGAUACCAUGAAAGAUUAUGAGCAAAGCCACAUUCACUUGGUGUUAGAAAAAUAAUCAGUAAAUGUUGUAUGCUAUAGGAUCACUAUAUUAUUGCACAAUUCUUAAAAUAUAAACAGUAGCAAAAUUAUGAAAUCUGUAUAAAUGUGCAAAUAUAUAAAUUAAGUACAGAAUACUGACUUUUAUUGAAGAUAGAGGCUUGCGUAUUUGCAAUGUCCUAAAGACAGAAUUUCGCCUCUUCUCAGUGCUUGAAGUUCAACAGGCGUCUAUCUCCCAGGAUUCAACUAUCUAUAAUUCAAGGGUCCAGCACGGGAUCCUUGAAUUCUGGCGAACGUUGGUGUGCUUCUCUCCAAUACAGUUGGUAACUUUAAAAUAAUAUGAGAUAGUUUUUUUUAAAGAAAAAGAGAUUCGUCUUAUGGCCUAGGACUUGUGGUUUUAUAAUAGAAUUACACCCCUUCAAAAUAGCAGUUAGUAUCCGUUAUACCUGUUCAAAUUCAAACAAAAAGAUAAGUCUUUCUGGUUUGAAUUUAACUUCUGCCAAAGAAAUCCGAAAAAUAAAAAAUAAUUAUUUUAUUUUCGGGCUAGGUAUAUUUCUUUUAUUUUCCAGAGACCCCAAGAGCCCCAAGGCCCAAGGCCCAAGUCUUGAUUAUUUAAAUAUUUAUAUUAAUCAAGCAAGUCAACCAUGAUAGUCUUCACUACCAAGCCCAUCAGCCCACCAAUCCUUAUUUAAUUGAUGUUAAGGUUUCAUGCUUAUAAAGCAUAUGGAAUUUUUUUGUUUUCUCCAAUGUGGGACAUUUGCUUUCAAACUUCCAACAAUACCCCACAUUUGAAAUGCAAAUUUGUUUUUGAAAAUAAAACAUGCAAACUCAAAAACUGGAGAAGAAAUUAGAUAAAAUACACAUCAGGAAAAGUGUCUUUUGGACUUGAACUUUCCCUAGUGUAGACGUAUCGGAUCUACUUAAUGAAUCAGUGGAAAUCAUAGCCUUGAACUGUUCAUUGUUUUGUAGUAAACCGAAACAACACGCCACACAUGUAUUAAAUCUUUACACACUUAAGUUCAUGCGGUUGUAUUCAUUUUGGUCUUGAACAAAUCCCGGUCUCAUAGGAGCUUUAGAGAAUGUAGUCAUGUAAUUCUCAUAAAUGCGACCCCACAUUUACUCCUAUAUAGGUAACGUUAAUUAAAAGUAUUCUGCCAUACUUCUUUUGAAUAUCAAAAUAUUAACGUCAUUAAAUGUUUUGUAUAAAACAUACCCUAAAAACUUCUGCAGACAACACACUUUGAUCAUAGGAAUGAGUAAAUAGUGUGUUCAUACCUUGAGCCAUUCCCAACCAGUUUGCCUAUUGAACCUAGACCAUGGGAUCUCCAAUCAGCUAGGUUAGGGUUCCAUUAGGUUAGCUCAUUAUGAAAUUGACAUUAAACCCAUUCCCCUCGACGCAUAUUUAAUUUGCUCUCUAGGUAGGCCUUUUGUCAAAGGAUCAGCUAUGUUUUCCUUUGACUUUACAUAAUCUAAUGAGAUUAUUCCAUCUUUGAGCAACUGUCUAAUUGUGCUAUGUCUUCGCCUUAUAUGCCUUGAUGUGCCAUUGUAUAUCUUAUUUUUGGCUCUUGCAAUAGCUGCCAUAUUAUCAUAAUGAAUACAUACUGCAGUUAUUGGUUUAGGCAAUAACGGUAUAUCUUCCAUAAAGUUUCGAAGCCAUUCUGCUUCUUCAGCAGCCUUGUCCAAAGCUAUGAAUUCUGAUUCCAUAGUUGACCGUGCUAUACACGUUUGCUUGGUUGACUUCCAAGCUACUGCUGCCCCUCCACAUACAAAAACAUAGCCACUAGUGGAUUUCGUUUCACUUUCACCAGAAAUCCAGUUUGCAUCACUAUAUCCUUCUAAAACUGGUGGGUAACUUGUGUAAUGCAAUCCAUAAUUUAUUGUGCCUUUAAUAAAUUGUAGCACUCUAAUCAAAGCCUUCCAAUGAUCAUCAGAUGGAUUACUAGUAUAUCGACUAAGCCUGCUCACUGCAUAAGCUAAAUCAGGCCUUGUACUAUUCAUCAUAUACAUUAAGCUUCCAAUCACUUGUGAAUAUUCUAGCUGAGAUACUGCAUAUCCAUUAUUUUUAGCUAGAUGAACUGAUGGAUCAAAAGGGGUCACAACGGAUGGAUCAUCAAAGUGACCAAAUUUUCUAAGUAUUUUUUCUGCAUAAUGGGACUGAGUCAAAAAAUAACCUUGUUUGGUUCUUUGAACUCUAAUUCCAAGUAUGAUAUCUGCAAGUCCCAGGUCCUUCAUAUCAAAACUUGAACACAACAUUUUCUUUGUAGAAUUAAUGAUAUCUUUGCUAGUACCCAUUAUGAGCAUGUCAUCAACAUAUAAACAUACUAUGACACAUGAGUUCUUGAAACUCUUUACAUAUACGCAUUUGUCACUCUCAUUGAUCUUAAAACCAUUUGACAGCAUAACGUGAUCAAAUUUUUCAUGCCACAUUUUUGGUGCUUGUUUAAGUCCAUACAAUGACUUAAUUAAUUUGCACACUUUCUUUUCUUGUCCUUUAACCACAAACCCUUCUGGUUGUUCCAUAUAGACUUCUUCAUCUAAUUCUCCAUUCAAAAAGGCAGUUUUAACAUCCAUUUGAUGUAUCUCCAAUUUAUGUAUGGCUGCUAUGGAAAUUAAUAUUCUUAUAGAUGAGAUUCUUGAUACAGGUGAAUAUGUAUCAAAGUAAUCCAGCCCUUCUUUUUGUCUAUAGCCUUUUGCUACUAGACGUGCCUUAUAUUUGUCUAUAGAACCAUCAGCCUUCAAUUUCUUUUUGAAUAUCCAUUUAUGACCAAUUGGUUUAUUACCAGGUGGUAAAUCAACCAAUUGCCAGGUAUUAUUUUGUAAAAUGGAAUCCAUCUCACUUUUAAUUGCUUCCUUCCAAAAAGUAGCCUCACUUGAAGUCAUCGCUUCCUUGUAUGUUUGUGGUUCAGCUUCUGACAAGAAGGUGAGAAAAUCAGGUCCAAAAUUUCUUGGGAUUUUCGUUCUACUUCCUCUUCUUGGUUCCAUUUCAUUCUCAUGAACCCCUGAUGAAGAAGGAAUGUCACUUUGAGUUGGUUCAAGUGAUCUUUUUCUAGUUGGACAGGACCUAUUUUCUUUGUAGGGAUAAAUAUGUUCAAAAAAUUCUGCAUCUACAGAUUCUAUGAUAGUAUUAACAUGAAUAUCAGGAAUUUCUGAUUUAACCACUAAGAACCUAUAGGCUGCACUAUUAUUUGCAAAACCAAUGAAUGCACAAUCUACUGUUUUUGGUCCAAGUUUAACUCGUUUUGGCAAGGGUACUUGAACUUUUGCAAGGCAACCCCACACUUUGAGGGUUUUAUAUGUAGGAAUUCUACCUUUCCACACUUCAUAAGGAGGCUUAUUAGUCUUCUUAUGUGGAAUUUUGUUCAAGAUUGUAUUUGCAGUAAAUAAGGCUUCACCCCACAGAUUGUGUGGAAGCCCUGAACUAUUCAACAUGGAGUUGAUCAUGUCCUUGAAAGUUCGAUUUUUUCUUUCAGCAACACCAUUUUGUUGAGGUGUAUAUGGAGCCGUUGUUUGAUGAACUAUUCCAUGUUGAGCACAAAAUUCAGAGAAGGCUAUAGACUCAUACUCUCCUCCUCUAUCAGAUCUUAGAGCUUUAAUUUUUCUCUCUAAUUGAUUUUCAACUUCAGCUUUAUAUGUCUUGAACAUAUUCAAAGCCUCAUCCUUGCUAUUUAUCAUAUAGCCAUAGCAAAAUUUACUGCAAUCAUCAAUGAAAGUAAUAUAAUAAUUCUUUCCUCCACGAGUUGGUGUUGAUUUAAAAUCACAAAGAUCUGAAUGAAUCAAACCCAGCAACUCAUUAGAUCUUCCAAAAACAGAUUUGAAACUUUGCCUUGCAAAUUUUGAUUCUGUGCAUAUUUCACAUUUAUUGUUGUGAUCAAUUUUAAAGUUUGGCAGCAACCUUAAAUUGAUCAUUCUAUCUAAACAACGGAAAUUAACAUGUCCUAAUCUAGCAUGCCAAAUAUCACAAGACUCAACAAUAUAAACAGAAGCCUUAUUUAUUUUAUUAAUAGCAUUUGUAGCCAAUACAUUAAGUUUGAACAAACCCUCAGCCAAAUAACCCUUUCCCACAAACAUUCCCCCUUUAGUGAGAACAAACUUGUCUGAUUCGAAUACUAGUUUAAAGCCCUUAUUACUGAGCAAUGGACCAGACACUAAGUUCUUCCUAAUAUCAGGGACAUGAAGUACAUCUAGAAGGGCUAGUUCCUUCCCAGAGGUAAAUUUCAGCAGCACCUUUCCUUUUCCAGCAAUGGCAGCAGUUGAGGAAUUUCCCAUAUAGAGUUGUUCUCCACCAGAAAUUUCUUGGUAUGUAGAGAACAUGCUCUUGUCGCCACAUAUGUGCUUGGUUGCACCAGUAUCAAUCCACCAAUCUUUUGUAUCUAAAACCAUAUUCGUUUCAGACACGACAGCAGCCAAAACAUCUUCAGUUACAUUUGCUUGAUUAUUGGCAGACUUGGCAGAAACUCCAUCUUUCUUGUGGCGACAAUCUUGUGCCUUGUGUCCAGCUUUUCCACACACCCAGCAACUCCCUUUUAUUUUCUUAAAAUUCUUGCUGUUUGGUGCUAUUUUGAAAUAGGACUUGCCUUUAAUUUUCUGGGAAUUGUAUUUUGGCUUUCCAGCAGAGACUUUGCCUUCAACAAUGUUGACUUUGGCUUCAGAGGAAGCACCAUCCACUUUCGCAAUAAUUCUGUGAUCCUGUUCAACUCUUAGUUUCAGAACCAAAUCAUCCAGGGUCAUGUCAGAUUUCUUGUGCUUCAGAUAGAUCUUGAAAUCAUUCCAGGAAGGAGGCAACUUCUCUAUGAUCGAACCCACUUGAAAGUUCUCGUUCAUGAUCAUGUUUUCAUUAUGCAGUUUAUGCAUAAUGAUCUGGAGUUCUUCCACUUGAUUAACCACUGACUUGGAGUCUAUCAUUUUGUAAUUCAGAAAUUUCCCAAUGACAAAUUUCUUUGUACCAGCAACCUCUGUUCUGUACUUCUUUUCGAGAGACUCCCACAAUUCCUUGGCAGUCUUGUAUGAAGAAUAAACAUCAUACAAGGUAUCAUCCAACGAACUGAGAAUAUAAUUCCUGCAGAGAAACUCAGAAUGUUUCCAAGCAUCAAUAGCAUUUAAUUUGGCUGCAGGUAUCGGAUUCUCUGUUGCCACAGGAACUUCCUCUUUGACUACAUGAGCCAAAUUCAGUGUUGUCAAGUAAAACAGCAUUUUCUGUUGCCAGCGUUUGAAAUCCACCCCUUUGAACUUCUCUGGUUCCUUAACAUGAGUUUUGACGCCGCUGACAUUGACUAUAUCAGUCAUCUUCACGCCACUUAUAGAUUCUUCCAUUAAAGAAUUCUGUCUUUAGAUUGUUAGAAAAAUAAUCAGUAAAUGUUGUAUGCUAUAGGAUCACUAUAUUAUUGCACAAUUCUUAAAAUAUAAACAGUAGCAAAAUUAUGAAAUCUGUAUAAAUGUGCAAAUAUAUAAAUUAAGUACAGAAUACUGACUUUUAUUGAAGAUAGAGGCUUGCGUAUUUGCAAUGUCCUAAAGACAGAAUUUCGCCUCUUCUCAGUGCUUGAAGUUCAACAGGCGUCUAUCUCCCAGGAUUCAACUAUCUAUAAUUCAAGGGUCCAGCACCGGAUCCUUGAAUUCUGGCGAACGUUGGUGUGCUUCUCUCCAAUACAGUUGGUAACUUUAAAAUAAUAUGAGAUAGUUUUUUUUAAAGAAAAAGAGAUUCGUCUUAUGGCCUAGGACUUGUGGUACUUCUGCCAAAGAAAUCCGAAAAAUAAAAAAUAAUUAUUUUAUUUUCGGGCUAGGUAUAUUUCUUUUAUUUUCCAGAGACCCCAAGAGCCCCAAGGCCCGAGGCCCAAGUCUUGAUUAUUUAAAUAUUUAUAUUAAUCAAGCAAGCCAACCAUGAUAGUCUUCACUACCAAGCCCAUCAGCCCACCAAUCCUUAUUUAAUUGAUGUUAAGGUUUCAUGCUUAUAAAGCAUAUGGAAUUUUUUUGUUUUCUCCAAUGUGGGACAUUUGCUUUCAAACUUCCAACACUUGGUUAGUUGAGUUGUGGGAUAUCAUUGAUUAAUAUAAUACUGAGUACAACACAUACAAACAAAAGGAGACAAAGAGUCCCUAAUACAAGGAAACAAAGUCCAGGAAACAUGACGCCAUCACCUAGGUAACAUAACUCUAGGUAUUGGGGAAUCUCAACCCUACGGUCUUUCACCGGCAAUGUUGGGUGUCUUGAGAAAUUUCCGACGACGGAAAAAUUAUCAAAACUAUAGUCAAGACCUACACCAACAUGAUCAAUUUUUUUUCUCACCGGAAAAAUUAUCAGAACUCUAAUCAAGAUAUAUACCAACAUGAUCAGACUAACAAGGGAAACAAUUUUUUAUCUCGGACCCCGGCUAAAAAGUGGCCGGAGCAACCCCGAACACGGCCCAAACCGCCGGCCAAACUUGGGUGUUUUGGUUGCCUUCUAAAACUCCAAAAUCAAUCCAAACCACUUACAUAAACACCUAGAUCACGGAAAAAUGAUGAAGAACCAUACCUCACUCGACGGAAACGGUAGCCGGAAUCGCCGGAAAAGCUCAAAAAAUUGCCGGCCAAAAUUUGGAAAAAUCGGAGAAUUCCUGAAGGUGGCGCGUUCAACUGAUGCACGACGGAGUCAAUUAGUGGCCGGGAAAUCGAACAGUCACUGUAUAGUGACUGUUGCAAAAGAAACGCGAGAGAGAAGAAAUCGCGGGGAAGAAGAAGAAGAAGAAAAGGGGAGAAAAAGAAAAGGCUCGGUACUGUAGCGGGUACUGUACCACCAGAAAAUUUAUCUUCAAAAUUCCCAUUACGUCCUUUCUGUUUCUAGACAUUUUCUCCACCGUUACAACUCGAAAUUGGAUGUGUCGCCUGUCUACAGACUUGUAUCGUCGAGCUCUACAAAACAGCAUUACUCAAAUUUCCAAAAUCUUUCUGGAAUAAAAAGUAACAAAAAUACCCUUACCAAGUUGCAAAAUUGAAAUUUUACAAAUAAAUAAUCAAUUGAAUAAUAUUUUUUUGGACCGGGUGUUACAUGUUCUCUUUCCAUGCUAUGACAUAUGAUACUUUAUUUUAGGAAUGUCCUUAUUCAGAAUUUCUCAACAUAGUAUUUUUAUAGCCAUAUAUAUGCAUGACACUAUUGUUAAACUAAAGUAAAACUUAGCAUGUACACGAAAUUAAAGCAUUAAGUUGAACUAUAGGAAAAACAACUAACAUAAGAUCCUAUUUUUUAUAAACAUCAAUCAAAAUUUAUUAUAAAUACUAAAUUUCUAAGCUUUCUAAUGUACGUUGUCUUAAAAAUUAUAAAUAAAUAACAUAUGCAUACCUAUAAUUUCUUUAAAAUGGAAAACUUAUACGUCAUUUAAGUUUAACUUAGUAAGUAGUACCAAAAAAAAAAAAAAAAAGUUAAGCACAUAUAACACAAACUAACUCUUGCUUAAUGGUAUUCAUAUAUCCAAUGUUAAAAAAUAGCCAAACUUUGAAGCCCUUUGUUAAUCAAAAGAAAGUAAACGUACAUAAUAUAAUAUCAUGUAAUCAUAUUAAUAACAACAAGAAGCUUAGAUUUCGGUAAAUCUAAAAAAAAAUGGUGGAAAAUUGUAGCGUUAAACUUUUUAUGAGAGCAAAUACAUGUCAUCGGUAAUAGACAAUCAUUUUCGAUAGCAAUUAUGACCCCUUGCAAAUAUACAUCAUCUUGCGAGAACUAAUGAUUGCCCUCGAAAGUACAUAUACCACCUGAAGCCAACUAAUUACGCUCGAUAAAAGAAAAAUUAAUUUCAACGACCACUUGUUGCCUUCGGAAAUAGCCUAUAACUUUCAACAACGUGAAGAUGCCGUCGGAAAAAACACAACUAUUUCCCAUGCGCAUGAGAUUUGUUGGAAAUAAAUGUGGCGUCAAUAUUUCCGGCCAAAUAUUAGCUAUUUCCGAGAGCGACAAAUAAAUGUGUAAAUGUGUCGGAAAUAGUAAGCAUGUCGUUGCCAAUGAAAGCGACAAACAAACAAUAUGUAAUUCUCAUUUGAUGUUGCAAAAUUAUACCAACAAACAGACCUCUGUCAUUUGAUUUUUCUUAUUUUCCAUGUAUCUUCAUAAUUAAGUACCUAAGCUAAAGAUUAAAAUAAAAUAAAAACAAUGGAAUUUAUUGCAUCUAAUCAUUCUAAUCAUGCAAAAACUAAGCUUGAAAGGACCCGACUCGAAUUUCCCGAAACCCGUGGCGAAUCCUGUGGAAUUCCCGACAUCACCCCGAUGCCGGGCCCACUUACUAAAGACCGAGACUUUCUGCCGAAAUUUUGACAGAGUCUCCCCUAUAAAUUGGACAUUUCCCAAAAGUUUAACCUGCAUUAAAACACAUUUAAUAUUCCCAACGGGCAGCAUGCACAAAAUAAUUUCAUGCAAUUCACAUAAACGGUCUUCGGCCUUCCAAUAAUUUUCAACAAACUACCAAGCACACUAACAAAUCAAUUCAUGCCUUAAACAAGGCAAACGAUAAAUUCAAAUAUGCAUUAUGACUACUAAAUUUCAACAUGCAUCAUUUAACUUUUUCGAUUUUAACAUACGAGGUUUUAACCUCCUAACACAAUCACAUCUAUGUUCGUGGCUGCACCUAAUAACCUUAGGCUGCCUACGUACCUUCACUGAGGGAUCAAGCCACAUGUAGUUCUUCCCACUAAAACCCGAUUCCAAACAUAUACAAUUCAUUCAUUCAUCUCUCUGUUAUUCACAAUAUCUCCCCAUACGCCGGUACUACCAACGCCACGUAUGGGGUCUGUCAACACGCCGGAUAACCUACGCCACGUGCGACCUCACCAUAUUAUCACAUAAUCUCCCCAUAAGCCGGUACUACCAAUGCCACGUAUGGGGCCUGUCAACACGCCGGAUAACCUACGCCACGUGCAAGCUCAACAUACUAUCACAAUAUCUCCCCAUACGCUGGUACAACCUACACCACGUAUGGGGUCUGUCUCAACGCCGGAUAACCUAUGCCAUGCGAGACCUGAACAUCAUAUCACAAUGUCUCCUCAUACGCCGGUACAACCAAUGCCACGUAUGGGGUCUGUCGACAUGCCGGAUAACCUACGCCACGUGCGACCUCAACAUAUUAUCACGUAAUCUCCCCAUACGCCGAUACUACCAAUGCCACGUAUGAGGCCUGUCCGCACGCCGAAUAACCUACGCCAUGUGGGACCUAACUUUCACAGGGUGGUACUUGUAGUGUAACCAAAAUCCGGGGAGGUGCCUAAGGUAGUGCGUAUAGCACUUCAAACUGACAUUCUAGACUCUCUUUUAUACCUUUACAAACAUAUACAUAUAUAUAUAUAUAUAUAUUAAUUCUAAUAUUGUGUAAAUCUCAACAAUAGUUUAGCACUCGUUAAUCCCCCAAUUUAAAAUAAUAAAUUAAUAUCCUAAUCCCACAUAAUCAUCAUGAUUCAUCUAACACCCAAGACCUGUCUCUACGGUCACUUAAAUUCUUCUGGGAAGGUGAGACUACUCCGGAAGACUCGCUGUCAACCAAGGGUGAAACUACCCCAACCUUGGUCAAACGGGCCCAUGGGGCCCACGACCUCCAAAGUCUGAUCCGAAAGUUCCUAUGGGUUCUACAAGGUAUAGGACACUCGUCCUGCAAGUUUGGUCCAGAUCGGACGGUCGGAUCGCUCACAAUUGCAUGAUCUGACGGUUAUUAUAAAACAUAAAAUUAAAACUAUUAAAUCGGAACAUCCGGGGCUCCGAUUCACGAUCCGUGAAUUCCUACACGAUCCUAGAAAUACCUAGAUUAACAUAUAUUAAAUUCAAGACCAUCCAACGGUCCCAACCUAUCGAACCCGAAUAACGCGCAAUAGGCGGUAUCUGUUCAAUAGUCAAACGACGUCCGAAUUGAGAUCCAAGAAAUCUUACGAACUCGUGACAACCUAAGGAUCUCAUCGAUACACAGUGCAACUUCCCUACCCUCGCCCACGCACCGCCACAUGCGCCGGCAACGCUGGGUGCCCAAAGCGAUAACGCAUCUCCGGAAAAUCUCAAAACCACAGCUCCAAACUCCUACCCUAGGUAUGACACCCUAUUUGGAGCCACUUUUGUUCUUGAACCUACCCCAAAAACUGACCAGAGGUGGCCGGAAUCUCAAUCCCAAAAUCGGCCGAAUUUCAAUUCGUAGAUCGAAUUACCUACGCUAAGAAUCGAUCCAAUCCUACCCAACAGGCAGCUAGAUUAUGAAAAAUGGAUGAAUUUCCAUACCUUGAUCGCCAAAAAUGGCGGCCGGAGGAGGGAGAUCGGAGCCGGCAAAGUUCGAGUGAAAACCAGGCAAAAAUCGUCUUUUUCCAGCGGCUAGAGCGGCGGCCGAUGUCGGGGAAGGGCCGGGUCCUGACGCCGAGGCCGAGCCGGUCCUUUUGGCACCAGUCCCGUCCGCAGCUACGGCCGGAGAUUCGAGGAGAGAGAGAGAGACCGUCGGGGAGAGAGAGAGAGAGAGAGAGAGAGAGAGAGCACGAGAGAAAGAGAGAGAGAGAAUCUGAUUUUUAUAAAAAAAUCCCACUUCCAAAUAUUUACGGUUGUGCCACUGAGUUUCUCUUGACCAUAUCUCUCUCGUUACAACUCCGAUUCGAGCCCACCACGUGUCUACGGACUCAUCUCAGUAUGACCUACCCAAAAAUACCAGUCACUACCUCAAACUCUUUCCGGGUAAGAAAAUGACCAAAAUAUCCCUACCUUAGGGGUAAAUUUGUAAUUUCACUUAAAUAAUUUAAACAAGGGAGAAAUUUGGAGUCGAGGUGUUACAAAGCUAAAGAAAAUAUCAUGAAAAAGAUAUAUAAAUAUUAAUGUAUCAAAAGUCAUAUAUAUAACAUUAGCAUAGGUACAAAAUAACACUAAUUAUAAGUGUCAUGCCAAAAGUUGGGGGAAUACAUGAACAAUAUGGUUGUAAUGCAUAUUUCGUACAUAAAACCUAAACCAUAUAUAUAGUGGAAGUACUACAAUAUAUGUCAUUUUAUUGGGGUGAAAAUGGAACCUAAAAUCUAUUACAAUCUCUAGGUGGCGAGCCUUGCUUGUCAAAUUGUGAUUCUGAUACACUAUACUCGAGUGUCUCAAAGGCGAAACCAUCAAAGGUGUAACAAGUGGAGCCACCAGACACUUAGCCAUAUGAGAAGGGGACAACGUCUUAGUCCCAUUACUGGCACUCAAUGAGGAAGGCAAUGUUCUAUUCCCAACAGUCGUAUCAUCUUGUGGACCAAAACUAGAAAGAAAGUCACUCCCGUCACUUGUAUAACUCAUUUUCUGCUUACCUCUAUCAUCAAUAAUGCGAUUUGGACAGUUUCUUUUGUUGUGACCAGUACCUUUGCACUCUCCGCAUUACAGAGCCUUUUUGCCUUCACUUCUCGUUGUUUGCUUCCACUUUGCCUUAACAACUACGAGAUCUCUUACAACAUUAUUAUGGCAUCCUAGAUUAAGACUAGUUUGUUAAUGUUUCUCCUUCAAUCUCUCAACCAAAUUACUUAAUCUCCCAAAUUCAGCCUUUAGCCUCUUGUAACCGACUUCUGUCUGCAACCCAUAAAAAUAAAGCUUGUUAAAAUUGGCGCUUAAUGACCCAAACCUAGCCAUCUGAACAAUUUUGUUCGGGACAUCAUCCGACUUGAUUACAAAUUCACUCCCGCAUCUUGCAUCCUUUAUCUAUCUCUUCAUUAUUAAGGCCGGAAGUAUUUGGUCCAUAUGAUCACAUUUCAUAACUCCAAACAUAUGACAACACAUAAUUCCAUUGGUUCAAAUAAUUUGCAUGAACACUAAAGAUGUUGAUCUUUUCGGUAGUACACCACAGUCCAAUUCUCAUCGGGUCUUCCAAAUUUGGAAAAUUUGUAAACACGAGGAUCGUCAUUGUUUCUUACGGGUUGCACGAGAAUUAACCUUGCCUCCUUAUUUAUCUCAUUUCUUAUCAGCUUGUAAAUGUCGUGAGUGAAAAUAGAAGCUGCAUGUUCCUCUAGAGAUUGGAGGUGCGUAAGAAUGAGUGGGUGUGAAUAAGUCAUCCUUCACAUUCUCAUUUCUCAACUUCAAUAAAGAUCUUUCAAUUCGCGAAAUACACUCCACUAACUUCAUGUCUUUACCAAUUCCAUCAUUCAAGUUCUUAUGCAUACCCUCAACACGUUGUGUGGUGGUAUUUCCACCAAAGAAAUGCCCCGAGCAAUACGCUUCAUCUAAUCGCUUUCGUUUACGGUACAUCAUCUCAAUCCAAUCGCCUUUUAGAUCAUAGGUAUCUAUCAUAUGCUGCGAAUAUUGUUCGAACGCCACUAGUGUCAAACCACCAUGCACUCAAUACCUAAAAUCCCUUUCAAUUUAUGGGUUAUUCACAUUGGAGUUCACAUUCCUCAUGAUGUGCCAUGAACAUAAACGAUGAUGUGCGUCAGGAAAAACUUCAUCAAUCACUACGCGCAUUGCCUCAUCCCCUUCCUUGACAAUAGAUACAGGCUUUUUAUCCUUCAUAGAAGUCAAAAAAGUUCUGAGCACCCAACAAUAUGUAGCAGUAGCCUUAUCAACAAGAAAUGCACAACCAAAAACUGUAGUCGCGUUAUGGUUGUUUACACCAACAAACACCACUAAAGACUUGUCAUAUACGUUGGUCUUAUACGUGCUAUCAAAUAUCAACACAUCCCCAAAGCAACAAAAAUCGUGUAGAGAUUGAGAGUCUCUCCAAAACAAAUUUGCAAAUCUAUUCUCCUCAUCUAUACUAAACAUGAAAAAAAAAUUAUAGGUCCGCUAUUGCCUUGGCAUUCAUGUAGCUUAUUGCUGCUUGUGCAUCACCAUCCAAUACUACUUGUCAACGCUCGAAAUCCAACCUGUUAUAUAAAUUCUUACAGUUUCAUGUAUCUGCCUACUUGGUCAAUCAUAUACUCUUAUGUCUGACUGGUUUUAAUAGAGGCUUUUCUCAAAGAAAUAGAUUGUGCAAUGUCGGAUUCCGUAACACACCAGUGGGAGAGAAUAAAAGGCACCUCAUGUGAGUGGGCAAGUCGGUGGUUGUGCUCAUUUACAAAUUUAUUCACAAUAUAAGUAUCCCUUUUAGGACAAUACUUUACAGCAAAUGCAGCGUGACAAUUCUCUCUAGUAUCUUUCUUUGGUAUGCAAACCAUAUCCUCUCUAUUCGCCCAUUUCUUUGAUCUAUCCCUUCUUUCGAGCACACCCAUUGUUUGCAUAUCACAACUACACCCUCGCUACAUCUCAAACGUCUUAUUCUUAUGCUAAACCAAUCGCAAGAGCAUAGUUCUAGUAAAAUCUUUCCGCUUCAUCAAAUUUUGCAAACUCCCUCCCCUCUAAAUCAACAAUGCUUAUAUUUCGGAAGUUUAACUCAUCAUACUCACAGUGUCCGCUAAUCUCAGUAAUUUCUUCUAUACUGUCGUCCAAAUACCGCAAAAAUGGGACAUUUUCUAUUUCUUCUAGUGACUCAGCCUCCACAAAAUAACUUUCAUUGUUAGGUAUGGAGCUUUGACCCUGAUUUCCAUUGUUUUUUCUUGCUUAUGCAUCAUUUCCUGAAAAUAGGCAAUAUGUCUUUCAUGGUUUAAUUAAUAUGAAAAUAAAUGGAUACACAUCAAUUGCAUUUAGUAGAAGUAUAAACAUACAAUUAAUUAUGAAGAAUUUGUCAUUAAUAAGAUAUUAAUAUGAAAAUAAAUGGAUACACAUCAAUGGCAACAGCGCGACUGGAAUGCAAAUGAGACUGUUAUGUUUGUCAAUUGCAAGAAUAUAAGGCAAUUUGAACAAGCUGUUGUUCAAUUGCAAGACUAGUAAUGCAAUUCGAACUUUUGUCAAUUGCAAGACUAUAAUGCAAUUCGAACUACCUGUUCGUCGAUUGCAUCCACAAAUCACAUAUUGUAUUUACAUUAUGAAAAUUGAAACAGACUAAUUGCAAAAUCGGACUAAACAAUUGGUAAUUGGAUUAAAAAAUGACAUAUCAAAGUACUUCUUUCAUUUCUUUUACCAAAAUGCAAGGCUACAAAUAUCAUGGCAUUUUUACUACACUAAUUGCACUAACAUACUACUCAGUUGGUGGUAAUUGCAUUCUGAAAGUGCAAAAUCUUGCCAAUUGCAUGCCAAGUACGUACACCACUUGCAAAAAAAACACUUACGAUUUGGUAAUUGCACGCCUAACCAUUAUACCAAACUUCAGUAUAAUAUAACAAUUCCGACGAAGAUGAACUCAAUAUCGAAGCUUAGAAUAUCAUUGCAAUUAAGAAAUUCUAUCUAAUGAUAUUGGAAUGAGACCAAAUUUUCAACAACACUAUCCAACAUCAAAGAAGAAAAAGAUAUUGAGAUUAAUCAAAUUGGAUUUCUUAUCUGUAAAAAAACCCAAAUUACAAUUGGUUUCUUUUUAGCAAAACCAAAACCCAUUAACCCUCAAAACAAAUUGGCAUUUUUUUUGUACUCACAGUGACUUCAAGAUCAACUAAUCGAUAUCCACCAGUUGCCGUUCAAACCAAGAAGCUCAACUGAAGAAGAGAGUAACAUUGGAACCAGUGGCGCACCUGUGCAGGUGCAAGGAGGUGCACCUGCACCUCCGGCUGCCGGAAAUAUCCAUUAGAGGUGCUGGAGUUGCACCUCUGCUUCAGACCAGCGACGCACAGAAGGUGUUCGAUGAAAUGCACAAGUGACUGGUGUUGCAUGCGGCGCUGCUGUGCGCAUGUUUUUUUUUUAAACAAAGCUUGGCCAAAACGACGUCAUUUUGGACCAAGCUUUUUUUAAAACGCGGUGCUUUUUUUUUUCUUUUUUUUUAAAUUUUUUUUUAAAACUUGGCCAAAACGACGUCAUUUUGGACUAGGGUUUUAAAAUUUAAAAAAAAUGGGAAAAAAACCGGAAACUGAUGCUGUAAACGUGGGCUUUUUGUGGGCUUUUCAAAUGGUUUUUAUUUCCUUACUUAAUUGGGUUCUCUUUAUUCAAUUGUGUUUUGGGAAUUCCUUAAUUAAGUAGGAUUGGGAAUCUCUUUAUAAAAGACCAAUUUAACAUCACCCAAUUUCAUCAAAGUGUGUGUGCAUCAGAAGAAUCUUGCGUUUUUUUUCCUUCCUGAGUACGCAAAUCCAAAGUAAGUCGAAUGCAUUUUUUUUUCUUGAGCAAACUCCAAUUUUGUUUAUUCUUUUUAGCUCUCUCUCUAUAUUAUUAAGAUCAGUAGCAAACUCGAGUGAAUACCAGGCUAAGUGACACUUUAUUCGAGGUAUAAUUAAUUUUUAUUUGUAUAUUAAAUUGAUAAUUUGAUAUUGAUUGAUUUAUUUAAUUGAUAAAUUAUAGUCAGUUAGUCAUAGUAAUAGAUAUAAAACCCUUAUUUUUGUUUUAAUUGUACAGUUAUGGAAAGGUACUUUUAGAGAAAGAGUAUAAAUCCUCCUUCAAAUAAUCCGGGUAGUUCAAAUCCUCCUUCAAAUAAUCCGGGUAGUUCAAAUCCUCCUUCAAAUAAUCCUUCUAGUUCCAACCCUCCUUCAAAUAAUCUCGCUAGUUCCAACCCUCCUUCAAAUAAUCCGGCUAGUUCAAAUCCUCCUUCAAAAAAAUUGGUGAAUACAAGAAGGAGUAGAAUAUACAACUAUGUGUAUUAUACAACUAUGUGUAUUUACUUCUUACAUUGGCUUUAGUUUUAUCCGUUGCAAUAGUUUCAGUUAAGAGAGCUUUUUCAGCUAUGAAUAUUGUGAAAACACCAUUGCGUAACAAAAUGGGGAAUCAAUGGUUGAGUGAUAGCUUGGUUGUUUACAUUGAGAAAGAUAUUUUUUCUUGUAUUAGUAAUGCAAAUACAAUGCGAUAUUUUCAUGAUAUGAAACCUCGUCGGAAACAAUUGUAAUUGUAAUGUUAUUUUUUUAAUUAAUUAUUAAUAACAUUAGUAUUGUUUAAAUGAUAAGGAUAUUUAGUUGUCUCUUUUUUUUUUUUUCUUUUUUUGGUUUUGAGCUCUUAGCUUUUAAAAAUUGCACCUCUGCUGAAAAAUUCUUGGAUCCGUCGCUAAAUGGAACAAAGACUGUGAGUGCCAAGAAGAAGAAGAGAGAGAAGUCGCAUGAGGACUUUCUUUUCUUUUGUUCAGAUUUCUUUAUAUAUAUAUUAUUGUUUUGGUUUCCUUUUACCUGGAGCUACCCAUUUAACCGGUCACUCACUAUCAAUGGUGUAGAUUACCCUACAUCCCACAAUAGCUCAUCCAAUGGCCCAUAUAAUUGGCGCAUUCAUGCACCUGAUCCAUGGUAGGAUUUUUGAGGAUUUUUAUUUUGCAGGAAUUCUCCAAUGCAAGACUGUACUGGUAAUCGUUGCUUUGAUUAAUGAGAUCCAACGGCUGGUAGGAUUUUAGCUUCCUCAAGCAAUUUUUUCCCUCCUUUUUUUUUUUUGGUGGUCAAAGUUUGAAGGAAAGGGGGCAAACUAGGAAUGCUAUAAAUCCCAGCCGGGCCAUAUCCCCAUCAGUUCCUUGACCCUAAUAGCGAGAGAUUUUGUGGGAAAAUCAAGGUCAAAUACGGGGACUCCCGAAUUUUUAUUCCCAUCUCCAUACCCAACUUGAUAAAUAAUAUAUUUAUUUUUAAUUAAUAUAUAAUAUAAUAAUUAGUUAGUUUUCUCAAAUUGAAUUGAGAUUAUUUUGAGUUAUUCAAUUGAAUUUUAUAAUUCAAUUGAAUGUAAUUGCGUUGAAUGAUAAUUUAAGCUGAAAUUCAAAUGAUAUAAUGUGGGGUAAAUAUUUUUUAAAAUUAAAAAACAGAGAAUUUGGGGAGAGUUUAGGAGGUAGCCCCCGAUGGAGAACAGUAAUUGAAAUGGUAUUUUCAUACCCAAUCGAGAACCAGGCCAUUGCCAUCCCUAGGGGAAACUCAUACUUAACUCCUUUCAAUUUCGAUACUAAGUUUUCUGUGUUCAUGGGCUGUUUUCUAUGGAUAAAUAAAGUCAUAAAGACUUUAUCUAUAUAUAUAAAGCAAAAGGCAGAGAAUGGUGAAACAUUCAAAAUAUUAGAAAAUGCCCUUUGUUAAUUUAAACAUUAAGAAUUGAAAUUAUUAAUUAAAUGAGGAUAAUAUGGUAAAUCACAUUUUUUAAUAUUAAAAAAAUUAAAAUUAAAAACAAAAUAAGAUAAUAGAUCCUACUUUUAUGGAACAUAACUACCCUGUUAUCUUUUAUUAAUUCUAAAAAUAAAAUAAAAAAGAAAAAGAAAACCAAUUGGCACAUGCGUGAGCAUGUGUCAAGGGGCUACUGUAUAUAAAAAUAAAAUACAAAAUUUAGUUAUAUACCCAAUCUUAGACAUAGUAUUAUAAAGAAACACUAUACCAUUUAAAAACUAUAAAUAUACCCAAAAAAAUUCAAAAAUCGACAGCUGUACAUUUUUUAAUUUAAUUAAUAAGAUGAAAUGCCUUUAUUACCCUUUUAACAUAAAAUUGGAACUUUAAUCCCUUUUUCUAGCGUUGAAGUCAGAGCAGAACUCAUUUCACAAGCUCCAGUCUCUCAUCUUCAUCUUCAACCCCAAUUUUCAGUUUUGUUCUUCCAUUUCUUGUUUUGAAAUCAUCUUUCUCUUUAGACUUUUUGGAUUAUAUGGAUGUCUAUGUCUCCUCACCAUUGCUGGCUCUGACACUUUUUCAAGGGACCAAGCCUCAGCUCGCCAAAUCGGAUCAUCUCGAUCUCUCCAAGUUUGUUCUCCUAUACUUUCUUCUUCAUCUUUUUGUUUUUGCUUGUAGAUUUGUGGAUGAAGGUAUGAAAUUGAGAUUUUGGUGGAAUUUUACAGUGAUAACAAAGGAACCUCGAUCUCGAUCUUGAUCUCCACAAGUCGUCUCGGCAGAAAAGAUAGACAAGGACCUCAUCGAUUGUUCCAAAUUACUACACAACACCAGCGACUCGUCAUCUUUAGUUGUGGAGGAAGACGGGUAUUUCGCCGAGUCGUCGUCUAGUUUGGACUUGGGAUUUUUGAUUUUUUGCUUCAAUUAUGUGUUUCUCUUCAGAAUUUAGUUCAUUUGAGGAAUGUAUUUUAAACUUUGACAAUCGAUUUAUCUUUUGUUACUAUUUAGGUUAUGGAUCUCAUUUCUGUUUAACAAUGGACUUCUAUGAUAGAGUAUUAACAAGAUAGUUCUAUGAUAGAGUAUUAAUAAUGUACUUCUAUGGCAGAGUAUUAACAUGUACUUCUAUGAUAUAGUAGUAUUAACAAGAUAGUUCUAUGAAAUAGUUUUAACAAUGUACUUCUAUGAAGAGCCUCUGCUUGGGUUUUGCAAUUUUUUUUUAAAAUAAAUUGUUCGAGUUUUUUUUUUUAAUAUGUUUUUUUGUUGGGCUUUUUUUAAGUUAAUCAGUGGCAAUCAUGUAAUUUAUAGGAACUUCAACACCCAUUUUUUAUGUAGUAAAUGGGGUUUGGGUGUGCUUCUAAAGUGCAUUCUAUGUGGGAACUUUUUAUAUAAUUUCAGUCUCCAUUUUAGGUAUAAUAGUGAAGCUCCCAAAAUAAAAAGGGGGCCAUUUUUGCUGUUCCUUUUGUAGUCCAUCUUCUUCUACAGUGUUCUUCUUCUUCAGCUAAGGGCUGGCAGGCUAGCCCAGCCCACUUCAAGGUCCAAGCUGAUGGUGAUUUUAGAAUAAAAACGCAGGCCCGAGCUUUGAUUGUAGAAAACAUUUACGACUUGUUUGUAUGGUUUUUUUUGGAAACAUUAGAGAGAAUUGUCAGGGCUUAUUAAAUUGAUCUCCCGAUGAAUUGUCUGAGCUUGGUAGGGAAAUAAUAGCUGGGUUGCUACUGAGAAUUAGGUGUUAUGGAUGAACAAGUCAUCAGCAAAUAUCAAGGAAGAAGAGGCUAUGGUGUUAUCUACUUUCUGUCAUGGAUUUCUUUCUCUGCUUAUACUGGUUUUUUGUGCAGAGCUCUGUUUUCAAAAGCCAUGCAUGUCUGGAUUAUGUAUUCCAUGUAAUCACCUUAACGGAAAAAUGGAUUUUAUCAGAGGAGGCAUACUGCUACCGGUGGCAAAGUCUCUGUGACAUUGCUAAAACUUUUUCCUUGGUGGUAUUUGCUCACAACCCCUAUACUCCGCAUGGCAUUUGUGCAAAAAUCCAUUUCAAAAAAACUAAAGAGAAACCACCAGAAAUGAAUAACACCAAAAUACUAAUCAACUUACACUGCGGUAACAUAUAGAUUAAUUCUUUUAACGAGGGAAAUCGAAUAUGAGAUGGAUUUGGAAUUACAUAAUAUGCAUAACAUCUCUAAUUCAAACACAGCAACAUAUAUAUUAGCAUGUUGGUUACAAAACAGUAAUACCAAAGAACUUAACCUGUCCUGUAAAAAAAAAUAAUAAUAAUAACUUAACCUGUACUAACCAACCAUGUCAGGAUAAAUUAGUGUUGAGAUCAAACUGGCACUGAAACUGCUAAAUACCUUUUUUUCUUCUUUCUAAACCACCUUAUGAAACUAAGAAUCCUUAACUGCUGUCUUGUUUUCAUUAAUGAACGUUCCCACUGACUUGAACCAUCGCAUAAGAUUACGAUGAUCCUUAACGUAUAGCCAUGCUCGAAGAAAUGGAAAGAGACUAUCACCCACGCCCCGCUCUUCUAUGUAGUUGUGAAAUGCAUCCCUUAUCUUUUCAUCAAGAUCUCUGCCAAUUGGAGGACAGUUCAAGCCAUAUAUGCAUCAGUUUCGUAUGCAUAAAACAGAGCACAUUACAGAUUUAAUUUCUAAAGAGCCAAAAUGAUUUACAAAACAGAAGGCGAGAUACUUCAGUGACUCAUUAAGGAGCAGCACUGAGGGAUGAAUCAUUCCAAGAAAACGCAUGUGACAGUAUGAUGACUCAAGAACAACAGUACACAAUAUAAAUUAGACAUUGUUAGGAGUAACGUAGUGGUAUAAUGUAAGCUUAGAAUCGUUAGAUAACAUUUUACCACGAAAGAAGCUGCCAAACAUAUAACUCUUAAGGAUAAUCUGAACUUCAGCUGUAUACCUUUCCAAAAGAAUGACAACCUCAGAAAACAAACUCUCCAGUCUCAAAAAUAUAGUCACUGUUGAGCUAGAGAUGUUUUCAAGACUGGCAAUCUCAAUGUAUUAAUAACAAAAAUCCACAUACUUUAUACAGUGAAGAACACUGAGAUCAAUGAUGUAUGCUAUCCUCUUCUCUUCCUUUCUUUUUAAUUCUAUUUCCUUCUUCCUGUGUAUCUACAUAAUUUUUAGUCUAUAUGAUAACCAAAAGUACAUAGGUUUUUAUCAAAAACAUACUACAUUGAGGCCAAAAGAUUGGCCUUUCAGUUAAAAGGGAAUUAAGGAGAUUAGAUUCAAAGGCAGAACAACAAUGACGCAUGCCCAGUGUGGGAAGCAUAUCUGUAUUUCAGAAAGAAGCAUUGCUUCCGAGACCCACAAGCUGAUGCCAUUUAUAAUGGCAGCUUUAACAAAACAUAACAAAAGAAACAACUUCAAGUAAACUCAUUGGAAAGUAGCACCAUAUGGUUCACCCUAGCUGGGAACUGAAACCUUUUCUGUAAAUAUUUGCUUGCAUAGAUUUCCACAUGUUUAUGUAUCAGUCCAAUUUGCCGUCCUAUUAGACAGUUACCACAUGAUUUUUUACUUUCUUUCGAGAAGAGUUACCACAUAAUUGAAUCCUUUUUCAUAACAUAAUACACGAUUUUAUGCUUUUAAAAUAUAAGGCACAUCGACCCUAUUAAAAAGAAGAAGAAGAAAAAUCCUAGGCUACAAAUGAAGUUUGUUAUACUCUUACAAUCUGGCUCCUAGUUCCAUAUGUAUAUGCUUCCAAUCUCACUGAAAUAUCACAAAUAUGAUUCACUCUAUAACAAUCUCUUUUCCAAAUUUUCUAGCAAAAGAACAUUAUGUUGAAGAUUACCCACAACAAAAUAGUAGCUCUUCUCUUUUUUCAAAGGCUAAUUACCAGGUUUGGUCUUCUGCAAAUGCAACCACAAACACUAAAUAUAAAACCAAAUUGCCAAAAUUGAACAAGAAGAGGAAGAUGGCUUACUCAAAAACAGGACCAGUAUAGGAGGAACCGUCCUCAACAGAGCUCGCAGCAUCAGCUUUGGGGCGCAUGGAUACAGAGUGAAUCCCCAAAGCGUCCGGAUACAACCCACAAAGAAAAUGCAGAGACUCCUUCUGCCCGGGCUUCGAAACGUCGACGUGCAGGAACAACUGGUUGAUGUCAUCGCCAUCGUCAGCGCCGUCGUCUUCUCCGCCAUCGCCGGGCACAAUAUUGGCCAAUCGCAUCACCGAUAUGGUGAUCUCUUCGUCGCCGAAAGUCCGCUUGAGUGCCGGGCCGUUGCCGUCGAGCGAGCCCUGGACGACGGUGAACGGCGACGGAGGGUUUAUUUUGGGAGGAGGGUUCAUUUUCGUGACGUCGAGAUAGUGCUCUUUGAGGGAGCGGAGGAGGAUGGAGUUGACGGCAUCGGAGGGGGAGACCGCGGUUGAGUGGCCGUGUGCUAUCGUGCGCCAUGGGUGGUGGAGUGCGCCGACGCCUCUUGCUGUUGUUGCUAUGGCUUUCCUCCACAUUUGGUUUAGGGCAGCGUUGCCAGCUUCGCUCUGCUGAAUAACAAGCUUUGCUUCUAAACCCUGUUUCUUUCUUCUCACUGCCAAAUGCAAAUAAGCAUUUUUGUUUUUUCGGUUUUUUUUAUCACAAAUGUUACCUUAGGUUCAUGAAAUUAUCAGUUUUAGGCCCCGUUUAAGUUUAUUAUUAUUAUUUUUUUACGCCAAGUUCUGCAGUUUAAGAUGUUGGUAUAGCUCUUUUUAAUAGAAAAUGUCUUUUAAAAAUAUAAAAAUGUUGUAAAGAAGAAUAAGUAAAGAAGAAUAGGUGAAGCCCACAUAGCCAACUAACACCCACCAAACCUAAUCACACACCCACCAAACCAAACCACUACCCAAUUGAUUGAAGAAUAUUAAUGAUGUUGUUGAUUGAAGAAUAUUAAUGAUGUUGUUGAUUGAAGAAUAUUAAUGAUGUUGUCUACCAAUUAUUUUGUGAGGUGAACAACCAAUGUCUUAGGCCUAUAAAUAGAUACCUCCAUCAAGAGAAGUUCACACAUAUAGAAGAGGAAGAGAAGGAAGAAUGAAGGUGAGUGAGUUGAGAGGAAAUAGAGCAAGAGAGAAAUUCUCCAAGAGAGAAAAUUGAGUGAGCCAUACAUAUUGUAAACACAAAGUUGUAGCCCUAUUAUUUUACAUAGUGGAAAAGUUACUGCUGCUGCUCUCCGGGGAUGUAGGCAUAGCCGAACCUCGUUAAAUACUGUGUCUCAUCUACUUUACGUGCAGCUCAAUAUUCGCAUAUAUUCCAGUUCAUUUUAUAACACGUUAUCAGCACGAGAAGCUCUCAGGUAUAAUUUUUGUGUUGCACUAUUAUCUAUACUACUAACCCUUAUGUUGAUGUAAGGAAGAAAAGUAGUGGAGGAGCUGUGGUCUGUAAGAGAGAUAUGCGAGCAAACCAACUGUGUGCAGAUUACAGGUGGAAAACAUUUGAUUUAAGAGACAAGCAUGAUGCCUUCCACAAACGAUAAUAAUAUUAUCUGCUAUACUAUUUGAUCAUGGUGUUGAUGAGAACCCACCAAUAAUUGCCUUUACUUUACCGCAAAUUUACUUUUACUUAAAGUAAUAUAAUAUAUUAUAUUUACUGUAUGGUGUAGGUUUAUUACCCAUACAACAGUAUUUAUUUAAAAGGGUGGUGCGGGUUUAUCGUCCACGCCUUUACUUCUAUUUAAAUAUAUGGAGCAGAAUUAGUGCCCAUACAAGCACCAUUUACUUUACCGCACAUUUAAUUUUAUUUAAAGUAUGGUGCGGGAUUAACGUCCAUACAGCAAACAAUUUAAUUUAUGAAUUUAAUUUACCGCACAUUUACAUUUAUUUAAAAGGGUGGUGCGGGUUUAUCGUCCACGCCUUUACUUUUAUUUAAAUGUAUGGAGCAGAACUAGUGCCCAUACAAGCACCAUUUACUUUACCGCACAUUUAAUUUUAUUUAAAGUAUGGUGCGGGAUUAACGUCCAUACAGCAAGCAAUUUAAUUUAAGAAUUUAAUUUACCGCACAUUUACAUUUAUUUAAAAGGGUGGUGCGGGUUUAUCGUCCACGCCUUUACUUUUAUUUAAAUGUAUGGAGCAGAAUUAAUGCACAUACAAGCACCUUAACUUUAUGAAUUUAAUUUACCGCACAUUUACAUUUAUUUAAAGUGUGGUGCGGGGUUAUCGUCCAUACCAGUAAUUUAUUUACCAGUAAUUUAUUUUAUGGAUUAAAUGUGCUGUAUGAUGAGUUUUUACAGUAUGCAGAUCAGGACCAGAAGUUCCUUGAUCCUCAUCAUACAAUUACAUCAGGACUUGAAGAUCCUUGAUGAUGAUGUUAAUAUGAGAGCUGGCAGUCUCUCCGGUACUAUAUUUGUAAACAUGUAAUUGGACUUGAGGGUCCUUGAUCCCUGACAUGUAAAUAAGGACCUGGGGUUCCUUAAUGAUGUAACAGUACCGUAUUGGUUCAUAAUGCCGUACACAUGGAUGAUAACUGUACUGGCAAAUGUAUUGUACACAUGAAUAGAUACGUAUUCAUGACUUGAUGAAUAAUACCGGAUAUAUGAAUAGUGACGUAUACAUAAAUAUUAAUCAUUUUGGGUAAACCAUCACUAUUCAAAAAAAAAAAAAAAAAAAAAAGGGAACCUACAGUUCCUUAAACUCAUGGAUGAGCAAUUAAAUGAGAUGCCAGAAGUUCCUCAAAACAUGGACAAUUAUGUAAGAGCUUGAAGUCCAGAAAUAUGUACAGAAAAUUGUAAAAAUGUCCAUACCAUGAGAAUAUGUGAUUUUGGCCUGAAGUUCAAAAUCUAAGGGGAUUGAAUGUCCAUACCAUGAGAACAUGUGAUUUUGACUUGAGGUGCAAAAUCUAACAGUGUUGAGAACCUGAAGUUCCAACAAUUAAAUGGACAGCCCUUGAGGUAUUAUUGCAUAUUGUGGUACGCCACAUAUUUCUUUGGCAUAAGAGAAAGAUGAAUUGAGGCUCCCCUCACAUUUUGUUAUAUCUGGGCCGGAAGCUCAUGAACCCAAAUAUAUAAGAUAUUAGCGUGGCUUUUACUCAAUUCAUAUUUCAUGUCCAUUUGAAAAGGGUGAAUAAAUUCUGAGUUUUGUGUUUUGCACAGGCCAAAAGUUCCAUACAUUGAAAUAUGAAAUUCGGGAGAGUCGAUGUGGUUAUUUGAACCUACAAGGCACAAGGUUCCAAACCGUCAUUUUGAAAAGACGUAAAAACCACAAUUGCAAGUUUAAGAAUGUGCGCAAUUAUUAUAACAGGAACAUACAACAGAUAGAUUUUUUUCCUGCAAUAAAGGUGCAGGCCCUGUAAAAUCUAUAAAAAUACAUUAUGUUCCGGAAGCCUCUGAAGGAAGAGGACGACGUCUCUUAAGCUUAGCCAUGAGCCUCUCAUGGUCUCCCAAAAUUCUUUCAUUGGAGACCUGCAGCAUGUCUAGCCUUCUCAGUGUAUCAACAGAGUACGAACUCACCAGUUUCAACAAGGCAUUAUUCUCUCCUUUAAGUUUCUCAACCUCCUGUUGAGACUCAUGAAGCAUUCUUUGGAGAGACGAAUUUUCAGUUGUUAAAUUCUCAACUUCGUUUGCUCUGGCACGCAAACGAUCAGCCAUGUUAGAAACAGAAGCAGCACUCUGAAUGCUAAAGGCCAUUGAGUCAUCAAUAGCCUCUUCCUCUGAUCUCCCUGUCAACAACAUUUCAUCCAUUGGAGUAAUGAAAUUCCUAGCUACUAUGACAGCAGUAGCAUCAUUCAUCAUCACAGAAUCAUUAACUGUGAGAUGACGAUUUUUAGAUACAAAGGAUGGACGCCAAACUUGGGCGUCACUGGUUGUUGUGGGAGUAUCAUUUAAAUUGAUAUAAUUUGGGCAGGAAGAAGAGGAAGCCAUUUUUAAGAAGGUUUCGAAGAAAGCCUUAAGAAAACUAAAGUUUCAGGAAAUGAAGGAAGUUAAGUUGAAACGCAGUUGCUCCAAAUCAAGUUUUGCAAAGGCAAUAUCUAUAGGAGGAAAUAUGGCUACAGGUUUUUUUUUCAGGAUCCCAAUAUCUUUUCGGAUCCCCAUAUUCUCUUUUUCUUUUCCAGAUUCCAAAACUUCACAUGGCCUCCAUUAAUGUUUGUCGGCACUUUCGGUGUUUUCAAAGUAUUAUUUUCGUCAAAAGCCGAUCUUGCUUUGCGGAUUUCACGGAGCUACUUUUUCAAAAGUAUCCCGAGAAUCUCGCAAUUUUCCUAUGGUUAAUUUGAAAUUCACCGGUUCUACCUAUUCAUUGUAUUUGUGUAUAAAUGUGUUAAUAACGAAAUUUUCUUUGUAGAAGACAUCCAGUUUACUCCAUACCUAGUGAUGCGAUAUCUACUUAUUUUUCUUAUCAAUGAGUACUUAAUAUGCCCGAGAAGCAAGACUAUCUCUGAUCAUCCAUUCAGGAAGCGAGACUAUCCCUGAUCACGUUUUCGCCACAUCCGGGAACUGUGAAGGCGACCUUAUGCUCUAAUCUCCUGAGGUCCUUCUAGACUAGGAGAAAUGAGAGCUUGUUGGUUGCUCCCACCAGCUUCCUUCCCUGAUUGCUUACCUUCUCUUGCAAUCAAUAUCACAAUUUUUUGCAUUUUUUCUCUUUUUGUAACUCUCUGAGGGUUAUUUGUUUUUGACAGAGAAAAGAGUUGUAAUUUUACUCUUGCAGGAUAUAACUAGAUCAUCAAGCGCUACAUUUACUGGGUCGAUACAAGCUUGAAUGAUACUUGAGAAAAGUUUCUCCCACCUAAGGACGUAAGCAAUACUUGUGUUAUUUUAUGCUUAUAUACUUAUUUGAUAUUUUAUCUUGAAAGAUAAGUCCGUUCCAAAAGAAUGGCUUGUAUGUAUCCAUGAAUUAUUAAUGCAAAUUUUACAGAUUGUAAGUUGGAUACAUUGAUAAUACACUGCACAGAUUAAAGUCCCAUAAGAACAGAAUAUGGGUAUAGCAGUGAUCAAUAUUAUGCACGCCUGUUGCGUAGCAAAUGAUGUGGAUUGAAGUCCCAAAAGGACAAUCCUUUGACAUGUCAAUAUUGAUAUUAUGCACGCCUAAUGCGUAGUAAAUUAUAUGGGUUAAAGUGCCAUAAUAUGGGUUAAGGUCCCAGAAAUUAAUUGACAUGUAUGUAUUAAUCUGUGGCAUGCCUGCAGCAUGACAGAUAUAUGGGUUCUAAAUGUUCCAACUCCCUAAAUGGAGAUUUUUCACGCCCUAUGUAAAAUAACACUCCAUUGGAGGUUAUAAUCCACAUUCUCACAUAAUAAAAGCCCCCUGAAGUGGCUUGGGAACCCAAAAGCAAAGAAAUGCUUAUAAUUGAUGCAUGCGCAUGCAAAUGAGAAUGGUGGGAUCAUGAAUUGAUGAAUGACAAUUUUUGAUCAUGAAUUGAUGAAUGACAAUUUUUGGUUUUGGAGUAGCUACUCAAAUCAUCAAUGGGCUGUGUUGAUUGGAACCACGUUCAAUUAUUAAAUGUCGACAAUAUUAUUGGCCAAAAUGGAAUGAGGUAAUUCCAUUAUAGAUGAGAAUGAACGUGAAAGAACAAACCCACAGUACGAACCCCAAAAGAUGUUAAUACUGAAAUUUAUACUUGGGUGUUCGGAAUAAAAGGGAAUAUACCUACUUUGUAUGACACACUGUUUUUGGCAGAAACAAGGAAUGUUGGGUUUUCUCCAUAUUUACAGAUUCAAUUGUGCCCCCUCUUAUUACACAAUUACGGAGACCAACAUAUUAUCUUUAAGGGUUAUUAAAUGCACGGAGCAUAUCGCCAGAAGCGAUUUCCUAAAGAUAUAUAAAUAGCUGGGUAAAAGCUAUAUAAUGUGUCAUAAAGUUUAAUCCCUUUUAAACAAAAUCCGUUGAGAGGAUUGACAUUGCAUAAAGCAAGUCCCUAAAGGACAUGUGCUUGAAGCACAAAAUUAGUACUCAAUAUUAAUAUGCAUAAAUUACCUCAGUGAGUACAUUGAUUAUAAUGUGAUUGCAACACAUUAAAGCUUCUGCAGAGUUCAAGAAAUAUUUGUCUCGACUUAAGGAUCGAGCAUUAUGCCAACGUGAUUCUUGCUUAUACUAAGAAAGUAUUGAAGCAUUUUUAUGAGGAUUAUCCGUUGGACACUUUAAUGAUUUUCCGGAAGUAUAUUGGACCGGACAUCAUAUUUUUCAGAUAGGGCUCAACUCCAUCACCAUCAUUUUGGGAUGAUAUGAGGUAUAUUUGAUGCUAUCUUCGCAUAACACCAUGUACGGGCAUAUUCUUUCAAGUGAACUUACAAAUAGCCCAAGUUUUGUUAGAAACGUGGACUUUGAAAAUUUCUAUGAUUUACAUAGAGAUAGCUCACUGGAAAUAUAUUUACUUACUCAACUACGAGAAUUAUUAAUGGCUAUAUCAUCUACUCACUCCGAAAGAUUCUCACUCCAAAAGAUAGUCAUGAAGACAUCAGGGGGAGCAUCCAGAAGUAUGCUAUACAGAUUGCUGUACUUUUUUUCUUCCUUCCAUCAGUUUUCUACCUUAUUGGGUUUUUCUCCAAGCAAGGUUUUAAUGAGGCAACCAAUCUAGGGACAUGUGGUCUCCAAGGGGGAGUGUUGUAAAGAAGAAUAAGUAAAGAAGAAUAGGUGAAGCCCACAUAGCCAACUAACACCCACCAAACCUAAUCACACACCCACCAAAUCAAACCACUACCCAAUUGAUUGAAGAAUAUUAAUGAUGUUGUUGAUUGAAGAAUAUUAAUGAUGUUGUUGAUUGAAGAAUAUUAAUGAUGUUGUCUACCAAUUAUUUUGUGAGGUGAACAACCAAUGUCUUAGGCCUAUAAAUAGAUACCUCCAUCAAGAGAAGUUCACACAUAUAGAAGAGGAAGAGAAGGAAGAAUGAAGGUGAGUGAGUUGAGAGGAAAGAGAGCAAGAGAGAAAUUCUCCAAGAGAGAAAAUUGAGUGAGCCAUACAUAUUGUAAACACAAAGUUGUAGCCCUAUUAUUUUACAUAGUGGAAAAGUUACUGCUGCUGCUCUCCGGGGAUGUAGGCAUAGCCGAACCUCGUUAAAUACUGUGUCUCAUCUACUUUACGUGCAGCUCAAUAUUCGCAUAUAUUCCCGUUCAUUUUAUAACAAAAAAGAAGGUGUUGGUAAAAAUAAAAUAUCUCGAUUAUUUUAAAAGCAGUAGUCUUUUGACAGCAACUUUUAAAAGCAGGUUAUGAGUUGCUUUUCAAAGUUGCUUUAAAAAAACAGAGAUAAGCCUUUAAAGCAUUUUUAAAAUUCCCAAAAUAUCAUCCUUAAUUUCUUUAAAUGACAUCAUCUCCACUUCCGCAUCCAGUGACGGAGGUAUGUGAAGGCCUAAGGGUGGGGGUCGGGGGUGGAGUUUGGGGGGUGUGGAUUUUAUCAAAUAGGAAGUAGACUUUUACCCAAAUUUUUAUUCAUGUUCACCACUUUUUCACUAAAUUGACUUCUAUUGUCAAUAUUGUUGGUGCUUCAUGCAAGCGUAAUGAUGAACUAAAAAAUGCUCAAGCUACUAAAAUUGAGCAUAUGAUUGCAAUUGAUGAGCUCGAGAUUGGGAAAGGAACGAACCAAAUUGGCACCUUAUUACAACGUGCUGGUGAUAUUCGUUGGGAUUCUCAUUUGAAAUCAAUUACUAGCUUGGUACCUAAUUGACUCAAUCAUAGAUGGUUUUCGAGAUAUGAAAGAAUGACGAGUGUUAUUUUGAUACCUAAUUGAAUAAACAAUUAUUUUUUGCCUUUUAUUUUUCUAAACAUCGUUAAGGUUGAAAAAUUGAAAUUUUUUAAUCUCUUGUUUGGUUUAUAUGUUGGCCCCCCAACACAUAAAUUCUUGGCUCCGCCGUUGUCAACAUCCAACUCCACCACCACCUUUACCACCUCCACCGCCAUUGCCACUGCCACCACUUCCACCCCAUCAUCCUCCUUAUACUCCGCCACCACCACUAAAACAACCAUCACCUCCACUACAAAUACCAACACCACCAUGCUAGCGCCACUACCACCUCAUCCUCAACCUCUACCACUUCCACCAUCACCACAUCUAUCUCUACCUUCACAACUGCCAUCCCCACCACGACCUCCACUUCAUCACCACCUCACCACNNNNNNNNNNNNNNNNNNNNNNNNNNNNNNNNNNNNNNNNNNNNNNNNNNNNNNNNNNNNNNNNNNNNNNNNNNNNNNNNNNNNNNNNNNNNNNNNNNNNCGUUAUUCAUAGUUACAACAGUUUUAUAUUAAAAUUUACUAAAUGGUUUUGACACUGCUUUUUGUACUAACGUCAAUUUAAAAGAAUUGUUUACCAAACAUGGAGCUGCUUUAGUUUACAACUAAUUAUUUUCAAAGCACAACAAGAAACUUUUUUUUUUUUUUAAGUGACAACAAUCCCAAACUGGUCCUUAGUUCUUUAUAUUUUUUUUGUGACAUGAUUGGUCCUUAACGUUACUAUGUGUACAUCAAAUUGGUCCCUUCAUCAAAAAUUUCGUUAAAUUGAUGACAUGGCGCAUAUGUGGAGCCCACACAUCCAAUGAUAUAGAAUCAAGUCGUUGGUCCUCUCUUACUCUCCCUCUUCCUCUUGAGAUAAACUCUCAUACAACGGAGAUAGCACUUUUUACUAUCUUGGCCAAUAAAACAAUGACACAUUGAAUAAUUUUUCUAUAUGUCAUUGUGUUAUUGGUAGCAAAAUAGUGUUAUUUGCGUUAUAAGAAUUCUCUCUCUCUCUCUCUCUCUCUCUCUCGCUCUAUCUAUCUCUCUCUCUCUCUCUCUGGUUUCUUAACUUAUUAUUAUUAUUUUUAUAAUGAUUUUUUUGUUGUAAAUCUAUGUUUUACAGGGAUAAGUGGAUAUCCCAUCACACCUAAUAUCUAAUAAGUGACUCACCCCACCAUGUAUGACCAAUGAUGUAUAUGACCACUUAUGGUAUUAAAACAUACAAGAUGAAUGAAAAACACACAAGACUAGAUGAGUAGGAACUCAUGGUUGAGCUCUUGAGAUUGUACUUCUAUAAUUGUUUUCUCUUCUUCCCAAUUUCUCUCAAAAAAAUCCUCUUAAUUAUAUAACACGUUAUCAGCACAACUUGCUCACCAACCGAGGUUCUUGGAGAGUUUCAAUCUUGGUAUAUCUCUUCCUUAUAAUUCUUAUUGAAGAAUCUUUGAGUAAAAAUUUUCAUACCAAAAGAUGUAAGCAAUACUUUUAUUAUUUCAUGCAUGUACUCUUAGUAGUAUUUUGAUAUUUUGUAUGUCAUCUUCAGUUACGAAAAAAUGGGGAGAAAAGACCGGUCCAGAAGAACUCCAUGCAAAGGACUAUUCCAGAAGAAUAACUUGCAUUAUAGAUUGUUCCAGAAGAACGACUUGUAUUAUGACCAUUCUAGAAGAAUGGCUUGUAUCAUCUUGAUAUGUAUUCAUGACUUAUUAAUGCAAAUUUCACAAAUUGCAAGUUGAAUACAUUAAUAAUACAUUGCAUAGAUUAAAGCCUCAAAAUAGCAAAACAUGAGCAUAGCAAUGAUCAAUGAAAUUCACGCCUACUGUGUAGCAAAUGAUAUGAAUUAAGGUCCUGGAAGGACAAUCCAUUAACAUGUCAAUAUUAAUAUGGUGCACACCUAUUUCGUAGCAAAUUAUAUGGUUUAAAGUCCCAGAAUGACAAUUCAUUAACAUGUGUGUAUUAAUCUGUGGCAUGCAUGCAACAUGACAGAUAUAUGAGUUCUAAAUGUUUCAACUCCCUGAAUGGAGAUUAUCCACGCCCUAUUAUAAAAUAACACUCCAUUGGAGGUUAUGAUUUACAUUCUCACAUAAUUAAUCUUAUAAGAGAUGUCUGUCUAGAAAGAGAUAAUGAAAGCCCCUGAAAUUGCUUUAGUAUCCAAAGGCAAAGAAAUAUUUAUACUUGAUACAUGCACAUGAUCAUGAGAAUGGUGGGAUCGCGAACUAAUGAAUGACAAUUUUUUGGUUUUAGAGUAGCUACUCAAAUCAUCAAUGGGCUAUGUUGAUUGGAACCACGUUCUAUUAUUAAAUGUCAACAAUAUUAUUGGCGAAAAAUAGAAAAAGGCAAUUCCAUUUGAGAAUGAACAUGAAAGAAAAAACUCAUAAUACGAACCCCAAGAAGAUGUUAACCUUGUAGGUUAUAUAUAGGUGUUCAAGAUAAAGAGGAAUACACUCACUUUAUAUGACACAAAUGUUUCUGAUAGAAACAAGGAAUGUUAAGGUUCUCCAUAUUUAUACAUGCAAUCAUGCCUUCUUAUUGCACAUUUAUGAAGACCAACAUGUUAUCUUUAAGGGUUAUUAAAUGCAUGAAAUCAUAUCGCUAGAAGCGAUUCCCUAAAGAUGUAUAAGAGAAAUAAAUAGCUGAGUAUAGUGUGUUAUGAAGUGUAAUCCCUUAAAUAAAAUCCCUAAAUAAUUAAAAUUGUAUAAAGCAAGUCUCAAAAGGACAUGUGCUUGAAGCACAAAUUUUAUACUCAAUAUUAAUAUGUAUAAAUUAUCUAAGGGAGUACUUUGAUUGAAUUCAAAUUAAAAGAUGCUGCAACAUAUUCAACGUUUAAAGUUAUGAGAAAUAUUUAGAUUCCUAAAGAGCCUAUGGAAUAGCAUAUGCAAUUAUGCUCAAAACAUACAAGGAUGAGUAUAAAUGACUGAUUAUAUCAUAUAAAUAUUUAAUACUCUUAUCAUUAUAAAUAUGAGAUCAUUAUGAUUAUUAUUAUUAUUAUUGUUGUUGUUGUUGUUGUUGUUGUUGUUGUUGUUAUUGUUAUUGUUAUUGUUAUUAUUGUUGUUGUUAUUAUUGUUGUUGUUAUGUUAUUGUUAUUGUUAUUAUUGUUGUUGUUAUUAUUGUUGUUGUUAUGUUAUUGUUAUUGUUAUUGUUAUUGUUAUUGUUAUUAUUAUUAUUUUAUUAUUAUUUUUAUUAUUAUAUUAUUUUUAUUAUUUUAUUAUUUUAUUAUUAUUUUAUUAUUUUAUUAUUUUAUUAUUUUAUUAUUUUAUAUUAGAGAGCAUAUGAAAAUCAAGCUAUUAUAUGAAGUCAAAGGCUUACGAAAGUAGAUUAAGGACCAAAGAAGUGCUUGAUGAACCAUGUAUAAUAGAAAUGCUUGAUGAACAAUUUAUAACGUUAAGGACCAACCAUAUCACAAAAAAAUAUAUAUAUAUAAAGGACCAAAGGUGAUAAUUUUGUGAACGUAAGGCAAUCUCCAAGAGUGUGCUACACAAAGGGCUACAAAGAAAAAGGGGGGGCUACACAAAGGGCCAAUUCCUUAAAUGAGAGCCACAUGUGGCUAUUUGGCCAGCACGAGCUAAAUAAUUGGAUGGGGCUCAGCUGAUGUCAGUUAACGGCUAGGUGAUGUCAGCUAGCUUUUUCUUUUUCUUUUUUUUUUAAACAAAAAAAUUGACUAAAAAAUUCCUAAAUUUUUAAUAUAAAUAUCUACCUCAUUCUUACAUAAUUUCUCACAACAUCUUCAUCGUUUUACAUAGUAUCCUUCCUAAAUUUCAUCCUUUUACAUAAUUUCUCACAAUCUCUUCAUUCUUUUACAAAUUAUCCUUUAUCUUUUCCAUUUAAAUUAAUUUUAAAGUUAUUUAUAGAACAAGAAAAAAUCUAAUCAUAAAUCUAUAGGGCUAAUCACUUGGAUGUCAAAAUUCCUAUCCCAAAAAUAUUUUCUCAACUAAAAUGUAUUUUAAAUAUGAUAUAAAUAGUAGUUUAACUAAAUUAACUAAUAAAUUUACAACAUAUACUAAAAAAUACUAAAACAUUAAAUUUAAUCCUUUGUUGUCCGAGACGAUUAAAAUGUGGCCUGACACUAUUCCUUAUAAAUGUAGCCCAGGCUAAAUAUAGCUCUCUCCACUUGAAGAUGGUCUAAGAGACUGUUUGUGAUAAAUAAAAAAAAAGAAAAAGUUCUCAAGUAGUCUCGCAAAGACUCGUCUUGCUUCUUGCACAGGUUGAAUAGAUGGUCCGCGUGCUUUCUGACCGUCUUGUAGGAGGUGUACUCCCUUGUGAAGAUGAGGGCUAACUUCUUGAAGUUUCCUAUCACGCGGACGAUAGAGUGUGGAACCAGUCUUGAGCUGCUCCUCGUAGGGUCAUCGCGAACACUUUGCACAUUCUGACCGUCUUGUAGGAGGUGUACUCCCUUGUGAAGAUGAGGGCUAACUUCUCGAAGUUUCCUAUCACGCGGACGAUAGAGUGUGGAACCAGUCUUGAGCUACUCCUCGUAGGGUCAUCGCGAAUACUUUGCACAUCAGGGCAUCGUAUGCCUUGUACAGGAUCAUGGCGCUCUUGAAGUGGCUCAAAUGGCUCUCAGGGUCUGAGUCCCCCUUGAAUGGAGUGAUGGAUGGCAUUGUGAACCGCUUAGGUGGCGGAGCUCAUUCCACCUUAUCAGUAAAGAACGAGCAGUCGACUAGAUCAAUUUCCUUGAGCAGGGCCUCCUUCGUGCUUCCUUUAAGUUGAAGACUUUGGAGUCGGUCAUUUACCAGCUUCUCGACAUCCUCUACUCGCAUGGCUGGAGUCUCGGGCUGACGUCUUCGGUGCCUCGAGCGCGACUGGCUAACUUCUUCCUCAGUUCCCAAGGGUCGAUCCCCUUGGGUGCUCUACCCAUGGGGCAGAUUAGGAGAUUGAGCUUAUGAGGAUUGCUCUACAACUUGUCGCUGUGUGUUGGCCCUUAAGCGGGCCAGUGGGCGUCGAUCGUCAUCUUCUGCCCGUAAAGAGGGUCGCUCAAGUUGACGUCUUCGGUGCCUCAAGCGCGACUGGCUAACUUCUUCCUCGUUUCCCAAGGGUCGAUCCCCUUGGGUGCCCUGCCCGUGGGGCAGAUUAGGAGAUUGAGCUUGUGAGGAUUUCUCUACAGCUUGUCGCCGUGUGUCGGUCCUCGAGUGGGCUAGUGGGCGUCAAUCGAUGCUCUUGUUAUGUGAUUGCUCUCGAACUCGAGCUUCUUGUAGGCCCAAGCAAGCACGGACAUUGGACUAUGGGCCAGCCUUUCUAGCACGUUGGUCCUUGGUCCUAGCCUCGAACGGCUCAGAGUACGACUCGCUCUCUCCCCUGGGACCUCUCGAACUGCUCGUCGGCACGCUCGUGCACCCUCCUCUCCUCGUCACAGGGUCCAAAGUUAGGGCCUUGAUUCAAGUUGAUCUGCCUGAGUAGCUAGCCAAUCAAAUUGUUUUGAUUGUCGACCCUCUGUGUAAGUUGAUCAACCCGUGAGUUAAGGUCCACCUGACUGCGCAGGUCAAGUAGAGUGGUGUGCAUCGAGCCCAACGACAUAUGGGCUAGGGUUCCAUUAGAUGCGUACGCAGGUGCAUACGUCAAGUGUGGCUGUAGAGGAGAGAGAGAAUGGAUCUGCUCCAAGACUGGGAUGGCGUCGAAGUAGCCAUGGGGCUGUCUAGCAGUUUCGGCAGCUCAGUGGUGUGGCUGCUGCUGUGCUUUGACGGCAGGAUAGCGAGGCCGAGCAGCUCCAGUAGGAUGGUGCAGCAGAGCAGCUCCGGCUGGAUGGUGCAGCAGAGCAGCUCCGGCUGGAUGGUGCAGCAGAGCAGCUACUGCAAUCGGCGCUUGUGGCUGCAAGGCUGUGGAGCUCACGGGAUCAUGUGGCGGCUGUUCUGCAAUUUCAGCAGCUGUCUGCAGCGGCUACAAAGCACUAGGAGAUGGCUGCAAGUUGUUGGCGGCCACGAUUUCGUGAGGUUGCAUUGAGGUUUUCACCACGAAACCAUGAGACCGGCCCGUCGUGGUGGCAUUACUCUUCGUACGUCUGGUAUCAACCAUGGUGGUUUGACAAAAAAAAGUAUUGUAAAUGGAUUUGGAGUACGCUUUGAGUAUUAUUCCGCGCUCUCAAUGAAAGCACCAAUUUGUGGGAGCAAAUUUUCCCACGAGAAUAUUGGCCCAAGAUUCCUUCGUCUUCUCUGCCUGUCUUUCUCCCUGCAAAAUAGAUCGGAGUAAAAGGACCACACCCGGGGGGGUGUUGGCCAAAGGCCCUUUGAUGCCUAAGUUAGGUAGGGUGUUUCAAGGAAAACCGGGUGGCCGGAGCCGUAUGUGGUGGCCGGAGCCUUGUGUGAGAGAGAGAGAGAGAGAGAGAGAGAGAAAGAUAGGAGGUGGAUAGGGUUUUUGAGAAAUAAUUUCUGCAGAGUUUCAGUAGGAAUUUAGACGUACCUUAACCUUUGUCUGUGGCCAUCCUUUUAUAAUGGUCUCGGAGGCUAGGGUUUCAGAGGAAUAAUUCCGUAGAUGGAAAGGAAUUAUUCCUUCCCGAUUUGGAAUUGAUUUGAUUAAUUAGGGAUUUGAUUUAUUAGGGUAAAUCAAAUCCCUAAUUGGGGUAGGUAUCAAAUCAAUUCCUAAUUUAAAUGGGUAACUCCUCAUUUAAUUGGAAAUUGGGGUAGGAAUAAAAUCAAUUCUCGACCCAAUUAGCUAAUAUUCUAUUUAAUUGGGUAAUCCCCAAUUAAAUUGAAUAGUUCUCAAUUAGGUCAAAUAAUCCCCAAAUGGAAGGAAUUAUUUAACCUAGGGUUUUGAUUUAAUUAGGUUCCCACAGUCUUCUGCUUCUUUGACCUCCAGGAAAUUAAGUUAAAACCAAAAUAGACACAAAAACCACCAAUAGAAUGUCUUGUAUCAAGAUCCCUUGUAUAGUUAGCAUCAAAAUAAGCAUUUAAUUCUAGUUUGCCAGGUUGAUACCGAAGCCCAUGAUCAUAUGUGGCCUUCGAAUACUGCAAAAUGCAUUUCACUGCCUGCCAGUGCACUUUUGUAGGUGAAUGCAUGAACUGGCAGACUUGGUUCACAUUAAAAGACAAGUCCGGCCGAGUAAGAGUGAGAUAUUGUAAGGCACUCACAACUUGGCGAUAUUCAGAAGGAUCCAAAAGAGGCUCACCACAGUGAAGACUCAAUUUCUGACCAGAAAUACAUAGUGUAGAUAUAGGCUUGCAAUCUACAAAACCAGUACGAGUAAGAAGGUCAGAGGCAUAUUUCUUUGCGUCAAAUGCAACGUGGAACCUACAUAAGUGGCCGCAAUAUCCAGGAAAUAAUUUAGAGGUCCCAAAUACUUCAUAGAAAAUCAUUUUCCCAAUCUCUAAAUAAGAGCCAUAACUUGAGAAGAAUUAUUUCCAGUCACUGAAAUAUCAUCUACAUAGAUAAGUCGAAUAAGAAAGACACCAAAAUCACUAAAUCGUUUAAAUCAGGCUCGAGGUGCCUGUUUUAAACUAUAAAGUGACCUUUGCAGCUUGAAAACGUGAUUGGGAUACUGCGAAUCAACAAAACCAGCCGAUUGCUUCAUGUAUACAUCUUCACUCAAAAAAGCAUGAAGGCGGCGUUUUGAAUAUCCAAUUGAUGAACAUGCCAUUGAUUAGACACAACAAGCCCAAGAACCUUACGAAUUGUGGUGUGCUUAACUAGAGGACUGAACGUCUGAAUAAUCGAGCCCUUCCUAUCGAUGGAAACCAUUGGCCACUAAACGCUCUUUAUUACGCUCAAUGGAUCCAUCGGAGGGCCUUUUAAUAUCUUGUUGGGAAGAACAUUCAUGUGAUGUUGAAAAGGAACCAAAGUCCACGUCUCACACCUCUGCAAAGUACUAAACUCUAUGGCCAUGACAGUCCUCCAUUCUGCGUGUUUGAUAGCUUUGCUGAAACAUGAAGGCUCAACAUCUUUAGAAUCAACCUGGAGAUGCAAAGCAUACCUCAAAAAGUAUUUUAAACUCCUCGUUUGAGAUUAAGUCACCAUCUAAUGUCGAUGAUGAGCGGUGGAAUAAAAUAAGUGACAACUUCCAACAGUACAGCAGAUAGAGAAGAUUCACGCACCACAACUAAAUCUCGGACUAGAGCAAAAGAUGUUGAAGUGUCAUAACAUCUAUCUUGGCUUAAAAAAAGAUGAAGAUGGCAAUUGUGAUUGUGUAGGUUAUGUUAUUUGUGGGCUUGGGCUUGGAACAAGAUCUUAGGUGCUGCAAUGGACUAAGAGCAAACAAGACCAAGUUUAGUAAUAGGAAAAUGAAAGGAAAUACUAGCAUUUUUACCUGAGUCAAGGAGGACACCUUGCCUGAGAUAUGUGAGUUCAAAACGUGCAAAUGGGAAGGUACCAUCAUCAAACAGCACAUGACGGGACAAAAACACCUCACUUGUUGUUAAAUCUAGACAUUGAUAACCAAGAUGAUUAAGAGAAUAACCCAUGAAUACACACGAAUGAGACCAUGGUUGAAGUUUGUUUUGGUUAUACGGACGAAGAAGGGGGAAGCAAGUGCACCCAAAAACUCGAAGAAAUUCAUAACUUGGACUACAAUUGAACAAAACUUGAUAUGGACUCUUUUGUUGAAGAACUCUAGUAGGUAACUAUUUAUCAAUUACACUGUGGUUUGAAAAGCUUAUUCCUUAUAUUUUUGUGGUAUGUCAGAAUGGGUCAUAAGAGCCAAACCUAUUUCAACUAUGUGACGGUAUAUUUGUUCAGCCAAGCCAUUUUGUUCUAGAUGUUUUGGACAAGAGAACCUUUGAUGGAUACCUUGAGAUAACAAAUAUUGAGGAAAGGUCUGUUUGGUGUAUUCUCCACCUUCAUCACAUUGCAAUAUUUUUAUUUUAUGAGAUAGAAGAUUUUCAACCUGAGUUUUAAAUUGAAUGAAAAUUUGAUGGACAUCUGAUUUAUUUUUCACAGGAAAGAUCCAAGAAUAGCGUUAGAAGUAAUCAACCAACAACAAAUAAUACUGAAAACUAUUGAUUGAAUUAACUGGAGAACACCAUACAUCAGAGUGUACAAGUUGUAAAGGAAACUGUGACUUAGAUGAUGAAAAACUAAAACUAAUAGGUAAUUUAGAACUCUUAGCUAACGGACAAGAAUGACAAAAGGAAAAUUUAGAAGAACCACAAACAGGUACAAUCUUAUUCGUAGUUAAAUAUUUUAUUGUGGAAGACACAUGAUGUCCUAAGCGUGAGUACUAAGUUUGUGCAGAAACUCUAGAACCUAUAGAAGCCGCCAAUGUCUAGAUUGAUGGAGGGGGUCGAAACUGCAAUGGAUAUAGGUCAUUCUCACAUCCCCCUUGGAAAAGCAUCCUCUAGAUUUUGAGGUCCUUGAUGAGAAAAAAACAAGGUAGGAUAAAUUAGAAAAUAGCAAUGGUUAUCAACAGUGAAACAGUGAACAAAUAACAAAUUGGAUAAAGCAUCAAGACAAUGCAAGACAUCUUUAAGAGAAAAAUUUGUGGAUGUCAUGACAAUUUUAGCAUUUCCAAUAUGAGUUAUUCGUAAAUCAGAGUCAGUACCUAUAUCGCUAACCUAUUCCUUACCAACAUAUUCCUAAGCAUUAUCGAGAUUACAAUUUUUGGUGUGAUAUGGGCAUUGAGUUUGUGUCAACAAGCCAAAUAUUUGAGGUGAAUCAAUUUGCAAUGUUAGGCUGGGUGGCCAUUGCAGAGAGACGGCUUGCUGGAAUUUGGCCUUCAUAUGCAGUAUUCAUUUUAUUAAAGCAGUCCAAAGCUUGAUGGUUAGGCUUGUUGCAAAUCUGGAAAAUGGAACGACCAGGGAUUGAAGAAGAAGACUCGCAUGGAGUACUGAAAGAUCGUUGAUUGGGGAAAUUAGACCGGAAUUGACUAGGCCCACGAGUAGUAGCAUAAUUUCUGUUGCAUGUAAAAUUGCAACUAGGAGAACGCCCUCUAUUUCCAUGGCCACGUGAAGCAACAAAGGUAGUAAUCCCUGUGUUCAGAUUAGGAAUAAGCUGUGACUGCUCCCCUAUACGUCGUUCAGCACUCAGUAAAAGUGCCCCCAAAGCUUCAUACGUGAUUGGAGCAUCACAAGCUUGUGCGACACUGACUGUGACUUCAAAUGCAGCCCUGACAUUAUUCAUGAUGACGGAGACCAGAUCAUCAUAUGUGAGGGGACUUCCUACAAGAGGCAAAUUAUCAGAAAUCAAAUUCAUUUUGUCUAAAAAUUCAGAAAUGGACAUAUCUCUCUUAGUAGUACGUAGCAACUCAUUUCGCAAGUGUAAAAUCCAAUUAUGUGAGGUGGACGCAUAACGGCGCUCCAAAGAUUCCCAAGUCUUGCGAGAAGUGGGGGAAAGAGUGACAGUAGCCAAUAAUGUCAGACUCAAUGAGUUGUUAAUCCAAUUGAGAAUGGUCUGAUCUUGUUGCACCCAAUUAAGAUAAGCAGGAUUCAGUAUAGAAGUAUUUGUUGCUAGGAGAUGCUUGGGUGGACAAGGCACCGAGCCAUCAACAUAGCCAAAAAGGUCAUGGCUGCAAAGAAUUGGAGAUAUUUGAGCCAACCAAAGUGGAGAGCUUGAUGGUAACAAUAGUGGAAACUACAGGUGUAGCAGCACGGGUGGGUGUUGCAGAAUUGUUGGUUGGAGGUUGUGGUGGGUUUGCAUCAUUGGUGUUGGUAGGAUAAAGAACUGUCAUUCAAACAAGAUGAAUUCAAAUUCAAAAACUCAGUAAAUUUAUCCACAUCAGACCUUGGUCUAACAGGUCGUGAGCGGCGAUCUCGGGAUGGGAUGUGGCAGCACCGUCAUGGUGGAGAGCAUCAAAUCCGAUCAUGAGGCAGAGUGGGUGGUAGCGUACUUAUGCAGUUGUGGAGUCAUGGCAGCCAUGAGAUGGUGAAAAGGCUCUGUGAUGGGGGUCGAAUAGGUGUUCUUGGACAUGGGACCAAGUCGAAGAGCUACUGCAUGCAUCGAAUGGGUGCUCUCGGUAACCUAGAGGAGGAGCAGUAGCUACGGCUAGGGUUGUGGCGGCAGUCGCAGUGCCGAGAGUCUGAACCACGACUUCAGUUGCAGCACACGGUAACUGCCUCGGAGUCGUGUUGUCGUGGUGACACAAGUUUGUCAUGGAUUGGGUUGUUGUUGCGGCCCGACUCCUCGUUCGCGUACUUCCAACAUGGUUGUUUGGAAGGCUUCGAUUGAGAGAUGAAAAUGAGGAAAUAGGUUCUUUUCAUUCAAGAGCACGCAUUGAGUAUUUCUCGGUCUCUCAGUGAAAGCACCAAAAUGUUUGAGCAAAAUUCCGCACGGGGAAUAUUCGCUGGUUGAUUCCUCGACCUUUGAUCUUCCUUCUCUCUCUGCCUCAAUCCCUACGAAAUAAAUUGGAGUAAAUAGACCACAGCCAGUGGGUGUUGGCCAAAGGCCUUUUGAUGCCUAAGUUAGUUCAAUUAGAUCUGGACAAAGAUACAACAAUAGCUAAAAUGGAUGGAGUUUUCUAUCAAGGGGAGAGCCGGGUGGUCGGAGCUGUGUGUGGUGGUGCUUAGCAGUGUGAGAGAAAGGGUGAGGGAGGAGGCGAUGACAAAGAGGGAGAUAGGAUUUUCCAAGGGUUUUGAGUGUGAGUUUAGAAUUACCUUGAAUGUCUUGUGUAGCCAUGUAUUUAUAAGCUCCUUGUAUGCUAGGGUUUGAAGAAGAAUCCUCAUUUGGUUAGGAUUAUUCUUACCCAUAAAUAGGAGAUUGGAAUUAAUCGAGGAGAUUUGAUGGAAAUCUCAUCCUUGAUUUGGGGAGAUAUUCUCAUCUUAAAUCAAAGAUAAUUUUCUGAAUUAAAUAAGAUUUAAUUAGGGUAAUCAGUUGCUGAAAAUCAGAGAGCGCGUGACCUAAAAAGAACUGAAAAUGAAAUCUUGCGGAGAAAGAAAACAAUGUUAUUUUUUAUGUUGGUUGCCUUUCACUUUUUACAAAAAGAAAAAUAAUUUUACAAAUUAUGGAACAUUGAUUGCCAUCAUUUUGAAUUCCGUAGUUUAUAAAUUCCUAAAUACUUAUAAAUUUCUUAUUGUAAAAGAACGGAAAACCUAACUUUAGUGAAGCAAUGUUAAAAUGGGUCGUGUUAGUCUCUGAUUAAUGCAUUAGGUUGAGGCUGAACAUGUUGUGAAAGACAUGUUGUGGAGAGAAUGGAACAAAUUGCUGGAGCAAAUAAUUGCCCUGGAACUGGAAGUGCAGAAAGUCAUUCAUAAGAAAAUACAUGGACAGCAGUAGCUGUGGCAUGCAUAGAUAGGAAUUGAAGCUAUUUGGCUCAUUCAACAUUAUAGUCCCUUUAAAUAUGACUUUCUGUUCUGUUGUUCAUCCAUGUACGUUUAACUCUCUCAAUACACCUUGGCUUUUAUUUUUGUUAAACAUUUAGUUUGAUGAAAUUCAUAUAUUAUAUUACAAGUUGCAUAAUAUAUGCAUGUUUUUCUUAUAUUUACCAGAGAGAGAAGAGAGCAGUGAGACCAAAAAAAUUAAUAAAUAAAUUAUCAGUUGCCAAAACUUUUCUCAAAAUCGAAUCACUAAAUGAAUGAAGACAACUGAUAGAACAAAUUAUGCCAGAAAUACAAACACAGCACAUUUGGGAUGAACGAUGUUAAAAUCUGUUUCCCCUUAACUCUUUUCAAUAUCAGUCAACAGUAAUAUUAACAUGAAAUAUGAAUAUGCUAGCGUGACGCGCUCGGGCGUAUAACCCUAAUGCACAUUUCCAAACUUGGCAGUCCCAGCACAUGUAAACAAAAAGCAAAAGACACGUUCUUACAACACACAAAAUCAUUCAAUACGAGCAAACACAAGAUAUCUAAAAUAAAUAAAUAAUAUAUUGAUGUGCAAAGAAGCUAAUUUGAUUCAGACCCAAGAAAUGUGCUCACUGCUGCAUCACGUAUCCCCUGCAUCCUGGAAAAUAUCAGUAGGCGGCCAGCAGAGAAGCUUGGACACACCUACUAGGCUACUAAAUGUACUAAUACAAAAGCAUAAAUGUGAAAUUGUGAUAAAUUGCACUCUCAUUGCAACCACGAAAAUUUGGCUCGAUAGUUAAAAAACAAAGGGGAAACAAUAUAUAUGUAGAGCAAACAGAAUCAUGUGUCUUCCUAACCUCAGAAGGGCAAUUAUACCAUCAUCAGUAUUGAAACAGCAAUCUCCUGUAUCUAGUCUAACACAUUAAAGUUAUUCACUCUCAUUCAGAGAACAGAGAACAACCACCACACCGCCCACAUUUUACCUUCCAUAUUUCCGCUUCCUAACGUUCACUAUUCUUCGGUUAGACAUGUCACCAAUAGUGCCCAAUGAGAAGCUCCCCCCUUGACUUGCACCCAAACUGCCCGAAGCCUGAAAUGGUGAAGGGUUCUGUGGGUUGGUUGGAUUCUGUUGGAUUGAAAAUUGGAUGGGAUUCGCCGCUGCGACUGCAGGUGUAGAUCCAAAUACAGAGCCCUGUGAGGUUGAAACAGGCUGUUGACCAAACACAGGCUGCUGACCAAAUACUGGGACGGAAGGUGUAGAUGCCUGAUUAUUGUGUUCAGCAUGAUGUCUACAAAGUUCAUUUUAUCAUUAUUAUUCAAGGAACCAAAUGGAAAUGCAGAAUUUGGGUUCCCAGAUGCAGGCUGUGAUGGGGCACUACUAGCUACAGAAUUUGUUGCAGCAGCUACAACGGCAGAUACACUGCAGAUGAAAGCAUAGAUAUAUAAAUAAAUAAAGCAGUAAAUUUUUGGUGAACAUAAAAAUUAGUAACACCAAUAUUUUUUAUUGAGAUUUCCACAUGAUACCACUGAUUACAUUUUGAAACUAAAGGAGCUUGUAUUGUUAAAAUUGGUAAAAGGGAAGAACUUGCAGAGAAAUUUCUCUUGUGUUUUCAUGGAUAUUUCAGCAAGCAGAUACAAAUCUUAAAUACAAGAAAGGAAAAGCUGUACAAGUGAAGUUAACUAAACUUGUGCCUAAAGUCUGGCAACUGAUUACAAUCAGAAUAAUGGAAAGAUUGCAUAAGAGCAGAUCCUACAAUUAUGGCUUGACAUAAACGUGACUAAAGAAAUUCUGGUGGGGAACAAAAGUACACAAGCAUUAAGGCAGAAGGAAACCAUAAUUUUAAAGGUAUUCUAAGCACUUUGUUCCCUCUGUUUUAACUUACCACGGUACGAAUGUCUUCAAUUGUCUUUCAUUCUUUGCUAAUAAAUAAACGCUUUAUCUAUCAAUAUUGCAUUAUUUUCGCUAACUGCCUUCACCACUAGGAAAGAAGAUUGAAAAUAUAAAUCCAAAAACUGCUCACACCAGAACCCACGCUGAACUAUACGAAGGUUCCAACAGACGAUAGCUUAAUUUUUCAUUGCCACACUAAGUGAGCACUUGAAACUGACAUUUACAGGCAACCUGCCUUCGUGGUAUUAGGCCAUAAACUACCUUCAUGGUCUUCGGACAUGCAUAUCCUCUACCAACUGAAUGAUAUUCAUACAGUUCCGAUCAAUUUGCCCAUUCCUUUGAAGGAAAAUCCUUAAGAAGCCUAGGUUUGUUUAUACACUUCAAUCUCUUUUUAUAAAGAAAAAAUAAGCAAAAGAUAAAUGCAGCAAACAAGGGCCUUCAACAAUACUUUUCAACAAUAGGAGAAUAUUAAAAAGAAAAUACGCAAAUUAUCAUACGGACCUGCUUGAGCUUUCAGGUUUGGGGACUGAAAAGGCACCAGAUUUUACGUCAACAGAUUCACCAACUGCAGGUGACGAAGCGAAAGCAAACUGUGGCUGUGCAACUUCGUCAACACUCUUAGAGACAUAGUUAAACACAGGAGAAGCUGCACCUGAAUCCUUCAUUGCAUUUGGUUCUGGGCAUUCAGUAGUAUUAUUGACUUUGAAGCAUUUGGAGCAAAACGGGCAUUUGACUCUGGUUGUUCUUGUUUUUGUAUCAUCUCCAUCCCCAUCAUCAUCAUCAGUAGAUGAGUCAAAGCGGAUUUUCUUAAUAAACAUCUUCAGGUGAGGAGAGAGAGAGAGAGAGAGAGAGAGAGAGAGAGAGAGAGUGAGUGAAGAAAUAAGAGGAUUUUCUUUUCUGCAAAAACGCACGCGCAGAGAAUCAGAGGUAGAAAAAAAAUGGAAGAAACAAGGAGAGAGAGAGAGAGCGAGAGACAGAGAGAGAGAGCGCGAAGAAGAGGAAAGUAAUAGCAAAAAGAAAAAAGAAAAAGUUCAGGAUAGUAUGGUGGCUUUUGGAUUGCUGCGCUUAAAACAUAAUAAGUAGCUUAUAAAAGAAGUUAUGGAAACAAAAGCGUUUAAACUGGGUGUAUCUAAUUCUAACUUUUAAAGUAGGGAGGAAUUCACCAAUUUUUAAUGUGUUUAAAAGUGAGGAGGAAUUGCAAAGGAAUUACUAGUGUAGUGGUUUGGAGUAUUUAUUUCCUCAGGCAAGGUCCUGAGUUCGAGUCCUAGCAUCUAUACUGUGUGUGUGAGUGUAAUAUGCUAUCGCCCCUUUCAAUAGGAAAGGUGUUCAAAAAAAAAAAAGUGAGGAAUUCAAUUGUGACUUUUAAACAAUCUUUAAAAGUUGAGAGUUGAUUUUUUCACUUAUCUUUCGUCCACUUACAUUUUAUUUGUUGGAAAUUAUAUGUUUUCAAUGCUCUUUUGUCUACUUAUACUUCUUUAUAUGUUAUAGUAAAAAGUAUUUUUAAAAAUAAAACGGAGUGUAAGUGGACAAAAAAAGAGUGAGAAAAUCAGCAUCUUAAAAGUUUAGUAGUAUUCAAUUGUAACUUUUAAAAAAAAAAAUUUAAUUUUGUGGUAUCCAAAAAGUUAAUGAGUUUUGAAAACUUUGUUAAAUAAAUGAUUUUUUAUUAAUUCUUAAUACCAAAAAUCUUGCUAAUUUACAGAUAACUUUCUCCAAUAUAUUCCCUUCGUUAUAUCAAGCAUCAAACAGUGAGAAGUACACUCUCUUCAUGGUUAAGGCUCCAUUUCUUGGUAUCCUAUCUUCUCAUACACUUCUUUCAAGUUAAUAAAAAGUGAGGAGGAAUUCAACUGUGACUUUUAAAUAGUCUUUAAAAGUUGAGAGCUGAUUUUUUCACUUAUCUUUCGUUCACUUACAUUUUCUUUGUUGGAAAUUAUAUGUUUUCAAUGCUCUUUUGUCUACUUAUACUUCUUUAUAUGUUAUAGUAAAAAGUAUUUAAAAAAAUAAAACGGAGUGUAAGUGGACAAAAAUAGAGUGAGAAAAUCAGCAUCUUAAAAGUUUAGUAGUAUUCAAUUGUAACUUUUUUAAAAAAAAUUUAAAAUUUUGCGGUAUCCAAAAAGUUAAUGAGUUUUGAAAACUUUGUUAAAUAAAUAAUUUUUUAUUAAUUCUUAAUACCAAAAAUCUUGCUAAUUUACAGAUAACUUUAUAGUGAAUUGUCGGGAAGCUAAAGAGACUAAAAAAAAGGUUUCCAAUUCUUUCUCCAAUAUAUUCCCUUCGUUAUAUCAAGCAUCAAACAGUGAGAAGUACACUCUCUUCAUGGUUAAGGCUCCAUUUCUUGGUAUCCUAUCUUCUCAUACACUUCUUUCAAGUUAAUAAAAAAAAUCUUAAGUGCUUUUCUUUUCCUUAUGCUUGCGUCACAAAGCAUAUCAAUAUUUCUUUUCUUGUCCUCAUGCUUGCAUCCCGAAGCUCACCAUUAUUUCAUACAAAGCUAUUUUUACUUACAAUGUUUCAUUUAUAUGUUGAUUUUCUCAUCUGCUAUAUUUGCAUACAAUAUUUAUUAUAUUAAUUUUUUUCUCAUAUGCCAUUAAUUUAUUAUGUUUGCAUAAACAUUUUAUAUGUUUCUUGCUCAAAUAUUGUGAAUUUCCUAUUGAACCAAAGAAUGAAUCUUCAUCAUCUUCACCAUUACCAGGGAAUGAAGGAGAUCAUGUGGAACAAAUUUUUAAAACUCUUGUUAAUAAACAAAGACUUGGUAUAGCUUUUGAUAUGUGGAGAGAUAUCAUGCAAAAUGAUAACUAUUAUUAACGGUGAUGAAAAAUGAAAUUUCAAAAGGAAUUUUCAAUUUGCAUUAUAGUUUAUUUCACAGCCAUUAAAAUGAAUCAUGGCUAAUCUUUUUUUCUUUUUUCUUUUUUUACUGAAUCAUGGCUAAGCUGAAUGACAAUUAUUUCCUUACGAUACAUUUUCAAUUGUUCUUUAUCAUUUUUGUCAUUUUCAAAUGUGAGGAAAAAUAUUUCUUUGCAUUUACACAAUUGUAUCCUUUUUGGAUAAAAGUCUCUAAAACUCUAUGAUAAAAGUAUAUGAAAGUUUGUCACUUAACAUUAUAAAGUAUGUAAAAGUUAUUAAGAAUCUGUCAAUUCAAUGAAAGUCAUGCACUUUAAAGACAUAUACCCCCUUAGUUGUAACGGGAAUAAUACAGUUUUGGUAUCCCGGUCAAUAAUGUUAUGUUACUUGGAACUAUUAAUAUACAUGUUAUGAUAUUAUGGUAUGUGGAACUAUUAUCACGCAUGUUAUAACAUUCUUAAUCAAAAAUAGCAAAAUAGUGUUAUUCUCAUUUCAUAAAAGUUUUUCUCCACCGACAUAAAGAGAGGGAAAAGUAAAGGGAAGAGGGAAAUAAUAGGAGAGAGAAAAGUAAAAUAAUGAAAAGAAAGAGAGAGGAAGGGAGAUAAUAGCUAAUGAGAGGGAGUUCAGUCCAAAAAAAAAGGGAGGGAGCUGAUGUGGUGUCAGCAGCCCUUUUUUUCUUUUUUCUUAGGGAGGGAGGGGCUCGUUUGGUACAUCGUAUUAGACUCUGGAUAGGAGUAAAUAGUCUAUGUCAGGCGUUUGGUGUCAACUUGUAUUAUUUAAUUACCCGACUAUUUUAUACGAGUUGGGCUUUUAAUACUCUCCUUACCUGACUAACUAAUACAACCCACACACCCCGGUUUAGAUAAUACACGCUUAAUUAUACGGCUAGAGAAAAAGAACACGCGUUCUACGAAAAAAAAUCAGACGCUCUUUUCAUCUUCUUCUCCCUAGGGUUGUUCUCUAUUAUCUUCUCCACAAGUUAUUUUCUUCACUUUUCUCCAGGUAUCCAUCUCUCACUCUCUCUCUUUUUCAUACUCUCUCCAAUAUGCUUUAUAUAUUUCAAUUUUUUUGUGGAAAUUAGGUUAUGAAUUUUUUUUUUUGGCAUUUUUUUUAAUCGAAUGUUUUCUUUGUAUGUGAUAUAGUGAUUCGACGUUGUGGGAAUAUUUAGAUUGUUGGUAUUAAACAGAGUAUUGCCAAUUUUCGUCCAAAAAUAAAAAACUGUGCUAGUGUUGGUAGUUUAAUUGAAUACAUACAUACAUGACGACUAGGAGAGCAAAAUUACAAAAUCAAAAUUGUAUGAACCUGAAUUCUAGGAACCAUUUUUUUUUCUUUGUCAAUUGCUAUUAAAAAAGCAAAGAUGGACUUGUCUAUUAAUGACCAAAUUAAGGCACUACGGCUAAUUUUGGAGAAAGCAAGUGAUGAAAAAAAUUCCUGACAUUGGAUGGUGCUAUGAGAAAAGCAUUUGUUCUUCUCUUACUUGGGGCGAGGGAGUUGUGAUUCACUCUUUGAUGUAGUUUGGUUUAUGAACAACUUUCUCUUUUGCUCUUAGCACCUUAAUAUGUGAUCACUUUGAAUUAUACAUUGUUUGGUAUUGUUUUUAUUAACGUAUGCGAGUAUGUUGGAAUUUUUAUGAGAUACUACAAUUAUGAUAAUGGGUUAUAUGAAAAAAAAUCUUGGCAAAAACAAUUGAAAAAUAAAUCUUGUCAUAUGAAUCUUCCAUUAAAAUUAUCAAAGAUUUUAUUUAUUUAUUUAUUUAUAAAUAGUCUGAUCUGAUGUUAUUCGAAACAUCACCAAACACAGUAUAACUUAGUCAGAUUAUUUAUCCGGAACAGCACCAAACGCCUUAUAAUAUUAUGGAUAAAUAGUCAGUACUCUCCGAAACAGAUUAAUACUAUCCGACAAAAAUUAGUCAGUACAGUCCGACGUACCAAACGAGCCCUUAGUGUUUUGGGCUGUCCAUUUUCCUCUUAUUGGGUUUUCCCAAUCCUUUCAAUUAAGGCAAUAAUAAAUACAGGCUAACGACAUUUUAGAGUCUCAAGAUUUGGGGUCAUUCUUGAAAUGAGCCAUGGGGUUUUAAUUUUGUCAAUUUACGCACCAACGUUUUAAAAUUCAACCAAUUUAUAUGUUAUGUCAAUUUGACCGUUUGUUCUUCUGUUAUAUUAUAAAAUAAAUUGUUAGUGUAUGUAUAUAUAUAUAUAUCUAUGUAUGUUAGUAGUAUGUCCUUAAAGCCAACUUCUUCUUUUUUUUUGGUGAGAAAUUCUAUUAUUGCAUUCAUAAUUCAGCCAAAAAAGCCACUAGCCACAAAAGGCCAAUACAAACUAGCCACAAAAGGGUCAUUACAAUAACGGAGCGGUCUAAUAUCAAAAUUAAGACAAUAUGGCGUGUCUCCACUAACGAUCAGGUAGGAUCGAAAAAAACUUUGGCAUAGGCAUCCCAACUAAGAUUGCAAACUUAGAGUAAUAAAAAAGAGAUAAAGCUUGAAAAAACCAAGCCAUAACAAUACAAAUAAAACUCUCACAAAGGAGAAAUGAAAAGCUCUCACAAAGGAGAGAUGAAAAACUCUCACAAAAGGAGAGGUGAAAACUACACAGAGAACCCAAAGAGUCUUUGCAACUUAUUCCAAACAUAAAGAAAUUGCAAAAAAGAUGGUGGUAGAGAUCCGACGCCGAAAUGCAGGUGAAGAUCGGACGCUGAGCCACAGGCGCCUAUAAUAGUUGGAUGAAAAUCAUAACAAAACUAAGACAAAUAGGGAAAACCCUUUGUCUCUGAAAAUGGGGGAAAAGGUGAAAGGAGGAAGAGAAGAGGGGAGAGGAGGGAAGAACAAUGGCUUCCUCCCCCCUCAAAGUGGAAAAGGCUCUAAAAGUAUUUUUUGGGAGAAAGGGGGCUCGUGUUUUUUGGGAGAAAGGGGACUAGGGUUUAGGGUUUUUUUGGGAGUGGACUUUUACUAAAGCCAACUAAUUAAACGAUGAUUAAUGUUAAGGAUAUCUUAUGUGAUAAAUUAUUAAGUUAUUUAUGGGUAAGACCAAUUGUUUUCAACCAUGAUAUUUGGUAUAUUAUCAUAAUAGUAAAACAACUAUAGUCCUAGGAAUAUAUAAGUGGACAUGAGAACUAUUUGCAUACAUCAAGACUUAUCAUGGUCCCUAAUCCUAAAUAUGUUUCUGGUCGUUGAAGUAUCAAUUGGGUGUUGAUAUUCCGCCAAGACAAGUACACAUUGUAUCUUCUCUAUAUGUAGAGAAUGAUGAGGUCUCCAGUCAUUGAGUGUAGCGACACCUAAAUAUGUGUAUAGGUGCUUGCAUGAGAACAAGGACACUGAAUGCAAUCAAAUACAUGAGUUCUAGAAUAGAAGUCUUUACUCAUAUGUCAAACUAGAACUCAUAGAUUGCAAUGCAAUGGUGCAAACUAAUCCUUAGACCUGAGACAUCAUAGAUAUCUUGUGGCUAUGUUGUAUGUCUUUGAGGGUACUAUAUAGUUGUGUUGUGGGAGACAUGACCUAAAAGAGUCUAUCAGGACUCUUAAUAAAGUCAUGAAGACAAAUGAAUGUACAACAAGGCUACUCUCAGUAAGGAGAGAGAAUAUUCAAAGGAUAUGAUUGAUCAAAUCUCUACGCAUUGUAGUGGAUAAGAUUUGAAAGAAGAAGUUAUAAAAUCUUACAAGGAUAAUCAUAUAAAGGAAUAAUUCACAUUAGGAUAUUUGAAAUUAGAUUCCAAUAUCUAAUAAUGUGAAUAAGGAGUAUUGUAUAAACGAAAGAUUCAAUUGCAUUGUCAUUCCAAUUUGAAUAAGUUCUUCCCUACACCUUAUUUAGCUCGAAUAACUAUGACAUGUUGCUAGUCAAUCAUGGUUUGUGGAAGACCUAAAAGGAUCAAACAUAAUUGACAUUUACUAAUAGGAAGAAUUAAAUAGUGGAUUUAAUUAACAAAUCAACUCAUAGAAGUUGAGUAAACUCACUACCUUGCUAAAAGUAACCUACGAAUCGCACACCAAGAAAUGAGAUUAGAGGUACAACUGAAGAGAGACAAAAAACUAGGAGUCAAAAGUCAAAGUUCGAAGUCAAGGGUAAAAGUCAACGAUCAAGUCAAAGUCAACAUGUUUGACCAAAGCAUUUGACAAAGUCAAAUUAGUAAGACCAUAAUAGUGGUUUAAGAGUUAAAUCAUCAUUCAUAAUUAAGAGUUGAUUAUGGAAUAAUUUUGACAUAAGGAAUUGGGCCCAAGGAUAAGUGUUGUAUGACAACACAAAUAUAAGGACCCAAGUGAAGCCCACUCCCUCAAUCAUGGCUGGCUAUAGGGAGAGAAUUUAUCUCCCUUCCCUUUGCGUGCUUUUCCUAUAAAAGCCAAAAGAAGACUCAAAACCUAGUUAGGGUUUUUGGCAUUCCACUCUUGGGUUUUUGAUGUGUAGGAGAGACAUCCUCCCUCUCAUCUUUCUUAGCCAAAAAUUGGUCAAACCUAGAGAAAGACUAGCACCUAAGUUCUCUAGGUUGAUUUCUCUUCAUCUCUAGUCCUUUUUGGUGUGGUGAAGUAGAGGACUUCACUCUUGGAGUCUUGGGUUGAGGAGCUUGUGAGAAGAGGAAGAAAGGAAGAGAUUCUCCUACAAAAGUGUUGACUCUUGGCUUGUCCAACAAAUAGUCGUCAAGGGUAAACUCUCAUACGUUUCUCCCUUUUCUAUUUGUGGCCAAAAAUACUAGAUUAUAAGAUAUUUGGGUUAAAAUGAAAAAGGCUUAGCUCAACUAGAAUAAGCAAAAUUAAUCCGCCAUUAUGAAUAUUUUUGUGUUAUAUGUUGUGACUAAAUUUAUUUCCAAGACAUUAGAUGCAAAGUUUCCAAGAUAUAUAUUAUACCAAAUCAAAUCGGAUUAUUAUCGGAAUGAAGUAGGCUAAAUCCAUAUAUGUUUUGUUAAUUUAGUUGGUAAAUGGAUUCGAAACAUAAUUUGAUUAUCGAAUUAUACUUCCAGAUCCAUCUCUUAUUAAUUUCAUUGGAUUCAAAUCAAAAUCCGGUCAACUGACAACUGUAGUUAUAAGUUAUACCUAAUCUAGCAAUAUCAAGGUGUGCAUUAUUCAUAAUAGACUUAUUUUUUAGGCGGCGUUUGGUUCAUGGGAUAUGGGGCUUGGGAAUGGGAAAUCAAAUGUUUUCCUAUGUUUGGUAAGUCUAGACAUGGGAAAUAGUUGGCUGACACAUAGAAAAAAGGGGGGAAAAUGAAGCCAUUUUCCCCCCUUGGGUUUCAUUUUUCUUCCACUUGGAAACUAAGGGCAGCAUUAAACGUGCCUUUUCAAUGACUAUUUUGUCUUCAUUAACAAUUUAGAAUUACAAUAUAGCAUCAAACGUAAUUUUUUAUUUUUUUAUUUUGGCAUAAUAUGGGUAUAAUUGAAAAAUUAAAUGAACUUUGUUUUACAUUCCUACACAAACCAAACAUAGGAAAUUAGAUAAAAUGGUAUUUCCCGGUUGCUUUCCCAACAUUACCAAAUAUGAGAAAAGAAUUUUCCAUUUCUCAUCUCUUGGGAAAACACAUGGGUCCUUAAAGUUGUUUCUCUUUGCACUUAUGAUUUGACUUUUUUUUUUUUCUUGUUAUGUACACUAAAUGGAUGUAAUUAAAAAAGAAUAUUGCUGGGGACACCAAAUUUUAGUCCCAAAUGAGGUGGCAAAAACCAUCAUCAAUUUUCAAUGAUCAAGUUUCCAAUGUUUCAACAAUAAAAAUAUUUCCAAUAUUUAUUAAUUAUGUUAAAAAAAUGAAUUAAUUAUGAGUAAUUAAUUUGGUAAAACAAAUUUAACAUAAUAAUAAUAAUAAUAAUGACUUAGUGAACCAAAUGUCCCAAAAUUGAUGAAUAGCACCGUAUCCCACCACCAACAUAACCUACAUUGCAUCACCUGUUAUAAAGCCAAUUAAUAAUUUUUCAAUAUGGGCAUUUGUUUUGUUAAAGAUUUGAAAUGGUUUUUAUUUUGGACCUUAUAAUUUUGAACCUUCCAAAAAUUACUUUUAAUAUGGUCCUAACAAUGUUAUAAAACAUUCAGGGCCUAGGUCGUCGCCCUCGGGACCCAUGCCCACGGCGGCCAUGGUCAAGACCAUUUUCCUUCGUGUCCUAUCAUGAAUAUAAUACCUAUAUUGGGUGACCUUUGGACAACUGAAGAUCCAGAAGAAUGGUUAUGGGUUUUCGAAAGAUGAAGAUGCAAAGGUAAACAAAUUAUGGAACAUUGAUUUCUAUCAUUGUGAAUUCCAUCAUUUAUAAAUUCUUAGCCUUCCGUUUGGAUUUAGAACAAUAACUCAUGAUUUAGCUAUGUAAUUUAAGCAGGGAACUUAUUAAAUGACGCACCGAAAGAUUUCCAAGUUUAAUUUCUGUCAAAAGAGUGGUUAUUUCGUGAUUUCUAUUUAGAAACAAUUCAUUUUUCCUUGUAAUUUCUAUCAGUUACAAAAUUUGACAUACAUAAAUUCAAACACUAAAAUUAUUAAUUGCUAGAAAUUUAAACUAUGGAAAUCCAAAUUCCAAAAUGCAUUAGGUUGAAGCUGAACAUGUUGUUUCAGUGAGGUGGAGAGAAUGCAACACAAUGCUGGAGUAAAUAAUUGCCCUGGAACUGGAAGUGCAUAAUUCAUAAGAAAAUAACUCAUAAUUACAGCAUGAUUUAGGAAAUGAAAAUAUGUGGCUCAUUAUAGUCCCUUUAAAUAUGACUUUCUGUUUUAUCGUUCAUCCAUGUACGUUUAACUCCAUAGUCAUCUUGUACUUAAAAUUUAAAAGAACUUUUUAUUUUUUAUUUUUUUAAAAACAAAAAAAGAACUAGUCAUCUGCCCUAAUAUUGAUUACAGCAUGGCUUUUUAAUUUUUGCUAAACAUUUAGUUUGAUGAAAUUCUGGAUUCCAGGCCAAACUCAAUCUACUUAUUUCAAGUGAAAUUCUUAAAAUUUUCAGCUCUUUCUAAAUAUGCUGUCAGGUUUAUAUAAUGCCUUAGACAAAACUGUAACCGGGAAGAGAGCACUAAGACAGAAAAAUAUCAGUUACCAAAACUUUUCUCAAAAUGGAAUCACUAAAUGAAUGAAGGCCAGUAAUGGAACAAAUUAUGCCAGACACAUACAAAUACAGCACAAUUGGGAUGAACGAUGUUGAAAUCUGCUUCCCCUCUAGCAUUAACUCUUUUCAAUAUCAGUCAACACCAAUAUAAACAUGAAAUGCGAAUAUGCUAGCAUCAGGCGUAGCCCUUUUGCACACGUAAACACAAAGCAAAAGACACAUUCUUACAACACAAUCAUUCAAUGCAAGCAAAACACACGAUACCUAAAAUAAAUGCACAAUAUAUUUAUUUGGAAAGAAGCUAAUUUGAUUAAGACCCAAGUAAUGUGCUCACUGCUGCAUCAUGUAUCCCCUGCCUCCUGGGAAAAAUCAGUAGGCGGCCAGCAGAUAAGCUUGGACACAUUCACCGCUGUUUCCUUUUAUGUUACAAAAAGCAGAGUACACAGAAAACAGUUGCUAACACAAUUGCCCAGCCAGAAAGCCUAAUACCACCUACACUUACUAAUACAAAAACAUUCACCUACUACAUGUACUAAUACAAAAGCAUAAAUGUUCCGACUACAAACUGGUAUAAAAUUGUGAAAAACCUCUCAUUCCAACCACGAAAAUUUGGCUCGAUUGUAAAAAGAAAGAGGGAAACAAUAUAUAUGUAGAGCAAACAGAAUAGUCUGAUCUUCCUAACCACAGAAGGAAAAUUAUACCUUCAUCAGUAUCGGACCAGCAAUCUCUUGUAUCUAGUCUUGCAUAUUAAAGUUAUUCACCCUCAUACAGAGAACAGAGAACAACCACCACACCACCCACAUUUUACCACUGAUGCUUUUACUUCUUCCGCUGCCUGUUGUGUUUAACCUUCACAAUUCUUCGGUUAGACUUGUCACCACCAGCGCCCAAAGAGAAGCUGCCCCCUUGACUUGCACCCAAACUGCCCGAAGCCUGAAAUGGUGAAGGGUUCUGUGGGUUGGCUAGAUUCUGUUGGCUUGAAAAUUGGAAGGGAUUCGCCAAUGGGACUGCAGGUGUAGAUCCAAAUACAUAGCCAGACUCUGGGUUUGAAACAGGCUGUUGACCAAACACAGGCUGCUGACCGAAUACUGGGACUGUAGGCGUAGAUGCCUGAUUAGUGUCUUCAGCCAUGCUGUCUACAAAGUUCAUUUGAUCAUUAUUACCCGAGGAACCAAAUGGAAAAGCAGGAUUUGGGUUCCCAAAUGCAGGCUGUGAUGGGGCAGUACUAGCUGCAGAUGAAGUGAAUGGGAACAUCGAAGUUGAGGAUGCGCCAUUGGAUGAUCCAAACAUCAUAGAUGCCCCAUUGGCAUUUGUAGAAGAAACUGCAGAAGCUCCAAACGAUAUAGGUGCGCUGUUUGUAGUAGCAGCAGCAGUUGAGGAUCCUCCAAAGACAAAAGGCUUGUUACUAGGAGUAGCAGCAGUCGAGGACCCUCCAAAUAGAGUAGGUGCAGAAGUAGCCAAGGAUGCUCCAUACGACAACCCAGCUGACAAAGAUGUUGUGGAAGCAAAUGCAGGAGACUUAGAGGAUUCCCAACUGGAACCAAAUAUGCCAGGAGCAGUACUGCUACUGGAGUUGGCUUCCAAUGAGGGAGCAGAAGACCCAAGUCCAGUACUUGCACCUGAACUAAACAGAUUAGGAGCAGAGGUUGAGCCAAACUGUCCAGUACUUCCAGACAACCCGAAUGAUGGUGAAGCAGCUGAUGAUGCAAUUCCAGUCUGCUGGGAAAUAGGAACAGAUCCACUGCCAGCACCAAAACGAGUACCCUGGGACUGGUUAGCAGCAGACGUCGUAGCAGCACCACCACUAACCAAUCCAAACAUACCACUCCCUGUGCUUGGAAUGGCAGCAGAUGUGGCAGCAAAAGAGGUGCUGCUUAGAUUACCAAAGCCCUUGUCUUCCUUGUUCUUUCCUUCAAAAGAGUCUAAGGAAGAAUUUACUGGGACUGGUGUAACUGCAAUUGAAGCAGUGGAGGAUUCAAAUAAAUUAGGCGCAGCUAGCAUUGAAGGUGCUGGAUUUGAUCUAGGAACAUUGGUACUGUUGGUGGUUACUGCAGUUGAAGCUGUGGAGGAUUCAACUUUGAAAUUAGGCACAGGUGAAAAUGAAGGUGCUGGGGCUGAGCUAGAAACAUUGCAACUGUCGGUGGUGACCGCAGUUGCGCUAGCAAUGUUGUUACCACUGUUUGUGUUGGCAGUGAGGGUCAUGCUACCUGAUGAAUUUGGACUUGUCAAAAAAGCUGAAGGAACAGAGGGAGAAAAUGGAGGGGUUGACCCAUUAUUUAGGCUUGAAUUAUUGGAAGGGGUGCCAUUGGAGAAUAUGCCUGUGGUUGAUGAUGCUGAUGAUACAGAGAACAGAGCAGUUUCAGAUAUCCUAAAAGAGACUCCAGCAUUAUUCUUAUUAUCAGCUUUAUCUGAUUCAAGUGGUUUGAGUACAGAAUUUGUUGCAGCAGCUACAAUGGCAGAUACACUGCAGACGAAAACAUUCAUAAAUAAAUAAAUAAAACAGUGCUUUUUGGGUGAACAUAAAAAUUAGUAACACCACUACAGAACAAAUGAUUGAGAUUUCCACAUGAUACCACUGAUUACAUUUUGAAACGAAAGAGAAAGAUUUAAGAGCUUCUAUCAAUCACCACCCAUCAAAGGAGCAGCCCCUAAACCCCCUUUUUCAAACCCUAAAUCACCACAUAGCCACCAGUACUAGAUCUACCCUGACCAAAUGAAAUUCUGGUGGGGAACAAAAGUACACAAGCAUUAAGGCAGAAGGAAACCAUAAUUUUAAAGGUAUUCUAAGCACUUUGUUCCCUCUGUUUUAACUUACCACAGUACAAAUGUCUUCAAUUGUCUUUCAUUCUUUGCUAAUAAAUAAAUGCUUUAUCUAUCAAUAUUGCAUUAUUUUCGCUAACUGCCUUCACCACUAGGAAAGAAGAUUGAAAAUAUAAAUCCAAAAACGGAUCACACGAGAACUCACGCUGAACUAUACGAAGGUUCCAACAGACGAUAGCUUAAUUUUUCAUUGCCACACUAAGUGAGCACUUGAAACUGACAUUUACAGGCAACCCGCCUUCGUGGUAUUAGGCCAUAAACUACCUUCAUGGUCUUCGGACAUGCAUAUCCUCUACCAACUGAAUGAUAUUCAUACAGUUCCGAUCAAUUUGCCCAUUCCUUUGAAGGAAAAUCCGUAAGAAGCCUAGGUUUGUUUAUACACUUCAAUCUCUUUUUAUAAAGAAAAAAUAAGCAAAAGAUAAAUGCAGCAAACAAGGGCCUUCAACAAUACUUUUCAACAAUAGGAGAAUAUUAAAAAGAAAAUACGCAAAUUAUCAUACGGACCUGCUUGAGCUCUCAGGUUUGGGGACUGAAAAGGCACCAGAUUUUACGUCAACAGAUUCACCAACUGCAGGUGACGAAGCGAAAGCAAACUGUGGCUGUGCAACUUCGUCAACACUCUUAGAGACAUAGUUAAACACAGGAGAAGCUGCAUCUGAAUCCUUCAUUGAAGUAACUUUACCCCCAAAGUUAAACAUUGAAGGACCAGCAUUUGAUUCUUCUGGUGGAGCAACUUUAUCAUAUGUAAAGGAUGGCUGGGUAGAUACCAUCUUGCUGAAUGACGAUGCACUAGAGCCGAUAGUGUUGGAGGAUGGCUGGGUAGAUACCAUCUUGCUGAAUGACGAUGCACUAGAGCCAAUAGUGUUGGUGCCAUUCUCAGCAAGCACAGACCCAUCAGAGAAAGCUGGAGGCUUCUCCAGUGUAGCAGUUGCAGUACCAAUACUGCUCUUCUCAGUCGAGAAAGUCUCCACCAUAGAAUUGUCAUCAUCAUCCAGCUCAAGAUAAUCCUACAAACCAUACCCAUAAGGUUCAAAUAUAUCACAGGAUAAGGAAUUCAAUAACAAAGAAAUUAACAAUAUUCAUUUGCUAAACAUUGAAAGAAAUAUUAAAUCUAGUAAGAUUUUCAAAUUGGAAGUGAUGGAAUCUAAAUCAAUUCCUGCAUGAAAACAACCCCCUCAUAAACUUGAUCUAUUUGAUCAGCAAACGCUUACUAUACAAAUCAUCUAUGAAUUUGUAACAAAACCCAACAGCUAGAGAAUCUUAUAAUCUCAAAUGUAAAGCCGCCCCCCCCAUCAGUAGCUACUAUGAUUUUUUUUUUUUUUUUUUCAAAUUUGGGGAUACCUAGAAAUCCAUCAAUCUGCUUUCAGGACGCAGCUAUGAAAUUGGGCCCAGCCCUACAGUCUUUGCAAGGCAGAAAACACUAGGAAAUAGCUAGGUAGGUACCUUUUGGGGUUUACAACCUCAGACCACAUGGGCCUGACAAUUCCAACUAACCCAAGUUGGUGUAUGUGCUAUGAUCAAAUUGAAACCAAAAUUGGUUAUAUCAUGUCACUCACAUUUCAGAGCAGUAUAAAGAAGAAAGUAGAAAAUUAGGAACUUAGUUUAGUAAAAGACCCCAAGAUUAUCGGGGAACCAUGGAUGAUAAGAAAGCAAAACUAUACCUCAUGUGCACUCAUCCUGAAUGCCCGUUUCUUUUGUGGAGGAUGAACAGCGUUUGAUGCAGUAGAAACUGCAGUUUUAACAUUUGGCACAAUAUCCUUCUUUUCUGCUGUAGAAUCUUCACCAUUCAUUAGUAUAGCUGAACUGUCACAAGGAGCUCUAAUUCUCAAUGGGCCAUUUUCUUUAUCCUUGUCCUCAUUUUCAGAGGUGAAGUCUCGAGCAUCUGGUAUCAAUCGAUCAAAUGAUACAUUCAACUUAGAAUUACUCUUAUUAUUAUGGACAUUAUCCAUAAAUUUUGACGAAUCCGCAUCCUCCAGGCUUUUCAGAGCCUGACCACGUAACAUGGAUGGUGAAAGCUUAGUUGGCGAUUUAUCUCUCACAGUAUGUAGAUUGGUCUCAGAUGGUUUCUCUUUAGGGGAGACCAACUUAUCAAGCUGCUCCAGAAUUUUGGAAGCCAUCUUGCUGGAUUUUGAGGGAACAGAAGAGAAACUUGUACUAGGAACAGCAUUGUCCCCAUUUUCUGACAAUGCGUUAUGCUUAGGUUCACCCAAUGAUAGUGGCUUCCAUAUUGAAGAUGGUGGAUUUUGAGCAGCCUCAGAACUUAUUCUAGUCCCGCGAAUAGAAGAAGUAGUGCUGUAUACUGGUGAGCUCAAGCCUCUUGAAGAUAGAAGAUUAGGUUUUUGACGAAUUCUACGAAUAGGACCAACAGAUCCUAUGUCAUUAUCUAAGACUGAAAAUCUGCGUUUUAAGACCUACAAAAGAAAAAAACAAUGAAUCUGGAUGCAAUAAGUACAAAAUAAAGUAGUAAUCUUCAGACUUCAUACCCCUUGUUUAGAUCCAGAAGGUUGGCUUUGCUCCGAUACAGACUGAGAAGACGACGCCCCACCAUAAGCAUCAACUGUGGACCCAGCACCCUGAAGUACGAGCAAAAGAAAAUGUAAGAGCCUCAAUCCCAAUAAACAUUAAAAACCUGAAAGGAACUGUAGUCCUUUUCUUACACCCAGAAAUCCCCCAAACCCACUUUGCAAAUAAGACGGUGAGGCACCCCGCCGAACCCUACAAUGCAGGAAACUCUAGCAACUCGAUAAAUAGGUUGAGGAAUACAAUCCACAUGGGAGCAAACAGGCCUAACCACUCAACUAAACCCUUGUUGGUUGAAAGGAACUAUAUUCUCAUAGCAAACAAACCUUGAAUGUUGUAGUUGUGCGAACUCGAGAGUAUGGUGUUCGAGCCAUAUUGUAUAUAGCAGAUCUGCCUCGCGAUCUAGGGGUCACAAAACCAUUUUCUUGAGCCCCCCCAUUGCCAGAAGUCCAUGGCACAAGUGACAUCAUUGGUGAUUUUGACUGAAUUGGUAGACUGCUCAAAAUAGGUGAAUCUUCAUGGUGUGCUUGACCUCGUAAACCUAACAUUGAUGGGGAUACUUUUGAAGGCCUACUGCCCAUGUAUGCUUUUGCGAGCUCUGCAGGUGAAGCAACAUCUUCAUGAAGGACCUGAAGACAUUUUGAACCACUAAAUGUCAAAAAAGUGCCAAAGUUCAAUAUGUUACUAUUCCACAAUUAUUUUUAAUUAGAGAGUAGCAAGCAUGGCUUUCACAAACUCAUCAACCCAGUAUACAAAUGGAAAGCAGGUUAUCAUACACUUGUAUUGACAACAGGGUUUGAAACAAGACGGCUCUCAAUCCCAUUUUUGUCUUGCACUGGAGUUUUAAGAAAUUCCUCCUUUUUGUCAUGAGAAACCACUGGCUUUGAAGGCACCACUUCCGACCUUUUCUCUUGAUUCUCAAUUGGUAUAUCAACAGUUCUUGAAUGCAAUAACGCUGUCAAUCGAUCAAUUUCAGAUCUGCAGAUGUGAUUAACAUUCAACUCACAGUAAGCACAUGUUGCAAGAAAACAAGUUCUAAUCCCCACAAGAGGCAUGGACGAAAUUAUAACUGAUCUCUGAAAUUAUAAAUGCAUACGUCAUAACCCAUCCCAUUCAGAAAUUUCAUUCAAAAGUUCACCUCAUCGCCUCUUCUGCCACUCUCUCUCCCUCUAUCUCCCUUUCCCUCUAUCUCCCUUUCCCUCCCCGCUCCGUCACCCUCUCCAUCUAACUUACCCACACAGGAAUACUGGUGUAGAGAAAUUAACCCUUCCAAUUAAAUAGAGCAUAGAAUUACAGCACCCACCAAUAUUUAUAGUAAUUAAAAUAUACAAAAAACACACACACACAUCACCAUAUAAAUCAUUCGCUUUGCAUACCAGUGACUGAUAGACACAGUUUUCCUGAUGUACGGCUACAUUUAGAUUAUUAUAAGUACUUUCUACGAAAGAUUAACAAAAAUAUACUACCUAGUGCUAGUACAUAAUAACUUGUCCGGGCCAAACAAAAAAAGCAAAAAUAUAAAAACUUGCCUGGUAAAAGUUUUUUGCUCUAAAAUUUGUUUGAGCUCAGUGAACUCGCCUCCAUCAGCAGUAGUACUUGGACCAGCACUCUGAUCAACUGUGCCUUUUUGCACUCCUGGAGGAUACUGUACAACAGGCAUUACAUACAGAAGACAUAUCAAGAUGAUUUACAUGCAGAAUAACAUUAUCAAAACCAUAAAAAUAAAAUGAUAAACCUAAAAAUUGAAUUUCAUUGAAACUUGUUCAGCUUAAAAAUAUAUAUAAUAGCACACCACCAUAACUCAAUUAAAAUAAUUUUUAAUUGACAAAGGACUAAAGAAACAAUAAUUAAUUCUCAUUCAAUGGGUGCAUAUUGGCCCAAAAAUAUAGUUUGCCUCAUGCAGCCACUCGUGGCUUUGGGUAACAGAAAGAAACUCUCAGGAAACAGGGUACGAGACACAUGCACUAAGUUUCCUUUUUAAAAUCUCAUUGAACAGUAACCCAGAUGCUUUACGUCGGUGCAUUUCUAGACAACAGAAUAAUUAUUAGCAACAUAAAAUGUGGAUCUGUAACAUGGACUACUCUUAUACCAAAAAAUAAACAUGGAUGAAUAAUUAAACCAAAAACAAAGAAAAAAUUGAUUAGAUCAACCAACAUGAACAGGUUCAACAAGUAUUGACUCACUUCAACCGACAUGAAUUCCACAAACUGAGCAGUUUGACCGGUUAAAAUGUCCAUCCCUAUUCAGCAACGAAACCAGGAUGUUUUCUUCUUCUUUUUUCUGUCAGUUUUUUUUACUCUAUUAUGUCUUUCUGUCUUAAUUUCUUGCGAUUACAAGCAGUUUUUUCUUAUCAAUUCUAGACUUUAUUAAUGGACCAACUAGAUACCAAGAUCAUGUCUUCCAACAGAACUUUAGCCAAAUAAACCCAACUGCACUUAUAUUUCCUUAACCCCCUAAAUUAUUCUAACACUCGACCAAGAGGAAAUUAGAGCGCCAAAAUUCCUGUUCACCUAACUUUCUAAUUUAAAACUAUGAUCUUACAUCAAUCAUCAAAAUUUGUAAAUGAUGGGAAGUAAAAAAAAGGUUGCAUGCUUAUAAUACUCAAACAUAGGGCAAAACGUAGAUCCAAGUGUCAUGUACUGCCUACAACUCAUAAUUUCAGAAAAGAAUACUGUAAUGUUACCUACAAACAGAAUGUUUAACACAACAUGAGUAUAAAGCUUAAUAAUAAAAUAAAAAGGUAUGGGAUCCCAGUUACUAGAACAAAGCACGCUGAGUGCAAAGAAUAGAAAUAUACAACCCCUUUACACUUACCAUGGUAACAUCUUCUUUGCCCUUGAUCCUUACUUCAUGAUUUACCCCUGGUAAAGUAACAGAAGAUUAAAUUCAUGAAUAAUUGGCAAAGAAACCAACAAAGCAAUCACAGUCCUUUUCAGAGAACAAGACAGAAGGGAGUUCAUGAUAGCUAAUCAUUAUUCUGUUAUAAAUGAACUGACAUCUUAUAAUAGAAAGUACAAGGCAUUCAAGAUAACAUUAACAUACACGCAACAACUGCGAGCAAAAUAAUUUGAAAUUUCGCUUUCAUAUCUCAUUCAAGAAACCAAAGGAGCCAACAACCAGCUAAAAUUUAAAGUCACAACGACAGCUAAAGAAAUAUCAUCCUAUAAAGAAAGCUUCUAAAGCAAGCAAUCUUAUGUAUUCUCAGGAACUUCAAAUUUUCCCCAAAACCCAAAUCUACAAAGGAAAAAAUACGGGUGAUAUGGCAGUCACAAAUAAAACAAAAAAACUAAUCAAGGGAGAAACUUCAACAGGCUCUUUCGGAUAAAGUUCAACUGGCUCUUUCGGAUAAGACACCAAUACCAGAGACUGUAUGAAUGCAAAAGACGAUGUACUAUCAAGCAUCACUCUUAAAAGAAGCACACCUGACUCAUACCAAUUUACAUGUUAAAUAACUAAACCAGCAGUAGAAUAUAAGGGGUGCAAGGACUUUAUGCCUUCCUCCUAUUAAAAAUAAAGGAUUCAUAUGUCUUCCAAAUAUGGUAACUGUGCAUGCAUUAUUUGAAAUUCAGACCCACUCGAAUUUAGGAUUCGGUCAAUUACAAUUUCAAUCGUUUAUCGUUGAACAUUCAUGUCCUAACAAGUUUCUCCUGAAGACCCCACAAUUAUUAUAAUGAACAUAAUGAAUUCGAGAUCUGAUAUUCCACAACACAAAAACAACUUGCAUAACCCAACAUGAAGCAACCAACUACCCAAAUUCAACCCUCACACACUGGCCCCAGGAAAUUAAUUGUUAAGACAAAUUGAAACAAAAUUAGCUUUGAAAUCAGCAAAAACAUAACAAAAGGCGUCCCAAAUAAAGAAACCCCAACUCCCACAUUUGAUUGAACAAAGCGCCCAAAACUUAGGCCUCAACUUAGGUCACAACUAAGAAACCACAAAAGCCAUUAGCAUAGUAAACAAAGGUAGUCUCGAGAGCAGAAAAAGCCGAACCUGUCGAAGGCGACUGAGGCGGUGGAAGGCGUUUGCGAAAGACGGAGGAAAAGAGGCGGUGGGCGCUGUAGGAGAUGAGCCGCUGAGCCGGAUCGACGAGCUUCGAGAGCCAGCCAUCGUUGGCAGUGCUAGGGUUUCGCAGUGACGUGGGCGGCCGAUCGUAUGGCGUCGAAUGGGAGGUCCUUCGAAACGGCGUCUUCCGAAACUUGCCUCCCGCUCCCAUUCCUUCAUACGCCUGCUUCUGCUUCUCUUCCCGCGCGGCCGCCGCCAUGAGAGAGAGGAGAGAGAGAGAGAGAGAGAGAGAGAGAGAGAGAGCGCUAGGGUUUCAAAUAUUUUGGGAGUAGAGAGAGAAAGGGAUGCGACAGCAAAUUAGGGUUUUUAAUUGCACCGAGGGCGUGGAAUUGAAAGGGGUCAAUAUGAUAUUUUACCAAAAUAAAAUUAUUUGUUGUCAGGCGCGCGCGCGAGAGAGAGAGAGAGAGAGAGAGAGAGAGAGAGAGAGAGAGAGAGAGAAGAGAGAGAGAGAGAGAGAGAGAGAGAGAGAAGAGAGAGAGAGAGAGAGAGAAGAGAGAGAGAGAGAGAGAGAGAGAGGGAGGGAGACGAAAAUUGGAACGAGAGAAAAUUAUCUGACAGGUUUCCGAUGUCAUCUUUCUUUUUUAUUUUAUACCGGCGAAGGCUAAAACUAAAAAGGGAAAGGAAAUUCCCAAAACCACAAAAAUGUUGAAUUUUUGUAAUUAUUUUUCCUCAAUUUUUAAUUCCGAAAGGGAAACCAUUAAAAUGUAGGACUCUUUAUGUGAGAGAGAAAAGUUCAAAAAAAGAGUUUUUUUUUUUUUUUUUAAGAAUUUCAGAAAAGAGUUUAAGUUCUAUCACAUCAUAUGAUUGUGAAAAAUAGUUAAAAAUCUAUAUAUAUAAACGCAAAAGUAAAUUUAGGUUUUAGCUACAAAAUAAAUUUCACUUUUGGAAAAAACCAAAGUUUUUUCAAAAAAGACAGAAAAACCUCUCAACUUUCAAACUAAAGACAUGCAAAUGUAAAGGAUUCCUUAGGAAAUCCAAAAAUAAAUAAGAGCAAUUUUGUCUAUUUUGGCUUCUUUUAAAAAAUUUCUCUCUCUUUGGCCUUUUCCAAAGUCUCCCUUAAAGCAUAGAAUGGUAAACCUUCAAAAUACCAGAAAAUGUCUUUGGUUAAUGCAAACAUUAAGAAUUGAAAUUAUUAAUUAAAUGAAGAUAAUAUGGUAAAUUCACACUUUUUCAUAUUUAAAAAAUUAAAAUUAAAAGAAAAUUCAGAUAAUGAAUCCUAUUUUUAUAGAACACAACUACUCAUUAAUUUUUUUAAUUCUAAAGUAAAUUUAAAUUAUUAUUUUUUUAAAAAGCCUCUUGCAAGAGCAUAAGCGCGUGCAAAGAGGCUAGUAAAUUUCAAAUUAUGCACUCUUUGAUAAUGACAAAAAAUUUAAGGGGAAGAAAGAAUGCAGGAUAACUAUUUUGAAGUACUUAACAAUCCCCUUUUCAAAUUAUAGGUAAAGUAAAUUUCAAUGUUGGCUUUAAACUUUUACCUAUGUGGAUACGAGAGAAAACAAAGAAAGAUUGUACUGGCAUCGAAUAUCAAGAACCAAAAAAUUGACAAAACUCUCAAAUUUAAUUGAAAAUAAGCAAAAAUAUGGGAGGAAAAUCCUAGUUGACAAAGGAAUAACAAACCAAAACUAAACGAAGAAGGAAAGCACAAAAUUACUAAAACACAAAUUUUGAAAACUUAAAGAAUGUCGUUAAAUCACAGUACAAUGGUGUGAUUUUCUUCUAAACGACAUGGUUUUCACCCAAUACUAAUAUUGGAGCCUCGCAAUGUUAGAAAAUUCAAGAUCUAUUAUUAAACAAGUACCACUUUGUUAUAAAACCAAAGAAUUGAGGAGAGAAUUUAGAAGCAAGAAAAGAACCCUUGGAUUGGUUCCUCUCUUCAGUAUUAUAUCUCCCAUACAUUACAAGGAGGGGUGAACCCUUUUGUAGGCAAAGUCCCUUCCAACAUGUGGUGGGCUCCACCUUAUCACCUUAUCAUUUACAACACUCCCCCUUGGAGACCACAAAUGAUACGGAAUAUGCCUCGUUAAAAACCUUGCCAGUAAAAACUCAGUGGGACAAAAACUGGUCGAAGGGAAAAAGAGUACAUAACCAUGUGUAACAUAAAAUUCUGUGUAUAUUGACACGCGUGCGACACUGCCUCGUUAAAACCUUGCAAGGAAAAAUCCAGUGGGAUAAAAACCUGGACGAAGGAAAAAGAGUACAGUGUUUGAAGAUCUUUAUUGAUAGCACGCUCCCCCUGAUGCUUGGCAAAAUAUCUUUAAGUCAUACUGUUGAUCAUCUUUCUGAAUAUCGUAGUUGACACUGCUUCUGUGAGUCAAUCUUGAGCGACACUGCCUCGUUAAAACCUUACCAGGAAAAACUCAGUGGGAUAAAAAAAAACUGGAUGAAGGAAAAAGAGUACAGUGUGUGAAGGUCUUUAUUAAUACCACGCUCCCCCUAAGGAAUAUCUCCCCCUGAAAACUUCAUGACUAGCUUUUUCCAGUAAGCGACCAUAAAAAUUUUCAUAGUAUCAUCCCAAAGUGGUGGUGAUGGAGCUGAGCCCUAUCUGGUCCAGUAUACUUCUGGAAAAAACAUUUAAGUGUCCAACGGAUAAUCCUCAAAAAAAUGUUUCAAUACUUUCUUAGUAUAAGCAAGAAUCUCGUUGGCAUAAUGCUCGAUCUUUAAGUCGAGACAAAUAUUUCUUGAACUCUUCAAAAGCUUUAAUGUGUUGCAAACACAUUAUAAUCAAUAUACUCACUGAUGCAAUUUAUGCACAUUAGCAUUGAGUACAGAUUUUGUGCUUCAGGCACAUGUCUUUCAGGGACUUGUUUCAUGCAAUUUCGAUCCUUUCAAGGAUUUUGUUUAAAAGGGUUAAACUUUAUGACACAUUAUAUAGCUUUAACCCCGCUAUUUAUACAUAUUUAGGGAAUCGCUUCUGGCGACAUGCUCCGUGCAUUUAAUAACCCUUAAAGAUAAUAUGUUGGUCUUCGUAAUUGUGCGGUAAGGGGGGCACAAUUGAAUCUGUAAAUAUGAAAAAACCCAACAUUCCUUCUUUAUGCCAGAAACAUUGUGUCAUACAAAGUAGGUAUAUUCCCUUUUAUUCCGAACACCCAAGUAUAACUUUCAGUAUUAACAUCUUUUGGGGUUCGUACUGUGGAUUUGUUCUUUCACGUUCAUUCUCAUCUAUAAUGGAAUUACCUCAUUCCAUUUUGGCUAAUGAUAUUGUCGACAUUUAAUAAUUGAACGUGGUUCCAAUCAACACAGCUCAUUGAUGAUUUGAGUAGCUACUCCAAAACCAAAAAUUGUCAUUCAUCAAUUCAUGAUCUCAUCAUUCUCAUUUGCAUGCGUAUGCAUCAAUUAUAAGCAUUUCUUUGCUUUUGGGUACCCAAGCCACUUCAGGGGGCUUUUAUGAUGUGAGAAUGUGGAUUAUAACCUCCAAUGGAGCGUUAUUUUGCAGUAGGGCAUGGAUAAUCUCCAUUUAGGGAGUUGGAACAUUUAGAACCCAUAUAUCUGUCAUGCUGCAGGCAUGCCACAUAUUAAUACAUACAUGUCAAUUAAUUUAUGGGACUUUAACCCAUAUAAUUUGCUACGCAUUAGGUGUGCACAAUAUCAAUAUUGACAUGUUAAAGGAUUGUCCUUUUGGGACUUCAAUCCAUAUCAUUUGCUACGCAACAGACGUGCAUCAUAUUGAUCACUGCUAUACCCAUAUUCUGUUCUUAUGGGACUUUAAUCUGUGCAACGUAUUAUCAAUGUAUUUCUACUUGCAAUCAUACAAGCCAUUCUUUUGGAACGGAUUUAUCUCCCCAUUUGGUUACCUUUCAAGAUAAAAUAUCAAAUAAGUAUAUAAGCAUAAAACAACACAAGUAUUGCUUACAUCCUUAGGUGGGAGAAACUUUUCUCAAGUAUCAUUCAAGCUCGUAUCGGCCCAGUAAAUAUAAUGUAGCGCUUGAUGAUCUAGUUAUAUCCUGCAAGAGCAAAAUUACAACUCUUUUGCCUAUGUCAAAACAAAUAACCCUCAGAGUUAGGAUCACUUCAUGGAUUCUUUCUUCAGAUGUUCAUUCUAAAGAAAUAAAAUCUCUUAUGAACAGAGAGUUACAAAAAGAGAAAAAAUGCAAAAAAAAUGUGAUAUUGAUUGCAAGAUAAGGCAAGCAAUCAAGGAAGGAAGCUGGUGGGAGCGUCUAAUAAGCUCUCAUUUCUCCUAGUCUAGAAGGACCUCAGGAGAUUAGAGCAUAAGGUCGCCUUCACAGUUCCCUGAUGUGGCGGAAACGUGAUCAGGGAUAGUCUCGCUUCCUGAAUGGAUGAUCAGAGAUAGUCUUGCUUCUCGGGCAUAUUGAGUGCUCACUGAUAAGAAAAAUAAGUAGAUAUUGCAUCACUAGGUAUGGAGAAAACUGGAUGUCUUCUGCAAAGAAAAUUUCGUUAGUAACACAUUUAUACACAAAUAAGAGAAAUAGGUAGAACCGGUGAAUUUCAAAUUAACCAUAAGAAAAUUGCGAGAUUCUCGGGGCACUUUUGAAAAAGUAGCUCCGUGAAAUCUGCAAAGCAAGAUCGGCUUUGACGAAAAUAAUACUUGAAAACGCCGAAAGUGCCGACAAACAUUAAUGGAGGCAGCGUGAAGUUUUGGAAUCUAGAAAAGAAAAAGAGAAUAUGGGGAUCUGAGAUAAUAUUGGGGUCCUGGAAACUGUAGCCAUAUUUCCUCCUAUAGAUAUUGCCUUUGCAAAACUUGAUUCGAGCAACUGCGUUUCAACUCAACUUCCUUCAUUUUAUGAAACUUUAGUUUUUCUAAGACUUUCUUCGAAACCUUCUUAAAAUGGCUUCCUCUUCUUCCAGCCCAAAUUAUUUCAAUUUAAAUGAUGCUCCCACAACAACCAGUGACGCCAAUGGCUUCUAGCAUUCAGAGUGCUGCUUCUGUUUCUAACAUGGCUGAUCGUUUGCGUGCUAGAGCAAACGAGGUUCAGAAGCUAACAACUGAAAAUUCGUCUCUUCAAAGGAUGCUUCAUGAGUCUCAACAGGAGGUUGAGAAACUUAAAGGAGAGAAUAAUGCCUUGUUGAAACUGGUGAGUUCGUACUCUGUUGAUACACUGAGAAGGCUAUACAUGCUGCAGGUCUCCAAUGAAAGAAUUUUGGGAGACCACGAGAGGCUUAUGGCUAAGCUUACGAGGUGUUGUCCUCUUCCAUCAGAGGCUUCCAGAACAUGAUGUAAUUUUAUAGAUUUUACAAGGCCUGCACAUUCAUUGCAGGUGGAAAAAAUCUAUCUGUUGUAUGCUCCUUUCCUGUUAUAAUAAUUGCACACAUUCUUAAAUUUGCACCUGUGGUUUUUAUGUCUUUUCAAAAUGACGGUUUGGAACCUUAUGCCUUAUAGGUUCAAAUAACCACAUCGACUCUCCCAAAUUUCAUAUUUCAACGUAUGGGAGCCCGGAACUUUUGGCCUGGGCUAAACAUUUAUUCGCCCUUUUCAAAUGGACAUGAAAUAUGAAUUGAGUAAAAGCCACGAUAAUAUCACAAUGUAGUAGUGAAGAGCAUUAACUACUAUAUACCCACAACCUCAAAUUCGGGAUUUCUCAUAUAUUUGAAUCCAUGUGCUUCCGGCCCAGAUAUAACAAAAUAUGUUGGGAGCCUCAAUUCAUCAUUUGAGGUUUAUAUUGAUAUUAUCUAUUUCACGGUGUAUUCUUAACAACCAGAAUUCACAAAAUAUAUUUCUUCCUUGAGGUGUCGAUUAUAACAUAAUCGGACUUUAUUAAAUUCAUCAUUUUCUUAGACCAAAGAAAUAUGUGGUGUACCACAAUUUGCAAUAAUACCUCAAGGGUUGUCCAUUUAACUGUUGGAACUUUAGGUUCUUAACACUGUUAGAUUUUGAACUUCAGGCCAAAAUCACAUAUUCUCAUAGUAUGGACAUUUUUACAAUUUUCUGUACAUAUUUCUGGACUUCAAGCCCUUACAUAAUUGUCCAUAUUUUGAGGAACUUCUAGCAUCUCAUUUAAUUGCUCAUCCAUGAGUUUAAGGAACUGCAGGUUCCUUUUUGAAUAGUGAUGGUUUUCCCAAAAUGAUUAAUAUUUAUGUAUACGUCACUAUUCAUAUAUCCGGUACUAUUCAUCAAGUCAUGAAUACGUAUCUAUUCAUGUGUACAGUACAUUUUCCAGUACAGUUAUUAUCCAUGUGUACGGCACUAUGAACCAAUACGGUACUGUUACAUCAUUAAGGAACCCCAGGUCCUUAUUUACAUGUCAGGGAUCAAGGACCCUCAAGUCCAAUCACAUGUUUACAAAUAUAGUACCGGAGAGACUGCCAGCUCUCAUAUUAAUAUCAUCAAGGAUCUUUAAGUCCUGAUGUAAUUGUAUGAUGAGGAUCAAGGAACUUCUGGUCCUGAUCUGCAUACUGUAAAAACUCAUCAUACAGCACAAUUAAUCCAUAAAAUAAAUUGCUGGUAAAUAAAUUACUGGUAUGGACGAUAAACCCGCACCAUACUUUAAAUAAAUGUAAAUGUGCGGUAAAAUAAAUUCAUAAAUUAAAUUGCUUGCUGUAUGGACGUUAAUCCCGCACCAUACCUUAAAUAAAAUUAAAUGUGCGGUAAAUUAAAUUCAUAAAGUAUGAGGGUUAAUUCCACAUCAUACUUUAAAUAAAAGUAAAUUUGCGAUAAAGUAAACGUGCUUGUAUGGGCACUAAUUUUGCCCCAUACAUUUAAAUAAAAGUAAAGGCGUUAACGAUAAACCCGCACCACCCUUUUAAAUAGAUACUGUUGUAUGGGUAAUAAACCUACACCAUACAGUAAAUAAAAUAAAUGUGGGAAUAAAAACCACCACUGAAUAAGAUAAGAAAAGUAUUAGUAUUACUAACGGCCUUCCACUAAUAAUAUGUUUAAUAUUACCAAGAAUCCAUUUUUGUUAGUGGUUAGUAAUAGAAUAGCAAAUAAAUAUAGUAUAUUAUAUAUAUAUAUAUAUUGUCAACUUGAAUUGCCUCCCCAUUUUUUUUCGGUGGAAUUCCCUUCAAAACUAGAGGAAAUAGGAAAUAAUAUAAUAUUAUUAUAUUAAUAUAUGUAACUAGAAAAGUAGAUAUAUUUAUAAUAUUAAAAUAAUCAAUAUAAUUACUUGCUUUUUAUGAUCAAUAUAAUGAUAUAAUAUUAAAAUAAUAGAGAAGAUAAGGGAGCAAAGAUCUUAUCGCUUAUUCUUUCGGUGGGUUUUGUUGUUCUCAUCAAAAGAUGCUUGAGCACUUUCCUUGGGUCAGUGGCUAAGAAAAAUUUGUGGACGAGAAGAAGGGUGCUGUGCCAAUAAUCUCAGCACCCAAAGCUGUGCCCUUGCAUCUUCUCUUUGUUCCUAAAGAAUGUCGCUGAUUCAGUUUGGUUUACUUGGUCAUCCUUAUUCUCCUUGUUGUCUGAUGAGAUUCUCCUCCUACUUCUCCUCCUGCUCCUCUUCUUGGAAUCGACGCUCAUCAGCGUUUGAGCUUCGUUCUCGCUGGCAUACUCUUUGACCAACAUGGGAUUGUCAUGCUUAUAAUUGAACAUUCCCGCUGGAGCACUAGCCUGAGUCCUUGGUCUUGGGGGUGUCGCUAGAAGCGAGUAACAGCAGCCGGGUUCCUUGUCAGAGUCGGAGGACAGCCCAGCUUCUAGUAGUACUUGUUUGGUUCGUUUAUCAUUGGAUGACAAUGUUUCCUCCUCGUCUACAUCCCCGUCAAAGCUUUCCAUGGACAAGAGUGACAUGUACAUACUCAUACCACUAUGUUCUUGGGCAUCAUGAUCUUGAUCUUGAUGUAGGCCUUGGUAGAAGUAGUUACCAUCAUCAUCAUCAUCAAUUUCAUCCUGAUCAGAAGCACCACAGGUGGAACUCCUACUAGUACACAUAGACAGCCUGGACAAGUUGUGUAGAAGAUAAUCUACUUCCUUGGCUAAUGACUCGGCAGAUAGGGGAGGAAGGUAAGAGAGAGUCUCGAACUUCUUCAAUCCAAUUGGAGGUCACACUCGCAUGCACUGAACUCUUCCACCAUUGCUGGAGAUAGAGGUAAUAUCAUUGUUGGCCUUGCCGAGCUGAGCAACGCAAGCUUGUAACCCAAGUGAGGGCAUCGAAGUGUUGGAAUGCUGGCUCAGCUAUAGCGGGUCGGGUCAUGCAUGGGCAAUGUUCUGGCCCGCCUGUUCCAAGCAAGGAGUUGAGCCAUGUGGCUUGGGCGAAGGCUCUGGGCUUCAUGGUUCCUGUUGUGAAAUUAUUGCAAGCGCACAAUCCAUACAAGUAAUAUAGAAAUAAGUAGAGUGUCGUUCCCACGAAGACUGUAAUUUCCUAUUAACUACCAAUUAUGAUUAAUGCAUAAGUUUAUUUGAACAGUUGAUUAAGAAGAUUGAUUAAUUUUAAGAAAACUAAAACAAUUAUGAAAAAUAACAAUUUAAUUAACAAUAGAAAAUUAAGAUGAUGAGACACUAGAGCAUCCGACUUCACCAUAACCAAUUCUACUUAAUUCUUAUAGCCAAUUAACCCUAAUUACUAUCCAUGUUGACAGUUGGUUUCUCCUAAUUCAUUCGAUAUCCCCUCUCAGGCUCAACCAAAAGUAUUCUCAAUUAACAACCCAUUCUCUCUCGAGCAACGGAUUUAGAAAACCAAGAACCCAUUAAGUUCUAUGAGAACCUACAAGAAAACUGCAUGAGUCAUGUUAGUCCCUCUCGGGCACUCAUUCAAGUCAUGGUAUUUGUUACAAGAAGCAAACACCAAACAUCUCCUCUCGGUCUCCGCUUGGAUCAUCAAUUAAAUAUUAGCUAGAUAUUUAAAUCAUUAAGAACAGUAACAAAUACUCAACAUGAGAUAAUAAUCAGAAAUUAAUAUAACGAUAGAAAUUAAGUAUUCAAGGUUAGGCUACAUCGUAGCCCUAGCAAGGGAAAUUAGUUCAUGACAGAAGAAAAUAUAAACAAGAGAAUUAUUCUCAUAAAACCAAUUUGGCCGAUGGACUUGAUCUUCAGAAUCUUCACAGGAACACCUUCAAAAGCUCCUCAAAUAAUGCAGCAGCAAAUUCUUGGCUUCCUCUGAUAUUUCUCUGGUUGAAUGAAAGUUGGUGGAAAAAUAUGGUAGAGAAGACGAUGGUGGAAAAAGAUGAUGGGUAAUUGAUCUUUUCAACAAUGACCUAAACUCCCUAUUUAUAAAACUCCUAGAAAUCCUACCUAAGGAAUAAUUACAAUUGUUAUAAAAAUAGGAUUCCUUCUAAAAUAAGGUCUUCUUUAUUUCUCCUUAUUUGACUUGAUAAGACUUGCACCAUCUUGAACUAGGAAAUUUGACAACAUUCCUUGCAACAAAAGGAAUGACUUGGCUUCUUUUUAAUUGAUCUUCAUCUUCUUGCCUUUUUUAGCACACUUUCUCCUAUUUCACAAUUCCUUCACAAAUCUCACAAAACCAAUUAAAAACAACCAAUUUAAUCUGAGAAAUUAAUAAAUAAAUAAGCAAAGGAGGCAUAAAAUAUAUAUAAAAUAUAGACUUAUCAGUUCCUAUAGUGGAGGGCACUGCGUCAGGCUGGUUUCACAGAGCAAUGAUUACAACACAAGCUUGUAACCGGAGUGGGGGCUUUGAGGUGUUGGAACAUUGGCCAAGAAUUAGCGGGUCUGGUGAACUACAGCUGCUGAUGAAACCAUGAAGGAAGCCAUUUUCCUCUGUUUCUUGUUUGAUAUAUGAGAGCUGAAGAGAUGAAGCUGGGCUUUGUGGUGUGGUUUGAAAGAGAAACUCAUUAUUGCAGAGUCUUGCUUUCUUAUCAGCAGGCCAAAGAUUCGGUUCCAGGAACCAGAAUUGAGAGGAGGUGCAUAGAGUUGUGAGGAGAGAAAGAGAGAGAGCGUUGAGGCUCUAAAUUUAGAGAUAGAGAAAUCGUGCUGAUAACGUGUUAUAAAACCAAAGAAUUGAGGAGAGAAUUUAGAAGUAAGAAAAGAACCCUUGGAUUGGUUCCUCUCUUCAGUAUUAUAUCUCCCAUACAUUACAAGGAGGGGUGAACCCUUUUGUAGGCAAAGUCCCUUCCAACAUGUGGUGGGCUCCACCUUAUCAUCUUAUCAUUUACAACACACUUCUAUUAACUUUUUUAUUGUCUCUUAAUUGACAGACUUAUUAUAAUUGUCCUGGAAGGACCAAACUGGAACACUUUGGUAUGCAAGGGCCAAAGUCCCACAAGAGCCAAAAUUCCAGAGGCAAAAUGAAAAUUGAAUUUUAUAGUUAUGUCACAAACUUGUAUAAUUUUUAUAUAUGUAGAAAAAGCAGUAAUAAUUUAUUGAUAAAACAUAAGAAAGUACAUAACAGUCAUAGUGUCAAAUAUGAGUACAACAUCUUCAGUAACCAAACACAAAAAUAAUUUGGGUUGAUCUAAAGAGAAUUAUGCAUAAAUAAAUAAAAUAUUUAAAAUUCCUAUUCGGCAUACCAAAGUACAUGUACUCAAACUUACAAUACAUAUUUACCGCACAAUUUAUAUAGUUAGGUGUAAACUGUCAAAAAAAAGUUCAAGUAGCCAAGCAUCAGGUGAAAAGUUUAGGCUAUAUUGCUAAAAUUUUGCCUCUGUUUUCUUUUUUGAAUCAAAUAAAAACUUCAUUAGAUAAACUUUGAUGGUACAAUAUAAAUCGUUAAUUAUGCCUUUGUUUAAAUUGUUAAAACAUAUGUUCUCAAUGUAAAUAGUUAAUUAUGUUCUUUUUAAAUGAUUUGUUAUUGACACUUCAAAAAAGUAUCAUACAUGUAUUCAAUUUAGAUUUUUAAAGAGUUUAUAAAAGUCUAAUAGUAUUCAAUUAUGACUUUUAAAAAAUAUUUAAAAUAUAUUCUAACAAAAAUAUACGUGAAUUCUUGAAAGUUUUGCAAAGAAUUUUGAGUAUCGAAAAUAUAAGUGUGGUCACUAUUGUGUAUUAAGUAUUGGGGAUUUAAUUAAGAAUUGUAUUUUGACUAUUUUUCAAUCCAAUCCCACUUAAUAUAAUGAGCAUUUUUGAGAGUGGAAGUGGAUGGCCCCAAAAUUGGGAUAUGCUCAUGCUGAUGGAUGCUUGAUUUGAUCCCUUAGGGUAUGUUUGGUAGGACUCACUAACCUGGAUUGGACAAAAUAGCACUUAAAACCCAUGUUUGGUAAGAGGGAUGACUAACUUAAAUGAGACUAUACAGUCCAACAGUGAAAAAAAUGGCUCACUAGCUCCUCUAAUAUAAUGAGCCUAAAAUGUGGUUCACAAAAUAGUACUGUCGCUAAACUGAACAGGCGAGUCCAACACACUGGCUUGGCUUCUCUUCCCUGAAGCCAUUCAUCACUUUCUCUUCCGCAACUUCCCUACCUCAACAAAAUUGAAGCUCCAAGAAGUAUAUUUUCUUGAUUGAAAAAACUGAAGUUCCAAGAUCUGAUUGGACCCAACAAUAAAAGACAAAAAAGUAUUUUUAGAAUUUCUUCUGAUCCAACUCUGGAAACCCAUCUCCUCCGACCCAUCGUCGUCCACUGCACUGCCCCCAACCCCAGCAACAUCUAUUGGUUUAUUAAAAUAAAAACCUGAUAUGGAUUUGGUUGAAGAAAGAGAGUGGAAAGAGAGAAAAAUAAGGAGAGAGAAGGAGGAGGGGAGGGGGGCUUGGUUGUCGAAUAAAGAGGAGAGAGGGGAGGGGAGUUGUCGCGUGGGGUGUGGGGGGAGGAAGAGAGGACGGAAGGGGUGGGUGGGGUUUGGGAUAUUUGUUUUGGUUUAAAAAUAUUAUCUUUAAGAAUAUUAAAAAUCAGCUUCUUUAAAAAAAUAUAAGAAUUUUUAUUUAUUUAUUAUUAUUUUAAAUCUUUAAAUUGGAUUUCUUUGUAACAUUUAUAUAUUUUAAGUCAAAAUUCCUAAUUAAAUUUAAAUAUUAUAAUUUAAUUCCUUGCAUUAGCGCCCACAAAAGCACAAAGUUGAGCAAAAGUCUAUCACGCUCUCGCCACCCAACCAUCAAAAAAUUCAUUAUUCUUGCAUGUAGAAAAAAAAAGUUAAAAUUAAAAUUAAAAACUCAGUCGCACCACCAUCUUCGACACCCACCCAGCCUCCACCACUCCCAUCACCCACCUAAGCCUCAACCACACCAUCAACUCCGUCACAUCAAGUUCUCUUUCUCAGAUGAGACGGUAACACAUACCUCAUCACACCCAACUUGUCGAAGGUGAAGAGGCGGAUGAGUCUGUGUUGAAAGAGAGGUGUGUCGUAGCUGGUUUGGAAGGUCUUCAUCUUGGGCUUGGAUCAGUGUUAGUUUCAUUGGGCAAGCCACUCCCCUUGUACGACUCCGAUGAGCUCUUCUUCUUCUCUUCACCACGAGACCAAGUUUACCCAGUUGAAUUUAACUUGAAACCCAGAUCUGGGUUCUUUCUUUGGUAAAAAGGUUUUUUCUUUUUUUCUCAAAACACUCAACCCAGAUCUGGGUUGACUUCAUACUAGCAAAACUCACGGGAUUUUUUCUAAGUAAAUGGUCAAAUUCCAUUUCACAUUAAUCAGUGCCUUUCGAAUUUGGGUCUUGAUCUUGAAGAUUAAGUUGCAUAGUCUGAACUUAAAAACAGAGAUAAUGGGGUUCUUUUGCACUUGGACUUGGGUCUUGAAUAUUUCUAGGUCGAAUGGGAAUUGAUUGCUACACUAAAGAAAGCAAAUAAGAAUCCAUAAUCAAUUUGUUCUUGUUACAUGAAGGAGAGCUGCAGUGGUGAGGGUUUAGUUGGAAAGUAGGGGCUGAGGGUGGGUUGUGUUGGGUUCAAUUGGAAUUGAUGUUGCUUUUGUUUCACUUUGAAUUUGGGUGGAUUGAGAAGUCUUUUGGAGAGUGAUUUGUGGGCUGCUGUGGUGGCGGUGGUGGAGAUCCAUGGUAGAGACGUCGAAGGUGCAUAAGGUUGGUGCGUGUUGAUUGGGGAAGAUGGUGGAGGUGGGGUGGGAGAGAGAAAAAGGGUUGGGGUUGGGGGCGUUUUUGUUUUUUAAAUUAUUUUAAGGGUGUAUUCAAUUAGAAUUUUAAUAAAUUAUUUUGAAGUUUAAAAAUACAGUGGUAUUUAAUUAAAAUUUUUAAGUAAUGAAUUAAAAUUCAGUGGUAUUCAAUUAGGAUUCUUAAGUAAUGAAUUAAAGUCGGGUGUUAUUCAAUAGUUACUGAUUUUGAGGUAUUUCAUUAAAUGUUGUAUUGUGUGAGAUUUUGAGUGGGUGAUAUAAACACCAAAUAACAUAAAUAAAAAAUUCACCCUCCUAGGCAUGAUUCUCACGUUCUUUGAUUUUCUUUUGAGAGAAGAUCAACAGCGCAUUUGCCACUCACACGAAAGCAAUCAACCACAGCCAGCCACACUUUAGUGUUACAUCCUACCAAAACAAGAUUAUUUGCUAAUUUCGAUAUCAAUCAAUCUAAUUUUUUUUAAUAUAAAAAAGCAUGUGAAGUAUGGUAUGAACUUUAACGAUAUUUUUUAUGUUGAAUUAAUCUAUGUUAUUAUAUGACUUUUAUUUCAUAUGGAAUCUUAUAGCAAAUUUUUUUAUUCUUUGGAGAAUACAAAAAAAUUCUAAAUUAAGUAAAAUCAUGUAACUACAAUCUAUUAAAUAAAUAACUAAAAUCCUGUAUUACACAAAUCCUGCUGAAAUCCAUUACAUUAAAAUCCUAUAAUUAAAAUAUAUUAAAAUCGUAAUUGAACACACCCUUAAUCUAUUAAAAGAAUCUUUAAAAUUUUAAUUUGUUUAAUAUAAUUUAAAUUAUAGUUUUUAUUAUUUAAAAAACAAAAGAAUUGUUUAUUAUAUAUUUUGCCCACAUGGAGUCCACGUCAUCAAAAAUUAAGGCUAACAUUUGCCAUAUCAACAUUUAACAAAUUUAUUAACGGUUUGUGUAACGGUGGGGGCAAUUUAUAGGUUUUCCAUGACUUAGAUUAUGUAUUUAUAAAUGUCCCCAAAGAUGAGUACGAACUUGAAAAUGACUCUAUAGUUUGGGGGGUCUUUUGUAGUUUGUCAUUUUAUUUUUUACUGUAUUUACAAAGGCCUUGAUUAUUAUUUGGAAUGUGGUAGCCAUAAAAAACUGAAUGGUGAUCUGCCAUUUUGAAUUUAGUUUUGAUGGAUAAAAUACUUUUUUGAGUUCUUUAAUGGAGGUGAAUUGCAGGCCGUUGAUUUUUUUCUAUAAAGCAAGCAUCAUCAAUAGAGGUGCCUCUGAACAUCGCUGAUGCUCGAGUCCACCGUGGACUUCAUCGGACACUUGAAUACACUCCAGGAGGUAAUUGUGGAUCAUCAGCUUGGCAAUGUUGCGGAGGUCGAUGAUGGCGUUGGAGGUCGCCAAGUAUUUGACCAAUCACCGCACUGAAGAAGCUUUGCCGGCGGAGGCGUAGGAGGCCUUGGGAGUGUUCAUGACGGAGUCAUCUUUAGUAGAUAGUCCUCGAACGCAUAGCUCGUAUAAGUUGUGCAGGAGAUAGUGGACGAGCUCAGAUCAAUCGAAGGGAGCGAUUAGUUGAGCUUAAGGGGUUAUGUAAUUGAAUAUUUUAAAAUUUUAAUUUCGUUUAUUCAUGUAAGUUCCCCAGUUUUGUUUUGAUAUUUAAGAGGCUCAAUCAAAUCUGCUCAAGGUUGCAAGGUUUGGGGUAACUAGCAGGAAACAAAACAAAGGCAACUGUACCUAAAAAUAGAAGAGUAAAGGUAGAAAUUAAAAAUUAAGCGUGAUUGGUCAUUUUUUUUCAUUAUUAAUUUACUUUGUUCUCGUUUUGUGCUUUUAAAUGUGGAUUGGGCUUAUUUCGAGUUUUUGGGUUGUUUUAGGUUUUUGAGACAUCUUGUUUUAAGAAAACAAGUGGCAAUUUUGUAAUAUAUAGAAAGUUCAAAGUCGGUUGUUUUUUUGUAAAUGGACUUCUAGUGUGUUUGUAAGUCCAUUUCAUAAAAGGUUUUGUUAAAAUCCCCGCAUAAUAGUGAAGCUCACCUAUACAAAAUUAAUGAAUGAAAUCAAUAAUAACGGAUAGAGAACAUCGUUGGAUCAAUUUAAAUCCAGCCAUUGAUGUUAAUAGAAUUUUUGUGAUUCAUGUACAUGGUUUGAUGGUACCUUCUUUUUACAACAAGUGCCCCUUUGGUAUUUAUCCUUUUUAUUAUUGCUCAUUAUUCAUAUCCAAUAAUAUUAUGAUCUCACCACCUCCAAAUAUUAAAUAAAUAAAUAAAAAUGCAAGUUUAGGAUAAAUACGUAAAUCCACUUGCCAAAUGUCACAGCUUAAAACCAUGUAGUAGGGCGGAGCAGCCUCACCCACUAAGAAAAGAAUGCAAGGAACAUACAAAUCAUCAAUUAAUCGGUCUGGUCAUGCAUCUAAAAGUAUCUAAUGCCUAGAUAUAGAUUAAUGUGAUGCAUCAGAGUUUGAACACGAGUUCACAUCACCAGAUUAGGAGUGCAACGGCUACUGGAGUUUGAACCUUAGUUCACAUCACCAUUUUGUGAUGGAUCACUAUAAUGUCGAGUACGACUAUUGGAUGAAGACCUUGAUAUAGAUUAAUGCUAAAAUAUGAAACUUAUGAGAGAAUAUUGUUUGUGGGAAUUUUCUGUGUAUUCUUCUCAUUGUAAGAGGUUGUAUUUAUAAUACAAUAAACCCUUGUAGGUUAAGGAAGGUAAUUACUCAUAAUCUAUUUACAGUAGGAAAUCAUGUAUUAAAAUAAAUCAAUCACAUUUAAUAUAGGAAUCCUUUGCCUGACAGGAAAGUAAUUGCAGGCCCACAAGUCACAUGAACACUCUUCCUCAAGUUGGUGCAUAGAUCUCGCCAAUGCCCAACUAGUUUAGUGAGUUGUGGAACACUCUACUGGAAAUUGCAUUUGUCAAAAUAUUCGCCAACUAGUUUAAGAAAGGAAACUGAAUCACUUUAGCUUCGAGCUUCUAUUUGAUAUAGUGUCGAUCCACCUCAACAUGUUUGGUGUGAUCAUGUUAAACUGGAUUCUGUGCAAUAGCUAUUGUAACCUUGUUGUCACAAAAGAGAUUCAUAACAGAUGUAGGUCUAUACCCAAGUUCAGCAAGCAAACUAUGUAACCAAAGGAGUUCUCAAAUUCCUUGAGUCAUACCUCUGAACUCAGUUUCUGCACUAGAUAGAGCUACUACCUUCUGUUUCUUGCUCUUCAUGUUAUUAAAUUACCUCCAACGAAUGUAAAGUAACCAGAUGUGGAUCUUCUAUCUGUUAUACUUCAUGCCCAAUUUCCAUCUGUGUAACCAUCAACAUUGAUAUGACCAUGUUUUGAGAACAUAAGUCCUUUUCUAGGCGUAUACUUCAAAUAUCUAAGUAUGCGAAGAAUUGAAUUCAUGUGGUCUUCACUUGGAGAAUGCAUAAAUUGACUGACUACGCUCACUGCAUAGGUUAUGUCUAGUCGAGUAUGUGACAAAUGGAUCAGUCUUCCCACUAAACUUUGGUAUAUUUUCUUGUUAAUUGGAACUUGAUCCGGGUAUUCUCCAAGAUGAUGAUUCUGAACAAUAGGAGUGUCUAUAUGUUUGCAAUUUAGCAUUCCCAUGUCUGUCAACAAGUUCAAGACAUAUUUCCUCAAAGAGAUAUAUGCCUUGCUUUGAUUUGGCCACCUCAAUCCCCAAGAAAUACUUGAGCCAACCUAAAGGUCCACCUAGAUUCUUUAUCGCAAUUCAAUAGCUAAAUAGUUUGCAACCGAGAUAUUUCCUGUUCAUCAUUCCCAAUAAUAAUCAUAUCAUCAACAUAGAUUAUUAAAGUUGAUACCUUCCCUUUAUGAUAUUUCAAGAACAUAGUAUGAUUUGAAUUGCUUUGCCUGAACCCAUAAUUUUCCUCAUUGCCAAAGUGAAUUGUUCGAACCAUGCACAUGAUGGCUGUUUCAAACCAUAUAGUGGUUUUCGCAACUUGCACACCAUACUUGUCUAAGUAGAUGUUGUACAUCCCGAUGGAAUAGAUAUACUUCUUCUGUGAGUUCACCACGCAAGAAAAUAUUUUUCACAUCAACCUGAUGGAGUGGCCAAUCCAGGUUUGCAGCAAGAGAUAGUUGCACUCUAACUGUGUUGACCUUUGCUACGGGGCAAAUGUUUCUUCAUAAUCGAUGUAGUAGAUCUGUGUGUACCCUUUUGCCACAAGUCUAGCCUUAUAUCGUUCAACUAAAUCAUUGGCAUUGUGUUUGAUAGUAGCACUAUGACCGUUUUAAGCUUUGCUACUAGGGAAAAUGUUUCUUCAUAAUCGAUGUCGUAGGUCUGUGUGUACCCUUUUGUCACACGUUUGGUCUUGUAUUGUUCAAUGGAACCAUCGGCAUUGUGUUUGACAAUAAACACCUAUCUGCAUCCAACAAUUCUUUUUCCUUUGAGAAAUGUCUCGAAUGUCCACGUCUGAUUUUUCUCCACAACCUUCAUUUCUUCCUUUAUUGCUUGAGUCCACUUUAGAUCUUUCAAUGCUUCAGUCACCUAGUGCGAAUAUCAAUAGCAAACAACUGAUGCACAAAUGCCUUUAGUGGUUCAGACAAUCCUUGAGUGCACACAUGGUUGGCAAUUGAAUAUUUCGACUAUUUGCCAAUAUCAAGGCAAUAUCUAUCUGGCGAUUUGCCACGAUUCUACAUGAAAGGUAAUUAGCAUCCAACAGAAUCAUCAACUAAAUUCACAGGAGUUGUAGGGCUAUUUACCAUAGGAAUAUUAUCAGGAGAUUGGUAGUUUGGUACUAUAGAAUGUGAAAGAGGUAUUCAUUUUCUUUCUAGGUAGAACCAUAAGUAGUCAAAUCAGGAGAAUUUUCAAACACAGGCGACCGGUCGCAUUCUUCAGGGCAACCGGUUGUUUUAGUCUGAGUCGAGUUUUGCUAUUUGAGGUGACUGGUCGUCAAGUUCAGAGAGACUGGUCGUUUUGUCUAGAAAGCUCAUUGUUCAAAGCAACCGGUCGUUAUUGUCAAAAUGGCCGGUCGUUUCCAUGCUUACUUCAAUUUUUCCAUCUUUCGGAGUGCUCCAAGUUUGUGCUUCACUCUGUGUCUCCUCCUAAAGUGGAUAAUUAGACACUGAGUCAUGAAAGAAUGUCUUAGACUCCAAAAAAGUGACAUAUGUGCUUCGGGAAGGAGGAUGAUAACACCUAUAACGUUUUUGAUGAAUGGCAUACCCUAGAAAAACACAACGAAAUGCACAAGGGUCAAGUUUGCUUCUCUUGUUUUUAUGGAGAUGAACAUACGCCAUGCAACCAAAGACUCGUGGUCUGAGCAUUAAGACAGAGGGCAGGGGCCCUUGUUAAGCAAGCACUUGGACCGAAGUAUGGAAGUCCAAGACAUGAGAAGGCAUACGAUUUAGCAAAUAAACAACCGUGACAAUGGCAUCACCCUAGUGGUGGCGAGGGACAUGAGCCCCAAUGAAGAGUGCACGGGCUGUUUCAAGGAGAUGAUGAUUUUUCUGUUAUGCAACCUCAUUCUAUUGCGGGGUUUGAGGACAAGUCGUUUCAUAGAGAAUGUCAUGCGUAAGAAAGUACAUCUGAAAGUCAUGGUUGACAUAUUUUCCUCCCUUGUUAGACAGAGGAUCUAGAUUUAGGCAGAGAAUUAGGUUUCAAUUUGUUUGUGGAAGGAUUUGAACAUAGUAAACUCUUCACUUUUAGUCUUCAUCAUGCCAUGUCAUACGAGUGCAAUCAUCCACAAACGUGACAAACCAUCUAAAUCUAGAAGUACUUAUAGGUGAAGGACCACAUAAAUUAGAAUGAAUUAAAGCAGAACAGUUUUUUAUUCACGCUCAAAGGAUAAGAAACAAGUAUAGUAAGCUAAGGGAGAGUCAUAGUACAAAAAGUGUAGUCAGCUACAAUAAGACUCUCGCUUAGUAAAGGUGCUUCCAAGAGUUCACAACAUCAUGACAUAUAAUCAUUAGUAAAUCCAUAAAUUUUCAGGGAAUGGACAAUAUUUUAAAGGUUAAAGACUACAAACAAAUAACCUUAGGUCUAUAACUAAUUGAUACAACAAUUAUCAAAAUUCAUAUUAAAUCAUCAAUUAAUCUAAUUAAAAUGCAAAUCAAAUUAUCAAUUAAACAAACAAAUCAUAACGGAUCAUACCUCGAUUUGUGCGCUACGCAACCUCUUCCUUCUCGAGUUCCUUAUUGAUCAUACUAAUAUAGUGAAACCAAAUAAUGAAAAUUAAUAAUAAAAGACACUUUGUUAAAAAAACACAAAGAAAAAAAAAACAUAAGUAAAAAAUACAUUCGAAAAUUGAAGUUUGCAGCAUCAAGAGCCUCCUCUUUUUCAAGGCCAUGCCCAUGCCAGGCUUCUUCAAGGCUUCUCUUUUAUGGAAAUGGAAAUCAAAUUAAUCUUCUUCAUGAGUUAUAACUAGAAUGCAUCACUUAAUUUCAACUUGGGCAUGACAUCUUUCAAGACUCCUUUACGUAUAAGGUAAGGUUGUUUCAAUUUUUUCUUUGUUUUGUUUUGUUUUGUUUUUUUUUUUUUGGGCUAGUCCAAAACUACAAUGUUUUGGCCAGGAUUUAAAAAAAAGAAAAAAAAAAGAAAAAAAGAAAAAGGGAUGCGUGCAGCAACGCAACAAAGAAGAAAAAGAAACAAAGGUCGCUCGCUCAGUCAUUUGUUCAAACAGGUUGUGGGCACCACCAAGGCAGAGCAAAGUGGCAAUAUCUAGCUUUUUUGGGCGAGAAAAGGUAUAGCUACAACUCUUUGCACCUCUGUGAGUUCGGCACUGCAUGUAAUCAGGCUCGGCCUAGACCAGGGGUAGUUAGUGCGACUGCCUUGGGCCUAUUAUUCAGAGGGGCCCAAAUUUUUUUUUUUAAGUGUUAUAUUAUAUUAUUAUAAACGAAUGUAAUAUUUUCAGGGGAAAAGAAAGAUGGAUGCUAGUGCUAGGUUAAUGUUAAUAUUAUUGGGAAAAACAAAGAUGACUAAUUAAUAUUAGGCUUAAUUGCUACAAUGCACCCUGAAACAUUGGUCAAUUCUCACUUUACCCCUUUAAAGUUAAAGUGACCCACUUUGCCUCCUUGACCAAGGUUUGAUAUUCCACAUUGCCCCUACCAUUAACUCCAUUCAAAAGUCAGUUAAGUUUGAUAACGUGGCAAGGGUGUUUUAGUAAUUUUGCGCACCUAGGUUUUUUAAUUACUUAAAAAAAUAAAAUACAAACAUAAAAUUGAAAAUAAAAUAGAUUUUAGAAAGAAAGAAAGAAAAAAAAAAAACCUACCCAUCCCUUCUCCCCCAGUCGCACCAAAUCUACCCCUUCCUUUUCUAUCCUUGUAACCCCCCUCACUUACCAGAAACCCAUCGCUCCCCUCUCCCCCCCGCCCCCAAUUGGCAACCCACAACCCACCCCUCCCCUUGUGCAGAACUUGGAAAGCCAUCCCUCCCCCCUACCCCUCCCUAAGCAGAACCCAGAAACCUAUCGCCCCCUCCCCCGACAACCCACCCCUGAGCAGAACCCAAAAACUCACCGCCACUGAUUUAUUACACCUCCCUCGAUUUUUUCUCUGCUCCCUCUGGUUUUUUCUAUUCCACUUCCACAUAACCCCAGUCCCCAUACCCAUUCCUCUAUUGUCUCUGUUGGAAAAAGCACUAGUUUCCACAGCAGCUUCAGCUCCAUCAAGCUGUGAUCUUGCUUUUAUUUAAGCAAUUAUAGACGAAUACUCUUUGUAGCAACCGGCUCUGAAUGAGAAAGUGCUUUACACAAAAUGGAUGUCAUUGACAAGUGCUUUUCCAGACCACCCUGCACACAGAGAGAGAGAGAGAGAGAGAGAGAGAGAGAGAGAGAGAGAGAGAGAGAGAGAGAGAGAGAGAGAGAGAGAGAGAGAGAGAAUUCAAUUUUUUAAAGUUUUAAAUUUUAUGUUUGUAUUUUAAUUCUUUAAAGUAAUUAAUUUUUUUUAUCCACGCUGGAGGUGGGCUCCACUGUGCCACAUUACCUACUCAAUUUUGUGAAUAAAAAAACCUAGGUGCACAAAAUUACUAAAACACCCCUGCCACGUCAUCAAACUUAAUGGACUUUUGGAUGGAAUUGACGGUAGAGGGUACUGUGGAACAUCCAACCUUGGUCAAAUGGGCAAAGUGGGUCACUUUAACUUUAAGAGCAACUCCACCCCUUAGGGCAAAGUCUAAGGCAAGGGCAAGCUAGGGCAAGCAAGGGUUGACACUAUUCACGUGAAUAGUGUCAGCCUUGCCAUUUGUGGUUCCACCCACAAGGGCAAAGUCUAGGGCAAGUCUAGGGCAAUUACUAUUCAUUGUACUUUAUUUCCUAUUUUUUUAUACUUUAAAUCAUUAAUUUUGAUAAUCUUUUUAAUUAAAUUUUCGGAUAAGAUUUUCGGAUGUGAAUCUCGGUUGCCACGUGUCUUAUUCCAGAUAAAAUUUUCGGAUAUUCAUUAAUAAAAAUAUGAGUAGAGAGUAAAAAAUAUUGGAAGGAGAUGAGUUUGUAUGGAGAUUUGGUGUGGAAAAUGAAUUAUGUGAGUGGAGAGUAGAAAAUAUUGUAUGGAGAAGAAAUUGUAUGAAGAUUUGGUGUUGAAAGUAAAUAAAAUGGUUAGGUAUUUAUAGGGAAAAAAUACAUACAUUUUUGGUAUUUUUUUUAAAAAAAUUUCAGAAUUUUUUCGAAUUUUUUUGGAUUUUUUUAAAUUUUUUUGGCCAAAAAAAAUUUGAUUUUAGUGUGCUGACGUCAUCGCUGACGUCAGCUCAACUCGGGCUUGAGCCCAGUCUGAUUUCGCCCUUGGGCCUGCCCGGGCUCGUGGGACCCGCAGCUUGCCCGGGCUGGAUUGCUUGCGCUGGAGCUGGACUCGGGCUCCUUUUUGCCUUUUGCCUGGGCCAGCCUCUACCGCUGGACUUGCUCUAAGGUGGUAAAGUGAGAGUUGACCAAUGUUUCAAGGUGCACUAUAACAAUUAAGCCUUAACAUGAUUAUAUUAUUAGUUAGUGCAUCCCUUCACUCCUCAAGAUUAUAUUAUUAUAUUAUCUAUUCCAAUUUUUUUUCCUUCUUCUUAUCUCGUCUCAUCCCAUCUCAUCUCCUCUCCUCAUCUAAUCUAAGCAUCUCCUACUAGUUCCAGAAUUGUGAAUCCCUAAAUUAAUUUUUCUGUUGGUAGAUUGGGGAGAUUCUAAAAUCAAAAGUGUGGGCUUUUGUUCAAUGCAAAAUUGGUCCUUGUAGAAAUCAAUUUAAGAUAUUUUUUCAUGAUUUGAUAUCAAAUGAAAAAGAAAAAGUGAUUUUUGUUUGUUUGUAUAUAUAUAUAUAUAUAUACAAGCCUAAUAUUUACUUUUGCCCUGGGCCUUGAAAAAUUCAGGACUGACCCUGCAUAUAAUGAAGAAAUAAUAUGUGAAGACCAAUUAUCACCAAAAUAAAACAUUUCCGUAUUUCCCUGCUGAUUAAUGACACAAUAUAUUUUCAAGUACAGGUGCUUACAUGACCUGGCAUGUACGUUUCCAUACUCCCUAACCAAGGUGAUUAGUUUAAGUGACUUGGUAUGUAUGUUCUCUCUCUCUCUCUCUCUCUCUCUCUCUCUCUCUCUCUCCUUCUUUCCUGAACCAAAUCCACAGCCUGCAACCCAAUACAAGUAAAUCCCAAAUGCUAAAACCAACACCACAACCACACAACCGAUUGUGAUGCCACAGAUUGCUCAAUUAGACAAAUAAGACGAAGAAGAACUCAGCUGAAGCACGGGCAAAUUGUUGUUGAGGUAGACGCCGAUGUGGUUUCCAUCUGGGUCGUUGAACUAUGAGUUUUUCCCAGUAUAGAACUCGACGACAAGCAACCGAGCAAUGAAGGGGAUGAUGGCGUUGGUGAAGAGGCUGAAGUAUUGGUUGGCAAGGGCGUUGCGGGGGAGGUGGAGUUGAAGAGGACGAAUGAGAGGCUGAAACAUGGGCUUGAAGCGAUCUCGAGGAAGGGGGGAGAUGGGGGAGACAGAGAAGACACAGGAGCUGGAGAAGGAGGUGAGGGAGGUGGAAUUGGAGAUGGGUUUCAUGGUGAGCUUUGUUGGGUAGAAGACGUGGCCAUCCCUAAUAUAGGGAGGGCCGCGAAUUUGGUUCAGGUAGGGAGGAGAGAGAUGGAAAAAGAGAGAGAAAAGGGGAAGCGAUGGGCGGUUGAAAUGGAAGUGGGGGGGAAAGGGGUGGGUCGUGAGGUUCAGAUAGGGAGGAGAGAGAUGGAAAAAGAGAGAGAACAGGGGAAGUGAUGGGCAAUUGGAAUGGGAGUUGGGUGGAAAGGGGUGGGUCAUGAGGUUCAGAUAGAGGACAGAGUGUUAAUUUUUUUUCCUUCAGUUUUUUAAAUUAUUUUAAUUGUUAAUUAAUUAUUUUAUUUUUAUUAGCUGAUGUGGCACAAUAUGUAUGAGUUUAAAUGGGUCUUUGAUUGCCACAUUUUGACCCAAAAAAAAACUUUGAUUAACACGUUAUCUUUUAAUGGAUAACUUAAUAAUCAAACUAACGGAAAUAUGAAAGUGGUAGAAAAAUAAAAUUUUAGAUACGAAGUUGAGAUGAAAAAACCUUUAUGUACUAAAGUCAUAAUUUCGGGAAACUUUCGAGUAGUAAAGUGAAAUUAAUCCCUUUAAAUAUGAAUAUUUUAAUAGUACAGCCUGUGGUAUACUGCACAAAAUGGUUUUCUUUUUUGUAAUUAAGUAAUAUCAUUAUUAUUUCUUUAGUGAAUAAUUAGUAUUAACAUAUUUUACCAAUUUCAUAAAUUACUUAAUAAAUAGUAAUUAAUUAUUUUAAAUUAUUUUUUGGACUUUAUUUUUUAUUUUUUAUUUAUACAAAAUUAGUUUGUUUAGUUUAAUAUUUUGCAAUGAAUUAAUAUCUUAGUCUUAUUUAAUUAAUAUUAAUUAAUAUUUAUGUUUAAUCGCUUGUAUUGAUGUUUUCUUGACUACUUUAGUUUGUGGGUGUUCUUCAUUUUGAAGCAUUUCCUUGGGUUUGUAGUAUGAAUUUCAGGGUUCAGUGUAACAUUUGUGACUAGUAUUCAAAUUUAUACUCACAAUAAAUGCCAAAGAUUGAUAUAAUUUAUAGCAUAAUAUGUUAGCUCCCUUUUCUUACUCUUCUUGACAUCUCCUUUUGUAUGCUAGAUGUUUUGCAUGUGAGACUCAAAGCGCUUCUCUUCUAAAUACAUCUGAAGAAAAAUUUAUCAUAUGUUGUAAAUGUGGAGUCCCCAAAAUGCCCCCAUGUGGAAUCCCCAAAUUGCCCCCCUUAAAUGCCUAUAAAUAGGGCUUCUCCAUUUGUAACAAAACAUAUAGAAACUAAACAAGAAUCAGAUCAUGAAUUAGAAAAUCAGUCUCUCCUCUCUAUUCCAAUUCUCUCCAUUUUCUCUCUACAUUUAUAACACGUUAUCAGCACGAGUCUUUAACCGGCUGAAAUCUCUGAUUUCUUGAUCCCAGAAAUUGAUCAAGACACCCAGUUCGAAACCAAGCCCAGAUUGCCCACCCACUGCUCUCCUUCUCUCUCUGUCUCUCUCUUUCCCAGAGUCUCUCACAUCAGAUAGAUCAAACGAUCUCUGUGCUUGGUUUAGUCCUGUAAUUAAAGAGAUGAGUAAAGAGGCAAGGCAAGCAGAAACACUCUUCCUCCUUUACUUUGUAACCCAACAAACAAACACAGAGAGCACAACCAAAAAAAAAAAAAGGUAUCAAACCAAGACACAGGCCGUCUCCCAUUCCAGUUGCAGACCUCCAAACCCACUGCACGUCCACAACAAAAAGCCCAGCUAGUGGUGGACGGCCUAGAUUCCGAUUUCGAUCCGCCCCGACUUCACUCAUGAGCUCCGGCGCGUCCGAUUCCUCUGGGGGCCCCUGCGCUUCGACGUCGCUCGCCGACAAGGACAAGCAGAAGGAGAAGGCCCGCGUCAGCCGUACCUCUCUCAUACUCUGGCACGCCCACCACAACGACGUCGCCGCCUCACCUUCCUCCAACUAGCGCCACACCAAGUCCAACAAUGACAGAGGAGCUCUUGUCGUCGUCCAAGCCAAGGAACUGACCUCCAGCACGCCGCCUCACCUUCCUCCACCUAGCGCCACACCAAGAACUCCAAAGGCCCUACAUCAGAUUUCCCAACAUAACCCAGCACAGAGAUACAAAGCAAACCUCUGGUCAUGGCGUCUUUGUGGAGGACGCUGAUGGCCCCACCGGAGGCGUAGAUGGCCCUGAGGCCCCUAUUGAUGUCGGCCACACCCACCGGAAUCUGCACAUACCCCUUUGUGAUUUUCAACUUGUCUUGCUUGACCGAGAAGAGACAAUAACAGAUUUACCACUUGACAAUGGGGUUUGAGUUCUUUUGAGGGGCUGUGCUAAGCUCAUGUUAUUCUCAUCUUGCUAAUAAUAUUUUCUUCUGAGAAAAUGAAAGUUGAAGAAGCAAAAGAAGAUGAGCAGCGAGCCCAAAACCAGUAGCACAACUGGAGGAGCAGGAGGAAGGGGAUUUAGGGCGAGAAUGGAGCACUACAUGUACAGCGGUGAGAAGAAGCACGUAUUUGCUGGCAUCGUUCUUGUCAGAGCCGUCUUUGCCGUUCCUUGGUACCUCAUGACUCGAGGGGCAGAGCAUCAAUCCCAUCAAGAUUACUUAGAGAAAGCUGAUAAGGCAAGGAGCCAAAGACUUUCUUCAGGGGCUUCUUCUGCUCCAAGGACAAGGUGCAGCAGACCAAAAACAGCCAACUUCAAUACCUGAGAUUGGAUCUACUCCUCAAGACCGUCUUCCAUGGCUUCUCCGCAUCUCUCAUCCCUGACUUUUCCAAAGGAGAUGAUCACGCAGCAAUGAUGAAAAGCAAACCCACCGAUAAAGAAAAACUACACGCUCCACAGGAAGGAAUGAUGACGGCCACAAUGAUAAAAUUCCCACCGAUAAAGAAAAGCAAACCCACCGAACCAAAGAAAGAAUAAUUAAAUAAAUUAAAAUAAAAUUAAAAAAAAAAGGGAUCACUCAGCAAGGGCAUAAGUGAAAGAAUAAGCGAUAAGUUUUCUGCUCCCUUAUCUUCCCUAUUAUUUCCUAUUAUAUUUAUCUGCUUUUCUUUUACUAACCAUUAACAGAAAUGGACCCUCGGUAAUACUAAACAUAUUAUCAGUGAGAGACCGUUACUAAUACUAACAAUUUAAUUUAUGAAUUAUUUUUACUGCACAUUUACAUUUAUUUAAAAGGGUGGUGCGGGUUUAUCGUCCACGCCUUUACUUUUAUUUAAAUGUAUGGUGCAGAAUUAGUGCCCAUACAAGCACGUUUAAUUUACUGCAAAUUUACUUUACCGCACAUUUAUUUUAUUUACUGUAUGGUGUAGGAUUAUUACCCAUACGACAGUAUUUAUUUAAAAGGGUGGUGCGAGUUUAUCGUCCACGCCUUUACUUUUAUUUAAAAGUAUGGAGCAGAAUUAGUGCCCAUACAGGCACGUUUAAUUUAUGAAUUUAAAUUACUGCACAUUUACAUUUAUUUAAAAGGGUGGUGCGGGUUUAUCGUCCACGCCUUUACUUUUAUUUAAAUGUAUGGUGCUGGUUUAACGUCCAUACCAGUAAUUUAAUUACCAG